AUCCACCUUAUCCUUAACUCCUAGCCGUCCGAUCCCUUCCUCUGAAACUCCGCCGUCGUUUUGGUUCUAAUUAACUUUUGAAGCUGAAGUAGUUAUUAUUAAUUAUAAUUCUCAAAGGCUGACGUGGCAGUCACACCUUUUGCAUUCCUCUGAUCUUCAAUAUAAAGUCCCGACUUCACUGAGACUUAGCUUUUGCACCUCCCUUUUUCAUUUCUGUGGUUUGUGAGUGUCGUUUUGGGAUUUUGAAGAUGGGUGAGAAUAGGAUGACCGGCAAGGUGAAGUGGUUCGAUGACCAAAAGGGGUAUGGCUUCAUAUCCCCUGACGACGGUGGCGACGAUUUGUUUGUUCACCAAUCUUCCAUCCGUUCUGAGGGUUUCCGUAGUCUUGCUGAUGGUGAAGAGGUCGAGUACGUUGUCGAGUCUUCUGAAGGUCGCCCCAAGGCUGUUGAGGUCACUGGCCCUAACGGCAACCCUGUUCGUGGAUCCUCCAGAUCCGGACGCGGCGGCGGCGGUGGUGGCGGUUAUGGCGGUGGAUCCGGUGGUUAUGGUGGAGGGGGAAGGAGAGGCGGUUAUGGUGGAGGAGGCGGUGGUGGUGCUGGUGGAGGCGCCGGAUGUUAUAAGUGUGGUGAGAUGGGCCAUUUAGCAAGGGAAUGUGGGCAGGGUGGCGGUGGAGGCAGAUAUGGCGGUGGAGGAGGCGGAGGCGGAGGCGGAGGCGGCGGUGCUUGUUACAACUGUGGAGGCUCUGGGCAUUUCGCUAGGGAGUGUCCCAAUAGUGUUUGAUAAUUUGAGGAGGGAUUCAAAUGUGUCAUUCACAUCAUCUACAAUCCAUCCUUUUUUCCUCUUCUGCUACUGUUUCUGUCGGUUUCGUUUUUAUCGUAUGGUUUGCUUUUUAUGUUUUCCUUUUCCAGUUUAUGCAGGACGGUUUCUCUUAGUCAGUUUGCUGUUUUGUCUUUUUUGAUUUUGAAGUUGGCAAAUGGUUGUAAUGGGUGCUUUCGUAGUAGUCUUACAGUGAGGGUGGACAUUAGUGUCGAUUGGAAAACAACAAUGAAGAAGAAAAUGACGUUAAAACUCACUGUCAUCAAGUGUUUAUAUCGAUAUCAUAUAAAUACAAACUGAUGUAUGAUGGUUUGGUUUCAAUCCUUUUUCUUUUUAAUUUCAGUACGCUUUCAUGAAUUUCUUUAUAUAAUGCCUCAAUUGUUCGCUGUGAUUUGUUUUGGUUCCAUUCUGGUUGUAAUGUGCCUUGAACCUGAAAUUUGUGUUAAUAUGAUUGGACCAUAAUUUACAACAUUUUGACAUUUUUAGCAUGGUGCCCUUUGUUUCAAGGUUUCUUUUGUUUAUAUUCUUAGAUGGGUAGGGACUCCUACUGAUUUUUCUUUACGCUAUUUGAUGAAAAGGAUUGGGAUUUGGGACUCAUUGGUGAAUAAUGCAACAUAAACUCCCCCGAUUAUGUGCUGCUGCCUUGCAUUUUUUAAUCACAAGUGGUCCAUUUUUCCAUCUCUCUCUGCAUUAACCCUUUUCUAGGUUUAAUCAUGAUGGGUACUCUGUUCUCUAGUAAAAAUUUUAAGAGAACAAUGGGAGGCACUUUGAUAGGACUGCAAGAAUGGUUGUAUACCUCUUUGUUGCUAUUCAGUUUAGAAACAUGCAUUAUUCGGUCUGCCGAUCAAACCGAUCAACUCGAAGAUGUGCCGGUUUUGUCGGUUCUCCACUUAAAGUCGGUCGAUUUUGGUUCCAUAAAAAGAGGAAGUCUGUUUGCCGAACGGAGCGAUUUCUCUCCCUAGUCUUCUUCAAGGAUUUAUAUUUCACAUCAUGAUUUGUUUGGCUUUUUAAUUUUUCAGAUAAGUCAUUUUUGCCUUUUUUAUUUAAUUUUUCAUUUUUUAUAUUUUCACAAUUAAAACUUAUUAAAAGAAUAUAUUUUUAAAAUUUUAAAAAAUUAAUUAAAUAUUGAUGUCUUAUUACGUCAUAAUAUAUAUGUAUUUUACAUCACUAAAGUUAAUUUUUGUUUGGGAUGGUUUGAAGGCUAAAAUAAAUUUUUUGCAUAGUUGAAAUAGAAAGAAAUCACUAAAAGUUUUCCCUCCCUUUCAAUGAAACUUAGAGCUAGUUCAAUAUUGUUUUCGAGAAGUAUAAUUAGAUAUGAUGUUAAUAAGUAAUAAAUAAGUAUUUAAAUAAUCUUAAAUUAGUUAAGAAUAUAGAAAAUAUUUUAUUAUAAUUUGUUAAUAUUUUUACAUAUAAAAAUUAAAUUUUAAAUAAAUUUUAAAUAUUUUUAAGUAAUUAAUCAGAGAAGCGAAGGUAUGAUGUGUUGAUUAAACUGUCAAAAUAAUUUUUAGAAGGAAAAAAAUUAUAAGUUUUAACUUUUCCGUUUGGAAAAAAAAUGUUUUUGAAAAAUCAAUUUUUCUUUUCAAAAAUUACUUAUUUAACAUUUUACAUCAAAAAUAUUUUUUAUGUUAAAAAAACACUAUUAAAUACAACCUUAAUAUUUUUGGAUUUUAGUCUACAAAGGUCGAGAAUAUGCUCAAAUUUAAGCAUCACAUUCUUUUUAUUUCAUUAAGUUUGGUUAAUUUUCUAAUCUAAUAUAUUAAAAAUAUAAUGCUCAGAUCAGACUUCCUUUUCACGGUUGGAAGUAGGUUAGGGAUGGAUAAAAUUGUUGGUUCAUUUGAACUUUGCAUGGGUCCUUGCGUAAAGUUUCCGUAAUACCAAAAGGCCAAAAGUUCAAUUAUUUUGAGGAAUAUUUAAAUCCUAAUAUUAGUUUUUUUUAUCAUUUUAUAGGUAAAGAGGACUCACUUUUGUACUCAAAUUCAUCUAUAUUAUUAUUUAAAAUUUUAAUUAAAUUAGUGUUACAAGUUAAUUAAAUAUAAUUUCAUGGAAAAAUGAUAAAAUGAUAAAAAUAAUAAUAAUUUAAAUGAUAAAAUGAUAAAAGAAUAAUUUAAAGUGUUACUAUAAAUAAUUGAGGAUAUGAUUGAAAGGUAAUUUAAUAUGCUUGGCAAGCAAGCAUUGCGCCUUAUUACUCACCCAGAUACUCCUUAAUUGUGUAUUAAUUCUUUCGGGAAAAAUUACUAUGAAAAUUAAUUUCAAAGAAUUUUGAGAGAGAAAAACUAAAAAGGCAAAAUAAAAAAGAAUCAACUUUGGUAAAUUUAACAUAUUAUGUUGAGGCAAGUUACGAAGAAACAAUUUGAAUGGAAUUUGAUAGCGUUUACUAUCAUUUGAAUGAAGCAAAACUUGUCAUAUUCAGUAAUUAUAAUUUAUUGAAAUAAAAUUUUUAGGUUAUUAACUAUAUUGAUAUUUAUGAAUAAAUGGAAGCUCAUAUAUAAAAAUCAAUUGGUUGGGUUCAAAAAUUAGAGCGGAGUGCAUUAAAUUAAUACAAGCCUUGAAUUAUGGAAAUUUAUUCAGAUGGAGGAGUUAUUCUUCUAGAAAACUGAAUUUCCAUCAUAUUGUGAUUUAUUGGACUUUAUUAGUGUAUUGCCUUUGUUAUUUCAUAGUUGCUAAUUUUAAGAAGUUGUUUUGUAUUCAAUCACUAGCAUGUUAUUAAGUCUAAUUAUAUAUAUAUUGUCCCGAGGCUUGUAUAGGGAAUGUAUGAGAGCAUAUUGAGGUCACUUUUGUUUGUUCAUUGAAGAACUCAUUGUGCAAGUGUUAUUAAAGACCAAACCAUUAGUGUUUAUAGCCUAAAUCCUUAGGGGGAGCAUUUAGAGGUGAGUGUUAUAAUCUUUUAAGUACAAAUGUGAGAUCUCUAUACUUGGGGAGUGAUAGAGUGUGAAUCACUUGUUAUAAUGUGAAUUAAAGAUAUGGAAUUACUCACUGAGUUAUGUUCCGCAAAUGUAGGGAAACUGAACUACGUAAAAAACCUUAGUGUUCUUUGUUAUUUUGUACGCAAAGUUUUCACUGUAACACCCUCAUACCCGACCCGAACAUUGGGUCAAACACUGGAAUAUUACAUUUGUUGUCGAAGCAACUUCAGAGAAAUUCAGUUCAGAUACUUUUCCUAAUUAAGUUAACAGAACAAUUUACAAUUAAUUUUAAAAUUUUAAUUUCACCACCAUAUGAUUCUCAAACAAAUUAUAAGUUUAUACAACUAUUAAAGUUUUACAAAUCAUUUAAAUUUCUCUUAUUUAUUAGCAAAUCUAUCACAAAUAUCAAUUUAUUAACAUCACACUCUUCUACUAUUUUUUUCCUCCUCCUCUCCAUUUCACAUAUUUUAUGUACGUUAAUUUAUAUAAAAAGUUUAUGGCUUUUAGUAUUAUAUGCCUAUAUGUAACAUUAAUUAUAAUUUUACUAAUUACAUAAUUUUAGCAAAGUUGUCCAGUUGAGUAUCAGUCACUAAAGUUGUCCAAAUUAAGAUCCACUUGUGAUUGGAAUUAGACUCAAUAAGCUUUAUACCAUGAAAAUUUCAGGAUUUUAACAUAAGCCAAUUAAUACAGUAAAUUCUUUAAUUUUUUCACUACUCUGCUGCUAGACAGUUUUGAACUGUCUUCACUAAAAAAAAAUUAUCUUUUAGUACAAGAUUCGUCUAAUGUUACUAUUUAUUUUUCUUGAAAAUAGUCUCACUAAGAUUUUGUUCAUAUAAAUUUCAUAGCCUAAAUUUUUUUGUACAAUUUAUAGUGAGUUUUGAAAGUUAAAACAGGAGAACUCAAAAUCAUUCUGAUCUUGUCUUACAAAAAUCAUUAUAUCUCAUAAUAUACAAUUUCAUUGCUUCCAUUGUUUCUUCCAUGCAAAACUAGACUCAUUAAUAUUUCAUAUUUGAUUCAACUUCUAGCUUAAUUUCUACAAUUGUUGGUGAAUUUUCAAAGUUGAAUCACUAUUCUGUCCAUAAACUGUUUUAGUGAUAAUGUCUACUUUUUUUUUUAUUCUUUGCAUUGACUUUCAUUUAAUCAUACUUAAUGUUAAACUAGCUUUAUUUGAUGAAUUAUUUUGAUAUAACAAGUAAAAAUAUUUUUAAAUAAAGAUUGUUUUUUAACAAAGAAUUGAUAAUGUUCAAAGUAUAAACCUAUUUCAAGUCUUUCAAAUUCUUUAGAAGAUGCUUUGAACACUUAAAAAAUUUUGGACAAAUUCAAAAACUCUUUAAACAGCUUUAGCUCAAGCGAAAGAUUUUUUAAUGAAGUGAAAAAUUACUCCCUAAACAAGUAUUGAUACCUAUAAAAGUAUCAAUAUUGUUUUAAGCUUCGAAGCUCAAAAAUAUUGAGCAAAAAUCAAAAGUAUCGAUACUUAUCAAUAAGUAUCGAUACCUAGACAUUUUUAUCGAUACCUUGGCUGGUAUCGAUAUAGAUUUUGCAUUCUGACUUCUAAGGAUUUUUUAACAAAUAGAAAAAGUAUCGAUUCUGAUAAAAAUGUCGAUACCUUUCAUCAGGUAUCGAUAAAUUUCCUUUGGUAUAGAUGAAAACUGGGCUAAUAGUCACUAAAUUGAUGCAUUAAAUACUAAUAGUAUGAUACUUUUCAAAAAGUAUCGAUAUCGGUUAUUGUAGGUGACAUUAAUGCACUAGUUCCUUAUAUCCCACUGACUAUUCAUUUCUACAACAACCACAACGAUUAGAAAUCAAUUUGGGAUUAUAAAUACGAACUUCCAAAGGUUCAGCAACAACAAGUGAGAUUACAAUAGACCAAGUACUUCAAGAUACACCAAAAAUCCAUUACCAAUCACUUUGUGCUUCAAUUCUUUAUCUUCUUCUUGUUAAGCAUUCAUUGUAUUUUCCAUCCGCUCAAGUGUUUUCCUUGUAUUUGUGCUUAGUUGGCAAACACUUUGAUCUUGUAAAGGUUAUUUCUUGGUUUGCUUGUUUGUAUCUCUUUUACAAGGGUUGAGCAUUAAAAUUUGUGUAAAAAUCUUAAAGGGAGUUGUAAGGUUAAACCUUGUCCUAAAAGGUUGAUCAAAAUAGUGAAUUUGGGAAAAUCCUUAGUUGUGGAAAGCUAAGAUAGUAGAGUAGGCAAUUGGGAAAGCUAAAAAUAGGUUUAUAUUGAGCUUAUGAAAGCUUACAACCAACCCUAUAUCAAAUAAGGAUCAAUUUGAAAUAAAAAUAAAAAAGAUAGGAAAAAUAUGCAAACAGGGGUCAUAUAGCCAUGUCCAUUUACCGUGUUGAAGUGCUAAUGUCAUUUGGGAAAGGACACACGGCCGUGUAGGCAAGUCGUACAACAUACUGAUGACAUGUGGGGUUAGAGUCACACAACUAUGUACACUCAUUAAGGCCGUGUGGGUCAAAAAUGUAAAUAUUCAAAAAUAUGUCACAUAACUGUGUCACCUGUGUGCACCAAAAAUCAUCCAACUCCUACAGAUCAAACAAUGGUGUUUGGUGCCGUGUACCAAGCCACGUGUGCCUGAAAUCCCUUCUAAAACAAGCUAUUCAACCUUGACUCACUUAUGCCACAAGUAACAUAUUAUACUAGUCUUUAACCACUUCAAAAGCAUCAACAUUAUAUCAAAAACAUUAUUUUAACAAUUAAACUACGUGCCUAACAAAUAUGCCACAAUUGACACCUCAAUCAACAAUUCAAAAUCACUAAAACAUCACAUACUUACCAUUUCAAAUAAUCCCUCAAUGUUACCUCAACUAACAGCUAGAUAUGUACCACAAUAGCCAUUCCAUCAAUAUCAAAUUUACCACAAGUCAACCUUAUGUUAUAUGCACCAAACCUACCAAAUCAUUUUAAGCAUAACAUAAGCAUGUCAUCCAUCAUUUCCAUAACCAUGUAUCCAUAAAAACACAUCACCUAGCAUAUUAUUUUCUCAACCACUUAACUAUUAUGCAUAUAGCUAAACAAAUUUAGCAAAAUAACAACAACAUGACCAAUUCCAACAUAUACAUACACAUUUAUAUACAUAAUCUUGAAAAUUCCAACAACUCCAAAAUGAUCAUUAUAAUUGAUUUGACAUAAUUCGGUGUAGCAGAUUAAAUUAGUUUUUGCACUUUAGGAGCUUGAACAUAAGCAUUUUAGUUAAGUUUUAAUUACAUUUAUGUAAGUUUAGUUAAGCUUAAUAAAGUGUGUAAUUUGAGUCUUUUAUUGACCUUAGGGGCCAAAUGAGGCCUAAGGGUGAGCUAAUAUACUUUGUGAGCAUGCAUGAGACCAUUAGAAGGCAUGCUAACUCGAUAUUGCUCACUAUGUUGCAACACGGAGCAUUGGAUGUCGCAACAUAGGGAGCAGAAUAGAAGAAUUCCAAGACUGCCUUCAAUAUCGCAACACGGCCUAAGGAUGUUGUGACAUACCCCUGAAGACACUUUGAAGAUGAGAUAUUUCCCUGGAUGUCGUGACACAGGACCCGGUGUGUUGUGACAUCAUCUCUGAAUGAGAAAUAAUUACCAGCUAGGGGCAUUUUUGUCUAUACAAUCAAAUGUUAAGAAUGAGGACGACAACUGACCUAGGGUUCAGGAUGACGACCACCCUAAAGUCUAUAAAUAGGCUUAUUUAACACGUGUUAAGGGACACCAUUCAUAUUGUAUACUUUUCUCUUUAGAUUUAGUCUUUAGUUUUUCUUUUCUAUUAGGUUUUAAAGUUUAUUUCCGUUCUUGUUUUUACUUUUGUAGGGAAAUUAGAUUUGGGAAAUACUGUCAAACUCUGUGAGGAUUCUGCACUUAACUUUAAUACAAAUCAUGCUUAUUCUAAACUUUAUUCUCUUGAACUAUUAUUUAUGUUUAUUUUUUCUAUCAAGUUUAUUGUUUACUAGCUUCUUCUGAAGGGGAUGUGACAGCCCUAUUUUGACCCUAGUCGGGAAGUGGUUUCGGGACCACAAAACCGAGACACAGAAAAAUAAUUAAAUGUCAUAUUCCAUGUUUAUUGUGUGUGCACAUGCAUAUAUGAAGGUUUUAUGCUUUAAUUUUGACAAUUGAAUAUGAAAUUGUAAAUAGGACUUAUGUGUGAAAAAUGUGAAAGAUGAUGGGUAAUUUUUAAAAGUGGUUUAUAAUAAAGGUACUAAAAGGAAUGGUUUUGCAUGUCAAAUUGCCCAUUUUAUUGUUGGUGGCCGGCCAUGUUGCUAGUUAAUAAAUAAUAUAUAUAUUUUCUACUAUCAAUAUGUUAAUUAAAUGGAUUUUAUUUAUUGAAUAAUAAUAAAAGAGUAAAGAGAACAUGGGUGAUAAAAACAAAGUGUUCAUCUUUGUUUCUUGAAGAACCGAAUGUGAAAGAAGUUUAGGGGAGGAACAUCAUUCGGUCAUCCUAGUCUUAAUUAAGGUAAGAAGUUUUGGUUAAUUCUUGAAAUUUUAGUUAAAUUCUAGUAAAUUACUAAGUUCCUUAUUAGACCCAUGUUAAAUUUUUGAUAUUUGGUGAAUGAAUAUGGUUUUCGGUCAUGGUAAAUAAUAAAGAAUGUGGUUGUUGUUCUUGUUAACUUGGAUGAAUUUUGGUGGAUAGGUGUUUGAAUCAAACAAAUGAUCAUGUGUGUACACUAGAUGCUAAGUGAGAAGAAUCGGUCAUUAUAUUAGAGGCCAUUGCCGAAUAUGAACUUAGUUAUUGUGAGUGAUGAGUGUGUUUUGAGUUGAUGAAAAAAAAAUGCUUAAAAAUGUGUUAUAAGCAAAUUAUAUGCUAAGCUAAGGUUGUUAAAUUAUCAAUUUUUCUUCCUUGCCGAAUAUGUGUUUAUAAAGAUGAGUGGUGUUGAACGUUUUAAAUAAUUUAGAUGAUUAUUAAUCUAGGAAUAAGCUAGGUAAUAUUAAUUGAUUGUGACUUAAUUGUUUUAUAGCAAGUGCCGAUUAUGGAAAUUUCAAAAUUCGGUCUUAGAUCUUAAUGUAUAUUUUUUUAUUCCAUUAAGUUGAAUUGGAAAGUUGUUACAUGCAAAGAAGAUGAUUAGGACUUAUAUAGACAAUCGGCAUUAGCUAAGGAGUGAGAAUGUUGAUUGGUAAUGUAUAUGUAAAUGAGUAAUGUUAUACACAUAUGAUCUAUUUGGUAAUAAUCGCAUUGGCUACACUAGUGUAUAAGAAAACGAAGUAAACUAUGUGAGUUUUGCUUAUGUAUGCGAAACUAGUAUAAGAUGAAUGAUCGGUUACUAAGGUUAUAAAAUCAUUUUGAGUUGAGUUAUAAGUGACUAUCGUGGCUUGAUGAGUUCUUACCAUUUUUAGUUACAAAUAAGUAUGAAGUUUGAACCAUGGCAUAAUUAUAAAUAUUAAUACAUAUUGAAAUUGUUAUGUGAUUGCCGAAUGUGAAUUAUGAGUAAACAAUAUGGGUUAAGAUAUUAAACAAAUCUAUUUGUAUUUAUUAAGCUAAAGAGCAAGGAGGAUCGAAGUCGGAUAGGGGAAAAGAGAAGGCAAUAGAGUAGCCAAUCUACUACCGUUUCAAUAUAUCGAGGUAAGUUUUUAAGUAGGCUCUUCUAGUAUACAUAAUUAAAGAUGCCUAUAACAAUAUGGUAAAUGAAUCGAAAUUUUUGGUUGGCACUUGAAUAAAAUUGUUCAUUAAUUAAUGUGGGUAUGCGAUUCAUAGUGAGGAUCAUUUGGAGUUAAGCUGUAAUGGUGUUAUGAACAUGUGAAUUUGAGUAUAACUUUGGAGUUGAAAUGUGAAUGAUGAUAUGUAUAUUGAUAGAAUCUAUCCGGACUAAAGGUCCGCAGGCUAUGAGCUGGAAAAAAAUAUAACCGGGUUAAGUCCCGAAGGAAUUCGUGCGGGUUAUUAUAACCGGGUUAAGUCCCGAAGGCAUUCGUGCGGGUUAUUAUAACCGGGUUAAGUCCCGAAGGCAUUUGUGCUGGUUGUUACAUCCGAGCCAAAUUCCGAAGGUAUUUAUGUUUGGAAAGGUACGACUCUGUCGUAAUAAUUCCGAUUAAUGUGCUCAUAAUCCCUAAUAUGACCAUGUAUGGAUCGUAUAUACAUUGGAAAAAAAAAUUGGUACAGUGUCAGUUGUGAUUACGAAAUCGAAUAAUGCUCUUCCAGCCAUUUCUUAGGAUUAUAUGAAGUCUAUAGCUCACUCGAGCUACAUGAAAUUGAAUCAAAUGAAAUUUAGUUAAGUUUGACUUCGAAUGUAUAAACCUAUUGAUAAAAGUGUAAAUUAAAACGAAUACGUGAUCUUGUGCAUAGGCAUUUAUUUAUCCUUAUGAAUGCUAUUUCUUUUGUGUUUUUGUUUCAAAUGAGUUCCUUACUUAUAAACUUACUAAGCAUCGAAAUGCUUACUCUGUUGCUUAAAUUCUCUGUAUUAUAGAUUUUGUUCGUCAGCUAUCGGACUCGGAGGUGUCAAAGUCGAAGUCAUCCACACUAUCUAAGCCACUUUUUGGUACUCUUCAGUUGAACUUGAUAAUGGCAUGUAUAGGGCUGACCCUUGUUGUUAAUUAAGUAUCCUUUGGUAAUGUAUAUUCGUAUAGCCAUGCGAAAAUGGCUUGUAUAUUUUGAGUAUAACAUUAUGAUCAUUUUGUAUAUAUGGUCUUAUGAUAUGGUUAUUAAGUAGUGUGGAAAUGCUUGGUAAUGAUUAGCCAUUGGAAUGGCCAAUCAUGGUCCUAUUGGUGCUACGUAUGUCAUGGCUAAUCAUGAUUAUACUUGGAAAUAAUGUAUGUCAAAUUACUAGUUGAUUCAUGGAAAACUAUGAAAUAGGUAAAAUUUACCUUAAAAUAGAUGCUGACAGCAGCAGUGAUGUGAAUUUGAAAAAUCACUAAAAAUAGUAGAAAUGGAAUUAAAUAAUGAAUAAAUUAUGUAAUCGAAUCUUGAUGAUUCUAUUUUCAUAUGAAAGAAAAGAAACGACCAUAUGAGCCGUAUUUUAUGAGAUGUUUAAGUUUUCGUGAAAAAGGGCCAGAGCGAUUUCUGGAUCCCCUGUUCUGACUUUAGAAAUUCACCAUAAAUUAACCAGAGAUAAUUAGAAGUCAUGCUUUAUAUGUACAGAUUCCAUUUUGAGUCUAGUUUCAUUAGAAACAAACGACAUAAGUAUUGAGGCCCUGUACAGGGAGAUAUCUAAGUCGUAAUGCAUGAAGGUCAGAGUAGUCGAACCCUGAAACAGGGGAGACUUUAACUAAUAAACUGUACCAAUUGACCCAACCAAAAAUUCUAGAAAAAAUUUAGUAAAUAUAUGUAUGAGUCUAAUUUCAGGAAAAAUUUACGGAAUUGAAUUUCGAGUUUCGGAACUCGAGAUAUGAUUUUUAGAGUGACUGUAAUGCAGUUAGCCAGCUCGUCUGGAAAUUUUAAAAAUGAAUUGUAUGAGCUGUUUAAGUAAGGAGUUAAGUCCGUUAGCACCUCGUGUUCGACUCCAGUAACGGUAUUGGGUACGGGGUGUUACAUUUAAUUGGUAUCAGAGCUACGGUUUAGUCGAUUCUAGGACUACCGUAAUACGUAGGGGAAUAGCUAUACAUGCCAUUAUGUGUUUAUCUGAUAGUGUGGUGAUUUCUGACAGUUAAAAAUGUGUUUAUUUAUAGUAAUGGAUCCUGAUCCCAACCGAGCGGUAGCUGAUGAUGUUGAGUGUAACACCCCGAACCCGAAACCGACACCAGAGUCGAACACGAGGUGUUAACUGACCUUAACCCCUUAUAAAAUUUAUUUUCCAGACACUGCCCAAUCUGUGUACUAGUCGUUUUAAAAAUCAUAUCUUGAGUUUCGUAACUCGAAAAUCAGUUUCGUAAUUUUUCCAAAAAACUAGACUCAUGUGCCAAUCUAUGUAUUUUUUUCUAGAAUUUUUGGUCGGGCCAAUUAGUACAGUUUAUUAGUCAAAGUCUCCCAAGUUGCAGGGGUCGACUACACUGACCUUUGCCCAUUACGACUUGGAUAUCUCCCUGCACGGGGCUUCAAUACUGAUGCCGUUUGUUUCUAUGAAAACUAGACUCAGAGAGGAAUCCGUAAAUAUAUGGUACGAGCCCUAAUUAUCUCUGGUUAAUUUAUAAUGAAUUUCCAAAGUCGGAGCAGGGAAUCCAGAAACCGUUCUUGCCCUGUCCCACAAAAAUCUGAUUAUCUCUUAAUAUACUGCCCAUAUGAUCUUUUCGUUACUUCCUCAUGAAAACAGACUCAUCGAGCUUCGAUUACAUAAUUUAUUCAUCAAUUAAUUCCACUCCUACUAUUUUUAGUGAUUUUUCAAUCUCAUGACACUGCUGCUGCCAGCAUCUGUUACGAAAGUAACUAGGUCCAUUUCAUGCCUACCCUUGAUCCAACUCAAUCGAACAUUCGUGCCAUUUUCGCAUGGCUUAAAGUUUACAUGCCAAAGUUCAAACACAACGUAAUAGCUUAUACAUGCCAAAAUGUUCUUCUAAGCCAACUAAGAAGAAAGUACCAAAACUUGCUAUCCGGUGUGAUGACUUCGAUGACGGCCUGACCCCGCAAAAAUAGAUGAGUCCAAGCAACCUAUAAUGGGUGACAAGGAAACACCGAGUGAGUUUAUAACUUAGUAAGUCAUAAGCAAUGCACUACCAUCCAUCAAUAACAUUAUCACAAGAGGAAACAAAAUGGAACGAGACAAUUUACUCCAUCCAUACCGAACCAUACCAUAGUUCCUCCAACCUAUCGAUUCAAUUUCAUAUCAAUUCAUGCAUUCACAUUCCAUAUACUCAUCAAUAGGACAUUGAAGCAUUUUCAUAAAUCAAUUUAUUUUCGUUACAAUCAAACGACUAAACGGCCUUUCACCCAUCCUACGAUAAAUUUUAUGUACGUGACUCCAAGUAUAUUUGUCACAUAGGUUCAAACUUACCGAGCUCAAUACCAAGUAUAAGCAUAGCACCUAUUAGCCAUGUACUCAAGACACUUACCCGAUCCGCUGUCCGCGAUCGACUCAAUAGUGUCGCACACAUAGUGUCCAUAAUGAUUCACGAAUGUAUAUUGAGUCCGCACACUCAGUGCUAUAUAAUCAACUCGCACACUUAGUGCUACGUAAUCAAAUCGCACACUUAGUGCUACAUAGUCAAACUCGCACACUUAGUGCCGCAUGGUCAAUUCGCACACUUAGUGCAUCAUAUUCAUUUCGCACACUUAGUGCAACAUAGUCAAAUCACACACUUAGUGCUGUACAAUUUAAUCCCGCGCACUUAGCGCCAAUCUCAUGGUCAUAAAUGGUUAUACCCGCACGUUUAGUGCCGAGAUCAACAACUCAGUACAUCUUACCUCUUUUCUUUUCAUUCAACAAUUUCAUCAUCACAUACGUACAUGCAUAUAUAUAUAUUUAUUCAUUCCAUUCAGCAUCAAUACAUAAACAUUAUGACCAUUUGAAAUAAUACCAACUACAUGCUUAAUGACUUACCUUGUGUUGGGUAAGACGAUUCCAACUCGGCUACUCGGUGAUCUUUUCUUUGCCUUUGCUCUUGAGCUUAAUUAAACAAAUAAAUUGAUUUAAUCAUUUGAGCAUCGAAAAGAGGAACAUAAGGCACUUAGCCCAUAUUUAUACAUUAGACUUUAAAGUCACAUACAUGUGAAAUCAUGCAUCAACUCAACAUAUUAACCCACACUCCCCUUUAGCCGAUUGUCCUUACCAAGAUAUAGGCAUCAAUAUGUUUGCCUCUAACCGAAUUCAUGCAACGCCAAUCCAUCUCAUGUGGCCGAAUAUGCAUGUCUACUUUGAGGCCAAAUUAUAUUCUUAGUACCACAUAUAAAUGACAUACAUUUUACUAACUAAUGCAUUACAUAUUAUAACUCAAUAUGUAUCCAUCAUUUAGUCCAUAACUAAACCACCACCAUAUAUAAACAUAUACUUUGGGGUGAUAUAUAUAUAUAUAUAUGUAUCAUACCAAUACAUCAUGUGCAUAUAUAUAUACAAGAGCCGAAUCACAAGGCUAAUUAUAGCCAUCUCAUAUAUUUUCAUCCCAUACCCGAAUGCACAAGUACAUUAUAAUAGCUUCCAACUUAAUUCAUCAUAAAUUUCCCCCUUUUUUUAUCUUCAUGGCCGAAUGCUCCUUCUACUCUCACAAAGCAUGCAUUUCAUCAUCCAACUUACAAGCUUACAAUCUCAUGAAGUUUAACCUCAUGGUACCUAUCAAACUCUCACUCAUUAGCUUCUAUCAUAAACCUCCAACAACACCAAAUAAACAUAUACUUUGGGGGUCUAUGGUAGAACCAAGAAAGGAACUCAUAGAUAUCGAGAUGUGAGCAACUACCAUUAUUCAUCUAAGUUUAGCAUGAAACACAAUCAUCACCCUUAUUAAUCUUUUAUAGCCGAAAACCAUACUCACUCCAAAAUCGAAAUUUCAACAUGGUUUACAAAAAUCACUUGAUAACUCACUCAAUAUCAACUAAAAUUUCAAAAGCUAGUACAAACUUUCUUACCUUAAUAGUGACCUAAGAUGACCGAUUGCUUCACUCCCUUCUUCUUCCUUUCAAUUCGGCCAAGAAGAACAAAAAAAAAAACACAACUUAUUUUUCUUUCUUCCUUAGAACAUUCGGCCAAGGGGACAUGAAGAAAGAUGGACACUUUUUUUUUUGUUUUUCCUUCUUACUUUCACGGCAAUGGGGAGGGGAAGAAACAAUUACACACAUCCUUUCCUUUUUCCAUUUCUUUAUUCCCCAUACUUCUUAUUAUAUUUUAUCCUACAUACCUCACUAGGCCAACAUGUUCCCAACAUGUUUCCACCCAUAGCAUGGCCGGCCACUACAUAUUAGGGAGGGGGAAUUUGACAUGCAAGUCCCCUUUUUCUUCCACAUGCACUAAUAGGUCCUCAUGCAUUGACCUAUCACAUUUUAAAAUUUUCUCAUAUAAGUCCUAUUGACUAAAUUCACAUGCAAUCGACUAAAUCGAAGCUUGAAAUUUUCCACAUUCAUGAUUACAUAUUCUAGACAAUAAACAUCACAUUCAAACCUUUCGGUGACUCGGUUUAGCGGUCCCGAAACCACUUCCCGACUAGGGUCAAUUUUGGGCUGUCACAACUCUCCCCCACUUAAGAAAUUUUCGUCCCCGAAAAUCUUACCGGUAAAUAGGUUUGGGUAUCGUUCUUUCAUCGAGCUCUCGGUUUCCCAAGUAGCUUCCUCGAUCCCGUGUUUUAGCCAUAACACCUUUACUAACGGAACCCUUUUGUUUCGCAACCCCUUCACUUCACGAGCUAGGAUACGCAUCAGCUCUUCUUCAUAACUCAUAUCAGCCUGAAUUUCAACCUCCGACGGACUAAUUAUGUGCGAAGGAUCAGAUCUAUAGCGCCGAAGCAUCGAAACAUGAAAGACGUCGUGAAUCUUUUCAAGUUCAGGGGGCAAAAUCAAUCUAUAUGCAACCGGCCCCACUCGUUCGGAAAUUUCGUACGGCCCAAUGAAUCUCGGGCUCAACUUGCCUUUACGGCCAAAUCUGAGUACGUUCUUCCAAGGUGACACUUUAAGAAACACUUUAUCUCCCACCUGAUAUUCAAUGUCUUUUCGUUUUAAAUCCGCAUACGAUUUUUGACGAUCUGCGGCUACCUUCAGACUUUCGCGGAUUACCUUUACUUUUUGUUCGGCAUCUUUAAUCAAAUCAACUCCGAAAAUUUUACUUUCACCAAGCUCGGUCCAAAACAAUGGCGUACGGCAUUUACGACCGUACAAAGCCUCAUAAGGUGCCAUCUUAAUACUUGAUUGAAAACUAUUGUUGUAAGCGAAUUCAAUCAAAGGUAGAUACCGUUCCCAUGAACUACUGAACUCGAGGAUGCAACAUCUCAACAUAUCCUCAAGUAUCUGAAUUAUCCGCUCGGAUUGACCAUCGGUUUGGGGGUGAAAAGCGGCGCUAAAAUGCAGCUUGGUACCCAAAGCUUCUUGCAAUUUCUUCCAAAAUCGUGAGGUGAAUCUCGGAUCUCUAUCCGACACGAUAGAAAUAGGUACUCCAUGUAAUCUCACAAUCUGAGAGACAUACAAUUCGGCUAGUUUAUCCAAUGAAAGAUCCGUACGCACGGGGAUAAAGUGAGCCGACUUAGUCAGCCUAUCAACAACAACCCAAAUCGCAUCCUUCUUACUUGCGGACAAUGGCAGUCCGGACACAAAGUCCAUUGUGACUCGGUCCCAUUUCCACUCGGGUAUCAUGAUCGGCUGAAGUAACCCUGAAGGCACUUGAUCUUCCGCUUUCACUUGUUGACAUAUUAAACAUCUCGAAACAAAGUCGGAGAUGUCUCGUUUCAUACCAUGCCACCAAAACUGACGUUUCAAGUCGUUGUACAUUUUCGUGCUCCCCGGGUGAAUUGACAUUCGGCUACAAUGGGCUUCGUUCAGAAUCAUCGAAAUGAGUUCCGAAUUCCUUGGAACACACAAACGACUUCUAAACCUCAAACAACCGUCAUCAUCAAUCUGAAACUCCGAUUCCUUAUUCGGAACACACUCAGCUCGUUUUGCAACCAAUUCAUCAUCGACUUUCUGAGCUUCACGAAUUUGAUGAGUCAAUAAUGGUUUGGCUUUUAAUUCAGCUACUAACACAUUGUCAGGUAGAACAGACAAGUGUACAUUCAUCGCUCGCAAAGCAAACAGUGAUUUCCGGCUUAAGGCGUCCGCAACCACAUUAGCCUUUCCCGGGUGGUAAUCAAUGACAAGCUCGUAAUCUUUCAACAACUCAAGCCAACGUCUUUGUCGCAUAUUCAAGUCUCGUUGAGUCAUCAAAUAUUUGAGACUUUUGUGAUCCGAAAACACAUGGCACUUCUCACCAAACAAAUAAUGUCGCCAUAUUUUCAAUGCAAACACAAUGGCGGCUAGUUCGAGAUCAUGGGUCGGAUAAUUUCUCUCGUGUGGCUUCAAUUGUCUCGACGCAUAGGCCACAACUCGACCUUCUUGCAUCAAUAUGCAACCCAACCCAAGUAGGGAUGCGUCACUAUAAAUGACAAACUCUUUACCCGAUUCGGGUUGCACCAAAAUUGGAGCUUCAGUCAAAUGAGUUUUCAGUUGAUCGAAGCUUUUCUGACAUUUCUCCGUCCAUUCGAACUUAACAUCCUUUUGAAGUAACUUCGUCAAUUGUGUGGCUAUCAUCGAGAAACCUUUGACAAAUCGUCGGUAAUAACCGGCGAGUCCUAGAAAGCUCUGGACUUCGGUAACAUUUCUCGGAGGCUUCCAGUUAAGUAUGGCUGAAAUUUUGCUCGGGUCAACUCGAAUACCCGAUGCGGAUACCACAUGACCCAAGAAGCUAACCUCUCUUAACCAGAACUCACACUUACUGAACUUAGCAUAUAACUGCUUAUCCCGCAAAAUUUGUAACACCAGUCUCAGGUGCUCAGCAUGUUCGGUCUCAUCUCUUGAAUAGACCAAGAUGUCAUCAAUGAACACAACUACGAUCCCAUCCAAAUAUGGUCUGAAGAUCCGAUUCAUCAAAUCCAUAAAUACCGCAGGGCAUUAGUGAGCCCCAAACGGCAUCACUAAGAACUCGUAGUGACCAUAUCUCGUCCUGAAGGCAGUUUUGGGUAUGUCCGAUUCUCGAAUUCGCAACUGAUAAUAGCCCGAUCUCAAAUCUAUUUUUGAGAACUCUGUGGCUCCCUUCAGUUGGUCGAACAAAUCAUCGAUGCGCGGCAACGGAUAUUUGUUCUUUAUCGUCACUUUAUUCAGUUGACGAUAGUCAAUGCACAACCUCAUGGUUCCGUCCUUCCUUUUUACGAACAAUACUGGUGCACCCCAAGGUGAGAAACUCGGUCGAGCGAAACCUCUAUCUGUCAAUUCUUGCAACUGAGCUUUCAACUCUUUUAACUCGGUUAGUGCCAUACGAUACGGAGCGAUCGAAAUUGGCGUAGUUCCAGGUACAAGCUCAAUACCAAACUCUACCUCCCGAACAGGUGGCAAACCCGGUAACUCUUCAGGAAAAACAUCCGGGUAUUCACAAACCAUCAGCACCGAUUCGGGUUUCUUUUCUAACUCCUUGUCAUCAAGUACAUACGCGAGGCAUGCUUCGCACCCUUUCCUUACAUAUUUCUGGGCCAACAUUGCUGAUAUUACAGCUGGCAACCCCCUUAAGUCCGCAGACUCAACUCGGAUUAUUUCGUUAUUUGCGCACCUCAAAUCGAUAGUCUUGCUUUUGCAAUUCACAACCGCAUCAUGCGCGGUUAACCAAUCCAAACCAAGAAUAACAUCAAACUCGUCGAACGGCAAAAGCAUCAAAUCAGCCGGAAAACAGGAUUCUCGGAUUAUUAGAGGGCAUCUCUUACACACUUUAUCAACAAGUACGCAUUGACCCAAAGGGUUUGAUACUCGAAUUACGAGCUCAGUAGACUCAACAGGUAGAGUCUUACUGGUUGCUAAGGUUUCGCAUACAUAUGAAUGAGUAGAACCAGGGUCAAUCAAUGCAAUCACAUUAGUAUCAAAGAGAGUGAAGGUACCAGUGAUGACGUCGGGGGAGGAUGCCUCCUCUCAUGCGCGAAUGGCAUAUGCUCUAGCAGGAGUACGGUUCUCGGCUCGAUCGGCCGUAUCAGAGCCCCCCCCUCUGACUACCACCCCUGCCUCCUAAAAUUCUCGGUGGUCUACCUCUAGAUGUCACUCCACUAGGUCUUGCACCUUGAAUCUUAUUCUUCUCAUCCAGCUCCGUGCAAUCUCUAAUGAAGUGGUCCUUCGAACCGCAUCCGUAACAGGCCCUGCUAGUAGACUUGCCCCAACAUUCACCUAGGUGUCGUCUUCCACAUUGGGGACAUUCAGGUUUCUCGUGACGAUUAUUGCCCACACUAGCUACCGAAGUAGCUCGGGAGCCCAUCGAUGGUCUUGUCCUGAUGGAAAUUCCCGCAGUCGCCCUCGACUUAUUAAUGUCCUCCCUGAACUUCUUUACAGCUGAGAACGGAGCUUUACCCGUCGAUCUUUUACGAUAAUCUCUAGCUUCAAAUUCAGCCUUCCUCUUCUCCUUUCCAAGUUCUUCCGCCUUGCAGGCUCGUUCGACUAGUGUUACGAAUUCUUUUAUUUCCAAAAUACCCAUUAGUAGCUUUAAAUCUUCAUUCAAUCCUUCCUCGAAUCUUUUGCACAUAGCAACCUUGUCAGCUACACACUCCCGGGCAUACCUACUGAGUCUUACGAAUUCAUGUUCGUAUUCAGAUACAGUCAUACGGCCUUGCUUGAGUUCCAAGAACUCCUUACGCUUCUGAUCAAUGAACCGUUGGCUAAUAAAUUUCUUUCGGAAUUCCGUUUGAAAGAAGUCCCAAGUUACUCGCUCGUUCGGGACUAUGGAAAUCAAGGUCCUCCACCAAUAGUAGGUUGAGUCUCGCAACAAAGAUACAGCACCUUUUUAGACAUUCGCCGGGUGUGCAUGACAAUUCAUCGAACACCCGAAUGGUGUUAUCAAGCCAGAACUCGGCCCUUUCGGCAUCAUCAGUUACUAUGGCCUUGAACUCCUCGGCCCCACGCUUCCUAAUCAAGUCUACAGGUGGCUUACUCAGCCUCACAGGAUCAGCGACUGGUGGCAUUACAGGCUCUUGGGGUGGAUUAUUCAAAUUUGGGAAUUGUUGGACAGCCGGGUUGGUUCGGGCAUAUUGCGCGACCCACUCAUUCAUCAUGGUAAAGAAGGCUUGUUUAGCCCCCUCACCUUGAUUAUUCGCAGAUGACUGAGGUUCAACAGGCGGCGUCCCUUGUGCAGGAGCAGCCGCUACGCUCUCAACGUCAUCCGCUAGGGUUCUUUCUUCACCGGGGUCCAUUUACAAAUCAAAACAAAAACAUUUCAACCGUCAGAAGUCAUCACACAUUUAAACAUUAACAUUCGACAUGUAUAGCUAGACUCAUACGCGCUAUGGUAGUCCUAGAACCGACUAAACCAUAGCUCUGAUACCAAUCAAAUGUAACACCCCGAACCCGAAACCGACACCAGAGUCGAACACGAGGUGUUAACUGACCUUAACCCCUUAUAAAAUUUAUUUUCCAGACACUGCCCAAUCUGUGUACUAGUCGUUUUAAAAAUCAUAUCUUGAGUUUCGUAACUCGAAAAUCAGUUUCGUAAUUUUUCCCAGAAACUAGACUCAUGUGCCCAUCUAUGUAUUUUUUUCUAGAAUUUUUGGUCGGGCCAAUUAGUACAGUUUAUUAGUCAAAGUCUCCCAAGUUGCAGGGGUCGACUACACUGACCUUUGUCCAUUACGACUUGGAUAUCUCCCUGCACGGGGCUUCAAUACUGAUGCCGUUUGUUUCUAUGAAAACUAGACUCAGAGAGGAAUCUGUACAUAUAUGGUACGACCCCUAAUUAUCUCUGGUUAAUUUAUAAUGAAUUUCCAAAGUCGGAGCAGGGAAUCCAGAAACCGUUCUGGCCCUGUCCCACAAAAAUCUGAUUAUCUCUUAAUAUACUGCCCAUAUGAUCUUUUCGUUACUUCCUCAUGAAAACAGACUCAUUGAGCUUCGAUUACAUAAUUUAUUCAUCAAUUAAUUCCACUCCUACUAUUUUUAGUGAUUUUUCAAUCUCAUGACACUGCUGCUGCCAGCAUCUGUUACGAAAGUAACUAGGUCCAUUUCAUGCCUACCCUUGAUCCAACUCAAUCGAACAUUCGUGCCAUUUUCGCAUGGCUUAAAGUUUACAUGCCAAAGUUCAAACACAACGUAAUAGCUUAUACAUGCCAAAAUGUUCUUCUAAGCCAACUAAGAAGAAAGUACCAAAACUUGCUAUCCGGUGUGAUGACUUCGAUGACGGCCUGACCCCGCAAAAAUAGAUGAGUCCAAGCAACCUAUAAUGGGUGACAAGGAAACACCGAGUGAGUUUAUAACUUAGUAAGUCAUAAGCAAUGCACUACCAUCCAUCAAUAACAUUAUCACAAGAGGAAACAAAAUGGAACGAGACAAUUUACUCCAUCCAUACCGAACCAUACCAUAGUUCCUCCAACCUAUCGAUUCAAUUUCAUAUCAAUUCAUGCAUUCACAUUCCAUAUACUCAUCAAUAGGACAUUGAAGCAUUUUCAUAAAUCAAUUUAUUUUCGUUACAAUCAAAUGACUAAACGGCCUUUCACCCAUCCUACGAUAAAUUUUAUGUACGUGACUCCAAGUAUAUUUGUCACAUAGGUUCAAACUUACCGAGCUCAAUACCAAGUAUAAGCAUAGCACCUAUUAGCCAUGUACUCAAGACACUUACCCGAUCCGCUGUCCGCGAUCGACUCAAUAGUGUCGCACACAUAGUGUCCAUAAUGAUUCACGAAUGUAUAUUGAGUCCGCACACUCAGUGCUAUAUAAUCAACUCGCACACUUAGUGCUACGUAAUCAAAUCGCACACUUAGUGCUACAUAGUCAAACUCGCACACUUAGUGCCGCAUGGUCAAUUCGCACACUUAGUGCAUCAUAUUCAUUUCGCACACUUAGUGCAACAUAGUCAAAUCGCACACUUAGUGCUGUACAAUUUAAUCCCGCGCACUUAGCGCCAAUCUCAUGGUCAUAAAUGGUUAUACCCGCACGUUUAGUGCCGAGAUCAACAACUCAGUACAUCUUACCUCUUUUCUUUUCAUUCAACAAUUUCAUCAUCACAUAUGUACAUGCAUAUAUAUAUUUAUUCAUUCCAUUCAGCAUCAAUACAUAAACAUUAUGACCAUUUGAAAUAAUACCAACUACAUGCUUAAUGACUUACCUUGUGUUGGGUAAGACGAUUCCAACUCGGCUACUCGGUGAUCUUUUCUUUGCCUUUGCUCUUGAGCUUAAUUAAACAAAUAAAUUGAUUUAAUCAUUUGAGCAUCGAAAAGAGGAACAUAAGGCACUUAGCCCAUAUUUAUACAUUAGACUUUAAAGUCACAUACAUGUGAAAUCAUGCAUCAACUCAACAUAUUAACCCACACUCCCCUUUAGCCGAUUGUCCUUACCAAGAUAUAGGCAUCAAUAUGUUUGCCUCUAACCGAAUUCAUGCAACGCCAAUCCAUCUCAUGUGGCCGAAUAUGCAUGUCUACUUUGAGGCCAAAUUAUAUUCUUAGUACCACAUAUAAAUGACAUACAUUUUACUAACUAAUGCAUUACAUAUUAUAACUCAAUAUGUAUCCAUCAUUUAGUCCAUAACUAAACCACCACCAUAUAUAAACAUAUACUUUGGGGUGAUAUAUAUAUAUAUAUAUGUAUCAUACCAAUACAUCAUGUGCAUAUAUAUAUACAAGAGCCGAAUCACAAGGCUAAUUAUAGCCAUCUCAUAUAUUUUCAUCCCAUACCCGAAUGCACAAGUACAUUAUAAUAGCUUCCAACUUAAUUCAUCAUAAAUUUCCCCCUUUUUUUAUCUUCAUGGCCGAAUGCUCCUUCUACUCUCACAAAGCAUGCAUUUCAUCAUCCAACUUACAAGCUUACAAUCUCAUGAAGUUUAACCUCAUGGUACCUAUCAAACUCUCACUCAUUAGCUUCUAUCAUAAACCUCCAACAACACCAAAUAAACAUAUACUUUGGGGGUCUAUGGUAGAACCAAGAAAGGAACUCAUAGAUAUCGAGAUGUGAGCAACUACCAUUAUUCAUCUAAGUUUAGCAUGAAACACAAUCAUCACCCUUAUUAAUCUUUUAUAGCCGAAAACCAUACUCACUCCAAAAUCGAAAUUUCAACAUGGUUUACAAAAAUCACUUGAUAACUCACUCAAUAUCAACUAAAAUUUCAAAAGCUAGUACAAACUUUCUUACCUUAAUAGUGACCUAAGAUGACCGAUUGCUUCACUCCCUUCUUCUUCCUUUCAAUUCGGCCAAGAAGAACAAAAAAAAAACACAACUUAUUUUUCUUUCUUCCUUAGAACAUUCGGCCAAGGGGACAUGAAGAAAGAUGGACACUUUUUUUUUUGUUUUUCCUUCUUACUUUCACGGCAAUGGGGAGGGGAAGAAACAAUUACACACAUCCUUUCCUUUUUCCAUUUCUUUAUUCCCCAUACUUCUUAUUAUAUUUUAUCCUACAUACCUCACUAGGCCAACAUGUUCCCAACAUGUUUCCACCCAUAGCAUGGCCGGCCACUACAUAUUAGGGAGGGGGAAUUUGACAUGCAAGUCCCCUUUUUCUUCCACAUGCACUAAUAGGUCCUCAUGCAUUGACCUAUCACAUUUUAAAAUUUUCUCAUAUAAGUCCUAUUGACUAAAUUCACAUGCAAUCGACUAAAUCGAAGCUUGAAAUUUUCCACAUUCAUGAUUACAUAUUCUAGACAAUAAACAUCACAUUCAAACCUUUCGGUGACUCGGUUUAGCGGUCCCGAAACCACUUCCCGACUAGGGUCAAUUUUGGGCUGUCACAUUGAGAGUGUAGCGCCUGCUCUCGCACAUGGGACGGCGCCGGUGGACUCUCAACCUAUUGCUAGUAAUCAGAAUGAUGAAGCUAGGCAGGCUUUUUAUAGCGCGAUGAAUGAUUGGUUCAAUCAAGUAUUAAGAUGGCAUCUUACGAGGCUUUGUACGGUCGUAAAUGCCGUACACCAUUAUUUUGGACCGAGCUCAGUGAAAGUAGAAUUUUUGGAGUUGAUUUGAUUAAAGAUGCUUGGAAGAAAGUAAAAAUAAUUCGUGAAAGUCUGAAGGCAGCAUCAGAUCGUCAGAAGUCGUACGCGGAUUUAAAACGAAGAGAUAUUGAGUAUCAGGUGGGAGACAAAGUGUUUCUUAAAGUUUCACCUUGGAAAAAGAUACUCAGAUUUGGCCGUAAGGGCAAAUUGAGUCCGAGGUUCAUAGGGCCUAUGAAAUAUUCGAACGAGUUGGUCCAGUGGCAUAUAGAUUGAUUUUACCCCCUGAUCUCGAAAAGAUUCACAACAUUUUUCAUGUUUUGAUGCUUCAACGUUACAGAUAUGAUCCUUCGCACAUAAUUAAUCCCUCAAAGGUUGAAAUUCAAUCCGAUAUGAGUUAUGAAGAAGAACCAAUUCGCAUCCUAGCUCGUGAGGUGAAAGAGUUACGAAACAAAAAAGUUCCUUUAGUAAAAGUGUUAUGGCUCAAGCACGGGAUGGAAGAAGCUACUUGGGAACCCGAGAACUCUAUGAUAGAACGAUAUCCUAACUUGUUCACUGGUAAGAUUUUCGGGGAUGAAAAUUUCUUAUGUGGGGGGGAGUUGUGACAGCCCUAUUUUGACCCUAGUCGGGAAGUGGUUUCGGGACCACAAAACCAAGACACAGAAAAAUAAUUAAAUGUCAUAUUCCAUGUUUAUUGUGUGUGCACAUGCAUAUAUAAAGGUUUUAUGCUUUAAUUUUGACAAUUGAAUAUGAAAUUGUAAAUAGGACUUAUGUGUGAAAAAUGUGAAAGAUGAUGGGUAAUUUUUAAAAGUGGUUUAUAAUAAAGGUACUAAAAGGAAUGGUUUUGCAUGUCAAAUUGCCCAUUUUAUUGUUGGUGGCUGGCCAUGUUGCUAGUUAAUAAAUAAUAUAUAUUUUCUAUUAUCAAUAUGUUAAUUAAAUGGCUUUUAUUUAUUGAAUAAUAAUAAAAGAAUAAAGAGAACAUGGGUGAUAAAAACAAAGUGUUCAUCUUUGUUUCUUGAAGAACCGAAUGUGAAAGAAGUUUAGGGGAGGAACAUCAUUCGGUCAUCCUAGUCUUAAUUAAGGUAAGAAGUUUUGGUUAAUUCUUGAAAUUUUAGUUAAAUUCUAGUAAAUUACUAAGUUCCUUAUUAGACCCAUGUUAAAUUUUUGAUAUUUGGUGAAUGAAUAUGGUUUUCGGUCAUGGUAAAUAAUAAAGAAUGUGGUUGUUGUUCUUGUUAACUUGGAUGAAUUUUGGUGGAUAGGUGUUUGAAUCAAACAAAUGAUCAUGUGUGUACACUAGAUGCUAAGUGAGAAGAAUCAGUCAUUAUAUUAGAGGCCAUUGCCGAAUAUGAACUUAGUUAUUGUGAGUGAUGAGUGUGUUUUGAGUUGAUGAAAAAAAAAUGCUUAAAAAUGUGUUAUAAGCAAAUUAUAUGCUAAGCUAAGGUUGUUAAAUUAUCAAUUUUUCUUCCUUGCCGAAUAUGUGUUUAUAAAGAUGAGUGGUGUUGAACGUUUUAAAUAAUUUAGAUGAUUAUUAAUCUAGGAAUAAGCUAGGUAAUAUUAAUUGAUUGUGACUUAAUUGUUUUAUAGCAAGUGCCGAUUAUGGAAAUUUCAAAAUUCGGUCUUAGAUCUUAAUGUAUAUUUUUUUUAUUCCAUUAAGUUGAAUUGGAAAGUUGUUACAUGCAAAGAAGAUGAUUAGGACUUAUAUAGACAAUCGGCAUUAGCUAAGGAGUGAGAAUGUUGAUUGGUAAUGUAUAUGUAAAUGAGUAAUGUUAUACACAUAUGAUCUAUUUGGUAAUAAUCGCAUUGGCUACACUAGUGUAUAAGAAAACGAAGUAAACUAUGUGAGUUUUGCUUAUGUAUGCGAAACUAGUAUAAGAUGAAUGAUCGGUUACUAAGGUUAUAAAAUCAUUUUGAGUUGAGUUAUAAGUGACUAUCGUGGCUUGAUGAGUUCUUACCAUUUUCAGUUACAAAUAAGUAUGAAGUUUGAACCAUGGCAUAAUUAUAAAUAUUAAUACAUAUUGAAAUUGUUAUGUGAUUGCCGAAUGUGAAUUAUGAGUAAACAAUAUGGGUUAAGAUAUUAAACAAAUCUAUUUGUAUUUAUUAAGCUAAAGAGCAAGGAGGAUCGAAGUCGGAUAGGGGAAAAGAGAAGGCAAUAGAGUAGCCAAUCUACUACCGUUUCAAUAAACCGAGGUAAGUUUUUAAGUAGGCUCUUCUAGUAUACAUAAUUAAAGAUGCCUAUAACAAUAUGGUAAAUGAAUCGAAAUUUUUGGUUGGCACUUGAAUAAAAUUGUUCAUUAAUUAAUGUGGGUAUGCGAUUCAUAGUGAGGAUCAUUUGGAUUUAAGCUGUAAUGGUGUUAUGAACAUGUGAAUUUGAGUAUAACUUUGGAGUUGAAAUGUGAAUGAUGAUAUGUAUAUUGAUAGAAUCUAUCCAGACUAAAGGUCCGCAGGCUAUGAGCUAGAAAAAAAUAUAACCGGGUUAAGUCCCGAAGGCAUUCGUGCGGGUUAUUAUAACCGGGUUAAGUCCCGAAGGCAUUCAUGCGGGUUAUUAUAAUCGGGUUAAGUCCCGAAGGCAUUUGUGCUGGUUGUUACAUCCGAGCCAAAUUCCGAAGGUAUUUAUGUUUGGAAAGGUACGACUCUGUCGUAAUAAUUCCGAUUAAUGUGCUCAUAAUCCCUAAUAUGACCAUGUAUGGAUCGUAUAUACAUUGGGAAAAAAAAAUUGGUACAGUGUCAGUUGUGAUUACGAAAUCGAAUAAUGCUCUUCCGACCAUUUCUUAGGAUUAUAUGAAGUCUAUAGCUCACUCGAGCUACAUGAAAUUGAAUCAAAUGAAAUUUAGUUAAGUUUGACUUCGAAUGUAUAAACCUAUUGAUAAAAGUGUAAAUUAAAACGAAUACGUGAUCUUGUGCAUAGGCAUUUAUUUAUCCUUAUGAAUGCUAUUUCUUUUGUGUUUUUGUUUCAAAUGAGUUCCUUACUUAUAAACUUACUAAGCAUCGAAACGCUUACUCUGUUGCUUAAAUUCUCUGUAUUAUAGAUUUUGUUCGUCAGCUAUCGGACUCGGAGGUGUCAAAGUCGAAGUCAUCCACACUAUCUAAGCCACUUUUUGGUACUCUUCAGUUGAACUUGAUAAUGGCAUGUAUAGGGCUGACCCUUGUUGUUAAUUAAGUAUCCUUUGGUAAUGUAUAUUCGUAUAGCCAUGCGAAAAUGGCUUGUAUAUUUUGAGUAUAACAUUAUGAUCAUUUUGUAUAUAUGGUCUUAUGAUAUGGUUAUUAAGUGGUGUGGAAAUGCUUGGUAAUGAUUAGCCAUUGGAAUGUCCAAUCAUGGUCCUAUUGGUGCUACGUAUGUCAGGGCUAAUCGUGAUUAUACUUGGAAAUAAUGUAUGUCAAAUUACUAGUUGAUUCAUGGAAAACUAUGAAAUAGGUAAAAUUUACCUUAAAAUAGAUGCUGACAGCAGCAGUGAUGUGAAUUUGAAAAAUCACUAAAAAUAGUAGAAAUGGAAUUAAAUAAUGAAUGAAUUAUGUAAUCGAAUUUUGAUGAGUCUAUUUUCAUAUGAAAGAAACGAAACAACCAUAUGAGCCGUAUUUUAUGAGAUGUUUAAGUUUUCGUGAAAAAGGGUCAGAGCGAUUUCUGGAUCCCCUGUUCUGACUUUGGAAAUUCACCAUAAAUUAACCAGAGAUAAUUAUAAGUCAUGCUUUAUAUGUACAGAUUUCGUUUUGAGUCUAGUUUCAUUAUAAACAAACGGCAUAAGUAUUGAAGCCUUGUACAGGGAGAUAUCUAAGUUGUAAUGCAUGAAGGGCAGAGUAGUCGAACCCUGAAAUAGGGGAGGCUUUAACUAAUAAACUGUACUAAUUGGACCGACCAAAAAUUCUAGAAAAAAUUUAGUAAAUAUAUGUAUGAGUAUAAUUUCAGGAAAAAUUUACGGAAUUGGAUUUCGAGUUUUGGAACUCGAGAUAUGAUUUUUAGAGUGACUGUGAUGUAGUUAGCCAGCUCGUCUGGAAAUUUUAAAAAUGAAUUGUAUGAGCUGUUUAAGUAAGGAGUUAAGUCCGUUAGCACCUCGUGUUCGACUCCGGCAACGGUCUCGGGUACGGGGUCUUACAGGGGAUUAUCGAGUGAAAGUAUGAUUAAUUAAUUGUUUUGUAAGGGGUUUCUUAAUGGAUCAGCUAUUCAGGAGAGGAAGAACCUAAACCCUAGGCCUAACAAUCCUAGAAAGGCAUUAAUGUGGGAAUUAACCCAAAUUUGGUAUGACCUAUCUGUGAACAUCUUAACCUUGAACCGGUUUGGACUAUGAAAUUGCAAUGCCAAAGCCAAUUUACCAAGAAAUUUAAAAUUCUAGAGCAUGUCACGACAUCGAACCCCGACGUCGCGAUAACAAAAACCUAUCAAGGAUGUCGUGACACAGAACCUCUGUGUCGUAACAUCGCUGUAAUUUUCUGCAAGGUUGACCCAAUCCAUUUGCACAACCCGACAAAUGAAUCCCCAUUAUACCAAUUUUUAACCUUAAAAUCAUUAUUUUAAAACUUAAAAAUACCCUAAACUCACACUCUAACUUAUUCUUAACAUUCUAAACACCUAAAAACUCUCUCAAAUCCAGGAUUGCCACUUUACAACUUUUCUUUGUUAUUAGUUAAAUGCAGGAUUGCCACAAUUAGUGGGAAAUAAAGCCCUAAAGGAGCAACCAUAAACGAAUAUUACAAGGAAUUCUUAAUUUUUACUGUUCCAUUGGAAACUUUGCUUGCUAGUUCAUUAGUUUUUGAAUUUAAACAAUAUGCAAAAUGACUCCACGAAAAGUUAGAAGAACUAAUGAACCAUAACCUUCAACGGUUUUGAACCCUUCUAAUUUUUCGAAUCCAAACAUUGAAUUUUUUUUGUAGAACUACAAGGAAAAACGUUUUAGAGAGUUUUUUCCACCAAAAAAAAUACGGCUGCUAGACCUAGGUUCCUUUUCCUUUUCAUGGUUAAUAUUGGUAACACUCUCUCACCUUAAGAUUUUUAUGAUUCCCUUUUAUUUUAAUAUCCAUAUUAAAACCAGAAUCACCCCUUCUUGGUGCCAAAAAAUAUAUGGAAAAUAUCAUGUAAUAUCCUUUUCAAAAAGAUAUUAAUUUCCAUAUAUUUUAUGUUUGACUGAAAUUAUUAUAACACUUUAUUUUAAUAAUUUCGGUAAAUAAUACAUAACUGAUAUUUUAUAUGAAUCAAAUUCAUACAUUUAUUUUAACUAUGUUCUCUAUUAUUGUAUAAUGAAUUUGUACAUAUACUGUGUUUAUUAUUUAACUAUCAAAUUAAAUUAAUUCAAUAAUUAAUAUAAUUCUCGUGACAGUUAAAUUUAAUACCAACUGUGUUUAGAUUCUAUUCGUUUAAACCAUAGGGUGUGACCUUGUAGGCUCUUGUAACAUUGGUAGUAAUACUACAACACUUCAAACGUUACAAGGAAUGAAUGGCAUCUAGCAAUGCAUCAUCGCUACCCAAGUUACAAGAAGUUGUGGUUCGACAUAACCUUUCUGUGAUAAAUGUUCAUAUAUUAUAUCAUUUUGUCCUUUAUAUCUUGAUUGGACACAAGUCAUGGAAUAGCCACACUUGCAAAGUCCAAUUUCAUGUUACUUGAUACCCAAAGUAAACUACAUUAAACAAAUAAGUGUAAUAUCUCAUAUUAACUUAUUUGAGCAUGGUCAUGCAUUUCUAGUCUCACUUCAUCAAGUGGCCUAAGAUAUUGCUCCCAUUAUGUAGGAGGGACAAAUCCUAUCUUGAUCAAUCAUAUCCUACUACAUAGAUUGUGGCAUACCUAACAUCAGUCUUUAUAGUACAACUUAUUACAAUAGACGUUUGACUGUAUCAAAAUAUACGGCUCACUACAUUGGGACAAGAAUGAUAUCAAGUUUAAGAAUCGUAUACAUAGUUAUCACUAUGAGUAAUGUUGUUACUAUUAUAUAAUAAUCCAAGAAACAUAGUAAUAUUGUUACUAUUAUAUAAAAAUCCAAGAAACAUACUCAUAGCAGGUCAGUCCAAUAUGUUGUUCUAUAACAUAUACUCAUGUAUUGAUUUUGACAUCCCUAUGUCAAUGACAACACUUUGUCAUCAAUCAACUACAUAUUAGUCUUGAUGCAUUAUUGUUGUACAAGCCCACAAUAAUACUUGACUAAGGACAUUUUAAGAAUAAUCAUAUUACUCACGGGGCAUUAUUAUAAAUCAGUUUUUUUUACACACACUGAAAGUGAAACUGAAAUAACAAUGGCAAUGUUUUUUUAUUAAUAAACAAGGUAGAAUAAAUAUGUGAUUACAAUCAUCUCAUGAUUGGUCUUUGGGCAUAAUCUAACACUCAUCGAUAUAAUAGAAGCAAAUUGGCACACAGGUCCUUAUCAAAUCGUAGACAAAGUAAACCUGAACUCUUCUUAUCCUAUGAGAUGUCAACUAUAUCUCAUUUUGCCCAAAAAGUUAAUAGGGCAUUCAUUACUCAAUUCAUUAUCAUUCAAUAUCUUAAUUUACAUCAAUUCUUAUUGUAAAUUCACUUAUUCAAACAUAUGGCAAUAUCAAUUAUCUCAACAUGUAUUCAAUUUCAUAUUUAUAUAGAAUACACAAAUUUUCACAUAUAUUCAAUUUAGUCCUCAAGAACAUCAGUCAUUUCGAAUCAAUCCAAAUACAUUUCAUUAUCACAAAUUGACUCACCUUAUAUUCUUACCAUGCACACAUAGUUCAAAAUGCAGCAAUUUACAAAUAGUUCGAUUUAUAGAAACACAAACCGUAAACUCCAAGCUAUUCGUCGAUGACUUUGUCUUUUCCAUUCUUUUUCGAGAAAUCCGAGUUCACGUUAGCUAGAAAAUAAAGAAAACAUAUAAAAUUAUCAAUAGAAAACCAUUUUCACAUUAAAUUAAUCAGUUAUACAACUUUUACAUUUUAUUCAAUUUAGUCCCUAAAACAUGGGCUAACAUGAUUUUCAAAUUUAACCUCCAAUUUUUUUUGUAGAUUUCACUCUAGGCCUAAUUUAACUUCCUAAUUCUCAUUUUUACCAAAAAUUUCAAAAUUUGUGCAAUUUAGUCCACAUUGCACAAAAUCAUCAAUUGACUUUACAAGUUAGUCCUUUUUUAGUACUAAGCUUAAAAUCUAUCAAAUUGGUCCCUAAAACUUCAACUAUUUAACAAUGGUGGCAUCCUCAAAUUUUAACAGUACUAAAAAAAUACAACAUGGGUUAGCUAGCUUGAGUUCUCGAGAUUUUGAAAAUAUAAAAAUUACAAGAAAAUGGACUAAAUUGACUAACCAAUUAAAGCUUGAAGCUUAAAGAACCCUAGGCUGAUGUUUUUCUCUUCUCUACCUAGCUCAAUUCGAUUUGAUGAAAGAUGGAAAUAAACUUUCUAUUUCAAUCCACUAAUGUAUUAUUUCUUAUGAUAAAAUUUUAUGAUAAUGUUUUUAUAACAUAAUUAUCAAAUUACAAGUUUAACCUUAAAUACAUCCAAUUCUUAUUACAACCAUCCGUUAACCUCACUUAAGUAGUAUAAUUUUUAUAUAAGGCCCUCACACUAAAUUCUAAUUAUAGAUUCUUUAAGAAUUAAACUUUUAAUGAUUUUAUGAUUUAGUCCCUGCACCGUAGUUAAACACUAAUUCGAUAAAAUUAGCUGACUGAAAUUCAAUUCACUUUUAAUAUAACUCCAUAACUAUUUAAUAAAAAUAUUUACAGUUCUAAUUUAGAUAAUCAGGGAUCCAAAACCAUAAUUUCCAACACUACUAACUUUCGAGUCGUCACAAUCACCCCUUUAAGAAAUUUCGUCCCCAAAAUUUACCUUAAAAGAGGUGGGAAUAUUGGGAUCUCAUCGUCUGUUCCAAUUCGUAAUUUUCUUUCUCAACACUAUGGCUACGCUACAAACUCUCACAAGUGAAACACAUUUAUUUCAUAAUUCUUUCACCUCGUAAGCUAAAAUUUAGACCAGUUCUUGCUCGUAUGACAAGUCUAGUUGAAUUUUGAAUUCUUUCACAGAGAUAAUGUGAGAAGGAUCCAAUCAUUAUCUCAUGAGUAUCGACACGUGAAAAACAUAUUGUAUUUUCUGUAACUUUACCUGUAAUGCCAACCAAUACACAAUUGGUCCAACCCUUACAGUGAUUUCAUACGGUCUGAUAAAUCAAGGGUUCAACUUUCCCUUUCGACCAAAUUGUAGAACUUCCUUCCACGGUGAAUUCUUUAAAAACACAUUAUCACCCACAACAAACUCAAUAUAUUGAUGUUUCAGGUGAACAUAUGAUUUCUUUCUAUUAAAUGCUUUUUUCAAUCUAUUUUGAUCACCUUAGCUAUAUCUUCUGUUUCCUGAAUCAAUUUUGGCCCACUUUCACACAAAUCCGACCAACAAACAGGUGUUCUAGACCUACGAUCAUUUAAUGCUUUAUACAGUGCCAUUUGAUUGCUUGACUGGAAGCUGUUAUUGUACAUAAAUUCAGCCAAAGGUAAAUAACAUUCCCAGCCCGAUUCAAAAUCAAUUAUGCAGGCUUGAAGCAUAUCUUCUAAAAUCUGAAUAACAUGCUCCGAUUGUCCAUUCGUUUGCUGGUGAAAGGCAAUACUGAAGUUUAGGGUGAAAGGAAAUACUGAAGUUUAAUCUCGUACUUAAAGAUUUGUGCAACUGUUUCCAUAAUCUCAAAGUAAACUGGGGAUCUCGAUUAGAGAUAGUCGACAUAGGUACGCCGUGCAAUCUAACAAUUUCUCGAAUGUAUACCUCAACUGGCUUUAGAAGUGACAAAUCGUUUCUAACUGCAAUAAAAUAGGUUGAUUUCAUAAAUCGAUCAACUAUAACUCAAACAAUAUUUCUUUUGCUUGGAGACAAUGGUAAACCUGUUACGAAAUCUAUCGUUAUGCGCUCCCAUUACCAUUCAGGAAUCGAGAUGGGCUGAAGAAGUUCAAUUGAAACUUGAUGUUUAACUCACUGACAAGUCAAACAUUUAGCAAUGAACUUGACUAUCUCUGUUUUCAUUCGGGGCCAUCAAUACAAUUCCAGUAAAUUGCGAUACAUUUUCGUUCCAUCCGGGUGUAUAGAAAAAGGGCUAUCGUGAGCUUUGCAAAGCAUUAUCUCUUUCAAUUCAGUAACAUCUAGAACAAAAAUUUGAUUAGGAAACCUAAAACAACCACUAUCAUCAAUGCUAGAGUUUUCUAUCUUACCACGUUGAACCAUUUCUCUUUUUGCUGACAACUUGGCAUUAACAAGCCGUGCCUUUCUGAUUUGUUCAAACAACACCAUCUUGAUUUUCAAUUCAACCAAAAAACUGCCAUUGCUACUAAUAUUAUAUUGAGCGAACAUUGCCCGCAACUCAACUGUUGGCUUUUUGCUCAACGCGUUAACUAUGACGUUAGCUUUACCAGAGUGGUAAUCAAUAACACAAUCAUAAUCUUUCAAAAGUUCAAUCCAGUGACACUAUGUAAAAUUAAACUCUUUUUAGGUUAGGAGGUAUUUAAGACUUUUGUGAUCAGCAUAAAUAUGAUACUUUUCACCAUAUAGAUAGUGGCCCCAAAUCUUUAGAGUAAAAACCACAAUGGUUAACUCUAAAUUAUGCAUCAGAUAGUUGCGUCCAUGCAUUUUUCGCUAGUGGGAAGUAUACGUGAUAGCACUAGAAAGAACAUAGGUUUCCCCCUCCUUAUUGGUUAAAUUGUUCCCAUUUAGUUUAUUAAAUUGCAUUUUAUAACUCAGUGAAUCCUAGCCUAUUUUAUCCUUAAUUUUACUAUCUUAUGGCAUUAAUGUCACUACAUGAAUUAAUUCUGAAUUGCAUCCAAAAUUGUCGCCGCACUUGAAAAAUGUCUACAUGUCGCUGCAUGGGUUAAUUUUAGAUUGUGUUCAAAAUUGUUGUCGCACCUGACAGCUAUUCGGAUAAUAACCAAAAUUAUGUGAGUUGUCCAGUUUAGUAUAACCAACAUGUAUGAACAAGGACAAUAUAAUUUUAGGGAAAAGACACCUGUACUGUAGGGGAGGACAUAAAAGGUGGACAUGAGAAGAAAAAGGGGCCGUCUUGAGUGGUUUUUCUCCAUCAUCAUCUUCAUCAUCCGACCUUGUAGCUUGUGGCCAUGGUAGCUUAAACCUCUCAGGGUGAGCCAACGUGAAAACUAGAUGCAGAGUAGCUCCUAUCGAGGAGACAUAAGUAUGCGACAAGAGGGAAUAGAGAGAUUCAGUCGAGUUGUCUAGGGAUAGUAUUCUCCAUUCGAGUCUUUUUUAUUUCUUUCUAAAUGGUAGUGAUUACUUUCUAAUUUCUGGUUGUAUGGAAGUACUGAUGAAUUCUUGGUGAAAUGUUAUCUUAUUUAAUCUUGCCUUUAUUGUUAAAUCAUGGGGUUUGAAUAUUUUGUUUACAUGGAAGUGUUAUUGCAUUCACUGACACUAGAAAGUACAGUUCUAGACAUUUGAUCCAUGUGUGCGCACAUUUCCCCACUGCAAGCCAUUUGUGCAAGUAGAUAGGACCUGGCUAUACGGAAAAUAUACAUAGAUCAUACUUCUUACAGUUGCUUAAGAUAGGAACAAGAUCGUGCUUCCGAUAGCGUUUGCCAUCAUAGAUAAGGAAAGCAUGGAAUCAUGGAAAUUCUUCCAUACAAAUCUACGGAGGUAUGUUAUUAGUAACGAUAAUAUUUGCAUCAUCUCCGAUAGAGGGAAAGGAUUAAUUACCACCUUUAGGCGUUUCGGUGUGCCAUGGAGAUCCGUUUACUGCAUCUAGCACAUCGCAGCCAACUUCCAUCGAGAUGAUAAGAAUGCAGACUGGCGGAGGCAAGUUGUAAGAAUGGGUAAAGGAUAACCUUAUCUUUUCAAUAUAUGUUUUAAUGUUUUAGGGCGAUAUUGUAACUUAUCUUUUCUUAAUACAUACAUAGCGCAUGAGCUAGAGCUACACAUUUUUUGGCAAAGGAUGACUCGACUUGAGAGUGACAUGGAGGGUCAAAUGAACACAUCUUUCUGACAAUGGUUAGGUACUAUGGGGCCAUGGCAAUGGGCUUAAAGUUUCGACGAGGGCUUUCACUAUGGUCAUAUGACCACUAGUUUGGCGAAGGGGGUUAACUCCGUGUUGAUGAAAACAUAACAUCUUUCGAUUUCAUCUAUCUUCUUGGCUACAUUAUACAGGUUGGCUACUUUGAUACCAAGAAUGGGGCAAGGUCAACCAGAUGGAGGUGGGACACGUGUUUGUCGAAGAUGUCAGGAAUGCAAUGGUUGUAAACCGGUGGAUGGCGAGGUCGAUGAGUGUAGAAGUAUAUUCACGAUGUAAUGAAACAUUUUGAGUCACAGAGGCCAUCGGUCGUCAACCCGAUAUACCACCUAGGUUCUACAGAGUUGAUCUCUGAAACAGACGAUGCGAUUGCAGGAGGUUCCAGGCACUUUAUUAUCUCUAUGCACAUGUCAUGAUAGCUUGUGCUAAAGUCUCGUUCAAUGUUGAACAAUUUAUCGAUGAAGCGUAAACCCUUGAGCGCACGUUGCGUGUACAGGAGAACAAGUUCCCCGUGCUGCUUGCCCUAUCUACCUAGGAGGUGCCUCCGACGACUUUCGAGCCCUAUUAAUUACAUUCACUACAUGUAGAGAGGAUUGAAUCUAAAAUUAAUAGGGCAAUUAAUUGCAUUCACUCCGAUUAUUGUAAUUAAUAGCCCUAUUAAUUACAUUCACUACAUAUUGCAAGAAAUUGAGAUGUAAUUAAUAGGUCAUAAUCGAAGUAAAUGCCCGUUCCGAAACUACCAUAUUGGACAAUCGUCGUGAUAGGGUAGGAAUUGAGAUGUUGUUCAAGCCCUAUUAAUUACAUUCACUACAUGUAGAGAGGAUUGAAUCUAAAAUUUGUCUAAAAUUUAUUGCAAUUAAUCUAAUUUGAAUUACAAAGUUAGUCUAAAGUUUGUUACGUUUAUAUUUUUGUUUAAUUAAAUAACGCAUUUUAAUGUAAAUUAUACAAACUUUAUUAUUUAAAUUGCAAAAACCCCUAAAAUUAAUAAUUGAAAUGGUAAAAAAGUCAUUACAUAAAUAUAAAGUUGACUAUUUAAAUUGAAAAAACCCGCUAAAAUUAAUAACUAAAAUGGAAAAAAGUCAUUACAUAAAUAUAAAGUUAUUUAAAUUACAAAACCCCCUAAAAUUGAUGAUUUGAUGGUGUGGUCCUAGGGGUAUAUUUUUGUAGAGCUCAACAUUCACGUUGCGGGUGAUUGCGACAAUCAACGUUCUCUUCACUCGUAUGUAGGGGUGUGUGAAACAUAGAUGAAAAAUCAUAUGUCUCAAAUGCCAUCAAUGAACUUGAGCCAGGAGGAGUGGAGUACGGCGGUGGAUUUGAGCCGAGAUGACUAGAGUACUGAGAUGGGAGUGGGCUGAAGAUAUCAAAAUCUGAAUGAUAUCUGUGGCUUGACGAGCCCGAAAAAUAGUCAUCACCCCCAAAUCUGGAUGAUAAGAAUUAUCCCCAGAGUGUAGCUUUGGCUAUGCCUUUGGCUUAGGUGUAUGAUAUGGAUGUGGAAGGCGUUGCCCAAGUCGUGUCAUGUGCAAGGGGACUACUAUCAACCGCCCACCUAACAAAAAUGGUUUCCCUAUCUUAAGGUACCACUGUAUGUAUUAUAAAGAGGGCUACAGGUCUAAAGCAUGAUCCAUCUGAGGUAUCCUCUCCAACCGGUUGUUCCACAUUGCAAUAUAUUCUUCAUGCACUUCCGCCUAAUCAUUUCCAUGUUUCCCCUUCUUGUUAAUCCCAUAGGUCUCCCCCAAUCGUACUAGUAGUGUCGGGAUAUACUAUAUGCAGCCGAACUACCGGAGUACUCGACCGCCAUGAUACCGCUCCACUAUCUGGAAAAUGAUAACGGGUGUGUUAAUACACCAUAGGUUUGAGUGGACAUAGGCAAAUGAAGGAAUAGCUACCAUAAUUUUUGGAACAAAAUAUGACAUCCAAAUGAACUGCACAGUUAAUAACGUGAGUCGAGUGAGAUAAAAUAAUAAAAUAAAGUUGAUAUUAGAAAAACUUACCCCUUCUCCAGCAUGAUUCUCGAUCAUCAGAUUGUAUAUCGAAACUGUGUAUGACCUCCCGAUACCCGGAUUAGUGCUCCAUCUACGAAAACAAAUUGUUAGAAUAAUAUAAUUCGAAAAAAAGUUAACUAAUUGUUAUAAUGAGUAAAAAUUUGUCACCUAUUAACGAGUGGAAAUACAUAUGAUUGGUGACUAAUGGAUGCCAAGAAUGACAUCCGGUAAAACGCCUACGACUACAGCAAUAUUAGGCAUCUUUCUAUGUCUACCACAGAUGGAUCUGUAGUCCAACAAAGUUCGCGAUACAACAUGGCUAAAACUGCAGACCCCUAAUUGUACGAAUGAGUGUUAUGCAAAUUAGAUAAUAAGGGUAAGUACAUCAAGUAGACUUUAUUUUCAUUUGCAUCCGGCAUGAGUACACACCCUAUAAGGUGCAUAAUGUAAGCUCGAAAGGCGUGCAUCACCUUCCAUUCACUGGCAGUACUCGACAAAUGCUCGAAAUUGGCCUUUAGCCAUGAAAACUUUAAACUCAUAAAUUUUCCCUCAUUAGGAGAGCGUCCAAGUAAGUCAUAGCAAAGGGAAGCCGGCCUAGAGAUCGAACUUAAACCCGUGACCGCAUUCCCGUCGAUGGGGAGCCCGAGCUACAGUGCAACAUCCUGUAGAGUGAUGGUGCACUCUCCGCAUGGCAAAUGAAAUGUGUGGGUCUUCGGACGCCAUUACUGGACUAAAGCGGAAAUUAAGUCGUAUCGCAGAUCAAAGGUCCAGAUCAGUGCCGAUGAUCCGAAUCCGGCUAACUCCAAGUAUGAUAUUAGGUGUUCAUUUGGCAGAAACCCUACACUAUUAACAUGGCCCCUCAAUGCGCGGUAAGGGCCCUGAUAUUAUUAAAUUAGAAAAAUAGUUAAUCUAAUUUAAUUCCGCAAAUAACGUGAGUAUCAAAUAACAAUUUCAUUACCAUCUCAUUAAUAGUAUUUGAUAUGUGAUUAUCAUUAUUAAUCAAAAAAUCCAUUUGUUGCAAAUCUGCAAUUAAAAAAAUAAAUUUAUUUAAUUUGUUGCAAAAAAUACAAUAAAUAAUUUAGAAUUUGAGAAACAAAAAAACAUAGUAAAUAUCACAUAAUUUCCCAUAAUUUACCUACAAUAAAAAAAUGAUGUUAGUUUACAAUAAUAAUAUAAUUAAAAUAAAUAUAAACUAUCUAAACAUAAAAAAUAUACGAAUAAAAAAAUAAAAAUAGAAAUAGAAACAUACCUAUUUAGUUUCUUUCAAACAACUUAUAAAAUCAUAUAACAACAAAUUUAAUUAACAUUUUAAUAAAUCAAUAAAAAUUGUUAAAUAAAUAAAAGUCAAAUAAAAUUACAUUAUAAAAAAAUUACAUUAAAAAAAUCACAAAAUGCUAAACUAAACACCAACAAUUUAUAUAACCUAAUAAUAAAUUACUAACAAUAUAACUAUAAAAUUACUUUUUAAAUAAAUUACAUUACUAAACACUCACAAAACCUUAAACUAAACACUAACAAUUUAUAACCUAAUCAUAAAUAACUAGAAAAAUAACUAUAAAAUUAUUUUUUAAAAAUUUACAUUACUAAAAAAUCACAAAACACUAAACUAAACACUAACAAUUUAUAAUCUAAUCAUAAAUUACUAGCAAAAUAACUAUAAAAUUAUUUUUUUAAAUUUACAUUAAUAAAAAAUCAGAAAACACUAAACUAAACAUUAACAAUUUAUAACCUAAUCAUAAAUUACUAAUAAAAUAACUAUAAUUUUUUUUUCAAAAUUUACAUUACUAAAAACUCACAGGACACAAAACACUAAAAAAUUAUAACCUAAUCAUAAAUUACUAACAAAAUAAUUACCAAAAUAAUUUUACAAUAAUAAAGAAUCAAAAAAAUACUAAACUAAACACAACAAUUUAUAACAUAAUCCUAAAUUACAAACAAAAUAAUUAUAAAAGAAAACCAAAAAAAUUACAUUCAUAAAAAAAUAUUAAACCAAAACCAUAUACACUAAACAUAAAUAAUUUAUAGAUAAUAAUUUAUAGAUAAAAAUCCAGUCCAGGUGGCGUUACACGCACGGGUAUUUUCAACCCGUAUUUUGACCCGGUGACCGUAUUUUGACUCGGUAUAUAUAUUUUAAAAAAAUAAAAAAAAUAAAAUAUAUAUUUUUUAGAAGACAAAAAAAAUAUUAGAAAAAAUAGGUGGUGCAACCUAUGAGAAAGACACCACCUAAAAAAAAUAUCUUGGUAAUUAAUCCCAGUGACAACCCAUUUCAGAAUUUAAUUUUUUUAUAUUAUUUAUGUAAAUUAGCCUAAAAACAACACAAAAAAAAUGAAAAUUUUUCUAUUUUAUCACCAUCUUUUAACAUUCGAAGAGUGAUGAUAAAUUUAAUGGUGUAAAUUGCGCAUCUCAUGUCAACCUUUCGCUUUGUACAUCUUACUUUAUUUGUGAUAUGGUUUUAUUUGAUUAUUUGUUUAUGUAUUUUAAAAGAUUUGAGUGUAAUUUUCAAGAUUAUAUAUUAGACAAAAGAUAGGAUAAAUAAAAAUUUUAAGAGUCUUUUGUAAUUUAUUUAUUUUAUUUAAAAAGAUAAUGAUUUUAAAGAAAUUAAAAGUCAAGUAAAAACUUUUUUAAAGACCUUCAAUAUUAUAAGUUUCUUUAUAAGUAAAAAGGUCAAAUUUCCAAAAUAAUACAGGUAGUAGUCAGGUUGUUGAGCCAAUUAUACUUUUCAUUGCGCCAAAACAAUACCUUCUCGUACCAUGAAAUGACACUUUUCCUAGUUGAGUACUAGGUUUGUUUCUUCACUCUGCCUUAGAACCUUGGCUAGAUUUGCUAAGCAAUCAUCGUAAGUGUCUCCAAACACUGAAAAAUCAUCCAUAAAAACUUUCAAAAACUUUUCCACCAUGUUAGUAAAAAUAGUCAUCAUACAUCUCUGAAAUGUAGCAGCUGCAUUAGAUAAACCAAAUGGCAUGCGUUUAAAUGCGAAUGUAUCGUACAGGCAUGUGAACGUUGUGUUGUGUUGGUCCUCUAGUGCUACUGUGAUUUGAUUGUAUCCUUAAUACCUGUCGAGAAAAUAGUAAUAAUCUCGCUUCGCAAGUCUAUCCAGCAUCUGGUCCAAGAACGACGAAGGAAAAUUAUCUUACCUAGUCGCUUUUUUCAACUUUCAAUAAUCUAUGCAAAUUUUCCAUCCCGUAACCGUUCUGGUCGGUAUUAACUCGUUAUUUUCGUUCGUAAUAAUUGUAAUACCUCCUUUCUUUGGCACGCAUUGGACCGAACUUACCCAUGAACAAUUUGAGAUGGGAUAAAUUAUGCCUACAUUUAACUACUUGAUGAUUUCUUUCUUUACCAAGUCCUUCAUAAUGGGUUCAAUCUCCUUUGUCCAUCAAUCGUCCCUUUCUCGUCAUCUUCUAAGAUGAUUUUGUGCACGCAUACAGAUGGAAUAAUACUACAGAUAUCGGUUAUGAUCCAUCCGAUAGCCUUCUUGAAUUGUUUCAAUUCUGAAAUAACUUUCUCUUCCUGCUCUUUAGUUAACUCUGCUAAAAUAAUCAUAGGCAAAGUUGAAGCGAUACAUAAAUAAACAUAUUUUAAGUACAAGAGAAGUACCUUUAGUUCCAAUUUAGGUGACUCCUCGAUCGACGCUUUUGGUUAAACAUAAUCUCUACUUUCUAAUUCCAAAGAUUCAAAACGAGAUUGCAGAUUAAAUCCCUUCUGGUUAGCUUCUAGCAAAGCUAUGUAUUCCUCCCCCUCUUUAUCAUUUGGAGGGUCUGACAUCAAAAGUUGUUGCAAUGGGUCCUCAACAGAGUUGAGUUUCCAUUUUACACCUAAAUUCUUUAACUCAAAUACUAUAGAACACUCGUCUAUUGCAUCAGGAAAUCAAAUAGAUUUAAAAACAUUGAACGUUACUUGAUCAUCCUGUACACGCAUGGUGAGCUUGCCCUUUUGCACAUCAAUAAGGGUCCUUCCAGUUGCUAGGAAAGGCCUUCCUAUGAUUAUUGAGGAAAGGCCUUCCUAGGAUUAUUGACACCAUUUUAUCUACUUCAAAGUCAAAGAUAACAAAGUCAGCAGGAAAAGUAAAUUUGUCUACACGUACCAAUACAUCUUCAAUUUUUUCUUCUAGAUGUGCUAAGGAUUGAUCUGCUAACUGAAAUGUGACCGUAGUUGGUCUAACUUUACCUAUCCCUAAUUUUCUGGAUACGGACAUGGGCAUUAAGUUGAUGCUCGUACCCAAAUCACAUAGUGCCUUACCACAAUAAGUUGUUCCAAUGUUGCAAGUUAUGGUAAAACAUCCAGGGUCCUUCAUCUUUGGGGGUAGUUUAUCUUGUAGAUAUGCACUACAUUCCUUCGUUAGAGCUAUCGUAUCGAAUUCUCCAAGUCUGCGCUUCUUGGAUAGGAUAUCCUUAUUGAAUUUGACGUAGUUUGGCAUCUGCUUAAGUGCUUCUACUAACAAAAUGUUCAUAUGAAGUUGCAUGAGUACGUCUAGAAAUUUCUUGAAUUGGACUUCAUGCUUCUACUUCUGAAGUCUUUGAGGGUAAGGUGGUGGAGGGUUCUAAACUUAAAUUGGGCACUUUGUCUAUUAUGGCAGUUCUACAUCUAACAAAGGUGUUAGUUUAUCAAAAUUAACUGGGUCAGAAGUUACAUUUCAGAUUUUACAAAUUCUGGUUCUAGUGAAACUAGAGUUUCAACACUUGGUUGAAUUUCCUCUUUAUCUUAAGCAUCAACUACCUUUCCCUCAACUUCUACAAUGUUGGGCUUUAAUGUCUUCCUACUCCUCAGAGUCAAUGCUUUACAAUGUUCUUUCCCUUGAUUUCUUAGAUUCUGCGUAUCACUAGGCAAAGGACCUUAUGGUCGGUUCCUGAGUUUAGUUGUGACCUGGCCCAUUUGGUUUUCCAGGUUUUUCAAUGUGGUUGCUUGGCUUUGGAUUAAGGCAUCAUUUUUCGCUAGGUAUGGCUUCAACAAGUUUUCAAAACAAUUGGAAGGUUCAGUUUGAGGUUGUUUCUGAACUUGUUAGGUAAAUACAUGUGGCUGGGUUGGUCUAGGUUGUGUAUAAGUGUUACUAGGUCCAGCCCUUUGGUUACUCCAAGAAAUUAAUAGGGUGGUUUUGCCAAGAUGAGUUAUAAAAAUUGGAUUCCAGUCCUUGCCUUCCUCGGUUCUGGUUCUUGUUACCCACGUAAAAAAUAGAUUCUAGGUUUGAUAGAUAUUCUUCAAACAAGUGCCCUUCCCCAGAAUAAACAUAGGAUACAUUUUUGAAUUGAUUUGGUGGUUGAGUUGCAAAAUUAUUAAACCUAUCAGUGGUAAAUUUUUUAAGGAUUAAGGAUAUCGAGGAUACCUAAGAUGGGAGUGAAACGAGAGCGUCCACCUCAUGUACUCCUAUGACUUGUCUUCUUGAAGUUGCUUGAUUGGUUGGCUAUUGAUAAUUGUUACUGGCAAUCCUCUUAAUAAUUUCAGAAGUUGUAACGCCCCAAUUUUCGGGAAUUCUGUGUAUGUUGGCAAAUUUAAAAUUUCUGUGUUCUGUCUGUUUAGUGUAGGUUUAAUUAUGUUAGUGGGCCUCUAGAAGGCCCAAGCUUAAGUUAAAACUCGGUAGCUUUAGUAAAUUUUAGUUUCAUAAGAAAAAGGGGUUCUGGUUAACUGGGCUUUUAAGUAUUAAUUGGGUAAAAUAAAACACAAAGAAGCAGGUGGCAGAGUGGCAUGUGACGCCACUGGGAAGGCUAUAAAAGUGGCGUGUGGAUGCUAGGGAGAACCAAGGUUCAAGUCACAAUGGGAGCAUAUUAAGGGAAUUAUUUUUAUGUUUAGAAAGGGUAAGUAAUGGAACUCAAGUAAAAGACUGUCAGGAGGAGUUUGAGUUGCUCAGGGGAUUGAGUAAGGAGGGGAUAAGGGAGAGGAUUUAGGAGCUGAUUAGGGAGAACAGUGUUGGCCGAAUGGUGGACUCUUGGGGAGCAAGAGUUGGCCGGCCAAGGGUUCUCUUUAGAGGGAAAAUUUCGGCUAGGUUAAAUGCCAAGUAUAAAUUCGGCAUUUGGGGUAAGUUGUGCCAUUUUUCUGGCCAUCCUUCCUCCUCCUCCUUUCUUUUCUUUUUCUCUCUAUCUACCUUCUCCUCUUCUUUUAUCCAUAGUUGAAUUCUUCUACCACUCUACUCUACACCACUUUCUCACUAUUAUUUUUAAGCCUUACAGCCGAAUAUCACAAAAGCCAAAAUCCCGAAAGUUCAUAUUGUCUGUGCUGAAUUCUCCUAGAAAAAACCUACUAAUAUUCUUCAUCCUUUUUGAUCAAUUCUUUCUUUUUCUGAACCCUAAACCUCUGUCGACAAAGCCACUACAAAACCCUCAUCUUUUCUUCACUGUUACAAAAAGCCGAAAACGCAUAGCCAUAGGAACAUAGCCGAAUUUUAAGAUCACUAAAGGCUCAAAUUUUGUUAUCAUUUGAGGGGUUAGAUCUGCAUCAGAAUCAAGUAAGAGUUAAUUGGAAUCAUUGACUGAAGGAACCGGUGGUAAGUUUUUGAACUUAAUCUUUAUUUCAGGUUUUUAGAAAAGCCGAAACCCCUAAAGGUUAGAGAGGCUGUCGAUUUGGGCUUGUAGCUCUAAGGGUUGUUAUAACUAUUUUAUUUUGAUAAUAGUGGGAUCUAGAGACUAUUGAUCGAAGGAUUGGACAAGUGGAACGACUGAAUCUAGACAUAAUCGCUAACUUCGGCAAAGGUAGGAUCGCUAGUGCCUAAGUUGCUUUUGGCCGAAUGUGGUAAGGGGUUAAUACGUAGUUCAAUUUCGAUAGUUAGAUUAACGUGUUAGUAAUCCAAUUGUAGGCAGUUCGUGUGUGGAUCUCGUCCGUAUAUCGUCGCAAAUAGGUGUGUAACUGACACCCUCUUAUAGACUAGAUCGACAAAAGCCGAAAAGCCAAAAUGCCAAAAUGCCGGUAUUUUGAGAACUUGCGAGUGUGCGAAUGCUCGUGAGAUUAUAAGUUUGAUGUAUAUGGUAAAUUAAAGUGAUAAGAUUGCAGAGUGAACGAUUCCGUGUGUUUCGAUGUUUUUGGGCUUAAUGGGCCAAAAUCGGGAUAGUGGGCCAACGGGCCCAAUUCGGUAAGAAAACGCGGUAAGUGUUUCUGGCUGUACGUAAAUGGCUAUGCUAUGCAUGAAAACCUUAAGAAUAGUUAAAUUACCUGAAUACCCCUAUGUAUGGAAAUUAUUGAUGUACCUUGGUGCAAAAUUACCAUUAUACCUCUAGGGUUACUUUUGACUGAAAAGCAUGACGAUCUGAUUCUGUAUGAUGUAUGCCAUGAUUGUAUAUCUGUUGCAUGGGGACAUGGGUUAUAUUAUGGAGGAAGCGUCCUGGUGGCUACACCACAAUUAUCUGAUCUGGUAGCUCUGCCACGAUUUUUUGUAUCUGGUGACUCUGUCACAUUAUCUGUUCUGGCAGCCAUGCUGCAUAUUUCUGUGGCUUGUAGCGGUUGGGUGGGUCGAGUAGUCUCCCCAUAUGGUGAAAGGUUGGUAUGGGGGUGCAUGUGGUUGGAUAUGGGUUGGGUUUUGCAUAAACAUGUAAUAUAUGUUCUGUUCUGUUAUGGACCUAUGGGCUUUAUUCUGGAUUCCAUUCUGGGCUAAGGCCAACUUAUUAUGUUUUCUGUGGUUUGAACCGAUAUAGGCUAUGGUUGGGUUAAUUUACACACUGAGUUUCCCCAAACUCACCCUUUUAUUUUCAUCCACGCGGGUAAUCCCCAACCAUAGUGGGCUUGGAGCUGUGAGGGAUUCGGAGUGGCCACACAUUCUGCAAGUUUGAUUUUCUUCUGGUGAACUGGACAUCCUUUUAUUUACGUUUAAGGUUUUGGGUUUUUUUUAAAUGUAAUAAGGCCACUUAAUUAUUUUUUUGAUGGGUUUAAUAUGUUGUAUUAAGAUAGGUAUUACUUAUAUUUAACUGUUGAAAUUAGAUAGCUUUAGGGCCCGUUUUCAAAAAACAGUAAUUGAUUUCAAAAUAACACGACAACAAGCAAAGCUUCUGCAAUGAAAAUAUUUUCCAAAAUUAAUCACUUUUCCUUAAAAGGACUUAAUCAAAUUGGUUUCCUGAAAAUAUACAUGACUUUGAGGUGUGGCAAUGGCAGUGUACAUAUCUAGGAUUGGAUCCGAAGGGAGCUUGGUACUUAAGCAGUUCGAUGGACUCACCUCCUCUUUUUCUGGUUUCCUACCUGGUGCACAGCUUCCAUUCACUUUAACCUACAAUGAAAUUAUCUUUUAAAACACUAAGUAAGUUCUUUUAGAUCAGCAAUACUAAAAUGUUUUGAACGCUUCGAUGUGGCAUGUCAGAUCCGGCCAUAACGUUUGGGCCGGGUUUGGGUUGUUACAGAAGCCUCGUUAUAAAACUUAGAAAGGAGAGCAUUGUUAGUAGAAGCGUCUACUACCAUUCUCGUGUGAGAAUUGAGACCAUUCUAGAUUGUCUCUAGUUGGAUGGAAUGUGAGAUUCCAUGAUGAGGGCACUUUUGUAACAAUUUUUUAAACCUUUCCUACGCUUCAUACAAGGACUCGUCAUCGAUUUGUUGGAAGGUAGUAAUCUCAUUCUGCAACUUAGAAUUCUUACUAGGUGGGAAAUACUUAAUAAGGAAUCUUUCUUGCUAACUCUUGCCAUGUGGUAAUGGAAUCUAGUGGGAUGAGUUCAACUAGGCUCAAGCUCUGUCCCUUAGUGAAUAUGGGAACAACUUUAAUCAUAAUGCAUCUUUGAGUACUCCUGUUAACUUAAAGGAAUCACUUACCUCCAUGAACAAUCUUACAUGAAGGUGAGGAUCUUCAAUAGGCGUUCCACUGAAUUGACCCACUACCUGAAGCAUCUGGAACAUGUCUGGCUUUAGCUUGAAUUGUUGUGCCUUGAUUUUGGAUCUCCUAAUAACCCGAUUAAGCUCAUGAAACAAUGACACGAAUACUAUCUUCAGGCUAUAUCCCUAUCAUUAGCAAUAAGGAUAGGAAUUUGAGCAUGGUUUGCUCCGUUUCCUUGAUUUUGAUUUUCAAAUUUCAUUUCUUCGGUUCUUCUUUGAACAGCUUAUCUUCUUCUUUGUUGAAAAGUCCUUUCAAUUUUAGGAUCUAUGGGAAUAAGUCAAUAAUUUGAUCAAAAAUCAUAAACACUUGAAACAAUCAUAGAAUAAUAAUUAAAUUAGAAUUAAAUAGAAAAAUAAACCAAAAUGCAAAAUUAACAAUUUCACAAAUGAUGUCUUUUAAAACAGUCCUAAGCAACGAUGCCAAAAACUUGGAACAAUGGAAAUGUGCAAGUGUACACAAUCAUAUCAAGUAAUAAAGUGAAAAGUUAAUGUCUAGUUAUUGUACUCAUAGGGACUGUGCAAGAAAAUAUAAAAUAAAACAAGUUGGUGGUGAAAACAAUGGUUGAUUUGAAGAAGUGAUCUAAAAAACUAAAAAUAAUUUAAUUAAGUAAAUAAAAAGUAAAGUAAUUCAAUGCACGAUUUCUAAAAAGAUGGGUUAAAUCAAGAUAACAUAAAUGUGUUAGAUCAAUUACAUUCUUUAACUUAAAAUUACUAAACUCAUGUUCAUGCUGUUACGAAUAAUUUCACGGCAACUUCGUAUUUUGCUAACUAAUGCACAUACAAACUUACUAAACCAAUUAAUCUCUUGAACAUAUUACUAUGUCAGUUUAAACAAUUAAUCAAUUUUCAUAAGCUUGUAUAAUAUUAAGUGAAGUAACAACAUAGUCCUAUAUUAAAACAAUUUAAUCACAAUAAUCUUGCAAGUUAUACAAGGCUAAUGUACCGUUUAAUACCAUCGCUAAUUUAACCUUCACCUACCUUAGAAGAUUAAACAUGCAUCAAUUAAAUAAUGUUUCAUUUAAUUACAAUUUCAAUACAAUUAAUAGUUAAUUCAUUUGUUACCUUACAAUUAAAAUGCAAAUAUAACAUAGGCUUGAUUUUAUUUAAUUGAAUAAAUUACCAAGGCUUAAUAACAACACAAACACGACUAUAAUAAUUUAAGAUGACAGAAUGCAAUCAAUCUAAAACGAAUUAAAUUUAAACCAUUUUAAAUAAAUCAAGAAAAAAACACAAUAAAUAUCCAUGUUCAUGAUCACAACAUAAUCAAGAAAAUUAAAGAGAAGGGAACUAGGAAGCAAAUCUAGUAUUUCUUUGAAGCUAGACUAGUGCACUCCUCUCCUUUCUCUGCUUGUUUUAUUAAUUUGAGGCCUUCACAAACACUUGAAUACAACUACUCCAAGGUGGAUGAAAACUCUUUUUCAAGAGGAAAAUCAUCAAGGGAAUGAAACAAAGGAAAAUGGGAAAGUAAGAAGGGAAUGGAAGAGAGAAAGUGAGUGAAAGAGAGAGAUGUGUAGGAAUUAAUGGUGUGAGAAAUGAGUAAGGGAAGAGAGGUAUUUGUAGGUGAGAAUGAAUGCUAAAAAUAGAAAAUAAAUUUCAGCCGCUCCUCUUCCCUUGGCUGACCAUGCAUAGUGCAAGUUUGAAUGGCUCAAACUUGCUAUUUUUAGCUUGGGGCAAAAGGUGGAAGCCAUGAAAAGUGGAGGGGGUUGAACAAAAUUUAAGAAAAAAUCAAGGGAUAUUUUGAAAUUAAUAAAAUCAAAUAAAUAAGCUGAUUGGGUCAGCUAUAAGGAUGGUUUUGGGUUGCUAAUUUGCUUGGUGGACUAUCUUCUUUACUUAGCACAACUGGGCCCCCUUUCUUCUUCAGACUUUAUAUUAAUUUUGGAUCAAAAUUAAUUAUAAAAUGUGCAUGAUAACUAUUAUUGGAUCGUCCUUUCCUAGAGAAAAUAAUUAGUCUUGCUCUUGAUCACUUGAUGCACAAAAUUGCCCUAAUGGUUCAAGCCUCUCGAGGUGUCUGCCGAGCCAAAUUUUCCCUUUUAUGCAAAACUGUUAAAAAUAAACCAAAUUUGUGAAAUUUUAUUAUAAAAUAAUUAAAAUUAAUUAUGUUAAUAAUUUAAGUGAAAAUUAAUUAUUUUAUAAUUAAAGUAUGAAUUUCGAUAGAAAUUACUAUGAAACUGUAUGAAUUAAAGCUCAAAAGGUGCUAAAAAAGUCAAUAUAUUUUUGUGUUUCCACUUUACCUCCACGGAAAGAGGCCGCACAUGAUGUUCUCAACUCCAACCAUGAUGACAAUUUUUUUUCCAACAAUCGUACGAACUUAGAUGAUGAAAAUUAGCAAGAUUUGUGUAACCUCCCAAACCCGGCCUAGACAUUAUGGUCAAAUCGGGAAGGCCACAUUGGACACCUUAGUGUCAAACUUACCCUAACGAUAGUUAAAAACCCUCAAGUACUUCUUUUUAUAAAAUCGUGGUUUCUAUUGUUAUCUUUGGAAAAGGUCCAUCUACUUAGUCCAACCCUGCUUAGGUCAAAUUAGCGAAUUAGGUGAGUCUUUGUAAAACCUUACUGAUGGUGUUGCCUUUGAAAAAUCAUUUUGUUAUCUUCUUAGCAAUAGAAAUGUACCAUUACUAGUAAAAUUAUUAAUUUAGUCACAUAUCAUGCAUAGUCCAUUUCAACAUAUUAUAAAAACCAUGUAUCUAUACCAAAGAUGCGUGUCAUGCAUGCAUGAAAAACCCCAAAAUCUUAAAUAGUCCCCAACCACAAUUUAAAGAAACUUUACAAUCCAAACUCGAAUAAUAAUAAUAAAAUAACCUAAAAAUAUAAUUAAAUUAAAAUAAUAUGACGAAGUAAAGUCCAAAGUCAACCGUACUUCCGAAUGCCAAUUCCGAUCCUAAGUUCGAUCAUUACUUGAGAAGUUAAGGUAAUGGGGUGAGCUUAACUAGCUCAGUGUGAGACUAAACGAGUAUUAAGCAUUCAUACAUGCAAUUUCAUAGAGGUACUAAAAGCACAAUCAAACAUUAAUAAUAAUAAUUUCAAAUGCACAUGAUCGUGAAAAAUGCACAAGUGAGAUCCUACCCAUACCAUCCGCUAUAGAUCAUGAGUUCCCCAGAACCCGUCUGCCAAACUCCAACGUAUAUGAGCAAUGCUCGAUGUGGUAAAACCACAAAUAAUCAAUAAUGGAGUGAAACUGCCAAAUAUAUAAUGCGAUAUAAUCGCCAAUCCUCUCGGUACUCCAAACACAGUGCACUGACUAACAAUAUAUGCGGACUUAAUAUGCCGCCAGUACUUCAUGAAACUCCUCCGUCAACCCCAAAAUCCCAUCCCAAUGCAUAUGCAAUAUGUCAUACAAAUUCAUACACAAUCACAUUUCAAUUUUAUUCGACAUGGUCAACAUGUCCUCAAUAAUCACAUACUUUCAGAAGAAGGAAACAACGUUUCAAAUUUUCAAAUUACCAUUAAGAUGGUAUUUAUCAACAUCGUUCAAUUCGCAUGCUUUACGAAUUUCAUUGUGCAUCAUUAGCAACCUCACAUAUGUAUAUAUAUCAUAGUAAAUAUUUCAUGCUUAAAACUAAUAUUUCAACAUUUCAUACCAUUCCAUCAAACAUUCUCUUACCACAUAAUAUAACUAUGCAUAACAAUCUCAGUUACACAUUCAUACAGUCAAACUAGCAAUUUGCCAACACACCAAUCUUUUAUGGCUCGAAACGUACCUAGUUCAGCCAUUCGCAAAACUAAUAUUUUGGCUACUAUGCCAAACCAAUCAGCAAGCUAAUUACCAAAUAUAACAUAAUAUUUAUCAUUACCAAACAAAUUUUACAAGUUUAGGACCCACACCUUAUUUUUUUGCUUUCUCGUAGCACCCUAGUGCAUCUUCCAAUUUUCCUUAAUAACCCUUUAUACGAUCCUAAACCAAAAUUCAGUAUAAAUAAAUCAAUUUAAAACUUAAUCAACUCCCAAUUACCCACUUAUGGGAUCAAACCAAUUUUCGGAUGAAUAACUAUUUUACAAAUUCAACUAGUUCGAUUCCUUACCUUGUCUCGAUGUGAACCGUACAUACGAUCUUUCUUUGGCUUUACGGUUGACUCGAGGCAUUUGGAUCAUCACGUAAUUCCAUAAUAUACUAAAAAAUCAGUAGCUAAUAAUUAUUCAAUUCUUUCAUUUAAUCCCAUAACAUUUACCCUACAACUAUGUCGAAGCAAUAAUUAAUUUUACACUUAACUGCAUUUACGUUUCCCUAUUUGUGAGAUUUGAAAGCCCAAAUGAUCAAGAACGUUUUUUUCCCUAAUUUACAUGGUUUUAAUAGAUGACUAGGAGGGUUAAAGAACUCAAAUUAAGGCUGAAAUUAAUUGGGCAGAAUUCAAGAAACAAAACAGCCCCUUACUCUACACAUAUGCGUACGCACCACUGCCCAUGGUGGCCGAAAUUGGGGCUAAAUUUUAAAAUGAUUUGAAACCUCAUUAAAAUAUGGAAAAAUACAUUUAAAGAAAUUUAAAAUCCCCUAAAUUUCAGAUCUGAAAAUUUAGGUUUUUAAUGGACAAGACCAAUUAAGAAAUUGAAGAGAGAAGAAACCUUACACAAGCUAGUCGAGAGAAAUGACAAUGGCACUUUCUAGGCAAUGUUUGGGAUUGAUAUUGGAGUUAAAAAUUCCAGAUUUGGGGCUUAUUUAAUUGAGGAAAAAUUGCAGCAAUAUAUUAAAGGAGAUGGUGCACAAUCUUGAUGCAAAAACAAGAAGAAGAAGAUGAGAAAAAGGGUGGUGUAGGCAACGACAACAAUGGAGGAAAAAAAGGGAAAAGAAAAAAAAGUAAAGGUAAAGAGAGGGAGAGGGGGUUAGGGACGGCUAAGGUAAAAGAAAAUAGGUUAAAAGGCUGAUUAUUUUGAUAAAAACAUGUAUUUAUACCAAGGUUACUAAGCUUGGAUGCCAACAUAUAAAAAAACAAGGGAAUUUGCCAAAAAAAAAUAAAAAUUUGUAAGAGUUGAGACUUUAACUUGGGACCUCCAACCAACUUUCAAGCUUUCACAUUUAAUGACUUGCCAUUAGGUCAAUUCCCUAUUUUUGAUAUAUUUCUAAAUUUUAUGGAGCUAAAUUUGGGAUGUUACAGUUUGGAAAUAUGGACUAUGUUAAUGAACUAAACAUACUCGAAGGUGUCUUGAUCCAAUUGACAUAGAAUCAAACAUAACAAUAGAUGUAAUUGCUAACAUAAAAGUAGAAGUAACCACUAACAUGGAGCUUAAACUGAUUUUAAAUGAAAAUGUAGAAUAGCUAAUACACUUUUUGGCCAUAGUAGAGAAGGUACUAGCUAAAGAGAUCGAUGGGUUCAACUCAUUUUCAUUUGAAAAAGGAAAUAAAGCUUGAGUAACCAAAACUUCAUGCAACAUAGAAGGAAGGAAUCUCAAGGCAAUAAUACCCCAGAAAAUGAUUUGGGGUUGGCUCAAAUUUAGUACCAAAUGGCUUGUAAUGUGGAUGUUGCGUCGGUCAGAGAUAAGGCAACAUUGUUGGAAUUGACAGAAAGUAUAACAACCCGUUUUUAUUCAAAUUGAAACAGUGGUUUUAGGACCACAAAUUUGAGGUCAAAAUAUUUAUUUUAUUAUUAUUUUAAUAUUUACAGUGUGAUAUUAUGUUGGUAUGAAAAUUUCGUUAAGAAAUUUUAUCAUUUAAAUGGUCAGUUUGAUAAAAAGGACUAAAUCGCGUAAAGCAUAAAACUCAAGUUCUAAUAGCUAAAGGUGUCUAAUAGCUAUAGAACCUCAAAAUAAGGUCCUUAUGUUGUAAUUAGGUGAUUAAAAAGGUGGGUGGACAAUAUUGGACAUUAAGUGGAUGAUAUUAAUGGUAUUUCAUUAAGGUAUUAAUGGUAUUUCAUUAAAGUUAUAUUGGUAAUUAGCAUAAUUAACAUAAAAUAAAUAAAACCAAACAUUUCUUCAUCUUUAUUCAUCUUCCAUCAUUGAAAAUCAAGAGCCAAAUACACCAUUAUUAGGGUUUUCAUUCGAUUAUGCUAUAAUUUCCAUUUAAGGUAUGGUUUUUAUCCCGUUUUUAAUUAUUUCUAUGUUUUUGAGAUCAUUACAGCUUAAUCUAGCUAGCCCAGGGACUAUUUUGCAAAAAUAUUAAAGAUUUUGAAUGAUUCCAUUGAUGAAUAAGUAUGUGUUUUGAAGUUUCUUGAUAGAUUAUGAAUGUUUGUUAAUUGAUAUACAAGUUUUGUUAAGUGAUUUUGAGUAAAAAUGCAAAAUAGGGAUUAAUGUGUGAAAAUGUAAAAAUGUGUGGUUAAAUGUGUGAAUAAAUGAAAAUUAUGGGCUGCUAAGGGCAUUAUGAUAAUUCGGCUAGCAUGGUCUAUUAUGAGUUUAAUUAAUUUGUGUUUUUAUGUGAUAAGGACUAAAUUGUGAAAAAAUGUGAAAGUUUAGGGGCAAAGUGUAAAUGUGUUUUAAAGAGUGUUUUGGACUAAAUUGAAUGAAUAGAUGAUUAAAUGAGUUAAUUUUGAAUAUACUUAGAUCAUGAAAAGUGAAAUACAGACUUGGAUCGGGGAAAAGAUAAAGUUAUUGACUAAUCUACUCGAUUCGCUGUUUUCACAUUCGAGAUAAGUUCGUAUGUAAUAAGCGUUGUUAUAGUUAUGCUUUAAAUUAUUUGAUAUUGCAUAGAUUGUUUAUAUGAAAUUAAAGUUAUGUUUGACGACGAAUCAACUAUAUAUAUGGCACUUAGUGUGCAAUUCGGAAUAGCUUCAGCUAUAUAUGGCAUUUAGUGUGCGAGAUCGAGAUAGCUUUGGCUAUGUAAGACACUUAGUGUGGGAGAAUAAAAUAGCUUUAUUGACACUUAGUGUUCGUGAUAUCGAGUAUUCGAUAGUAUUUCGAAUAGGUAUGAACUCGUUAUGAAUUUGUACAGGUAUGUACAUGGAAAGUAGGAGCUUUAAAUAUAAGAAGUUAUGAAUUGUAUAUAAUUAUAUGAAUAGGUAUGAGGAACGUUUGUUUGUUAUCAUAAAUUACAUGUUAAUAUGUUUAAAUUGAUGAAUGGUGUAUUUAUGAUUAGUUAAGUUCAUAUCAUAUGAGCUUACUAAGCUUAUUAGCUUACUUUGUGUAUUUUCCCAUGUUUUAUAGAGAUAUCGAAGCUAGCUCGGAUUCGUGGAUCGUCGGAGAUCGUUUCACACUACCAGUUAUCACUUGGUACCUUUGAACUUUGGUAUAUUAAGUAUAUGGCAUGUAUAGGUGUUUUGAGUCAUUUUAAUUAUGGAUUGAUGGUGAUUUUGGUCAAUUGUAAUGACUUGUAAUGACAUAUGUUUUGGUUGUAAAUAUGGCCAUGAAUGUUGGCUUAAUUUGGUAGGUUUGAUUAUGUGCAUAUAUGUGCAUAUAUGUGCAUAUAUGGUUGAUAUUUUGAGUCCAUAAAUGGAUAUGUGAAUGACUUAUAUUAUGUGGUUUGUGGAAUUGGUAUCAUGCUUUUGAAUUGGUGCAAAAUGAUGUAUGUUAGGUAAAAGUUUAACUAGUUGAUUUAUAUAUGUAUUUUGGUAUGUUUUGAUUAGAUUAAGCUUGAGGUAUAAGCAUAUUGGUUGCCAGUACUGGAAACAGUAUGAAUUAGCCUUGUUUAUGGCUAAAUUGGAUUUUUAUUUAUAUUAUAGAUUGGUGUCAUUUUGGUUGUUUAGGUGAGCAUAAGUGUGGGUGGCAAAUUGGCUUCGUAAAUAGCCUAUUUUUGUCCACACGAGAGAGACACGGGCGUGUGUCUUAGCCAUGUGUGACAUAUGGUCAUGAUACAUGGCCGUGUGUCCCAUGGUGUUGAAAUUGAAAUGAAUUCAGUAUGCUCCACACAGUCUCACACACGGGCGUGUGAUCGGCCGUGUUGUACAAUUAGUAUAGCCCCUAAUUUGCACAUGGCCUAGCGCAUGGGCGUGUGACUUGGCUGUGUUGCAUAAGUCAGUAUACCUUACAGGUUUGGCACGACUUAGCACACGGCCUGGCACAUGGGCGUGUGUGGCCACUUCGAAGGGCACACGGGCUAGACACAUGGGUGUGUGGUUGGUCGUGUGACCCAAGUCAGUAAGCUCACUUGUUUAGACACGAGGUAUGACACGGGUUGGGACACGGCCAUGUGCUCCCAUUUCGAAUGUCCAUACAGCCUGUGACACGGGCAUGUCUGGUGGCCGUGUGAGACACACGGCCUGGCCACACGGGCAUGUGUCCCCUGUUUUGAGAAAAAUUUUCUAAGUGUAGAAAAGCUUCCCAAGUUAUUGGUUUAGUCUCGAACCUUUUCUAAUGCAUGCUUAAGGGCUCGUAGGCUUGUUUAAGGGACACUAUGAUUGGUUAUGAUUGAAUUGUAUUUGAGAUGAUAAUAUAUAUUUAUGAAAUAUAUGUUUAAAAGUGUUCUAAGUCCAGUAAUGCUCCGUAACCCUAUUCCGGAGUUGAAUAUGGGUGAGGGGUGUUACAGAAAGGGUUGGUUCAUAUACAUUGACAGAGGAACAAACAUUGGAUCAAAGUGUCAAGAACUCGUUGGAAGUUUUCCUAUAGUGGUGACACGGAUUGUCUCGAUUUGUAAAGAACUUCUAAUUCCUGUUUUAAAUUUUGUUAGUUUUUAUUUUAUUUUAUUAUUAUUAAUUAUAGUUGUGUUUUAGUUUCUUUUUUCCAUAGUAGGUGAAGAUAUCAUGGAGUGACGAAACCAUAAAACAAAAUCGAAGAAAUAAAAAACUGGGCUUGAUGUCACGACAUCACACCCUAACAUCAUGACAUCAUAGACAAAACACACCUUGCAACAUUGAAGGCCCAAGUUCAUCUAAAUAUUUGUAGAAGUUCUAUAAUCCAUUAUCGACACUUCGUCCUUUUCUUAUUAUUUCUAUUUUUAUUUUCUUUCAUAUUUCUUUUUGUAAAAUUUUUUUAGGUACUUUCCAUUCGCUUGAAGCACAAAAACCCUGAGAUUAUCAUAACAAGAAGGAUUCGAUCUACUCAGGGAAGUUUUCUUGUUUGCACUUUAAUUAUUUUACACUAAGCGCAAUGUAUGUUCUAAAGUGUAGGGCAUAGGAUUAAUUUUGUGUGUCUUUUGGUUUGUGUGUUUACUUUGAUUGAAUUGAUUAUUUAUUCACAAAAAAAAAUAUUAUUGUUUUUUGUUGCAUGGUGCUUGGAUUAUAUUAAUAUUGUGAAUAGCGGUUGAAGAUAAGAAAGCAUGUAAUGGUUCUUGUCAAGCAUGGAGUUUUUUAUUGAUAUAAGAUAAUUUGAUUAUUUUUGAAGGAAAUUUAUCAGGUUACCUAGUUAAAUUGCAUAAUAGAUUAGAAGUACCUAAGUAAGAAUGUUUUGUUGCAUAAUAGAUAGCUGUAGAGACAUGAAUGCUUGAAUUGAUUAUUAUUCAUUUGGUUUAAUUUGAAGCAUGAAAGAAAUUGUGUAUGAUGGGAUGCUUAGGGAUGACCUAAGGCAUUGUUUGAAUAGCCAGUUCUCAAAUGACUAUACCUUAAUGCUAUAAAUCCCUAAUCUCCUUAUUUAAGCCUGAUAACUCUUUUUUGUUGAACCUACAAAAAUUGAAACCCAAAGACCACACAUAAAACUUGAACUCUUCCCUAUCGUUGCUCUUUUAAUACAUUACGAAAUAAAUGUUAGGCCAUAGAUAUUGAGGGUUUAGGUAGAUACAUAACUGUAAUUUAAAAAAAAAGAGCAAAAAAGGAAGAAACAAUGUGAUACAGUGAAUAUAGGUUAGGCAAAAAUGGGAGGCAAAAAAAAACCGAGAAAAAGUUAAAAGUAAGAACAAGGAAGAAAAAGUAGAAAACAAAAACAAAAGCACUGUGAUUGAGAAGAGAGUAUAAAGUCAAAGUGAUAAAACAAAGGUCACAAAAGUAAGGAAACUCAAUUAUCAGUGCCCCAAAACUUGUUAAGCCGGCCAUAGUUGCUACUAUUAUAUUGUAUCUCCCUACAUUGAGAGAUAAGGUAAGUGAGAGUGGGAGACAAAAGGCGAUGGGCUUGGAUGGGACAUUAACGAGGAAGAGAGGAAACAAUGUCAUGUGCCUAACUAUUUCUAGUGUUUGAACUGUUUUGAGCCAUAUUUUCUUUGAACUCAUACCGUCCUAAACCUCAGAACGUUACAAGCCUAGAAGAAUAAUGUGACUUAAGCAUUCUCUGUGCAUAAUCUUCCAGAAUUGCAAACAAUUUUAUUUAACGAAUCUUUUUGAUUCAGAUGAUUGUGUUUGCUACAUAUUUGUUUGGUUUAUGUUAAUGGUGAUAUUGUUAAACAUUUGGUCAUGAGAAUUAUGUCUAAUUUGUUAAUAAUGUAACUUUGUAAACUAAUUCUAUUUGACUUUAAAAAAUUUCAGGGUAUCGAACUAUCAAGAUUAAGUUAUAUGUGCAAUAAGAAUUGUUAUACCUUUAAUAUUUGAAAAUCAUAUUCUUAGUAAUAAUAAAAUCCAAGGGACAUCUUAUUAUUGAUGCUAUGCGUCUAGACUUGGUUUGCUUAAGGGCAAGCAAAAAGUUAAGUGUGGGGGAGUUUAGGUGUGAGGUUCUUAUUUACAUCCUUAUUCACUAACUUUCGUUUGUUUAAAGAAAGAUAUUAAGUCAUUUUCUUAUUAUUUUUUUUUCUCUUUUUUCCAAUAUAUGUGUUUUGGUUGCUUUAAGGCAAGUAACAAUUUAAGUGUGGGGGAAUUUGAUCUAUGAUAAAUCAUAUUAUUAUUUACAUCCCUUUUUACACAUAAUUAUUGGUUGUUUAAUAGUAAAUAAAAACAUUUUAGUAUAUAUUUAGGUUAUCAUACUUAAAGUAGUAAUUUAUGCUUUCUAGUAGUUUUUAUUACAUUUUAUAUAUCUAAAUAAGGUUACUUGGUCUUGUAUGUCAUGUUAGGAUAUAAAGAUGCUUAUUUGGGCCAAACCUGAUGCCGCGACACCAAGAUAUUAAUGUCUCAUCGUCGAAGAGAGAAGCUAAAACAAAGUUCUGGAGUAAAAUUUCCUUUAAUGUCAUGACACCGACCUUCAAUAUCGCAACAUUGAACUUUGAUGUUGCAACACUACAAGCUUGUGUUGCAACCAACCCUCUGCGCAGCCCAAAAACUCCUACACGUUUUAAUAAUGUUUUGGAGGGAAAUUAGGUGUAUUUGUCCUAGUCAAACUCUAAGGACUUCAAGGAUAAUUUAGGCACUUUAAUAUUUCGAGUUUAGCCUAUAUAAAGGACAUUGUAAUUAGUUUAAACACACAAUUUUAUGGUUUUGCUUAUUAGGUUUUUCUUUCAUUUUUAGUUUUUACUUAGGUCAUUUUAUGUUAUUGUAAUUAGAAGAUCCUAUUACAAAAUGAGAAUUUUGCAAGGGGAGAUUGUUUCGAAACCACACUUUCAUCGAUAAAUACAUGAGCAUCUCUUUACCUUAUUCACUUCUUUAUAUUUCUUUCUUUAACAUUAUUAGAUGAAUGUUUGUGCAAAGAGUAGAAUCAAUUUGUGUUUUCUACAUAUUUUGCAUGUUUUUAUUUCUUUAACUUAAUUAAUUGCUUGAAUGAUAGAGCUUUUUAGCGGAUCAGCUGUUUGGGAAAGCAAGAACGUGAAACAAACCCUAGGCUUAACAAUCCUAGGAAGUCAUUUAGGUGGGAAUUAACUUAAAAUUGGUAUGGCCUAUCCGUGAACACCUGAUAACUCUUGAAAAGAGUUAUAUUUUAGGCCUCUAAACUAAAGUAUUUGCUUGUAAUUAAGAAAAUUUGUUUGCAUUUUAGAAUUAUUACUAGAGCAUUACUUACUAAAGCUUGGAUUGUGUUUUAACUACAAGUUUAUGUUAAUUUUAAUUGCUGGAAAGAGGUUUGGUAGUCUUUGGUAGUAGGUGUAGAUAGGAUAAAAGAGGCAAGAAUAAGGAAAAGAGGAAGAGGAAAAGAGAACGAAGGAGGUGAAACAUUUUCAUGGAAAAUGGUGGGAUAUAUUACCAACAAAAAUGUCUUGGCAAUUCCAGGAAGAUGAAACAAUAGUCAAUCCAUGUCACUCUCAGCCAACUGUAUGUGUACCAGAAAAAUCACCCUGAAAAGGAGGAGCAAAAUAUGUGUGUUGAGAGGGACACAUCUACCUUAUAAAAGGAGGAGAGAGAAGAGAAGAAUGACACAUGGAUCGUGAGGAGAAAAGAGAAGAAAAAGAGCGUUUUUUCUCUCUGCAACAGAAUCCUGUGGAGAAAUUGUAUAGAAAAUUCAGAAGAGGAAACGGGUAGUAGCUAAAAAGAGGAGAUCACAGACAUGAAAAAAGGGAAAGACAAAUCUGUCCUGGGUUUUUUGUAAAAUCUUGAGAAGAAGCUGGAGUGUAGUGAGAAUUUCCUGCAGUUUUGCCUUUGUUCUGUUCUUCUUGGUUUUAAUUUUUUUAUUCAUAAAACUUGAAGAAUGUUGAUGAAUGAUUUAAUUUUGGAUUUCAUUGCCUAAGCCAUGAGCUAAUUAUGUUUGGGUUAGAAUUAUUUGGGUGAAUAUUGAAUUAUCUAUAAUGCCCAUGAUAUGAUUUUGAUUAAAAUUACUGCUUCAUUUGAUUUAUGCUUAUUGUGAAUGCAUGCAUGCAAGCUCUAGACAUAGUUGGUUGUAUGUUAUGUUCUUAGAUGGAUUUGAAUUUGAAAGGAUUAAAUACAUUAGAUUAUUAAUGGAUUGAUACAGACGAGUAUUCAGAAGAAUAAUUGCAACAUUCUAGACAUAGUUGCAAUCUGUACAGGUGAAGAACAUUAGUAUGGUUAUUAUUCGUGAGUCUUGUAGACAUACACAAACUUUAGAUAAUAUCUAAGUUUCGACUUUUGAAAGAAGUAGAUUGUAGUAGUAAUUCUCUAGGCAGACGUUAGUCAAAAUUUUCCCAUGGCAUUAUUAUGUUAUGAAAAUAUUCCCUGAGUAAUUCCAACCUUUAUCAUUCAAUAGUAGAAUGCUUUCUACUUAUUCUUUGUGAAUUGCCAUGACAUUUAGAUUACUUUUUCAUUUUUUCAGUUAUAAUUGAUAUUAUUAGUUCAUUCAUUAAUUCCCUUCAUCAAUUUAUACAUUGUUUCUUUUGCAUAGUUUAAUUAGUUAAAUCUAUAGUAAAACUUUACCAAUUGUAAUCAAUUUUUGAUCCCUGUCAGGACGAUACUCACUCAUCAUUAUAUUACUUGAACAGUCGUGUACGCUUGCACAUUUGCAUUACAUAUUUACACGCAAUAAGUUUUUAGCGCUAUUGCUGGGGAUCGGCAACAUUAGUGAAAUUUAGUUUGUUAUUAUUUGUUUAAUUUCUAUUAGUUUAGCUUAAUUAGUUGUUUUGAUUUUUAUUUUUUUAUUUAUGUGCUAGUGCAUGCAUAGAAAUACUCUGGAGAAUACAGAGUACUAUUUUGAUCCAAAGACUGAGAGAACCUUAAAAUGGAAGGGAUGAUGAUAUUUCUCAAAUUGUAGAAGAUAGAGACAGACCCAUCAGAGAACAUGUUGUGCCAAUCAAAGAUUAUCUAAAUCCAGGAAUUGUUAGGCCACACAGUCAGGCUCAACAAUUUGAAUUAAAGCUAGUGAUGUUUCAAAUGCUGCAAUUUAUAGGGCAGUUCAGUGGAUUGCCUAAGGAAGAUCCACGAUUCCACUUACGACUUUUUUUGGAAGUCUAUGAUUCAUUCAAGCAAGAAGGUGUUCCUGAAGAUGCCUUGCGACUAGAUUUAUUCCCUUACUCAUUGCGAGAUCAUGCUAGAGCAUGGUUAAAUGCAUUGCCAUCAGGUACAGUGGCAUCGUGGAAUGAGCUAUGUCAAAGGUUUCUGCUAAUAUAUAAUCUUACUAAGGAUGAAACAUUAUAUGAAGCAUGAGAGUAAUUCAAAGAGCUACUAAGAAAAUGUCCGAUGCAUGGUUUCCAGCAGUGGACGCAAAUGGAAAUGUUUUACAAUAGAUUGAAUGCUUAUACAAGAAUGGUUAUGAACGAAUCUACCAGUGGGAAUUUACUUGAUAAAUCAUACAACAAGGAUUAUGAAAUUCUAGAAAGGAUAAGUAAAUAAUAAUUAUCAAUGCCUCAUUACUAGAUUCGGAACUAACAGAAGAGUUGUAGGAGCAAUGGAGCUUGAUGCAAUUACAUCUCUAACAACUCAGUUAUUAUCUUUAACAAAUAUGAUUAAAACACUUAAAAGGUCAUCUGCAAUGCAAGAAAUGAAAGCAGUAGAGCUAGCAUGUGUUUCUGUGGAGAAGAUCAUGUUUUUGAUGAAUUCCCAUCAAACCCAGCCUUAGUUUAUUACAUGAGGAAUUUUAAUCACAAAACAAAAACCCAUACUCCAACACAUACAAUCUGGGGUGGAAACAACAUCCUAAUUUCAGUUGGAGUAAUAGAGGGGUGGGAAAUGACAGUAAUGCCAUUGGAUAGAAUACUACGAGUGUACCACUUGGGUACAAUCAAUCUUUUCCCACGGUAAAAUGGCCAGCAAAAUUUAGCUUCCAAUUCUUCAUCUACGAAAGCCUUAUUGAAAGAAUAAAUGGCUAAGAAUGAUGCUAUCAUUUAGAGCCAGGUUGCAUCUUUAAGAGCUUUAGAAAAUCAAGUAGGGCAAAUUGCCACUACAUUGAAUUCUAGACAGCAAGGAGCAUAGUCGAGUGACACUGAAACUUAUCAAUCUCAAGGGAAGGAACUACGAAAAGCCAUUACACCUUGAAGUGGUACUCAGCUACCACUACAGCAAAACAGAUUUUUAGCGGCGCUUUUUUUAGCCUUUAGCGGCGCUUUUGAAAACGCCGCAAAAAACGCCGCUAUAGGCAGCGCCGCAAAAACUGGUGGCGUUUAUUAAAAGUGCCGCUAAAAGUCGUGGCCUUUAGCGGCGUUUGAAGAAAAAGCGCCGCUAAAAGUCGUGGCCUUUAGCGGCGUUUGAAUAAAAAGCGCCGCUAAAAGUCGUGGCCUUUAGCGGCCAUUUUCCCACAAACACCGCUAAUUUUGGCAGAUUUGCAAUACAUUUUUCCACCAAUAUUCAGCCCUUCCUGCAUUAAAAUCCAACCAAAUACAACAAAUAUAGCAUAAAAUGCAGCCAAAAUACCAAAUUUAGCAAAAAAAAAUACAACCAAAAAUAUUAAUUCUAAAUAAUACUUUAAAAUUAACGAAAGAUAUAUGAUGUCAUUAAUAAAGUAUGAUUUAAAAUAUUCUUAGAAUAAUGUUAAACGUGACAAAGUUAAAAAUAUUCUUACAACGAGAAAACUAAUGUCUAAGAUGUCGGCUUUUGCGACUGUUGAAACAUCUGCAUCAUCUGCUGAAGCUGUAGCUGGAGGUCAUCGUACUUUUUCCUAUGCUCUACCUCCCUCGCUGUUGCCCCUGCCUCCCUCGCUGCUGCCGCUGCCUCCCUCUCUGCUGCCUCCGCUCUAACUUGUUGCUGGAGUUCUUCAUAUUUUCGUUGAACCUCGGCAAUUUGCUCAACUGUGUUCGCUUGCAUCUGAGCUAUCUGAUCUCUUAACCUCUGAACUUUAGCUUUAGCUUGACUUCCGGAAGGCAUGUAUUGCUGGGAGCCGGAUCCAAAAUAUUGGGUCGGGGUAACACCAGAUCCUUGAAAUUGAACCCGACCGUACCUUUUAGGACCCAAAACUUCAGUGAUAAUUCUGUUAUCAAUGUUCUCAAGAUUAACAGAACUAUCAGUCGAAGUAGCCGCUUCAUAUUCUGCCUUCUUAUCCUUUAGUUUCUCCUAAAAAAUCAAUUAAAAAGUUAGAAACGAAAUAUAUAAUAAAAAGGAAUGCAACAUAACAUUAUUUAAAACUAUUAAUGAUGAAUUGAAUUAAACAAUUAUAAUUAAACAUUAUAAAUAUUUAGAAUAAAUCAAAUAUUAUUAAGUAAAUAUACCAUAAUUUCUCCAGCUUCGGAUGUCAUAGGAGAUCCAUCUUUUUUCCUAUGCGUAAUCUCAAAAAGCUGAAGGCGCCCAACUUUUUGUCCAGAUUUGACUUCCUACAAUAUAGUAGUAAAAAUAUUAUUUAAUAUUAGAAAGUUAUUAAUAUUUGAAAGAAUUAAUAAAAUUUUAAUACCUCGGCCUCAGCUAUAGAAGCAAAACUUCUCGACCCUGCCGUGUGCGUGAAUUUUUGUUUUUGCCUGCUGCUUAUUCCAACUCGCUCACGGUCCUACAUAAUGAAAUUAUUAUUACGUCUAUAGUAAACACUAUAUAUAAGAGUUUGGAAAUACGUAAUACCUCUCCUUUCUUUGAAUUCCAGAAUCUAACCGCAUCUUCCCAUUGGUACCUCAGCAUUCCCGGCGGGACAUUUCUCAAUUUUUCCUCGAGGCUUAUGUCUUUCUUAAAAUAUUGUUUUUUUAAAAUGCUUUUAUUGUCUCUCCAUUUUUUACCCAAUGUCUUCUUGAUAUAAUCAUCGGAGACCUCUAAAGCAAAUCUAUCCUAAAAAAACACAAGUUUAGAAUGUAAAUAUGAAUGAAACUUAAACCAAAAUAUUAUAAAUUACAUUCACAUUUUGUUACCUUAAUAUUAGCGAGAGCCUGAUUUUUGUUGCUAUCAGGCAUGUGAUGCCAUGAUUCGUAGUUGAUGGGCAACAUAUUGGCAUUUCGUGCUAAAAUGCCAAUAUAGCCUGCUAAAAUUCGAGCUUCAGAUCCAACAGGCUGGCCAUAAGUAUUUCUACUUACUUUGACACGGUCGGCAGGAUCUAAGUCGUAUAAAUCACUAAGCAGUGUACGUCCUCGAGCUCUGCGCGUCCCACCAUUUUCAGCUGAAAAAUGAUAUACUAUUAUUAUAUUAAAAUUUACAAAUAAAUUAAUAAUAAAAGUCAACACAUGUAAAAUAAACGUAACAUUACUUUGAAAUUCUUCAGGCUCGUCAAGUGUCUCUGGCACAUUCGAAGAUCCAACAACUGUCUGCUGUUCACUAUUUCUUUCUUCCGAAUUUGGAGUAUUCUAGACAAUACUUAAACCACGUAAUCUUCUUCUACGCAUUUUUCCAGCAAUACACAUAAAAUAGUUAAAGUUUUAGUAACAAAUUACAACAAUAAUAGUACAUAUAAAAUAGUCAAAUUAUAUAACAUGACCAAGAUUAAAAUUAUAAUAUUACAUAUAAUUAAAAAAACGUAAAAUCUUACUACAUCAUUAUUCGUAAAUAUCUUCAUUCACAUCAUCUCGAACCCAUUGAUAUUGUGUACUAGUACUAGGGAUAUUUUCAUCUAAGUUUUGUUCUGGAAAAGGUAAUGUUUCUGAUCUUUCGACAAUGUCAUCUCUACUUCCAUUACCCAUGUCAAACAAGUCUCUAGGGGUGUUCCGGAGUACAACAUACCAACCCCUCAUCAGUUGGAUCUUUCGAAUAAAAAACUUGAUUCACUUGAGAGGAAAAUACAUAUGGCUCAUCCAUCAAUUGUUGUCCAGUGUGAAUCAAGCGAGAGAAAUUCACCAUUGUAAAACCAAAUUGAUCUUUUUUAAUUCCUCGAGCAGUAUUAACACCAGACCAAUCACACCGAAAUAAGAUAACUUUCCAUCUGCCAUAGUAAUCCAACUCAAUAAUGUCGGUAAGAAGUCCGUAAUACUCCACAUUACCCUCAACCGGAUUACUAUCCCUAGCACUAGCAUAACUUGUAAUUGAAUUAUUAACAACAACUCCACAAUUUUGAGUUCUCCUCAUUCUCUCGCAAUACUUUGUAUGAAAUCUGUAUCCAUUGAUGAGGAAGGCACUAUAUCUUUUUAUUACUCUGUUCGGACCUUGGGAAAGCCAUUUAAUUUUGUCAUUGACGUCCUUCCCACUCCAAACCUACUGAAUCGAAAGUAAAUUAAAUAAUUAUAAAUGUAUUAUGUAAAAACAUUCUUAUUUGAUUAACUAAAUUUCGCGAUUAUAUGUAACUUAUUAACUUUAGUUACAUACCGUUUGACUUAACCAUUCAUGAAAAGAUUCUGUGAAUAACUUAUUAAUCUCUCGAUGUUGUAAUCUUUGAGAGCGUGCACGAGAUCUCAAAAUUUGUUUGUACUCACUAUAUUAAAAACAAGUUUAAUUGGUUAGAAGAUAAACAAAUCAAAACGACGAAUAUGUAAGACAAUUUUAUAACUUACUUGCGCAACGGUUCAAUUGAAUCGAGGUGAAAAAGUACAUAUUGUGUGCCUGUAUCCACGAUAUAUCAUCUAAUUCUACAAUUUCAACUUUGCCGAUUGGUUCUCCAUAACUUUGAAAUAAAUAAGUUUCGGCCAAGUCAUGAUCAUUGAGCCCAGCAUUUCUACUUGGUCUAUUCAAUCGUGUUUCAGUAUCUUCUAAAUAUCUAGAACAGAAGGUUAUGCACUCUUCUACCAAGUAGCCUUCAGCAAUUGAUCCUUCUGGAUAACGCUUAUUGUGACAAUAUGACUUCAAUUUGCUUAGGAACCUAAACACGAUAUACAAUAUUUAUCAAAAGCUAUAACUAAAUGUAUAGAGGUGAAUGAAUGAAUACUUGAGAAAUAAAUUAGCACCUUUCUAUAGGAUACAUCCAUCGAUAAAAAAUCGGUCCACCAAGUAUUGCUUCGUGAGGGAGAUGGAUUACCAAGUGCACCAUAAUAGUGAAGAAGGAAGGUGGAAAGAUCUUCUCUAAAUUGCAUAAAGUCAAAACCGCUCGAUCCUGUACUUUCUCAAGUUCUUCGACAUUCAAAACUUUGCCACAAAUAGCUUUCAUUAUAUUGGAUAGUUCAAUUAUACAGGACGUUACAUUUUUUGACAUACAGCACCGUAAAGCAAUUGGGAGUAAAUCUUGCAUCAAGAUGUGGUAAUCAUGUGAUUUUAAUGAAUAUAAUCUUCGGUCUUCGAAACUCACACAUCGAGAUAUAUUUGACGCAUACGCAUCUGGGACCUUUAUAUCUUUCAACACCAUGUAGAAAACUUCUUUCUCUUUCUUUGACAUUCAAAAAAUAGAAGGCGGCAACCGAUAUUUCCCAUUCGGCAGUACUUGAGGAUGAAGAUCAUGCCGGAUUCUCAUGUCAACUAAAUCAAGUCGGCUCUGAAGAUUGUCUUUUGAUUUCCCAUCGACAUUUAAAAUUGUCUCAAUUAUGUUCUCGCAGACAUUCUUCUCAAUAUGCAUGACAUCAAGAUUGUGGCGUAAAAUGUUGUGCUCACAAUAAGGCAACUAAAAAAAAUACUCAUUUUCUUCCACAACUCCGCCUCAUUAGGAUCAUCCUCUUCGUCAGAUUCAUCAUCAGAUUCAUCCCUCGAUCUUCUCCUUGUUUGCGUGAUAGGUGGUUGAUUCAUCUUCCCGUAACUAAAGUUGAUAUCUUUUAACAUAAACAAGAUUUUAGAUCCAACGGUCUACUCAGGAGCUCCUCUGUACUCUUCAGUACGGUCAAAUAGAGUCCUCUGAAAUCUAAAUUUAUGAUUUUCAUCUAACCACCGACGAUGGCCCAUGUAAGAGAACUUCUUCCCAUUAUACAACCACUUCGAACAAGUUUGCGCAGCACAACAAGGACAGGCAUAACGUCCUUUAGUACUCCAACCCGAUAAAUUAGCAUAAGUCGGGAAAUCAUUAAUUGUCCACAAUAAAGCUACACGUAAAUUAAAGUUCUUCGUUCUCAAUACAUCAUAUGUCUCAACACCCGACCAUAAUUAUUUUAACUCUUCAAUAAGUGGCUGCAAAUAGAUGUCAAUAUCAUUUCCGGGACCUUUCUCUCCAGGGAUAAUCAUUGAUAAAAUAAAUGAAGAUUGCUUCAUGCAAAUCCAUGGAGGCAAAUUGUAAGGAACAAGCACUACAGGCCAAGUACUGUACGAAGUACUCAUGAUUUUAAAUGGAUUAAAGCCAUCAGCUGCUAGCCCAAGCCUCACAUUCCGAGGAUCGCUUGCAAAGCUUGGAAAUUUACUGUCAAAUGAUUUCCAAGCUAAAGAAUCCGCAGGAUGUCUUAAUAAUCCAUCAUCGGUCUGUUGAUCAUUAUGCCACCUCAUAGAUUCGGCUGUCUUUAAGGACAUGAAAAGCCUUUGAAGUCUUGGCAUCAGGGGAAAAUAUCGCAAGACCUUGACUGGCUUCUUUCUUAACUGUGCCCCACCUUCAUCCGUAUUCACAUCUUCUGUAUUACUAUUCAUCCAACGAGACUUACCGCAAAUAUGACAAGAUUGUUGGUUUUUCUGAUCACCCCGGUACAACAUGCAGUCAUUUGGGCAACUAUGAAUUUUAUCAUACCCAAGGCCCAAAUCUUUUAUUAGUCUCUUCAUAUCUUGACAAGACUGGGGAAUUUUUGCAAACGGAAACAUCUCUCUUAGAAACUCUAGCAGCAUUGUAAAAGAGUUUUCGGUCCACCCUCCCAAACAUUUUAAGUGAAAUAGACAAAUGCAGAAGGACAAUUUCGAAUAUUUUGAUCCCUCGUAAAGUUCUUUAUUCAUUUCAUUAAGUAAAUUGUAGAACUUAGCCGCUUCUUCAUUUGGCUCCUCAUUAGGUGCACUUGUUCCCGUUUCGCAAAAAACAUUUCCAGUAAUAUUACAAUCCUCAUAUAUAAUAAAGUCAGGUGGAAACGAUUGCUCACCAUGACUACGCAUAUUAAAUGCAUCUCGCAACAUAUCUUCCAUGUCAUCUUGUCUAACAUACUGAUGGUAAUCAGUAUCAGGAUAAGUCGGAUUAAUCGUUGAAGAAGUUCCACUAGAUGUACACUCUCCAUGGAAAAUCUAUUUUUUAUACCCCCGAAUAAAGCCAUCAACAAUUAGAUGUUCGUAGACAACUUCACGAAAAUGCCAGUAGAUGUUGCCACACUUCUUACACGGGCAAAGAUUCAUAUUCUCUUGGCUUGCAUUUUGAAAUGCAAAAUUUAGAAAAGUUUGUACUCCAUUUUGAUAGGCAUUGCUUACCCUUGACAAUUUCAUCCAACUCCUAUCCAUUUUGUAGUUCUUGAAAUCUAAAGUUCACAACAUAUUACAGUUACUUAAAUGUUCUCAAUUGAUUUAAAUCAUAUCAUUAUAUUAAAUAUCAAGUCUCUAAUGGGUAUAAACUAAUUCAGGCAAGUUGCGAGAUUUUCAACUAUAGAUUUAUGUAUUAUGUAAGUUAAGUAAAUUUCGUAAACUAGUUAUGUAUGAUAUGAUAUAUAUUUAAGUAUUAUGUAAGUUAUGAUAUGAUAUAUAUUUAUGUAAAUUAUAUAUUUAUCUAAGUUGUAUAAGUUAUGUAAGUUAUGUAAAUUAUAAUAUAAAAUAUAUUUAAGUAUUAUGUAAGUUAUAUAUUUAUCUAAGUUAUAUAAGUUAUGUACGUUUUGUAAGUUAUAUAAAUUAUGAUAUCAAAUAUAUUUAUGUAUUAUGUAAGUUUUUUAUUUCACGAUGUGAAAAUCACAUGUAUAAUACAUAUCAAGUAUCAAGUAUCUACAGGUAAGUAGCGGGAUUAAAUAAUAUUUAAUUAAAUAAUAUUUAUAAAAAUUAUUUUAAUUAAGUAAUAUACAUGUCGUUCGUUUUUAUUUGACAAAUCACAUGUUCAGUUAAAAUAGUCCACACUUAAUUUAAUUUAUGUUUUACAAGUCAUCUUUUCUUAAGUACAUAUUAAAGCACUGUGUGGACAUCCGUAUUUAGCUUAAAAGCUAUGAUUUAGUUUGAAUAAAAAGUUUAACUUAAAUGGUAAAACGGACGAUAAUAUUUGUGAUAAAACGGAGAAUUUUUUAAGAUUCAUCAUACGCGGCGUUGUUACACCUAGGGAGGAUCCAUUAUAUCUUGCAGCUCGAUAUAAGGCAACCCGCCAGGUUUCCAGCCUAUAUACUUUGAAUCUUUAAAAUAUUUAAAAUAAGGUUGGAGAGAAGGUCAGCCAUUGUUGUAAUUUUGAUAAAAAUUAGUUAUAACUUUUAAAGACAUUUAAAAAUAUUAAAUAUUAAAAUCAAACAUUAUUAAUGCAAAAAAAUAGUAAUUUGAAUAUAAUAAUAUAAAAAAAGAAUCGUAGUUUAAUUUUUAUAAGUAAAUUGGAAAUAAAUAUUCAAUAGUAAAUGAGCUCGAUAGAACUUUUUUCAAGUCUUUUUGAAUUUUUUAAGAUUCAUCAUACGUGGCGUUGUUACACAUAGGGAGGAUCCAUUAUAUCUUGCAGCUCGAUAUAAGGCAACCCGUCAGGUUUCCAGCCUAUAUACUUUGAAUCUUUAAAAUAUUUAAAAUAAGGUUGGAGAGAAGGUCAACCAUUGUUGUAAUUUUGAUAAAAAUUAGUUAUAACUUUUAAAGACAUUUAAAAAUAUUAAAUAUUAAAAUCAAACAUUAUUAAUGCAAAAAAAUAGUAAUUUGAAUAUAAUAAUAUAAAAAAGAAUCGUAGUUUAAUUUUUAUAAGUAAAUUGGAAAUAAAUAUUCAAUAGUAAAUGAGCUCGAUAGAACUUUUUUCAAGUCUUUUUGAAUUUUUUAAGAUUUAUCAUACGUGGCGUUGUUACACUUAGGGAGAAUCCAUUAUAUCUUGCAGCUCGAUAUAAGGCAACCCGUCAGGUUUCUAGCCUAUAUACUUUGAAUCUUUAAAAUAUUUAAAAUAAGGUUGGAGAGAAGGUCAUCCAUUGCUGUAAUUUUAAUGGACAAGCAAGCUACACGGUAAUAAAAUUAAUUCAUACUUAUUCAUACUUAAGCUGAAUCAAAUAAUAAUUAAGUUGAACCAAAUAUUUAAAAUUAAUUUGGUAACAAAAUAGUUCUGCUCCAAACAGAACCAGCAAUUAAAUCUUUACAAAAUCGCAACCCCAAAAUAUUAAUUUUUCCAAAAUCAUCAUGAUAAAACUAUUAUUGAUUAGAAUUUUGAAAUAAAACGUACCUUAAUAAAAUGUACCUGGUCUACUCCACUCUCACCAGCAAACAAAGCCUGGAGUCAAAAAAGUAAUAUUUGUUAAGUAAUUUAAAGUGAAAAUGCAUAGAAAUAAGGAAAAAAAAUUUAGCAACGAAACCUAUACGUACCUAGAACAAAUGUCAAUGGCUGUGGUGUAUUUAGUUGCACCAAAUAUUAAUUCAGGUGCUCGAUAGUACCUAAAACAGAUGUAAGAUUAUAAGAGUAGCACCAAAUAUAUUUCAGUUUAAGCAAAUAUAAAAACUUUAUCUAUAUCAGUACCAAAUAUUAAUUCGAAGAUUAAAUGGCAGCUUCAGUUGAACCAAUAGUUGUAGGAGGAGCAGGAAGUAGUAACUGAAAUACAUACAACAUUAAUUCACUAAUACAAACACAUGUAAGAUUAUAAGAGUAGCACCAAAUAUAUUUCAGUUUAAGCAAAUAUGAAAACUUUAUCUAUAUCAGUACCAAAUAUUAAUUCGAAGAUUAAAUGGCAGCUUCAGUUGAACCAAUAGUUGCAGGAGGAGCAGGAAGCAGUAACUGAAACAUAUACAACAUUAAUUCACUAAUAUAGACACAUGGAACUAUAUCCUAAAAGUCAAAACACAAGGAAUUAAAGUAUAUGUACCAUAUUUAGUAUACAAUAUAAAUAUACUUCAUAUAUAUUACUUCAUAUAAUUAUUAUAGUAAUAAUUAAAUUUAUUAACAAUCGUCAUAGUACAAAAAUAGGGAAGAAGAAAUUAGGUGUUGGUUAAAAGCAGUCAAAAAAAUAUUUUUGUACAAAAUUAAUUCAAAUACUAAGUAAAUCUUGACAGAAUAACCCAAACAAGAAGGAAUUAUAUAACCAACCUGCAGUGUACAAGAAGUAACAGAUAGGCAUUUGAUCUUGAUAUUAGCAAGAAGUAAACUUUGGCCUCUAGCCUUAACAAGUAAUGUGAUAAGAGAAGUUUCCAACCUAAGUUAAGUGUUAAAAAAAUAUAUAUAUAAUAGGAAAAAGAAAAUGGGGGAAGCAAAUGUUUUAGUCGUUCACAUCUGAGCCUAAGAAUCAAAAGAAGUUUAUAAGAAGAAACUCAUUGACAGACAUUACAGACAAUAGGCUAAAAACAAACAGAUCUGAUAAUAUAUUUUCAUCAAACAUUGAUAAUCAUAUAUAUUUAUAUGUUUAAAUAUUUUGAAUUUGGUAUUUUUAUUUCAAUUCAGGGUUGAUUUUGAGGUAACUUGGGUAAUUUUUUAAAGUAUGUUAUGUUAAUGUUAAAAGUAACUUUUUGUUAUUAAACUGUGUACAAACUUUGAAUCUAUUCAUAUAUAUAUCCCACAUUCCUAAUCAUUACAUAGUAAAAAAGAAAAAUGAAAUUCUAUUCCCAAUAAACACAUUUACUUAAUUUUAUUGAAAUAAAUAAAAUAAUUAAAUCUAUUUUUACACGAGUAUACAAAAAGUAAAAUAUAUAUACAUAUGAUUUCCAGUAAAAUUAAUUUGAUGUUAGAGUUGCUUUGUAGCUUCUUCAAGUAUCCCUUUAGAUCUUAUACUAAUAGGAAGUUGAAUCAGAACUUUUUUCCAUAUCUGCCCAGUUAUGCUUAUGUUAAUAUGUGAAAUUCAGAUGAUACUAAUGUCUUACAAGUUGUAUCCCAUGAUGCAUGAUGCUAUUUAUAUCAUAAAACACAUGGUGUCACUUCAUCCAAAUGGCUGCUUCUUAAACUAGGUUUGCAUGCAGUUAGUGAAUAAACAGCAAAUUAUUGAGGGAAGAAGAAUAGUAUCUCUUUAAAUGCCAUAGCAUAAAGAAUGGGCACAUCAAGAAACAAUACCAUGAAACCAACAUUUGAAGAAUCAUGUUUAAAUCCAAGCUUCACUGACACACAAGUAUACCGUACUAGAUUUAACCAAUUUUUUUAAAAUCACAACGAUACCAAUACAAAUAUGUCUUAAUAAUCACAAAGUUUAGAAUCAAAUUUUUACAGUGCAGCACAAACAAACUAAAAACUGGAAUAAUCUAAAUUACAACUGAGUAAUUGAACUAAAACUUGCAACUCAUAGUGGGAUUCAGAUACCCUAUAUACUGAAUUUUGAAUCUAGAUACUUAAAACUCAAACCUCCUCUCUUACCAACUGUGCUAAGACUUUCAUUAAUGGAGAUUUAACAACUGACAUCAAAAUUUAUAUAAAAUAAUUAAUUAAUUUUACACAACCAAAACAUGACUACCUAGACGAUGAGUAGAACAAGGGGGCAAAAACAAAAGAAAGCAUCUCAAAACUAGAAGCACCAUUGACAUAGUUAAUUAAACAAGCAUUUAGCAAGUUAGAAACAUUCAAGUACCAUCAGGCCGCAUUAAUCUUUUCCUUAACAGUGGGUUGUGGUCCUGUUCAAAACAAUAAUAAAAUAUCAGAAAUAUACAAGCUUGAUAAGGUUUUGCCUAUGUUAGCAAAAUAAAACAAGGAGAGAAAGGAAGAUUGAAACAAGAAAAGCAGAAAGACCCAGAAAGCAGGAAGACGUUAAAACAUACCUUGUAAAAUUUGGGUGUCAUUGGGAAUCCAUGGAAAAAGCUAAAUCCAAGAAGAUGCCCCCACUCAUCUAUAGAGACAGUUGAUUUGUUUCCUUCUAAAACCGAGAAGAUGCGCCGGAUAUUGGGAAACUAGGGUAAAAAUUUUGGGGUAGAAGAAGUUGGGGGAAAUUUGGGGGAAAUCGGGGAAAUUGACUUUGGCAGAGAGUAAAGCAAUUUCGGGCCACACAGAAACGACGCCGUUUUAGUUAAAAAAAUUUAGAUUUUGUGGCGUUUCAUAAAACGCCACUAAUAAAAAUAACAACAAAGUAUAAAACGACAGCAUUUUACUUCCAUGGAUAAUUGUGGCGUUUUUCAAUAAAACGUCGGUAAAUUUUAAUAUCAUUUAGCCUUUAUAUUUUUAUAAUAUUAUUAAUUAAUCAAAAUACUUAAUAUUAUUAACACUAAUUAAUCAAAACUUUAUACCUUAAACCAUUAAACUAUAUCCCUAUAACCUUAAUCCCUAAUGUAUAUCCCUUAAACCCUAAACUAUAUCCCCCAACCAUAAACCACAAAAUAAUAACCCCUAAGCCUUAACCACAAAAUGUAUAGAUUAAUCAUAACCUUAAACUAUAUCUCUUAAUCCUUAAACCACAAAAUAAUAACACUAAUUAAUCAAUACUCUGAACCUUAAACCAUUAAACUAUAUCCCCUACUAAAGUACCGGCCUAAACUAUAUCCCCUAAACCUUAAACCACAAAAUAAAAACCCCUAAGUAUUAACCCCUAACCCCUAACCCCUAACCCUUAAAUCAUAAACCCCAACCCUUAAACCAUAAUACAUAAACCUUAAAAUAGUAACUCAUAAACUUUAAACCCUUAAUCAUAUAACCUAAAUCGUAAACCCUAAACUUUUUAGCGGCAUUUUACCAAAAGCGCCGUUAAUGCUCUUAUUUUUAGCGACGUUUUACCAAAAGCGCCGUUAAUGCUCUGAUUUUUAGCGGCGUUUUACCAAAAGCACCGCUAAUGCUCUUAUUUUUAGCGGCGUUUUACCAAAAGCGCCGCUAAUGCUCUUAUUUUUAGCGACGUUUUACCAAAAGCGCCGCUAUUGCUCUGUUUUUAGCGACGUUUUUGGUAAAACGCCACUAUUGCUCUAUGUUUUACAAUUUUUUUGGCCUUUUUUGAUAAAACGCCGCUAAAGACCUGUUUUCCUGUAGUGUACUAGGAGUUGUGAAUGACACUGUUACUGAAGAAGGAAUUUCAACUUUUGCAAAUGAAAAGAAUUCAAAAUCAGUAGGUGAGCAAGAUAUAAAGGAAAAGAGCAACUAGAAAAAUGCUAAAGCAAAUGCAACUUGUAUUGCCGAUAAAAAUGCCACGAAAAAAUAAUUUAGACAAAUGGAAGGAAGGCCACCACCACCUUUACCUCAGUGGUUCCAAAAAUCAAAACAAGAUGUUCAAUUCAAGAAAUUUUUGGAGGUCCUGAAACAAUUACAUAAUAAUAUACCAUUGAUGGAAGCAUUGGAGCAAAUGCUUAAUUACAUUAAGUUCAUGAAAUAUAUUUUAUCAAAGAAGUGAAGGUUAGUAGAAUUUGAAACUAUUACUCUCAUUGAAGGGUGCACAAUAAUGCGUAGAAACAAAUUGCCACCAAAACUGAAGGAUCCAGGGAGUUUUGCUAUACCUUGCUCUAUUGGCAACCAUUAUGUAGGCAAAACAUUAUGUGAUUUGGGUGGAAGCAUAAAUCUAAUGCCUAUGUCUAUUUUCAGGAAGCUUGGAAUAGGAAAGGCGAGACCCACAACUGUCACAAUACAGUUAGCUAAUAAAUCCUAUGCACAUCCAGAAGGUAAAAUCGAAGACAUGCUGGCAAGAGUUGACAAAUUUAUUUUUCCAGCAGAUUUUAUUAUUCUGGAAUUUGAGGCUGAUAAAGAGGUACCAAUCAUACUUGGGAGACCUUUUUUAGCAAUUGGUAGAACAUUAAUUAAUGUCCAAAAAGGUGAAUUAACUAUAAGAGUUAAUGAUCAACAAUUAACUUUUAAUGACUUUAAUGCUAUGAUGUGUGCAGAUACAAAUGAAGAAUGCCAUGCUAUUGAGAUUAUUGAUACAACAAUACAAGAAAAAAAUGAAGAUUUUUGUUCUAACACUUUAGAAAAUAAUGCAGAUGUAUGCGAGUUAAUUGAUGCAGACAUGAUUACAGAUCUUGAUAAACUGAUGGAAGUUCAGCAAAUUGGAAAUGGAUCAAGGAGAAGUUUCGAAUCAUUAAAUUUGUCCGACCAUUCUUUUGAACCUCCUCAACCAUCCAUAGAAGACCUUUCUACGCUAGAAUUGAAUCCUUUGCCAGUACGUUUGAAGUACAUGUGGGAGAUAACAACAUAUUGCCAGUAGUUAUCUCUACUAAGUUAACAACAUAUCAAUAGGCUUAAUUAUUGAAAGUUUUAAGGAAAUCUAAGAAAUUCUUAGGGUGAUCAAUUGCAGAUAUGAAGGAAAUCAGUCCAGGAAUUUGCAUGCACAAGAUAAUCUGGAGGAUUCCCAUGGCAAAUCUAUUGACCAGUAAAGGAGAUUGAAUCCCAUCAUGAAGGAAGUUAUGAAAAAUAAGAUUAUCAAAUGGUUGGAUGCUGAAAUUAUAUACCCAAUUUUCGAUAGUUCUUAGGUGAGCCCUAUUCAAUGUGAACCUAAAAAAGGGGUGUCGUUGUGCUAAGCAACGAUAGCGUCGAACUUAUUCCUACUCAUAUUGUCACGGGAUGAAGGGUUUGUAUGGAUUAUCAGAAAAUGAACAAACAAAUAAGGAAGGACCAUUUCCCUUUGCCAUUUAUCGAUCAAAUGUUGGAUAGACUAGCUGGAAAAGCCUUCUACUACUUUUUUGGAUGGAUACUCAGGGUACAAUUAGAUUGCCAUAAUUUCUACUGCUCAAGAAAAGACCACAUUCAUAUGUCCAUAUGGAACUUUUACAUUUAGAAGAGUGCCAUUUGGAUUAUGCAAUGCCCCUGCAACUUUUUAGCGUUGUAUAAUGGAAAUAUUUUUAGACAUGGUGGAGAAAUUCCUAGAAAUCUUUAUGGAUGAUUUCUCUGUGUUUGGCGAUAAUUUGAAGUGUAACAUCCCAAAAAUCAGGGGUUAGUGGAAUCAGGUUUGUGAAUUGUGAGAGAGUGAUCAUGCCUUAAUUUUUAAGAUUAUCUAUGCAUUUUUAAAAAAUAAAUGAUGAUUGCUUUAUUGGUUAAGUGUUAGUGAAACGUUCCUUGAAGCCCAAGUUCAAAUCCCUUCUUUCUUACCAUUUUUAUUAUUUUGCAAAAUUUGCCUUAAACCCUAGUAUGUGACAUGCCUUGUUUUAAAGUAAAUAUUGUAAAAUUAUUUCAAGAAUGAGGAAAAAGCCUAAUGGUUAAAAGAAAUAUGAGAAAGCAUGGAAAUGAAAUAAGCUCCCAAGUUCAAAUCCUUUCCCUUACAAAAUCCUUUGUUUUUUUCAUCCAUAUCCUUGAACCCUAAGUAUAAAUACAACUUUUUUAUUGUAUUUUUCAUCUUUUAAUUCAAAUUUUCCCUACCCUAGUCAUUUACCUUUUCUCUCUCCUCUUCUCUCUUCAAUUUUCUUUCUUAUCCCAUUGUUGUCGUCGCCUACACCUCUCAUUUUACCAUCUCUUUCUUCUUAUUUUUGCAUCAAGAUUGUGAAAUAUCUCCUUUACUCUAUUUUUGAAAUUUAUCUCAUCUAAAUGAGCCCCAAAUCUGAAAUCUUGAACCGUAAGAUCGAUCUCAAACAUUGCCAGGAAAGUGCCAUUGCCGUUUCUCUCAACUAGCUUGGGUAAGAUCUCUUUUCUCUUCAAUUUUUUUUAUUAAUCUUGCAAAUUAAAAACAAAAAUUUCCAGAUCUGGAAUUUGAGGGUCUUUAAAUUAUGUCAAAGGUAUUUUUUUAAAUUUUAAUGAGAUCUCAAACCGUUUUAAAAUUCAGCCCGAAUAUUGGUCACCAUAGGUGGUGGUGCAUGCGCCUAUGUGCAAGAAAGGGGGCUGUUUUGUUUCUUGGGUCUUGAAAAUAUUUUUAUAAUAUUAAAUUGUGUUAUUUAACCCUCCUAAUAAGCCUUUAAUCAUAUGAUAAUUAGGGAUAGACAUUUUUAAUCAAUUAGCCAAUCAGAUCCCACAAAUCAUGAAGCGUAAGUGCAAUUAAGGAUAAUUAGUUUGGUAUUUCAACAUAGUUGUUGGGUAAAGGUUAUGAAUGGAUUAAAUGAAGGAAUUUAAUCAUUAAUUAGCUACUAAUUUCCCAGUAUAUUAUUGAAUUAGGUGCUGACCCAAAUGCCCUAAAUCAUCUGUAAAGGCAAAGAACGAUUGUACGUACGGUUCACAUCAAUAUAGUGUAAGGAAUCUAACUAGUUUGGAUUCACAAAAUAAUUAUAAUUUCAACGAUUGGUUUGAACUCAUAAGUGGUGUUUUGGGGAUGGUUUAAUGCUAAAUUUAUUUUAUUUAUAUUGAAUUUUGGUUUAGGUUCCUUUAGGGAUGUAACACCCCAAAAAUUUAAGUAUUUAUUUUUGUUGUUGUGUUGCAUAAAUGCAUGCUUGCUUCAGUGGUUAAGUGCCCUGAGAAGUGUUGGAGAAGUCCUGAGUUCAAGCCCUGGCUUGUACAAUUUGUUUUUGCAUGAAUUAAACCUGUUUCUGAUCAGUAGGUCUUUUAAAUAAAAGUGGGUAAAGUUUGACACAAGAAGCUUGCUGAUCUAGGGGUAAGUGGCGUGUGGAGUGUACCAGUGGAUUUGAGGUUCGAGUCGUAGAUUUUGCAAAGGAUUUUUAUUUUGCUAUAAGUGUCGUGGAGGUGUCCUAGGUUGACCGAAAUUGAGGAGUUGGAAUGGGUUUGAAUGGGUGGUUGAGAAGAGAAAAACUAGGAGAUUUUGAGGGGAUUUAGAUAGUGAUCAGGUUGAGUGAUGUGAGGAGGGAUUUUAGGAGAAAUUCUAGGAAGUUGGGGAGAGAGGAGAAAGUGUACCGAAUUAGGUUUGUGGAAUUCAAGAAGUUCGGCUAGAGUGGAAUUUAUGAAAAAAUUAUCAGUUUUGUUUUCUUUUUUGUUGGUGGCCGAAUAGUGUUGGGGGUUUCUCUAGGGUUUUGCGAAUUUGUUUAUUCAUUUUUUGUACCAUUUGUUCCUUUUCUUUUAACACUUUUGAGAUUUGGAAAAUUGUGACUCUUAGGUUUUCUUCUUGGUCGACUACUCUACCUUCUCCCUCCCUUUUCUGGCUUGUUGUUAACCGUAUAUCUUUUCUUCUUUUUCUUUCUGCAUCUCUUCUGUUUCCAAUCGCUCCUCUUACCACCUCCCAUCAUUUUGAACACUUUCUGAAUACCCUUUCUCUUUUCCUCUCCUCUUGUCAUCUUUGCACCAUUAAUACUUUGAUUGUGGCGGUAUUGCUUCCUUCCUACUUCUGCUUUUGGGUUUUUACAAUUAAUCCUUGAACCACCGGUAGGUGUUUGAAUUUCUCUUUGUUCAUUCUUUUUUCUCAAUGUGGUAAUCUCCUUUUAACACUGUGGUUCUGCCGAUUGCUGCUAGGGGCUUAUCUCAGUAGUCAAGGGGUUAAGCCGAUCAUUCUUUCCCAACUAGUGAUUUUUCACUCGUGGUAACUGCUAUAAGUGCUUGAUUUACGUAUCUUGGGUUAUAUAUUCUUAUGAAUGGUAUAAUUGUUUCGUGUGAAGGUUAAAGCAUUGGAGGGAACGUUGGUUUUGGAACAGAAGGAGUGUUGCGAUUGUUCGGUUUGUAAGUAGUGAUAAUUGAUUAAAGUAUAUUCAAUACUAUGGUUUUGAGGUUGACUACGAAUAUGGACUGAUGAUGAGGUUGUUGUUAAUCAUAGGUGCUUUAAUCUCGGAAGUGUUUCUGCUACAAUCUCAUAACAGGUGUAUGUGUAACACUACCAUUAGAUGUGAAACGACAAAAGCUGAAAAGUCGAAUGGAGGGCUGUCAACACCACACGGGCGUGUGGCAGUCUGUGUGGCAGGCCGUGUGGCAAAACAUGGCUGUGUGAUCGACGAGAAAGCCAUGAGCAAUUUCAUGGGCCAAAAUGGUAUUGGGCUAUUUUGGGCCAAACUGGGCCAUGUGGGCCUAAUGGUCCUGUGGGCCCCACAUGAGAAAAACACACAAAAGUGUGGUAUAUAUUGGGCCAAGCUUUGUAAACCACACGACUAAGGCCGUUUCUAGGGUAUAUUGGCCAUAUAGCGUAUGGGCCCACAUUGGCCCGAAACAUGAGUUGUAGGCCCAGUAUCACUGAUUGACUGUUAAGGUUGCACGAGUCACUCAAGAUGAUUGUGGACCUUCUAUUGGUCCGGUAUGUACACCUGGGCCCUUAGUUUGUUAAGAUGACUGUUUUACCCCUGUGUGAUGUAUGACUGUUUGACAUGCCAUUUUUACUGUAUGUACAUUUAUAUUAUGUUGCAUCGUUUGGGAUAUAUGAUUUUAGAGGAAGUGUACUUAAAGGCUGUAAGCAUAUUAUCGGGACCUCUGCUACAAAUAUUGUUUUAGUGUCGCAACUGGCACAACUUGGUGUGUAGGGUUGGAUGGGUCGAUUUUAUCCCCACAUGGUGUGUAGGGCUGGUACAGAGAUGGUGUGUAGUGGAUGGAUUAGGUAGGAUUCUUUGCUUGCAUAUUGUACUGAAAUGGGCUAAGUCCCAGACUACCAUUGUUACUGAAAUGGGCUUAGGCCCAAACUGCUACUGCUACUGAAAGAGGGGCUAAGGCCCUGAACUGGAACUGAAAAGGCUUAGGCCCAAAUUGUGUUUACUCUAACUGUUUGCUAUUAUGGGAUUUCACACACUGAGUUUACAUAAACUCACCCAUCUAUUAUCUAUGCAGGAAAUCCCUAACCUUAGACAGAUCAAGAUGAUGGAGGACUCAUAGGUGGCCACUCGAUGAAGUUUCUUUUAAUUUUAUAAUUAAGAUUUUAUUUUGGGUUUUCAUUUUGUAAUAAGGCGUCUUUAAUUUUAUUUUUUCGUUAAUUUGGGGAUUUAGUUACUUAAAUUUUAAUCUGGUAGUAGUAGGUCUCGAAUUUUCAAGAAAGUAUAAUUAUUUUUUUUUGAAAAUACCACGUUUACGCAACACAUUUUGAAAGCUUCUGCAACAAACAGUGUUUUAAAAUUUAAUAACAAACUAAUAUAAUUAAUAUUUUGCUAAAAAAAUUGAGUUUUCGCAAUGAACCGGACAUCCUAAACAUUUGUUUGGAACCUAAGGAAGUUUUAUGUAGAACGAAUUUUCACGCAAAUUAUGUUUUGGAAAAACUCUCCAAUUUGACAUCACAGAUUCAGUAAUAACGUCUAGGCCAGGUUUACGAUGUUAAUUUAGUGGUAUCAGAGCCAGGUUGCAAAACUCAAUUCUGGAUUUGGGUUUUUUUUCAAAAACAUGAAAAUUUCAUCAACAUUGUUUUAAAAUGGUUUAAAGUGAUUAUCUGGAAAUGUUUUAAUGAAUGAGUGGACACUGAGCCUCCGCGCCGAUCCUGUAAGUUUUCUGAUUGUUUAUUCUAAAUGGAUAAUAUUGAAAUGUUAUUAGUAAGACUACUUUAGGUAGUAAAACUGUACUGAAACUCUUUAGUUAGAGUAAACUAUGAACUGUAGUAAGAAUAAGAACUGCGAAAACAAAACUCUGAGAUAAUAUUGUUGAUAAGGUAUCGAUAAUAAAAUUGGAACAAUAAGCUGAUUGGCAUAAAAAUUUUAAUAUUGAUAAAAGCACGAUUGGGUAAUGAGCACUAGAGGUACUCGUGGUAGAGGCUGUAGCAGAGGCCGUGGAGGUGCUUGAGCUAGGUCUUCAUCUUCGGGACACUAGCUUAAUGAGGAAGUUGGGGAGGCACCAGCUUCACCUAUGACUGAGACAGGGUCUCAAAAUUGAGCGGCUGGGGACGACACAUUAUUCCAAGCGAUGUUGAGGAUUCUAGAAAGGGUCGCUGGGUCUAGUAUUGGUUCUAUGGGUAGUAGGUUGGUUACGGAAUGGCUCAGGUCUAAUGGGGCUGAGAUAUUCAGGGGUAUUGCUGGAAUGACCCUUAAUUUGGCUGAAUAUUGGAUCGAGGCCACGGAGAGGAUCAUGGAUGACCUCAACUGCGUCCCCGAGCAAAAAUUAAAGGGUGCAGUAUCACUGUUGAGAGAUGAGGCCUACCAGUGGUGGCUUACCAUCAAAGAAGGCACUCAAACUGAUCGAUUGACUUGAGAGUUUGUAAAAAGUACUUUUCAGGCUAAGUAUGUGGGUGCCAGUUAUACGGAUCCUAUUAGGAGGGAAUUUCUAAAUCUAAUUCAGGGGAUAAGUCAGUAGCUGAGUAUGAGGCUGAAUUUCUGUGUCUGAGCCGCUAUGCACGUGGGAUGAUGGAAACUGAAUACGAGCGGUGCGUUCGAUUUGAGGAUGGCCUCAGAGAUGGUUUAAGGGUUCUGAUAUCCCCUCAGAAGGAGUGGGAUUUCACAGCACUGGUUGACAAGGCAAAAAUCGCCGAGUAUGUGACGCGCGUUGAGCACCAGAACAGAGAGAAAGGUAGAGCUAAGAGGGAUGCUGAGCCCUCAAAUUCUUUUCAGAGGUUUAAGAAAAAGCCUAAAGCUGUUGGGCUAAUCAGAGUUAGGAUCCCUGCUGCUGCUACUACUGGAUUACAGUUUUGUGCUGAUUGUGAAAAAGGCCACCAGGGCGAAUGUUGGAAAAAGAUGGGUACAUGUCUGAGAUGCAGAUCGUUGGAGCACCAUGUCAGAGAUUGUCAAUGGAGGCCUGAGUAAACACAAGCUAUUGGUUUGGGUAACGUACAGCGGGGUGGUCAGUAGCCACCGAGAGGCUGAGGUCAGUUCAGGGGUGGAAAUGGUUUGGGCUGUGGUCAUGGAGCACCGGGCAGAGGUGUGGGUCGUACUAAGGUGAGGCAGCUGGCACUGGUUUAUGCUGCACGUCACCGAGAGAAUAGAGAUGCUCCAGAUUUCAUUACGGGUACGUUCUUUAUCCAGAAUGUACCUUAUACUACAUUGAUUGAUGUCGGGUCUACUCAUUCAUACAUAGCAUGCUCUGUGUCUAAGAUAUUGGGUUUUAUAGUUGAAAACACUAUGAGUGAGAUUACUGUUCUAAGUCCGCUGGGGUAGUCCAUUUGGAUAAAUAAGAUGUUUAGAGAUGUUCCCUUGAAGAUACAAGGAGUUAUCUUUCUGGCCAAUCUUAUGGAGCUACCUUUCGGAGAAUUCGACCUAAUACUGGGCAUGGAUUGGUUAGUUAAACAUCAGGUAAGCUUGGAUUGUGCCACCAAAUGGGUUGUACUAAGAGCUGAGGCAGAUAAGGAGGUAGUGGUAAUUGGGGAAUGACAGAAGUAUUUGAGUAAUGUAAUUUCUGCACUAAAGGCCGAGAAAUUGGUUCACAAGGGUUGUGAGGCGUUCUUGGCCUAUGUAGUGUUUCGGAUGUUGGGGACUCUUCGGUAAAGGAUAUCAGGACUGAUAAGGAUUUUUUAGACGUCUUUCCUGAAGAGCUACUAGGGGUACCUCUAGAAUGUGAAGUGGAGGUUGGUAUUGAACUCUUUCCUGGUAUGGCUCUGGUGUCCAUUGCCCCUUAUAGAAUGGCACUGAAAGCGCUUAUGGAGCUUAAGGCCCAGAUUCAAGAGCUACUGGACUGUGGGUUUAUUUGAUCUAGUGUGUCUCUGUGGGAAGCACCAGUUUUAUUUUUGAAAAAGAAGGAUGAAUGAUCACGUGGUUUUGUGAUAGGUUUUAAAAUUUUAUAAUUACUCGUUAUUAAACUAGCUAUUAUCACGAUGUAGGCAAGUGUACCUAUCGAACAGUAGUAUAGUUUUAGCAAGACCGGAUUGUCGAACUCAAAGAAACUAAAAGUACUAGUAAUGACUAUCUUUUUAUUAUCUAGCCUAAGAAUAAAGAGGUUUUUUUUAAUUAACUAAUUUUCUAAACUAAGAACAAACAAAGAAAAGAAUUGGGGAAUUGCUUUUGGGGAAAAUCAUUGACUUAAGACAAUACUUAAGGAAAAAUACACCUAGACUUUACUUGUUAUUCUGGCUCCGAACCGGACGAUUUAUUCAUUCAACUUGUUCCUUAGAGAUCCCUAAGUUAUGUUAUUAUCCCUAUUCAAGACCAAUAACGUCUAAUCCCUAGAUUGAAUAACCGAGACUUUUCUCUAAUUAACACUCUAGGGUUGCAUUAACUCGAUCUAUGGAUCCCUUUAUUAGGUUUCACCCUAAUCCAGAAAAAUCUUAUCACCCUAUGUCUGGGCGCACAAACAACUCCGCUUAAUUAUGACAAAUAUACUCUUAGAUAGGGUCUAUUCAUCCUUUGAAUAAGAGCUUGUCUUGAAUCGGUAUCCUGGGAUAUCAAAACAAGUAUUAAGAACACAUAAUUAAGAACAAGUUAAAUAUUUAUCAUACGAUUCAGAAAAUAAUAACAAGAUUUGUCUUAGGUUUCAUUCCCCUUAGGUAUUUAGGGGUUUUAGUUCAUAACUAUAUAAGAAAAUAUCUCAGAAGAAUAAAGAAUAAAAAACUUAAAGAAAACCUAAAAAUCCUGAAGGGAAAUUGAGGAGAGAUCUUCAGUCAUGAUGAUGAAUCCAGCUUCUGAGAUGGAUCAAUCGGCUUCCUUGGAGUAAAUCCUUACUCCCUAUUCUCCGUCUCCCUUUUCUUUCUCCUCUAGGGUUUAUUUAUAGGCUUUGGAAUGCCUAAAAGCCCUCAAAAUUAGCCUUUUCUGAAUUGGACUCAACUUGGGCUCGGCAGGGACACGCCUGUGGCACACGCCCGUGUUCGAUUACUUCUGGCCGUGUUCGAGCCUGCCAAAUUGACAUGGCCGUGUAGUCUUCCCGUGUGAGGAGGUCCAGGCCAUGUUGAUUUCGUACUUUGGCCCAUUUUCUCCAUUUUUGGCCCGUUUCUCGUUCCUUUCGCUCUCUUAUGCUCUCCUAAGUAUAAAACAUGAAAUUAAAGCAUUGGGAGCAUCGAAUUCACCAAUUCUAAUGGAAAAUCAUCCAUAAAUGCAUUAAACAUGGGGUAAAAAUAUGUAUAAAUUACGGUUUAUUAAACACCCCCACACUUAAGUAUUUGCUUGUCCUCAAGCAAAAUUCUCAACUCAUAAUCAAAAUAAAUUCUUCUCAACUUAUAAUUUCUAUCGAUAAUAUAUCAGAAUAAUUCAUAGGUAAUCAUACAUUGAGAAUUCAACUAAAAGAACAUAAAAGUUUCAAGCAUUCCAAGUUGAGUAUUUAAUCAUGCAAACAUAGGUGUCUCUCCGCAUCUAAGUAAUUACCUUUGAUUCAGAAUAUCACAGUCUUACAUCCUCACUAAAGAUUCACUAAAAUCACUCGAGGUGUUUAAGGACAAUAAAUGAAGCAUUCAAUAGUCAAUAAUGAAAAGUCAUUACCAUAGGCUUGCAUAAAAAUCAAAUCUCUACCACUAUAAUUUAAGAUGAUACAUUAAUCAAAAGGUCUUUGGAGGGUUGUAGUGAGGCUUGGUUAGGGGGGUGUGGUCACAAGCUGAAAGAAAGGGUUAGAAUCGGGAUUGAAUUGAAAAAUUGCCUAGCUAGAAAAAGAGUUAAUCUUCACUUGCGUACAACAGAGCUUUUUCUCAAAAUAUGAAAUUACAGAUAUGUAUACAUAGUUUCUUUUUAAAUUACAAGUUAAAAUAAUAUAGACUAACUAUUAAGAAAAAACCAUAGAUAAGCAAUUCAUUCAACUCAAAUCUCGACAAAAAUAGGGAUUAAUUUAAGGGAUUUCAACAAUAAUGGGUUAAAGGUUAAUAUUGAGGUUAAUACAAGGAAUGGCUUGUUAGGCUCAAAUGGGUUCACUAAGGGUUAAUCAUGGAGGUAGGCUUUUCAUGGCAUGAAUGGGUUAAUCCUAAGUGCCUUAAUCAUUUUGAUAUAUCAAAUAAAAUGGUGUGGUGGUCUCGACAUGCAUAAUCAAGCAAGUUCUAGAAUAACAGUUCAAUACUGACGCACUCAAAGCAAUAAUAAAAGUGAGCAUGAAAGAAUUAAUAGAUGCUCAAAAGGCUCAAAAAUCUCAAAAAAAAAUUAUGGCUUUUUGAUGUUAAAAUUUGUGAAUCCCAACUCAAAGUAAUACCUAAACUUUGGGGAAACAGCUUAAGAUUUUGAAUUCUUAAAAAUCAACUCAUCAUGCUUGAUUCUCUAAUAUCUUAAAAUUAAAAAAUCAAUUCAUAAUUGCCUAUGUUUUAAUUCAAGAUAUAUCAAUCAAAAUCAUAAAUCAAUCAAAAUUUAUCCUAAAUAUGAUAUGAGAGCUUUUUAAGAGAACAAGGCAAUCAUUCAGGGAUUUUUCUGAUAAAAAUUCCCCCUACACUUAAGACGUACAUUGCCCUCAAUGUACAAAGAUAGAUAUUAGAGUAUAUAAAAUUAAGAUAGGGAGAGAAGUAAAACUUCCUGUAUUAAGAAUGAAUGAUAUUUUUAUAUUGACGAGAUCGAGUAUUGGAAAUAACUCUGGAUGGCAAGCUUGACUCUGAAGGUAAACCAUUUUUAAAAGGAAAACGAUUGAAUCUUAAAAACUUAAUGAAAGAAAAAUAAAUAAGAAUUAUUCUAAUUUUUCAAGUGGCAUAGCCGGUGCACACGCCCGUGUGGUUCGUGUCCCGUCUGUGUUCAUCGUGAAUUGUGAUAUCGUCACACAGCCUUAUCGUACGCCCGUGUGUAUAGGCUGUGUGGCUACAAAUCAUGUUGCACGGCCAUGUCUAGCGUAGUUCGCUUCUCCCACGGUCGUGUAAGUUUUCACACGCCCGUGUCAUUCUGACAGUGUUGUCCUCGGGUACUAGACACGGGCAUGUCGAACACUCGUGUUUAUUUGGCAGAUUCGACCAGGGCCAUGUCGCACGACCGUGGCGUGUAAUCGUAACUCAUGUUGGGGAAAUAUUUGUCCCUGUUUUCACAUGGCUUAAGCACGCCCGUGUGCUUGGCUGUGUCUUUGUGGAAACACCUGUAUUCAAUAUUUCUAUCAAUAAGUUAGGAUUUAAAUACCAAAAUUUAAAGAAAUUAAUAUUGUUAGUGCUCGGGUUGCCUCCCAAGAAGCGCUUAUUUAUAGUCUAAGCUCGACUUACCUCUCUAGUGAAUGGUCAUGGUGGUUUGAGGAGUUUAUACUCCUAAUUCCUGCUAUAAAUCUCAUCAAAAUAAGGUUUUAAUCAGGUGUUGUUUACCUUAAAAGUGCCUAACUUAGGAUGACUCACCUCCACCGUACUGAAUGGAAAAAUACUGAGUACAUAAGAGGGGUUUCCUCAUUCGGUAUGGUAGUGAAAAUGUGGGGAUCUACGGCAUCUAAUAAGACCUUAUCACCAACCUUAAGUUGAUUUGAAGAGGUAUCGGACUCGUUUUGGCGUAGUUUCAAUUUUUUGAGUGUUCUUAGUUUGUGCGUCCACCGUUCAUCGAGUUCCUCAAUUUGUAAUCUUCGAUCUUCAUGAACAGGACCUCUACUGGUGCUUGAGAACGACUCAUGUGCUUUUUUCAUACUCAUUUUUUUCAAAAUAGGUUGCACCAUAUUGUUAGUUUUAACAGAAUGGUUUAAAUGAUCACCUUCAAUUCUUGAUGUGUUGCCAGAAUUGCGAGCUUGAAGGGUGAUUGUUUCGUCUCCCACCUGGAGUGUGAGUUCACCUGUGCCAACAUCAAUAAUGGUUUUAGCAGUUGCUAAAAAGGGCCUUCCUAGAAUUAAGGGAGUGUUGCUAUCCUCUUCUAUGUCUAGAACAAUAAAGUCAAUGGGAAAUAUAAAUUUAUCGAUUUUAACUAGCACAUCUUCAAUAAUACCUCUAGGGAAUCUUAUAGUUUUAUCUGCUAAUUGAAUGCUCAUCCUAGUCUGUUUGGGUUUCCCAAGACCUAGUUGCUUAAACAUUUUGUAAGGCAUGAUGUUGAUACUAGCCCUUAGAUAAGCUAAUGCAUGAUUAACAUCUAAACUACCAAUUAAGCAAGGAAUAGUAAAGCUCCUUGGGUCUUUUAGUUUGUUAGGUAGUUUAUUUUAGAGAAUGGCCGAGCAAACUACGUUCAGCUUCACAUGCGACGCCUCAUCCAUCUUCCGCUUAAUUGCUAAAAGCUCAUUUAAAAAUUUCAUUGCAUUUGGCAUAUGUGAUAGAGCUUCAAUAAAUUGUAAGUUAAUGUGUAAUUUUUUUAAGGGUUUAAGGAAUUUACCAAAUUGUUCAUCUGAGAGGUCUUUCCUUGUCGCGUUGGGGUAUGGCACACGAGGUUUAUAUUCGACUAUCACUGGUUUGUUUGUAUUUUGAUCUACCUCACCUUAACCUUUGCUUACCACAGUUUCUUGCCUCAGUUCUGUUUCAGGCUCAACGACUUAUUCAUCAUCUUGAAUAUUAAUUACAUUGAGUUGUUCCCUUGGGUUAGGUUCAGUAUUACUUGGGAAACUACCUUGUGGUCAUUUGGAGAUUAGUUUGGAAAGCUGGCCUAUCUGAGUUUCGAGGCUUUGGAUCGACGCUUGUUGAUUUUUAAGUGUUGUCUCAGUGUUCUAAAAAUGGGUUUCUGACACUGAUAUAAACUUUGAUAGCAUCUCUUCAAGGUUUGGCUUCUUUUCCUAUUGGUAGGGUGGUUGUUGGUAGCCCAGAGGAUGUUGUGGUCUUUGAUUUCCUUGACCGCCCCACGAGAAAUUGGGGUGGUUCCUCCAACCUGCAUUAUAAGUGUUACUAUAUGGAUUGUUUUGAGGUCGAGGAUUAUUACCCAUGUAGUUUAAGUGCUCGUUAUCCAUGCUAUGGCCAUAAGGUUGGUAUUCUGAAUGGUUUAUUCCACCGCUACUUGCUUCGCACUGCAUUACUGGGUGAACCUGUGACGAACCAAGAAAACCAUCAAUCUUUUUAUUCAAAAUUUCUACCUGAUUAGAGAGCAUGGUGACCGAAUCGACGUUAUAAACACCGGCUAUUUUUGUUGGCUUUGUCCUCAUGACUUGCCACUGAUAGUUAUUCAGUUACAUCUCCUCUAUAAACUCAUAGGCAUCUUCCGGUGUUUGAUUGUUGAUGGUUUCGCCAGCAGCUGCAUCAACCAUUUGCCGAGUCGAAGGAUUCAGACCAUUGUGGAAUGUUUGAGCUUGGAGCCAAAGCGGUAACCCAUGGUGAGGGCACCUUCUCAGUAAGUCCUUGUAUCUCUCCCAUCCAUCUGCACAAAAGAGGAGAUGUCAUUACGUAAUUUAGCCGUUUUAGCCGGCUGAAAAUAUUUUAGUAAAAGUUUUUCGGUCAUUUGUUCCCAAGUAGUAAUUGACUAUCGUGGUAACGAGUUCAACCACUGCUUAGUGAUUUUAAAUGUAUCGCAAAAUUCCAAAAAGUUUGCUAAGUGAGCAUUGGGAUCUUCAUCAUGCAAACCAUCAAACUGAACAAAUUGCUGUAUCAUUUGAAUAGUGUUAGGUUUUAAUUCAAAAUUAUUUGCAGCUACAGCAGGUCUAACUAUGCUAGAUUCAGUUUCUGUUAAAGAAGGUUUAGCAUAAUCAUACAUAAUGCGUGGAGCAGGAUUUUGAUUAACCGCAAUUGCAGGAGGUUGUUGAUUACCUUGGUUUUUAGCCAUCUCUUCGGUUGGGGGUUGAGUAUCGUCUUCUUGCUCGUUCUCUGUGUAUUUUAAGCUUCGCCUUAUUUUUCUUUGGUUUCUACGAACUGUGCGAUCGAUUUUUUCGUCAAAAAGUAGUGGCCCUGACGGGUUUCUUCUAGUCAUAAACUAUAAAAACCUGCCAAGAGAUGGAAAAAAAUAAAUAAGUGAGUAAUAAUAAUAUAAAAUCAAAUUGCAAGAAAAAUAAAUGGCUAAAGUAAUAAAAUUUGAGCGUUCCUAAUAUUUCAGUUCCCCGGUAACGGUGCCAAAAACUUGAUCAAGUGGUUUUGUGAUAGGUUUUAAAUAUUUAUAAUUACUCAUUCUUGAACUAGCUAUUAUUGCGAUGUAGGCAAGUGUACCUAUCGAACAGUAGUAUAGUUUUAGCAAGACCGGAUUGUCGAACCCAAAGAAACUAAAAGUACUAGUAAUAACUGUCUUUUUAUUAUCUAGCCUAAGAAUAAAGAGAUUUUGUUUUAAUUAACUAAUUAUCUAAACUAAGAACUCACAAAGAAAAGAAUUGGGGAAUUGCUUUUGGGGAAAAUCGAUUGACUUAAGACAAUACCUAAGGAAAAAUCCACCUAGACUUUACUUGUUAUCUGGCUCCGAACCGGACGAUUUAUUCAUUCAACUUGUUCCAUAGAGAUCCCUAAGUUAUGUUAUUAUCCCUAUUCUAGACUAAUAACGUCUAAUCCCUAGAUUGAGUAACUAAAACUUUUCUCUAAUUAACACUCUAGGGUUGUAUUAAUUCAAUCUUUGGAUCCCCUUAUUAGGUUUCACCCAAAUCCGGCAAAAUCUUGCCACCCUCUGUCUAGGCGCGCAAUCAACUCCGCUUAAUUAUGACAAACGUACUAUUAGACAGGGUCUAUUCCUCUCUGAAUAAGAGCUUGUCUUGAAUCGGUAUCCUGGGAUAUCAAAACAAGAAUUAAGAACACAUAAUUAAGAACAAGUUAAAUAUUUAUCAUACGAUUCAGAAAAUAAUAACAAGAUUCAUCUUAGGUUUCAUUCCCCUUAGGUAUUUAGGGGUUUUAGUUAAUAACUAAAUAAGAAAACAUCUCAGAAGAAUAAAGAAUACAAAGCAUAAAGAAAACCCAAAACUCCUGAAGGGAAAUUAAGGAGAGAUCUUCAGUCUUGAUGAUGAGUCCGGCUUCUAAGAUGGAUCAAUCGGCUCCCUUGGAGUAAUUCCUUACUUCCUGUUCUCCGUCUCCUUUUUCUUCCUCCUCUAGGGUGUAUUUAUAGGCUUUGGAAUGCCUAACAGCCCUCAAAAUUAGCCUUUUCCGAAUUGGACUCAACUUGGGCUCGGCAGGGACAUGCCCGUGGCACACGCCUUUGUUCGAGCCUACCAAAUUGACACGACCGUGUAGUCUGCCUGUGUGAGGAGGUCCAGGCCGUGUUAAUUUCAUACUUUGGCCCAUUUUCUCCUUUUUUGGCCCAUUUCUCGUUCCUUUUGCUCUCCUAUGCUCUUCUAAGUAUAAAACAUGAAAUUAAAGCAUUAGGAGCAUAGAAUUCACCAAUUCUAAUGGAAAAUUAUCCAUAAAAUGCAUUAAACAUGGGGUAAAAAUAUGUAUAAAUUACGGUUUAUCAAUAGAUCCAUGCGUAUGUGCAUCGACUACUGACAACUGAAUAAGCUGACCAUUAAGAACAAAUACCCUCUGCCAAGGAUUGAUGAUUUGUUCGACCAACUGCAAAGAGCAUCGAUUUUCUCUAAAAUAGAUCUCCAGUCGAGGUAUCACCAAUUGAGAGUUAAAGAGGUUGAUGUGCACAAGAUGGCAUUUAGGACUCGUUGUGGUCAUUACGAGUUCCUGGUAAUGGCUUUUGGGCUGACAAAUGCACCAGUAGCUUUUAUGGAUCUGAUGAACCGUGUGUUCCAACCUUAUCUGGAUCGGUUCAUAGUAGUGCUUAUUGAUGAUAUUCUGGUGUAUUCGAAGAUUGAGGUUGAGCAUGAUGAGCAUCUCUAAGUGGUUUUAUAGACUUUGAGAGAGAAGCAAUUGUACGUCAAGUUCAGUAAGUGUGAAUUUUGGUUACGGGAGGUGGCAUUUCUGGUCAUGUGGUAUCUGCUGAGAGGAUUAGGGUGGAUCCUCAGAAAAUUGAAGCUGUUUUGGAUUGAAAGCAGCCUAAGUCAGUAUCUGAGAUUCGAAGUUAUCUAGGACUGGUAGGGUAUUAUAGACGGUUUGUUGAGGGGUUUUUGUUGAUUGCUGCGCCUCUGACUAAGUUGUUGCGUAAAUGGGUACCAUUUAACUGGACUGAUAAGUAGUAGCGAAGUUUUGAGAAGCAGAAGAAAGUUCUAAUUGAGGCUCCUGUCUUGAUUUAGCCAGAUUCUGGGAAAGAGUUUACUGUGUACAGUGAUGUAUCACAUGUUGGUUUGGGUUGUUGAUACAAGGAGGUAAGGUAAUGGCAUAUGCAUCUCGUCAACUUAAGAUGCAUGAGGUGAACUACCCGAUGCAUGACUUGGAGUUCACUGCGGUGGUUUUUGCACUAAAGAUAUUGAGGCACUACCUAUACGAUGAGAAGUGUAUCAUCUACAUGGAUCACAAGAGCCUCAAGUAUCUCCUCACUAAAAAGAAGCUGAAUCUUAGGCAGCAUAGAUGGGUUGAGCUGUUUAAGGAUUACGACUAUUCGAUUGAAUACCAUCCUAGUAAAUCCAAUGUGGUGGCCGACGCACUGAGCGGUAGGGCUAUGACUGAUCUGAGGGUGAUGUUCGCUGGACUUAACUUAUUCAAUGAUGGUAGUCUGUUAGCUAAACUUCAAGUUAAACCGAGGUGGAUUGAACAGAUUAAGGGUAAACAGUUGGAGGAUGAGUCACUGGGUUCUCGUUUUUGACAGAUAGAGAGUGGGGAAACUUCAGAUUUUGGACUGAAUAGCGAAGGAGUACUAUGUUUCCGUAGGAGAGUCUAUGUACCGAAGGAUACUGAUUUGAGGCAGUUGAUACUGCAGUAGGCCCAUAGUAGUCCUUAUGCAAUGCAUCCUGGUGGGAAUAAAAUGUACUGAGACCUUCGGGAAUUAUAUUGGUGGCCAGGUUUUAAGCGUGAAGUUACCGACUUUGUGAGUAAAUGCCUUACUUGUCAGUAGGUUAAGGCUAAACAUCAGUUGCCUUCUGGGUUGCUUCAGCCAGUUAAGAUUCCUCUAUGGAAGUGGGAAAUAGUGACUAUGGACUUCGUUGGUGGGCUACUCUUAACGCCUACCAAGAAAGAUUCAGUAAGGGUCAUCGUGGAUUGAUUGACCAAGUCUGCUCAUUUUAUACCUGUUCGUACUGACUACUUGUUGCAGAAGCUGGCUAAACUGUAUGUGUCUGAGAUAGUGUGACUGCAUGGGGUACUGGUUUCCAUAAUAUCUGAUAGAGAUCCUCGUUUCAUGUCUCGGUUCUGGAAGAAGUUACACGAGGCAUUGGGUACAAGGUUGGACUUUAGUACUGCGUUCCAUCCUCAGAAAGACAGUCAGUCAGAGAGGGUGAUUCAGAUACUGAAGGACAUAUUAAGGAGUUGUGUGAUUGACUUCUGGGGCAGUUGGGAGGAUUACUUAUCGUUGGCAGAGUUUGCGUACAAAAGUAGCUACCAGUCUAGCAUAUAGAUGGCACUUUACGAGGCAUUAUAUGGUCAUAGGUGACGUACUCCUACGUGUUGGACUGAGUUGGGUGAGCGGCGUGUUCUGGGUCCUGAAUUAAUUUCUGAUACUGUGGAUAAAGUUCGAUUGAUUCGGGAUCGACCGAAGGCGGCGUCUGACAGACAGAAGUCAUAUGCAUAUCUGAAGUGUAAGGAGAUUGAGUGUUAUGUGGGGGACUUGGUGUUUUGUAAGGUCUCCCCAUGAAAGAAGGUGCUGAGGUUUGGUCGAAAGGGCAAGUUAAGCCCUAGGUUCAUUGGGAUUUAUCCUAUACCAAAGCGUGUGGGACCAGUUGCCUAUCAACUUGAGCUACCUCCAGAAUUGGACCGAAUUCAUGAUGUGUUCCAUGUCUCUAUGCUGAGGCAAUAUCAUUCCGAUUCUACACACAUCGUCUCGACUGAGGAGAUUGAGAUUAGGCCAGAUCUAACCUUUGAGGAGGAGUCGGUGCAAAUUUUAGACCGUGAUGUAAAGGUUCUGAGGAGGAAGUCGGCUCCACUAGUUAAGGUACUAUGGUAUAAUUACAGUUCUGAGGAAGCCACGUGGGAACCUGUGGAGGCGAUGCAACAACAAUAUCCUCAACUUUUAUUGUGUUGCAUAAAGCGUACUUGCUUCAGUGGUUAAGUGUCCUGAGAAGUGUUGGAGAAGUCCUGAGUUCAAGCCUUGGCUUGUACAAAUUUUUUUUUGCUUGAAUUAAACCUAUCUCUGAUUAGUAGGUCUCUUAAAUAAAAGUGGGUAAAGUAUGACACAAGAAGGCUGUUGGUCUAGGGGAAAGUGGCGUGUGGAGUGUGCCAAGGGGUCUGAAGUUUGAGUCGUGGAUUUCGCAAAGGAUUUUUAUUUUGCUAUAAGUGCCGUAGAGGUGUCCUAGGUUGACUGAAAUUGAGGAGUUGAAUGGGUUUAUAUGGGUGGUUGAGAAGAGAAAAACUAGGACAUUUUGAGGGGAUUUGGAUAGUGAUCAGGUUGAGUGAUGUGAGGAGGGAUUUUAGGAGAAAUUGUGGGAAGUUGGAGAGAGAGGAGGAAGUGUGCCGAAUUAAGUUUGUGGCAUUCAAGAAGUUCAGCUGAGUGGAAUUGCUCAAAAAACUAUCGGUUUUGUUUUCUUUUUUAUUGAUGGCCGAAUAGUGUUGGGGGUUUCUCUUGGGUUUUGCGAAUUUGUUUAUUCGUUUUUGUACCAUUUUUUCCUUUCUUUUAGCACUUUUGGGAUUUGGCAAAUUGUGACUCUCAGGUUUUCUUCUUGGCCGACUACUCUACCUUCUCCCUCCGUCUUCUGGCUUGUUGUUAACCGAAUAGCUUUUCUUCCUUUUCUUUAUGCACCUCUUCUGUUUCCAAUCGCUCCUCUUACCAUCUCCCCUCAUUUUUAACACUUGUUGAAUACCCUUUCUCUUCUCCUCUCCUCUUAUCAUCUUUGCACCAUUAAUACUUUAACUGUGGCGGCAUUGCUUCCUUCCUACUUCUGCUUUCAGGUUUUUAUAAUUGAUCCUUGAACAGUCGGUAGGUGUUUGAAUUCCUCUUUGUUCAUUCUUUUUUUCUCGAUGUGGUAAUUUCUUUUUAACAAUGUGGUUCUGCCGAUUGCUGCUAGGGGCCUAACCUCAGUAGUCAAGGGGUUAGGCUGAUCAUGCUUUCCCAACUAGUAAUCUUUUCACUCGUGGUAAGUGUUGUAAGUGUUUGAUUUACGUAUUUUGGGUUAUAAAUUCUUAUGAAUGGUCUAACUGUUUUGUGUGAAGGUUAAAGCAUUGGAGGGAACGUUGGUUUUGGAAUAGAAGGAGUGUUGCGAUUGUUCGGCUAGUAAGUAGUGAUAAUCGAUUAAAGUAUAUUCAAUACUAUGGUUUUGAGGUUGACCACGAAUAUGGACUGAUUGUGAGAUUGUUGUUAAUCAUAAGUGCUUUGAUCUCGAAAGUGUUUCGGCUACAAUCUUAUAACAGGUGUCCGUGCAACACUAUCAUUAGAUGUGAAAGGGCAAAAGCCAAAAAGCCGAAUAGAGGGCUGUCGACACCACACGAGCAUGUGGCAGUCCGUGUGGUAGACCGUGUGACAAAACAUGGCUAUGUGAUUGACGAGAAGGCCAUGAACGAUUUCAUUGGCCGGAACGGUAUUGGGCCAUUUUGGGCCGAAUUGGGCCAUGUGGGCCCAAUGGGCCUGUGGGCCCAAUGGGCCUGUGGGCCGAAUUGGGCCAUGUGGGCCCAAUAGGCCUGUGGGCCCUACACGAGAAAAACUCACAAAAGUGUGGUAAAUAUUGGGCUAGGCUGUGUAAACCACACGGCUAAGGCCAUUUUUGGGCCAUAUGGGCCAUAUGAGUGUGUGGGCCCACAUUGGCCCGAAACAUAGGUUGUAGGCCCAUUAUCACUGAUUGACUGUUAAGGUUGCAUGGGUCACUCAAGACGAUUGUGGACCUUCUAUUGGGCUGGUAUGUACACCUGGGCCCUUAGUUUGGUAAGAUGACUGUUUUACCACUGUGUGAUGUAUGACUGUUUGACAUGUCAUUUUUACUGUAUGUACAUUUAUAUUAUGUUGCAUCGCAUGGGGUGGGAUAUAUGAUCUUGGAGGAAGUGUACUGAAAGGCUAUAAGCCUAUUACCGGCAGCUCUGCUACAAAUACUGUUUUAGUGCCGCAACCGGCGCGACUUGGUGUGUAGUGUUGGGUGGGUCGAUUUUAUCCCCACAUGGUGUGUAAGGCUGGUACGGAGAUUGUGUGUAGUAGAUGGAUUGGGUAGAAUUAUUUGUUUGCAUACUGUAUUGAAAUGGGCUAAGGCCUAGACUGCCAUUGUUACUGAAACGGGAUCAGGCCCAAACUGCUACUGCUACUGAAAGAGGACUAAGGCCCCUAACUGGAACUGAAAGGGCUUAGGCCCAAAUUGUGUUUACUCUGACUGUUUGCUAUUAUGGGAUUUCACACACUGAGUUUACAUAAACUCACCCAUCUAUUAUCUGUGCAGGAAAUCUCCAAGGUUAGACAAAUCAAGACGACGAAGGAAUCAACGGUGCCCACUAGACGAAGUUUCUUUUAAUUUUAUAAUUAAGAUUUUAUUUUGGGUUUUCAUUUUGUAAUAAGGCCUUUUUAAUUUUAUUUUUACUUUAAUUUGGGGAUUUAGUUACUUAAAUUUUAAUCUGGUAGUAGUAGGUCUUGGGUUUUCAAGAAAGUAUAAUUAAUGUUUUUUUUUGAAAUCACCACGUUUAUGCAACACAUUUUGAAAGCUUCCGCAGCAAACAUUGUUUUAAAAUUUAAUAACAAACUAUUAUAAUUAAUAUUUUGCUAAGACAACUUGAGUUUUCACAAUGAACCGGACAUCCUAAACAUUUGUUUGGAACCUAAGGAAGUUUUAUGUAGAAUGAAUUUUCACGCAAUUUGUGUUUUGAAAAAACUCUCCAAUGUGACAUCACAGAUUCGGCCAUAAUGUUUAGGCCAAGUUUGGGGUGUUACAAGGGAAUUAUUAAGGAAAAUUGGAUGAUUCACUAGUGUGCUGUGAGGAAGCAAAAAAUAAAGUGUGGGUCCUAAACUCAUAAAAUUGUUUGAAAAUGUUAAAUAUCAUGUUAUAUUUGAUAAAUUAGCUCGUUGAUUGGAUUGAAUUAAUAGCCAACUUAUUUAUUUUUUGAGUGGCCGAACUAGGAAUGUUUCGAGCUUUAAAAGAUUGAGAGGUUGGAAAAAUAUCUAGUUUGGUAGUAUGAAUGCUUGAUUCAGUUUAUAAUUGUGUAUUUGAGUUAUGAGAAAUGAGAAUGUUUGACUGAAUGAUAUAAUGUGUUGAGAUAUUAAGCUUAUGUAUGAUUUAAACGCAUGAGAUAUUUUUUAUAUUAUGUAUUGGAAAGGGUGGAAUUUGUGCACAAUGAAAAUCUAUAAAGUAUGUGAAAUUGAAUAAUAUCGAUUGAUACCAACGCAAUAGUAAUUUGAAAGAUUGGAACACUGUUUCAAUUUACUGAAAGUAUGUGAUUAUUGAGGACAUGUUGAGCAUGUCAAAUGAAUGUGAAAAGUAUUGAGAUAUGAUUAUCUAUGAGAUUGUGUGACAUAUUGCAUAUGCAUUAGGUUGAGGUUUUGUGGUUGACGGAGGAGUUCCAUGGAGUACCAGCAGUAUAUUAAGUCAGCAUUAUUCUUAGUCAGUUGAUUGCACCUGGAGUACCAAGGGGAAUUGUGAUUUACCGCAUUUUUACUGGUAGCUUGUCUGCAUUUUUACAGGAAGAAUUUUUUGCAUAUUUUUAUUGGUGGUUUUAACCACAAUAGACUUAAGCCAAUAAUGCAUUUAAAGUUUGAGUGACGGGUUCUAGGGAACUUAUGGUGUGUAGCGGAUGGUACGAGUAGGAACCUUUUUGCAUUGCAUCAUGCUCACGACAUAUUCGAAUAUUAUUGAUUUAUGAUAUGUGUUGUAUUGUGUGGUAUUGAAUGAUAUCAAAAUUAAUCGUUGUUACUCAAAUGAAUGAUGUCCCUUGCUCAUGCACCGUUUAACAUCAAUUUGAUAAUGGCUAUGUAAUGAUAUGAAAUUCCUAUGAUGGCUCUGUUUUCUUCUGUUAAUGUUAAUAUGUUUCACUAUAUUUGAUUUUUUCCCAUUUAAGUAAUUGUUCGACUCACACUGAGCUUUUCAUAAGCUCAUCCCCAAUAGUGUUUAACCUUUCAAGUAAAUCUCAAAAUUAGGACCGAGCUUGGCAUUAGGAGAAUGACCUUGGACCUCAGAUUUUUCUAUAAGUAAUAAUCAGUCUCUAUUUGUUUUGGUUUGUAAUUUUUAAUGACUUCUGGUCUGUGGCUUGGUAAAUUUUCUUCUGGGAUUUUUGCGUGCAUAGAUUACUAAAGCAUAAUAACUAGAAAAUGCAUGAUAUCGAACUUAAGUAAAAUUUGAUAUUGUUUCCUAGUUUCCGCUGCAUUGCAAAGGAACCAUUUUUGAAAAACAAAUUGACAAGGCAACUAAGUUUCCAAAAUGACUUGAAAAAUGGUUUUUCCGCUGCAUUAGUUUAACAUUGAUUUUUGUAAAAAAGAGCGACAAGCAAAUGAUUUUUCUAAAACAAGCAAAUGAUUUUUCUAGAACAACACUAUCAAUAAUAAAAUAAAUCCUAAGUAUACACUGCCUAAUGAAUGAAUGCUUUUAAGCUAUCUCAAAGUAGAACUGCAGUUUUCUCUAAAAUGAGUUUAUUUAAGGUCUUCAAAAGUAAUGUAAGUUAGCUUAGUUAUUUUAGUGGCUAAUGUAGCCUUUUCAAUCUAGCCAUAACAUCAAGGCCGGUUUUGGGAGGUUACGUAAAUGAUGUUUGCAAAAUCUGGAGUUAGGUCUUUGUCUAUGUCAAGAAACCAAUCUUAUGCUGAAUUUGGAAAAAUGCCACUUCAUGGUCUUUAAGGACAUUGUUUUGGACAAAAGAUUUCAAAGAAAGGAAUUGCCGUUGACAAAGAAAAAAUUAAGAUUAUUGAGAAAUUGCAACCACCUACCUUAGUAAAAGGUAUCAGAAGCUUCCUCGGUCAUAUAGGAUUCUAUCGUCAAUUUAUCAAGGACUUUUCCAAAAUAACCAAACCUCUGUGUACAUUACUGGAACAAAAUAAAUCUUUUAAUUUUGAAGGGCCAUGCUUGCAAGCUUUUGAGGAAUUGAAAAAAUGAUUGAUCACAGCACCAAUAGUCACUGCACCAGACUAGACUUUACCAUUCAAACUAAUGUGUGAUGCAAGUGACUUUACCGUAGGAGCAGUCUUAGGACAAAGAAAAGCCAAGGUAUUUCAUGGUAUAUACUAUGCCAAUUGUACGUCGAUAAGUUCACAGCUAAAUUACACCACCACUAAAAGAAGCUGUUAGCUGUAGUGUUUACCUUUGAAAAAUUCAAAGCUUAUCUUGUGCGCACAAAAGUCACGGUGUAUAAGUACUUGGUGACUAGGAAAGAUGCCAAACCUAGAUUAAUUCGAUGGAUACUACUGCUGUAGUAAUUUGACUUGGAGAUUAGAGAUAGGAAGGGCAUAGAAAAUCAAGUGGCUGAUCAUUUAUCACGUCUGGAAGCAGGGAAUGAAGAUGGUAAUAUUCAGAUGAUUAAAGAUGAAUUCCUUGAUGAGAAAUUACUGGUUGACAUGGCAUUACCAUGGUAUGCUGACAUUGUUAAUUUUCUAGUUAGUGGAUUGCUCCCACCGGAGCUCUCUAGUAAAGGAAAAAGGAAAUUCCUCCACAAUGUUAAGUAGUACUAUUAGGAUGUGCCACUCUUAUGCAAGCAGUGUAAUGACCAAAUCAUUUGAAGAUAUAUUUCGAAUGAUGAAAUUCAGAGUGUUCUGCAUCAUUGUCACUCAACAUCGUAUGGAGGCCACUACGGGGGCAUGCAAACUGCUGCAAAAGUUAUCAACUCUGGUUUUUAUUAGCCAAGCAUGUUUAAAGACACUCAUGAAUUCUGUAAGGCCUAUGAUCGUUGUCAAAGAAUUGGAAAUCUAUCCAGGAGAUAUGAAAUGUGUAACAACCCGUUUUAGUGAAAUCAGAAUAAUGGUUUCUGGACCACAACUCUGAGUUAGAAAGAAAAGUUAUUUUAAUAUUAUUGUAUGGUUUGCAUUACAAUAUGAAUAAUGUAUGAAAAUUUUUGAUAAGAAUAUUUUACCAAUUUCAUGUUUAAUUAUAGAAAGGACCAAAUUGCAUAAAAUGAAAAAGUUGAGUUCAAGUAGCUAUAAGUAUCAAAUAGGUAUGGAAUUCAAAAUUUGAGGUCCUUAUAUGGUAACUAGACCAUUAAGAGAAGUUAGUACAUAUCAUGGAAAGUUAGAAAAAGAAAAGGACUAAAUUGGGGAAAAAAAUAAAAGAUGAUAUCUUAAUUAAAUAGAAAAUAUCAUCAUUUUAUAUAAUCUUCUUCCCCAAAUCUUAUGGAAACCCUAGGAAAGAGAAAGAAAAUCAAGCAAGCUUAAUUAGGUCAGUAAUAAUGUCCCGUUUUUAGUAAUUUUCAUAUUUCCUAUAUCGUAAUAACUUAAUCUAUCUAUUUUGGUGAAUAUGCUGAACUUUUGAAAUUUAUGGAAAUUUUUCCAUGGAUGAAUAUGCUGGAAUUUUGAAAUUUAUGGUAGAAAUUGAAGGGUUGUUGAUAGAUAAACAACUUUUAUAAAGUGAAUUUUCAUGAAAUUAUGAUUUAGGGACUAAAUUGUAAAGAUGUAAAAUUCAUGGAAAAUUUUUUAUUUUUAUGAAACAUAUUUGCUGUAAAUGUUAUAUGUAAAAAUCAGUUAGGCUUGAAAUAAGGAUUAAAUUGCAUGAAUUUCAUUUUCUGAGCCUAGGGAUGAAAUCGUCAUUUAUAGAAAAUACAGGGGUAAAAUGGUAAUUUUGCCUAGGCGUGAAUUGAAUUAAAUUGAGUAUUCCAAAUAGACCUAGUACGGAGUCGGAUCGAGGAUAACAAAAAGUAUCGGAUUAGUAGAUCCUUGUAUAUGAACGUUUAUCGGGGUAAGUUCGUGUAACUAGAUCAUGUAUAUUAAUAUGCUUGGAAUUGAGUGUUGAAUAUGUGUGAGUUGUAUAAAUGUUUAAUGUAUAAAAUGAAUUACAUGCCUGAUAUUGCUCGAUAAGUAUAAGUCUCGUUUGAAUAGAUGAAAUUCGAUGGAUACAGGAUUUCCCGAUUGGUUGUGGUAUUGCAUAUGUUGCAAAUACACCAUAACUUGAAAGAGCAUCCUGUUAUAUGCCCUCUCGAGCUUCUCGUUAUAUGUUUCUUGCGAGCAUCUUGAUCGGUAGUGAACUUGCAUGUUUUGUGGACUACCGCAGCUCUUUGUGAGCGUUUUGUUAUAUGAUCAGUUGUGAUCUUGCAUAUAUAUUGCAGACACAAACACAACUCUUUAUGAGCGUCUUGAUAUAGGCACUUUUUGAGCUUCCUGGUAUGGCUCGCUUGAACUUCCUAUUAUAUGGCUAUCCAGUGCUUCCUAAUAAUAACUUUUCAGAGUUACCUGUUAAGCUCAAUGAGCUUCCUGUUUUAAACUCUUUUGAGUUUACUGUUAUAGCGGGGAUAAACUUCCUAUUACAUGGCUCACAUGAGCAUCCUGUUAUAUGGCUCGAGAGAGUGCUUCCUGAUAUGUGCCCUAAUUGGGUACCCCUAAAUAUGAGUUAAUGAUUUACAGUGUUGUACAUUUCAAGUGUACUACAUUUAUAUCAAUCGAUAUUUCAAAUAAAUUCAAUGGGCAAAGUUCUGUUAUGGCUAAUCUGAACUUGAGAUGAUUUAUCAUAGAAAUGUAUAUGUUAUAUGGAAAUAUCAUAAGAAAAGAUAUGUGUAUGGAAGUUAUUACAUGAUGAGCUCAUCUUUAUUACUUGAAAUGUAUUUAGAAAUUAACGACUAACAUGCUUGAUUGAGUGUAUGGAAGUUAAAUUCCUGUUAUGUGAACUUACUAAGCAUUAAAUGCUUACUUUGUUUUAUUUUCCUCUAUUUUAUGGUGCUCGGAAGCUCAUAAAGGUUGGAAUCGAUCGAAGCAUCAUCACACUAUCCUUUAACUCGUUUUGGUAUAAAUAGCAAAUUUAUUUUAGUAUAAUGGCAUGUAUAGGCUAACUUGGCUAGUGUUGACAUAUAAAUGGUUGUUUGUAAUAUAGCCAUUGAAAUGGCUAGUGAUGGUAUAUUUAGAGAUAUAUAUAUGAGGUUAUAAUAUGGUUAAAGCAUGCGUGCUUGAUAUGGUUAGAUUGAAUUAUGGUAAAAAAUAUAUGUUUUACAAAAGAUAAGUUAUAAUACAUGAUAUAUCAUGUAUAAUGUUAAUGAUGGUUUAUUCUAAUGUCUUGAAAUGGUUGGUAUAUGUAUGCAAGUAUUAAUAUAGGUACAUGGAAAAAUUUGGGUGAGAAAUAAGGCUUAGAAAUGGUCUUAUUUUGUUCACAUGGUAGACACACGGGCAUGUGUCUCAAUCGUGUGUGAUGCAUGACCAUGCGUAUGGGGGUGUGGCUUGGCCGUAUCUGCUGUAACUUAAAAAUUGAGAAAUAGAAUGCUUAGAAUUGGUCACACGGGCAGACACACGGGCGUGUGUCUUGGCUGUGUGAAUCUUGCACCUAAUUUUCGAAAGUUAAAUUGUCCACAUUGCCUAGCACACGAGUGUGUGGCUGGCCGUGUGAGCCAAGUUAGUAGCUACCCUAAUUUGAACACAGACUGGAACAGGGCCAUGUGCCUUACUUUGAAUGCCCACACAGCCUAAGACACAGGCGUGUCACCUGGCCAUGUGAGCCACACGGCCUAACCACAUGGGCGUGUGUCCCCUGCACCUAUAGAAAAUUUUGAAAUUUUGUGAUUUUUUUUUUGAGUUUCUGAUUUUGUCUCGACUUGAUUCUAACAUGUAUUUUGGGCCUCGAGGACCCAUUUAAGGGGCGAUAUGAUUUAUUUCAGAUAUAAAUAGUAAAUGACAUAAAAUUUCUAUAAUCGAUCUGUAAACUCCGGUAAUGCUUUGUGACCCUGUUUUGGCAACGGUAGGGAUUAGAGGUGUUACAUUUAUUGGUAUCAGAACUAUGGUUUAGUCGAUUCUCGGACUAACGUAACAGGUACGAGUUUAUCUAUACAUGCCAUUAUAUAAUUUGUGAUAGUGCGAUAUGUCUUGACCAUUUUAAAUAUGUUUUUCAUAUAGUAAUGUCGUCCAACCGAGCUAGAGCUGAAUCCGAUGAAGCUGAAAGCAAUGCUCCAGCUUCAGUUCAAAGAGUUGCAUCUAGUAGUAGUUGAAGGCUCGAAUCUGAGGGUCGACGUGAGGAGGCAAAAGAAGCCUUCUUUCAAAUGAUUGAUGUGUGGUUCACAGAAUUCUUAAGAACAAAUCCUGCUGUACAACCUCCUGCUCCUUAACUGGUCCUCGAUAUGUCACAAGGUACUGAACCUGUUAGAACUGGUAAGCCUCCUGUAAAUAAAGUCCGUAAAUAAAGGGCAAAAGAAUUCAGAGCAACAACUGAUUAUGAUCCGGAAAGGGCUGAAUUUUAGAUACAAAAUACAAUCAGGGUUUUGGAUGAAUUAUCUUGUACACCUGAAGAAUGUUUGAAAUGUGUUGUAUCUUUGCUAAAAGACUCAGCCUAUCAAUAGUGUAAUACCUUGAUUUCUUUGCACCGAGGGAAAAUGUUACUUGGGAAUUUUUCCAAACAGAAUAAAAAAAAGAAGUACAUUAGUCAUAUAUUUCUUGAUCAGAAAUAGAAGGAAUUUUUAGAGCUUCAACAGGGGAAUAUGACAGUAUUCGAGUACUAAUGAGAAAUUGUUCAGUUAAAUAAAUAUGCCAGAGAGUGUAUCCCGACUGAAGUUGCUAUGUGUAAACUAUUUGAAGAGGGAUUAAAUGAAGAUAUUAAGUUGUUAGUUUGAAUAUUGGAAUUAAAAGAAUUUGUUGUACUGGUUAACCGAGCACAUUAAGCUAAAGAACUAAAUAAGGAAAAAAGGCAAGUAGAGAUGGGAGCCCAAACUUCAUGUAAAAGAUUUAUGGGCAAGCCACAAUCAUUAGCUUCAAAGAAAUCAAAGAAAUAUCAUGAUCAUUCUGUCACAUCUAUGGGGUAUUCUGGUAAGGACCAAAGUAUUCAAAGCUCAAAUCCGGACCCUAUCAGUAGCAAGUGUUGGAAGUGUUGGUAAUCCCAAACAUAGAUGUAAACAUUAUAAUAAAUUUCAUUUUUGAGAGUGCCAUAUGAGAAGCGGAGCCUGUUAUAGAUGUGGUUCAUUCAACCACUAUCUUAAAGAUUGUCUAGAAAUACUUAAAAAAGAUAUUGUUCAGACUUCGAAGCCAAAUAGCCUUGUCUCAAGAGUUAGGCCACCUCAUAACCCCAAUAAUAUAAGUGAUAGCCGAGGUACAAGAAAAGAUUCAACUGCUAAAUUUGAAGCACGAACACCAGCCAGGACAUAUGCUAUACGUGCAAGUGAGGAUGCUUCUGCACCUGAUGUUAUUACCAGUACAUUUUCUCUUCUUGAUACUGAUAUUACUGCUUUAAUUGAUCCUGGUUCAACACAUUCAUAAAUAUGCACGAAUUUAGUGUCUGUUAAAAAUUUACCUGUUGAGUCCACUAAAUUCGUGGUUAAAGUUUUGAAUCCCUUAGGCCAGUAUGUGAUGGUGGAUAAAGUUUGUAAAAAUUUUUCGUUAAUGGUACGGGGUUAUUAUUUCUCGACUGAUUUAAUGUUGUUUUCAUUUGAUAAAUUUGACGUAAUUUUCGGUAUGGAUUGGUUAACUUAGCAUGAUGUAGUGGUAAAUUGUAAAUAGAAAUAUAUUGUGUUAAAAUGUCAGAAUGGUGAAUUGCUUCAUAUUUAAUCUGAUAAACUGGAUGGGUUGUCCAACAUAAUCUUAGCUAUAUCAGCACAAAAAUAUAUCAGAAAAGGGUAUGAUGCUUACCUUGCAUAUGUGUUGGACACUAAAGUAUCUGAGUUGAAGAUUAAGUGAGUACCGAUUAUUUGUGAGUUUUCGGAAGAAUUACCCGGAUUACCGCCAGUCAGAGAGGUCGAAUGUAGCAGCCCAUUUUUAUUCAAAUCGGAACAGUGGUUUCGUGUAACACCCCUCACCCGUAUUCAACGCUAGAAUAGGGUUACGGAGCAUUACCGGACAUACAAUACUUUUAAAACAUACAUUUCAUAUAUAAUUAUCAAUUUGAAUACAACAAAAUCAUAACCAAUCACAGUGUCCCUUAAACGAGCCUAAGAGGCCUCAAACAUACAUUGAGAGUGGUUCGAGACUAAAUCGGAUACUUAGGAAAUUUUUCAACACUUAGUAAAAUUUUUCUCAAAACAAGGGAUACACGCCCGUGUGGCUAGGCUGUGUGUCUCACACGGCCUUCAGAGACGCCUGUGUGGCCAGGCCGUGUGAGACAAGCCCAUGUCACAAGCCGUGUGAACAUUCGAAAUGGGAGCACAUGGCCGUGUCCCAGCCCAUGUUCUACCCCGUGUCCAAACAAGUGAGGUUACUGACUUGGGUCACACCGCUGACCACACGCCCGUUUGUCAAGCCGUGUGCUAGGCUGUGCCAAAACAGUAAGGUAUACUGACUUAUGCAACACGGCCAAGUCACAUAGCCGUGUGCUAGGCCAUGUGCAAAUUAGGGGGUGUACUGACUUGUAACACAUGGUCGGUUGCACGCCUGUGUGUGAGACCGUGUAGAGCAUGCUGACUUCAUUUUAAUUUCAACACCAGGGGACACACGCCCGUGUCUCUUCCCGUGUGGACAAAAAUAGGCCAUUUACCAAGCCAUUUUGCCACCCAUUUUUGCACAUACCUAUACAAGUCCAAUUGGCACCAUUUUAAGACACAAAUAUGCAGCCAAAAGUCAUCAACCAAUACACAAUCAUACUAUAUCCAUUUCAAACAUUUCAAUACUCAAUUCAAUGUCAUUUACCUAUUCAAGUACCUAUCAACUCAACUUGUUUUACUAGACAUAAUUCACAUACAUAAUUCAUAUGGUUAAAGCAUUCCAACAUGCAUUAUCAAUUCAACUUUAUUCACUAAAUAUAGGUCAAUCACGUAACUCAAAACAAAGCUAUUAACACAACUUAAUACAUUAAAAAAAUUCAUUAUAACAAGCCAACUCAAAUGGCCUAUAAAUACAUGUUCAUCAAACAUACUAAAAAUGACUCAAGCCUAUAUAUGACAUAUACCAUAUAUACAUAACUUCAAAAAUACCAAAAUAGAUGUUCGAUAGUGCGAUGAAGUCUCUGACGGUCCUCGAAUCUGAACUAGCAUUGAAAGACUAUAAAACAUAGAAAAAUAAACAUAGUAAACUACAAAGCUUAGUAAGUUUGUAUGAAAUAUACUCAACAAAUCAUAAAACACAAAUCAUCAAUUUGAACUAUAUAACAUAUAAUUCAUGAAAAGAACAAACCUUCCAUAUGCUUAAUCAUAUGCUUAUAUGCAAAUUCAUAACUUCUUCUACUUGAAUUUCAUACUUUACAUAUACAUACCUGUACAAUUUCGUAACUAACUCAUACCUUUUUGUAACACUGUCGAAUACUCGAUAUCUCACACAUUGAGUGCUAAUACAUAGCCGAAACUAUUAUAAUUUGGCACACUAAGUACCUUACAUAGCCGAAGCUAUAUCGGUCUCGCAUACUAAGUGCCAUAUAUAGCCAAAUCUAUUCCGAAACGCACACUAAGUGCCAUAUAUAGCUGAAGCUUUGUUGAAUCGCACACUAAGUGCCAUAUAUAUAUUUGAAUUGUCAUCAAACAUGACUAUAAGUUUAUAAACACAAUUUAUGCAAUAUCAAAACAUUUAAUUCAUAAUUGUAACAAUGCUUAUCACAUACGAGCUUACAACGGAUGUGAAAACAACGAAUCAAGUCGAUUAGUCAAUAACUUUAUCUUUUCUUCGAUCCAAGUCUGAAUUUCUCUUUUCUUGAUCUAAAUAUAUUCACAAUUAACUUAUUUAAUCAUCUAUUCAAUCAAUUUAGUCCAAAACACUCUUUAAGGCACAUUUGUACUUUUGCCUCUAAACUUUUACAUUUUUACAAUUUAGUCCUUAUCACAUAAAAUUGUAAAUUCAUGCAAUUUAUAAAAACCCAUGCUUAGCCGAAUUUAAUACAUGUUACUAGCAGCCCAUAUUUUUAAUUUAUUCACACUUUUAACCACCACAUUUCACAUUUUCUCAAUUUAAUCCCUUUUUGACAUUUUUGUCAAAAAUCACUUCACAAAAACUAUUAAUCUAACAUUAAACCUUCCAAAUAUAUCAUAAAUCAUCAAAUUACUCAAGCAUUUAAUAAUGGAAAUAUGAAAAAUCUUUAACAUUUUUGCAAAAUAGUCCUUGGGCUAGCUAGUACUAGAUGCAACGAUCACAAAAACAGAGAAAUCAUUAAAAACCGAGUCAAAAUCACUUACCGAUUGAGCUAAUGAGUGACAACCCCUAAAAUGCUCUCCAAGCUUUAUUUUUCUUUGUCCAAUUGGUUAAAGAUGAUGAAUAUGAACACAAUGUUUUUGUUUUAAUCAAUAUAAGUUAAUUAUGCUAAUUACUAUUUUAACCUUAAUGAAAAACUAUUAAUAUCAUCCAUUUAAUGUCCAAUAUUAUCCACUUACUAUUGUAAUGGUCUAAUUCCAACAUAAGGACCUCUAAAUUAAUAUUCCAUAGCUAUUAGACACCUUUAGCUAAUGGAACUGCACUUUUGCAUUUUACGCGAUUUGGUGCUUUUUGUCAAAGUAACUAUUUAAACGAUAAAAUUUCUGCACGAAACUUUCACACAUACAUACUAUCAUGCUUUAAGCAGUUAAAAUAAUAUUAAAAUAAUUUUACAACCUCAAAUUUGUGGUCCCAAAACCACUAUUCUGAUUUAACUAAAAACAGGCUGUUACAACUCUCCCCCUAUAGUGAUUUUCGUCCUCGAAAAUCUUACCAGUGAAUAGGUUAGGGUACUGUUUUCUCAUAGCUUCCUCAGGCUCCCACAUAGCCUCUUCAACUUUGUUACAUUGCCACAAGACUUUCACUAAAGCUUUACGUAUAUUUCUCAAUUCUUUGAUCUCUCGAGCCAAAAUUUUGAUCGGUUCUACGUUGUACGUCAUAUCAGGUUGAAUCUCAAUCUCUGAUGAAGAAAUCACAUGUGAGUGAUCUGAUUGAUAUCGACGCAAUAUCGAUACAUGAAACACAUUAUGGAUCUUUUCUUGUACUGCCAAAAAUCUCGAAAACCCUGUUUAAAUUAUUUUUGUGUGUUUGUGACAUGAAUGUAUGUCUGACUUAGUGAUUUACUGCUCUGGAGUGUCUGAGUAGUUGUGAGUUCAAGUCCUGGCUUGAACAAAAUUUUGGUCUUAUUUGAAUAAACCUUUGUUUGCUGCUAGAAGAAUUUUAAAUUAAUGUGAGUAGGACAUGACAAAGUGAGCAUACUAGCCUAGUGGUAAGUGGCGUGUAGAGUGUGCAUGGAGUCAGAGGUUGGAUUCCCUAUUUGUGCAAAGGGAGAUUAUUUUUACUGCUUGCUUUGGGGAGGUAGUAGUGGUUGACCGAAACACUGAUAUGGGGAGGGAAGUUUGAAUCGGUUAUGGAGGGUUUGUAGGAGGAAGUUGAGGAGAGAUAAGAAGAGAGUUUUUUGAAGCGAAUCAAGCUAUUUGAAGUUGUGGGAGUUGGUGUCAAAUGGGGACUCUAGGCACUCAUGAAUUCAGCCUAGAGGUCAUACUCCUCAUUUUUGGUCAGUUUAGUACUCUUGUUUUCCCUUUUUACAUUUUGGAGUCUUUUUUCUUCACUUUUGCUGAGUUGCAGGUUUCUGCUAGGGGUCUUGGUGGUAUUUCUCAUUUUGACUAUUUGGACACUUGCCUAUCCCAUUUUGGCUCUUCACAAUAGUACUUAUUGAUCAACUGUCUUCUUUUCCUCUCCUUUUCAACUUUUGAGUUUUUGUUCAUGAUUCAUUGACCAAUUGCUUUCUUCUUUCCUUCGACCUUCUUUGCUUUUGUACUGUGGUGGCCGAACCUAAGAUCUUUUGUUCUUCAAGUCGAACAACCUGUUCCCAUUUUCUCCCUUUCUUCUCUUGGUCGAAUAGUCUUGGUCGAUUAUUCCUUUGUAAUUCGGGCGACUUCUAGGCUAGAGUCUCGGCUAAGUAUUGGUAAGUCUUCUUCUCAGGGAAUGUUGACUUCUUCUUCUGUGGGUCGAUUGUACCCUUCUUAUUUAUUCUUUUCUUCACCUUAGUGAUUAACUUAUAACACUGUGUUUUGCCAAAUGUUGCUAGGGGCUUGAUUUCAUUAAGCAAGGUGUUGGGCGAUUGUUUUCCCUUUACAAGUGAUAAUCCCUUUAUUGGUAGGUGUUUAAGUUUUAGUUGUGGUUGUAUGGGAUUGCAGAUUCUCAUAAGUCGGUUAGCUAUUCUUGUAAAGGUAAAAGCAUUGGAAGGAGUACGUGGAGUUAGAGCAAGAGAAGGUUGCAAUUAUUGAUUGGUAAGUAGAUGUUUUGGUUAUAAUGGUUUCAAUAUUAUGGUAUUAGAUUAACAAGGGUUUGAGACUAAUGAGAGUUGUGGUUGACCAUAAGUUCUUGAUCUUGGAGGCAUUUCUACUACAAUUCCGUAACAGGUGUGUGAACACUAUCAUUAGAUGUGUGAUAGUAAAAGCCGAAAAGUGGGCUGUCGAAACCACAAGGGUGUAUGGAUGCCGGUGUUGCAGGCCUACUAGCAAAACGAGGCCGUGAUGUCGACGGAAUGGCCAUGAGCGAUUUCAUGGAUUGAAAUAGUAUUGGGCCAUUCUGGGCCAAAUUGGGCCGUGUGGGCCCAAAAGUCUUGUGGGCCCACAUGGAGAAAUUACACAAAAUAUGGUAAAUUGUGGGCCAGGUUGUGUGAACUACACGACUGAGGCCAUUUUUGGGCUAUGUGGACCAUACGAGAGUAUGGGUCUAAAUGGGCCUGUAAUAUGGGCUAUAGGCCCAUUAGCACUGAUUGACUGAUACGGUUGCACGGGUCACUUAAGAUGACUGUGGACCUACUGUUGGGUCAGUAAGUACACUUAGACCCCAUACUGUUGAAAUGACCAUUAUACCCCUACGAGGUAAAUUUACUGUUAUACCCUUGUAUUAUGUAUGAUUGAUUUUGAGCAUUACAUUUUUGCAUACACGUAUGAUAUUAUGUUGCAUUUCAUGGGGUGGAAUAUAUGAUUUUGAAGGAAGUGCACUGAAAGGCUAUAAGCCUAUUACUGGCAGCCUGGCUGCAAAUACUGUUUUAGUACCGAAAUCGGUACGAUUUGGUUUGUAGGGUUGGGUGGGUCGAUUUAAUCCCUACAUGGUGUGUAGGGCUGGUACGGAGAUGAUGUGUAGUGGAUGGAUUGGGUAGGAUUCUUUGCUUGCAUACUGUACUAAAAUGAGCUAAGGCCCAGACUGUUACUAUUACUAAAAAGAGGGCAAAGGCUCCUAACUAGAACUAAAGGGCUUAGGCCCAGACUGUAUUUACACUGGUUGUUUGCGGUUACGGGAUUUCACGCACUGAGUUUUCGUAAACUCACCAAUCUAUUAAUUGUGCAGGAAAUCCUCAGGCUUAGACGGAUUGAGGCGACGAAGGACUUAGAGGUGGCCACUCAACGUAGUUCUUUUAAUAUUAUACUUAAGAUUUUAGUUUGGGUUUUCAUUAUGUAAUAAGGCAUUUUUAAUUAUUUUUUUUAUUUGGGUUUUUUUUUUCUUUUACUUUACCUUUUGUACUAGGACUCAGAUUUUCAAGUAGUACAAAUAAAUGAUUUUCUGAACACAUCACGCUUACGCAACACAUUUUGAAAGCUUCUGCAACAAACAACGUUUUUAAGUGUAAAAACAAACUCAUAUAGUUAAUAAUUUUGCUAACCGACUUGAAGUUUUUCUCAAUGAACCAGACGAUCUAAACUUUUCUUGAGAACCUAAAGAAGUUAUUAUGUAGAACGGGUUUUCACCGAACUCGUGUUUUCGAAAAACACUCUAAUGUGACAUCACAAAUUCGGCCAUAACGUCUAGGUCGGGUUUGGGGUGUUAUAUUUCUAACUCUGCUGGUAAAGCUAGUGAUAUGCCGUUGGCCCUAUUCUUUCAAUGAUUUCGUACGGUCCGAUGAAACGCGGACUCGACUUGCCUUUCUGACCAAAUUUAAGGAUUUUUUUCCAUGGAGAUACUUUCAAAAAAACUUUGUCACCGAUUUGAAAUUCAAUACCUUUUCAUUUCAAAUAUGUGUACGAUUUUUGAUGAUCUGAAGCUGCCUUCAAAUAGUCAUGAAUUACUUUUACUUGUUCUUCAGUUUCUCUAAUCAAAUCAACUCCGUGAAUUUGUUUCUCGCUAAAUUCAGUCCAAUACAAUGGAGUUCGGCAUUUACGACCAUACGGUGAUAUCUUUGUGCUCAAUUGAAAGCUAUUAUUAUACAUAAAUUCAACCAACGACAAAUAUUUCUCCCAAUUGCCUUCAAACUCUAAAACACAACAUCAGAGCAUAUCUUCGAUAAUCUAAAUUACUCGUUCAAAUUGACCAUCGGUCUAUGGAUGAAAGGCUGUACUGAAAUUCAACUUUGUACCUAGAGCCUCUAGCAAUUUCUUUUAAAACCGCGAUGAAAACCUUGGAUCUCUAUAUGAAAUAAUCAAAAUUGCCACUCCGUGCAAUAUAACAAUCUUAGCAAUGUACAAUUCACAUAAUCUAUUGAGUGAAUAGCUAGUAUGUACCGAGAUGAAAUGUGCUAAUUUUUUAAUCGAUCAAUGACAACCCAAAUAUCGCCUUUCUUUUUCGGAGACAAAGGCAAUCUCGAUACGAAAUCUAUUGUAACUCUAUCCCAUUUCCAUUCUGGUAUCACCACCGGUUGAAGUAAACUCGAAGGUACUUGAUGUUCAGCUUUAACUAGUUGACACACUAAGCAUUUCGCUACAAAUUCAGAAAUAUCUCAUUUCAUACCUUCCACCGAUACAGUUGCUUCAAAUCAUUGUACAUUUUAGUACUCCUAGGAUGAACGGAUAAACAACCACUAUAUGCCUCGUAUAAAAUUUUUUGAAUCAACUCUAGAUUUUUCGGUAUGAAAAUUCUAUCUUGGAACAUUAAACAAUCAUCGGAUCUGAUUUUGUAAUCUGAAUCCCCAGUCGACUCGCAUUUCACUCUUUUAGCUUGCAAUUCACUAUCACAUUUCUGAACUUUACAGAUUUGCUGAAGAAAUACUUGUUUAGCUUUUAACUUAGUUAAAAUUGAACCGUCAUUAAAUAUUGUCAACUGUGUAUUCAUUGCUCUAAGGGCAAACAACGACUUUCUACUCAAUGCAUUUGCGACCACAUUAGCUUUCCCUGGGUGAUAAUCAAUCACUAACUCAUAAUCUUUCAAUAAUUCAAUCCAUCUCCGUUGUCACAAAGUCAGAUCUUUCUGAGUCAUAAUUUUAAGCUUUUAUGAUCAGUAAAUAUGUGACAUUUUUACCGUACAAAUGAUAUCUCCAAAUUUUCAAUGCAAAAACUAUAGUGGCCAACUCCAAAUCAUGUGUCGGAUAAUUCUUUUCAUGUGGCUUCAAUAGUCUAGAAGCAUAAGCUAUUACUUUUCCUUCUUGCAUCAACACACAACACAAACCAUUCAAUGACGCAUUGCUGAAAAUCACAAAUUCUUUACCCAACUCAGGUUGAACCAACAUUGGUGCCUUAGUUAACAUUGUUUUCAAUUGAUCGAAACUUUGUUGACAUUUCUUGGACCAUUCAAACUUUAUAUCUUUCUAUAGUAAUCUGGUCAUUGGUGUAGCAAUCAUCGAGAACCCUUUUACAAAAUGUCUGUAAUAACCUGCUAAUCCCAUAAAACUUCUAACCUCAGAUACAUAUCUAGGUGGUUUCCAAAUCAAUAACUGCAGACAUCUUGCUUGGAUCAACUUGAAUACCAUCCGCUGAGACAAUAUGUCCCAAAAAUCCAACUUCCCGAAGCAUUAGUUAGUCUAAAAGGCAUAACAAGGAAUUCAUAGUGUCUGUACCUCGUUCUAAAUGCAGUCUUAGGCACAUCUGAGUCUUUAACUCAGAACUGAUAGUAACCUGACCUGAAAUCAAUCUUCGAAAACACUGUUGCACCAUUUAAUUGAUCAAACAAAUCAUCUGUUCUUUGCAAUGGAUACUUAUUCUUUAUCGUAACUUUGUUGAGCUGACAAUAAUCAAUACACAUUCUCAUUGACAUAUGUUUCUUCUUCAUGAACAAUACAGGUGCAACCCAGGGUGAAAAACUAGGUCGUUCGAAACCUCUAUUAGUUAACUCUUGCAACUGAGCUUUCAACUCUUUCAACUCUGUCAGAGACAUUCUGUAUGGAGCUAUAGAUAUCGGUGAAGUUCCUAGCACUAAUUCAAUAGAAAAUUUGACCUGAUCAGUGGCAAACCUAAUAAUUAUUCUGGAAAUAAAUCCGAAAAAUCAUAACUAACAGGUAUAGAUUCAAUCUUCGAUUCAGACACCUUUGUAUCCAGCACGUAUGCAAGAUAUGCAUCACAACCCUUUUCAUACAUUUCUGAGCUAACAUAGACGAUAUCAUAGUAGGUAAUUCACUCGAAUCAUUAGACUCAAUCCAAAGAAUUUCACCAUUCUGACAUUUCAAUUCGACAAUCUUUCGUCUACAAUUCACAACUGCAUCAUGCAUAGUCAACAAAUCCAUACCCAGAAUCAUAUCAAACUCAUCAAACGGUAAAAGCAUCAAGUCAGCUGGAAAAUAGUAACCCUGAGUCAUUAAAGUACAAUACUUGUAUACGUUGUCAACUAGAACAUACUUUUCCAAUGGGUUCGAUACUUUAAUCACAAACUCGAUAGACUCAACAGGUAAACUCUUAUUAAACACCAAAUUCAUACAUAUAUAUGAAUGAGUCGAUCCAAGAUCAAUCAAUGCAAUAACAUUAGUGUCGUAAAGAGAAAAAGUACUGGUAAUAAUGUCUGGCGAUGAUGCCUCCUCCUGUGCAUGAAUAGUAUAAGCUCGGGCAGGUGCUCUUGCCUCAAAUCUCACAGCAGAAUCUCUCAUUACACCUCUAUCACUGGAUACAUUUCCCAUAUUCCUCGAUGGUCUCCCUCUCACAGUCGUAUUGGUCGAUCUUGCAUACUGAGAUUUAUCUUUUUCAUUUAACUCAGGACAAUCUCGGAUAAAAUGAUCUCACGAACCACAACUAUAACAAGCUCUAUUAUUAUUUUUCAUCCAACAAUCUCCAAAAUGUCGUCUUCCAUACUGUUGACACUCAGGUUUAACAUCUUUCACAUUGCCAAUGCUCGAUACUGAUGUAGCUUGAGCUUUAGGACUGGUGUAUUGCUUUUCGCGAUCUCUAUUGGAAUACCCCAAUGAAGUGAUCUGUCAGUUAAAAUAAUCUUUGGGUUUCUUUAACGAGGAAUGAUAAGGUUUACUCAUCGAUCUUUUCAUGGAAUCUCUUGCCUCUAAGUCAACCUUUCUCUUUUCUUUGCUAAGUUCCUUGGCUUUGCAAGCUUUAUCUACUAAAACAACAACUUUCAUCAGUUCUAAAAUUCCAAUGAGAAGUUUAAUGUGUUCAUUCAACCUAUCUACAAAUCGCUUGCACAUGAUUUCUUUAGUAGAAACAUAUUCUCGAGCAUACUUUCUCAACCGUACAAAUUCUCUUUCAUACUCUGUCACGAUCAUUUGGCCCUGUUUCAACUCUAAAAACUCUUUAUGUUUUUUAUCAAGGAACCGCAGACUUAUAUAUUUCUUUCAGAUUUCUAUCUGAAAGAAUUCCCAAGUCACUCACUUUCUCGGUACUACAGACACCAAGGUAUUCCACCAUUGAUAUGUUGUGUCUCCCAACAGUGAAACGACACACUAUAAACAUUCAACUGGCGUGCACGAAAGUUCAUCAAACACCCGGAUCGUAUUUUCAAGCCAAAACUAGGCUCUCUCAGGAUCAUCAUCAACAUUAGCUCUGAACUCUUCAGCCCCGUGUUUACGGAUCUUGUCAACUAGAGGCUUAUUCAAUCAUAAAAGCUCGACUCCUUGAGAAGCUAUUGGAAUAGGUUGGGGAUUAGGAGGGGGUGGAGGUUAUAGAGCAAAAGGGUUUGUUCGAAUAUACUGGUUGAACCAUUCGUUUAUCAUUUGGAAGAAGGCUUCUUUAGCCUCUCCUCUCUGGCUACCCGUCAUGGGUCUAGAAUCAGAUGACGUUGUCCCUUACACAGGAGCAGGCACAUUACUCUCAACCUCAUCGGGUAUAGCUCGACUGAGAUCCAUUACUAUAUGAAAACACAGUUUAAAAUGUCAGGAGUCACCACACUAUCACAGUUAUAUAUGGGAUGUAUAGCUAGACUCUCACACACGCUACGUUAGUCCUAGAAUCGACUAAACCGUAGCUCUGAUACCAAUAAACGUAACACCCUUCACCCGGAUUCAAUGCUAGAAUAGGGUUAUAGAGCAUUACCGAACUUACAAUACUUUUAAAACAUACAUUUCAUAUACAAUUAUCAAUUCAAAUACAACAAAAUCAUAACCAAUCACAGUGUCUUUUAAAUGAGCCUAAGAGGCCUUAAACAUACAUUGAGAGCAGUUCGAAAAUAAACCGGAUACUCAGGAAAUUUUUCAACACUUAGUAAAUUUUUUCUCAAAAUAGGGGACACACGCCCGUGUAGCAAGGCCAUGUGUCUCACACGACCUUCAGACACGCCCGUGCCACAAGCCGUGUGAACAGUCAAAAUGGGAGCACAUGGUCGUGUCCCAGCCUGUGUUCUACCAUGUUUCCAAACAAGUGAGGUUACUGAGUUGGGUCACACGUUCGAUCACACGCCCAUGUGUCUAGCCUGUGUGCCCUCCGAAGUGGCUACACACGCCCAUGCACCAGGCCAUGCGCUAGGGCAUGCCAAAACUGUAGGGAAUACUGACUUAUGCAACACAGCCAAGUUACACGCCCAUGUGCUAAGCCGUGUGCAAAUUAAGGGCUAUAUUGUCUUGUACCAUACGGCUGGUCACACGCUCGUGUCUGAGACUGCAUGUGGAGCAUGCUAACUUCAUCUUAAUUUUAACACCAGGGGACAUACGACCGUGCAACAUGACCGGCUGCAUACACGGCUGAGACACAUGCCUGUGUCUCUGCCCAUGUGGACAAAAAUAGGCCAUUUACCAAGCCAUUUUGCCACCAAUUUUUGUACAUACCUAUACAAGCCCAAUUGGUACCAUUUUAAGACACAAAUAUGCAGCUAAAGUCAUCAACCAAUACACAAUCAUACUAUAUCCAUUUCAACCAUUCAAUACUCAAUUCAAUGUCAUUUACCUAUUCAAGUACCUAUCAACUCAACUUGUUUUACUAGACAUAAUUCACAUAUAUAAUUCAUAUCAUUAAACCAUUCCAACAUGCAUUAUCAAUUCAACUUCAUUCAUUCAAUAUAGGUCAAUUACCUAACUCAAAACAAAUCCAUUAACAUAAUACAUUAACAAAACUCAUUAUCACAAGCCAACUCAAAUGACCUAUAAAUACAUGUUCAUCAAACAUACUCAAAAUGACUCAAGCCUAUAAAUUCCAUAUACCAUAUAUACAUAACUUCAAAAGUACCAAAAUAAAUGUUCGAUAGUGUGAUGAAGUCUCUGACGAUCCCCGAAUCCGAACUAGCUUUGAAAGACUAUAAAACAUAGAAAAAUAAACAAAGUAAGCUAUAAAGCAUAGUAAGUUCGUAUGAAAUAUACUCAACAAAUCAUAAUACACAAAUCAUCAAUUUGAACUAUAUAACAUAUAAUUCAUGAAAACAAAAAAACUUCCAUAUGCUUAAUCAUAUGCUUAUAUGCAAAUUCAUAACUUCUUAUACUUGAAUCUCAUACUUUACAUAUACAUACCUGUACAAUUUCGUAACUAACUCAUACCUUUUUGGAACACUGUCGAAUACUUGAUAUCUCACACACUAAGUGCUAAUACAUAGCCGAAGCUAUUAUAAUUUGGCACAUUAAGUGCCUUACAUAGCCAAAGAUAUCUCGGUCCCACACACUAAGUGCUAUAUAGAGCGGAAUCUAUUUCGAAUCACACACUAAGUGCCAUAUAUAGCCUAAGCUUUAUUGAAUUGAACAUUAAGUGCCAUAUAUAUAUCCGAAUUGUCAUCAAACAUGACUAUAAGUUCAUAAACACAAUUUAUGCAAUAUCAAAACAUUUAAAGCAUAAUUGUAACAAUGCUUAUCACAUACAAACUUACCUCGGAUGUGAAAACAAUGAAUCGAGUUGAUUAGUUGAUAACUUUAUCUUUUUCCCGAUUCAAGUCCGUAUUUUUCUUUUCUUGAUUUAAAUAUAUUCAAAAUUAACUUAUUUAAUCAUCUAUUCAUUCAAUUUAGUCCAAAACAUUCUUUACGGCACAUUUAUACUUUUGCACCUAAACUUUCAUAUUUUUUACAAUUUAGUCCUUAUCACAUAAAAUUGUAAAUUCAUGCAAUUUAGUACAAACCCAUGCUUAGUCAAAUUUAAUACAUGUUACUAGCAGCCCAUAUUUUCAAUUUAUUCACACUUUUAACCACCACAUUUCAUAUUUUCUGAAUUUAAUCCCUUUUUGACAUUUUUGUCAAAAAUCACUUUACAAAAACUAUUAAUCUAACAUUAAACCUUCGAAAUCUAUCAUAAAUAAUCAAAUUACUCAAGCAUUGAAGAAUGGAAACAUGACAAAUCUUUAACAGUAUUGCAAAAUAGUCCCUAGGCUAGCUAGUACUAGAUGCAAUGAUCACAAAAACAUAGAAUGUGACAGCCCAAAGUUGACCCUAGUCGGGAAGUGGUUUCGGGAUCGCUAAACCGAGUCACCGAAAUGUUUGAAUGUGAUACUUAUUGUCUAGAAUAUGUAAUUAUGAAUGUGUGAAAAUUUCAAGCUUCAAUUUGGUUGAUUUCAUGUGAAUUUAGUCAGUAGGACUUAUGUGAGAAAAUUCUAAAAUGUGAUAGGUCAAUGUGUGAGGACCUAUUAGUGCAUAUGGACAAAGGGGGGACUUGCAUGUCAAAUUCCCCCCCUACUAGUAGUGGCCAGCCAUGACAAGCAUGGUAGACCAAGUUUGAUGGCCAAGACAUGUCAUAGACAUGUUUUGUUGGUGCAUCAUGGGUGGAAAAAAAUAAAAUAAUAGGCAUGGAAAUUAAAUAAUGAAAAGGAGUAUGAUGAAUACAAAAAAAAAGUGUGUAGUUGAUUCUUUCCCCCCCAUUGCCGUGAGCGAAAGAAAAGAGAGGAGAAGAUCUUUGUUCAUCCUUUUCUCACCUUCAUUUAGCCUAAAUUAGAAAGAAAAACAAAGAAAAAAUUUUCUCAUCCUUUGGUUCAUCCUUGGCCAAAAAUUUUAAGGAGGAAAGAAGAAGAAAGGUGAAGAGAUUCGACCAUGCAUGUAGCUAGGCUAAGGUAUGUUUGAUGAUGUUCCAUGAGAUGCAUGCAUGUUUUAGUUGUUAGCUUGAGUUCUACCUAGCCCAUGGUCUAAAUAUUGCUAUGUGAUGGAAUUGGCACUUGACCAUGGAUGCAUCAUUCUUGGUUGGUGUUUGAUGUUGUGGUGAUGAGGCAUGAGGAUGAGUUAAGAUUCGGCCUAGGUGGAGGUUGUGCUAAUGCCAUUGCAUGCAAAAUAUGAAGCUUGUUAAUGAUGCAUGUGAUGAUGGCUUGAUGAUUCUUGAACCUCCUUUUUAGCAUUUUUGUGUGAGCACAUAUGUGCAUUGGUUGCUAAAUGGAGAAGAAUCGGCUAGCAAGAUGUGUGCUAAGGCCGAAUGUAACUUUGCAUGUUAAUGAGCAAUGCAUGUGUUAAAUUGAUGAAAAGGGGGAGGAUGCUUUACUAGUGUGUUUAUGUGUGUAUUAAGUGUUGAAAUCGACCCCAAAAAUAGACAUGCAUAUUCGGCCAAGGGGAAAGAAAUUAGCUAAUAUGUUGUGUUGAUGCAUGAUUUUUGCAUGUACUAAUUGGCCUGUACUAAUUGGCCUGUAACAUGGGAGACUUUGACUAAUAAACUGUACUAAUUGGCCUGACCAAAAAUUCUAGAAAAAAAUACAUAGGUGGGGACAUGAGUCUAGUUUCAGGGAAAAAUCACAAAACUGAUUUUCGAGUUGUGAAACUCAAGAUAUGAUUUUUGAAGCGACUAGUACUCAGACUGGGCAGUGUCUGGAAAAUUUUUUCAAAGUUUGUUAACAUCUCGUGUCCGACUCCGGUGUCGGUCUCGGGUUCGGGGUGUUACAUUAAAUUGGUAUCAGAGCUACGGUUUAGUCGAUUCUAGGACUACCGUAAUGUGUUGGGUCUAGCUAUACAUGCCAUUUUAUGUGAUUACUUGAUAGUGUGGUGAUUUCUGAAAAUUGUAAAUGUGUUUAUAGUAAUGGAUCCCGAUCGUGACCGAGAGGUAGCUGAUGAUCUUGAGAGUGUAGCGCCUGCUCCCGCACAAGGGACAGUGCCGGCAGACUCUCAACCUAAUGCUAGUAAUCCGAAUGAUGAAGCUAGACAAGCAUUCUAUAGCGUGAUGAAUGAUUGGUUCAACCAAUACAUUCGAACUAAUAUGGCUGUUCCACAACCUCCAUUCCCGACAAAUACUACCCCCGCACCUACAAUACCACCGGUAACGGACCAAAUAAGGUCAAAUAAGCCCCCAGUUGACAGAAUUCGAAAACAUGGGGCUACUGAAUUUAAGGCUAUGGAUAGCGAUGAUGCCGAGCAAGCUGAAUUUUGGCUGGACAACACUAUCCGGGUACUCAAUGAGCUAUCUUGUACACCCGAUGAAUGCCUAAAGUGUGCUAUCUCCUUGCUACGUGAUUCUGCCUACUAUUGGUAGAGUACUCUGACUUCUGUUGUGCCCCGAGAGCAAGUAACUUGGGAGUUUUUCCAAACUGAGUUUCGGAAAAAGUAUAUCAGUCAGAGAUUUGUUGAUCAAAAACGGAAGGAAUUUCUUGAGCUUAAGCAAGGCUCCAUGUUGGUUACUGAUUACGAGCAAAAAUUUGUUAGACUUAGCAAAUACGCUCGGGAAUGUGUUUCGUCCGAAGCUAUUAUGUGUAAACACUUCGAGGAUGGGCUGAAUGAAGAUAUAAAAAUGUUCGUUGGCGUUCUUGAAAUACGAGAGUUCGUGGUACUUGUUGAACGAGCUUGUAAAGCUGAAGAGCUUAGAAAAGAAAAGCAAAGAGUUGAUGAGGGAACUGGAGAGUUUCGUAAAAGAUCCUUGGGAAGGUCUCUUCAACAGACAUCGAAGAGAUUUCGAGAUGAUGCGGGCCAGUUUAGAGGCACUUCGGGCCUUUUUAGACGAGAUCGUGAUCGACCCCCUGUGGGUACACGAGGCACUUCGGUCGCCAGUGUUGGGAAUGAACGUCGAGAUAGAACGAAAUGUCGAUAUUGCGGUAAAUGGCAUUCGGGGAGUUGUAGAUUCCCUGACCGCUCCUGUUACAAGUGCGGAUCAGUUGACCACUUCAUUAAAGAUUGCCCGAGGUUGUUUGAACAGAAUGAAAAUCAGAGUGGGAAACCGGGUGCUACCACUGCUCGAGGUAGACCAUCUGGAAAUACGGGCAAUGCUAGUGGUGGUCAGAGAGGAUCUAGAGAUGAUAUAACCAGAUCCGAAGCUCGUGUGCCUGCUAGAGCUUAUGCUGUACGUGCCCGCGAGGAUGCUUCUUCGCCUGAUGUUAUUACCGGUACAUUCACUCUCUUUGAUACUAAUGUAAUUGCUUUGAUUGACCCCGGUUCUACUCAUUCUUACAUAUGUGAAACCUUAGCAUCCAGUAAGACUUUACCUAUUGAGUCUACUGAGUUUGUAAUUCGGGUGUCAAAUCCCUUGGGUCAUUACGUGCUUGUCGACAAAGUGUGUAAGAAAUGUCCCCUGGAAAUUCGAGGUUCCUGUUUUCCGGCGGACUUGAUGCUUUUGCCGUUUGAUGAAUUUGAUGUUAUCCUUGGUUUGGAUUGGUUGACCGCGCAUGAUGCGAUUGUGAAUUGCAAGAGCAAGACUAUUGAUUUGAGGUGCGCAAAUAACGAAGUAGUCCGAAUUGAGUCUGCGGACUUGGAGGGGAUGCCAGCUGUAAUAUCAGCAAUGUUGGCACAGAAAUAUGUAAGAAAAGGGUGCGAAGCAUACCUUGCGUAUGUACUUGAUGACAAAGAAUUAGAAAAGAAACCCGAAUCUGUGCCGGUGGUUUGUGAAUACCCGGAUGUUUUUCCGGAAGAAUUGCCGGGUUUACCACCUGUUCGGGAGAUAGAGUUUGGUAUUGAGCUUGCACCUAGGACUACGCCGAUUUCGAUAGCCCCAUAUCGUAUGGCACCAACCGAGUUAAAAGAGUUAAAAGCUCAGUUGCAAGAAUUGACGGAUAGAGGUUUUGCUCGACCAAGCUUCUCACCUUGGGGUGCACCAGUAUUGUUCGUGAAGAAGAAGGACGAAACCAUGAGGUUGUGUAUUGACUAUCGUCAACUGAAUAAAGUGACGAUAAAGAAUAAAUAUCCGUUGCCGCGCAUCGAUGAUUUGUUCGACCAACUGAAGGGAGCCACAGUGUUCUCGAAAAUAGAUUUGAGAUCGGGCUAUUAUCAGUUGCGAAUUCGAGGAAUCGGAGUUUCAAAUUGAUGAUGAUGAUUGUUUGAGGUUCAGAAAUCGUUUGUGUGUUCCAAGGAAUUCGGAACUCAUUUCGAUGAUUCUGAACGAAGCCCAUUGUAGCCAAAUGUCAAUUCACCCGGGGAGUACGAAAAUGUACAACGAUUUGAAACGUCAAUUUUGGUGGCAUGGUAUGAAACGGGACAUCUCCGACUUUGUUUCGAGAUGUUUAAUAUGUCAACAAGUGAAAGCGGAACAUCAAGUGCCUUCAGGAUUACUCCAGCCGAUCAUGAUACCCGAGUGGAAAUGGGAUCGAGUCACAAUGGACUUUGUGUCCGGACUGCCCUUGUCAGCAAGUAAGAAGGAUGCGAUAUGGGUUGUUGUUGAUAGACUGACUAAGUCGGCUCAUUUCAUCCCCGUACGUACGGAUUUUUCAUUGGAUAAACUAGCUGAAUUGUACGUUUAUCAAAUUGUGAGAUUACACGGGGUACCUGUUUCUAUCGUGUCGGAUAGAGAUCCGAGAUUCACCUCACGAUUUUGGAAGAAAUUGCAAGAAGCUCUGGGUACCAAGCUGCAUUUUAGCACUACUUUUCACCCCCAAACCGAUGGUCAAUCCGAGCGGAUAAUUCAGAUACUUGAGGAUAUGUUGAGAUGUUGCAUCCUCGAGUUCAGUAGUUCAUGGGAACGGUAUUUACCUUUGAUUGAAUUCGCUUACAACAAUAGUUUUCAAUCAAGUAUUAAGAUGGCACCUUACGAGGCUUUGUACGGUCGUAAAUGCCGUACACCAUUGUUUUGGACCGAGCUCGGUGAAAGUAAAAUUUUCGGAGUUGAUUUGAUUAAAGAUGCUGAACAGAAAGUAAAGGUAAUCCGUGAAAGUCUGAAGGUAGCCACGGAUCGUCAGAAGUCGUACGCAGAUUUGAAACAAAAAGACAUCGAGUAUCAGGUGGGAGACAAAGUGUUCUUAAGGUUUCACCUUGGAAAAAGAUACUCAGGUUCGGCCGUAAGGGCAAGUUGAGCCCAAGAUUCAUUGGGCCGUACGAAAUCUCCGAACGAGUUGGUCCGGUUGCGUAUAAAUUGAUUUUACCCCCGGAGCUUGAAAAGAUUCAUGACGUCUUUCAUGUUUCGAUGCUUCGACGCUAUCGAUCUGAUCCAUCGCAUAUAAUUAGCCCAUCAGAGGUUGAAAUUCAAGUCGACAUGAGCUAUGAAGAAGAACCGAUGCGUAUCCUAGCUCGUGAAGUGAAGGAGUUGCGAAACAAAAGAGUUCUGCUAGUAAAGGUGUUAUGGCUCAAACACGGGAUCGAGGAAGCUACUUGGGAGACCGAGAGCUCGAUGAAAGAACGAUACCCAAACCUUUUUACCGGUAAGAUUUUCGGGGACGAAAAUUUCUUAAGUGGGGGAGAGUUGUGACAGCCCAAAGUUGACCCUAGUCGGGAAGUGGUUUCGGGACCGCUAAACCGAGUCACCGAAAUGUUUGAAUGUGAUACUUAUUGUCUAGAAUAUGUAAUUAUGAAUGUGUGAAAAUUUCAAGCUUCAAUUUGGUUGAUUUCAUGUGAAUUUAGUCAAUAGGACUUAUGUGAGAAAAUUCUAAAAUGUGAUAGGUCAAUGUGUGAGGACCUAUUAGUGCAUGUGGACAAAGGGGGGACUUGCAUGUCAAAUUCCCCCCUACUAGUAGUGGCCGGCCAUGACAAGCAUGGUAGACCAAGUUUGAUGGCCAAGACAUGUCAUAGACAUGUUUUGUUGGUGCAUCAUGGGUGGAAAAAAAUAAAAUAAUAGGCAUGGAAAUUAAAUAAUGAAAAGGAGUAUGAUGAAUACAAAAAAAAAAAGUGUGUAGUUGAUUCUUUUCCCCCCCAUUGCCGUGAGCAAAAGAAAAGAGAGGAGAAGAUCUUUGUUCAUCCUUUUCUCACCUUCAUUUAGCCUAAAUUAGAAAGAAAAACAAAGAAAAAAUUUUCUCAUCCUUUGGUUCAUCCUUGGCCAAAAAUUUUAAGGAGGAAAGAAGAAGAAAGGUGAAGAGAUUCGUCCAUGCAUGUAGCUAGGCUAAGGUAUGUUUGAUGAUGUUCCAUGAGAUGCAUGCAUGUUUUAGUUGUUAGCUUGAGUUCUACCUAGCCCAUGGUCUAAAUCUUGCUAUGUGAUGGAAUUGGCACUUGACCAUGGAUGCAUCAUUCUUGGUUGGUGUUUGAUGUUGUGGUGAUGAGGCAUGAGGAUGAGUUAAGAUUCGGCCUAGGUGGAGGUUGUGCUAAUGCCAUUGCAUGCAAAAUAUGAAGCUUGUUAAUGAUGCAUGUGAUGAUGGCUUGAUGAUUCUUGAACCUCCUUUUUAGCAUUUUUGUGUGAGCACAUAUGUGCAUUGGUUGCUAAAUGGAGAAGAAUCGGCUAGCAAGAUGUGUGCUAAGGCCGAAUGUAACUUUGCAUGUUAAUGAGCAAUGCAUGUGUUAAAUUGAUGAAAAGGGGGAGGAUGCUUUACUAGUGUGUAUAUGUGUGUAUUAAGUGUUGAAAUCGACCCCAAAAAUAGACAUGCAUAUUCGGCCAAGGGGAAAGAAAUUAGCUAAUAUGUUGUGUUGAUGCAUGAUUUUUGCAUGUAUGAGACUUUAAUGUCUAAUGUAUAAAUAUGGGCUAAGUGCCUUGUGUUCAUCUUUUUGAUGCCUAAAUGAUGAAAUCAAUUUAUUUGUUUAAUUAAGCUCAAGAGCAAAGGGGAAAUAAAUCCGAUAAAGGGAAGGAAAAAGUGGUUGAAUAGCUAGCGGAAUCGUUCGACAACACCCGAGGUAAGUUCUUGAGUAAGAGAGCUUAAAUUACGAUGUGAUUAAAUCAUGCUCUAUGUGAGGCUAUUAAGCCGAAUGUGCAAGGACGAUAUGUGCCUUGUGUUUGAGUUUCGCAAAUGAAAAUGAAAUAUGAAUGUGCCAUGAAUUAUUGUUAGAUGUGCAUGAUUAAUUGAAUGCUGUCCGGGCUAAGUCCCGAAGGCUUUGUGCUAAGUGAAUAUAUCCGGACUAAGAUCCGAAGGCCUUUGUGCGAGAUACUAAAUCCGGGUUAAGUCCCGAAGGCAUUCGUGCGAGUUAUUAAAUCCGGGUUAUGUCCCGAAGGCAUUGUGUGAGUUACUAAAACCGGGCUAUGUCCCGAAGGCAUUUGAACGAGGAGCUAUAUCCGGUUAAAUCCCGAAGGUACGUGAUUUGGUAAUGAAUGAGCUUGCUGUAAAAUUCCAGCGAAUACUCGAAAAACAUCCCAAUAUGGGGAUAUGUUACGUAUGUGUUGAAUUUAAUCGAGCCUUUACAAAUAAAUGUUCGCUCAGUUGAUAAACGAGCUAUCGGCCUUCGGCUAAGUUAGUCUAUUGUGUAUGUACAUAAGGGUUGUUAAUGUUGUGAAGCAAGUUUGAUAUCGGUAAAUUGUGUAUUAUGAAAUAUUCCGUUUAGCUAAAUGUGUGUUAUUCUUUGUUUAUGCUGGAAUUCCUUGCUCAAACUUACUAAGCAUAAAUUGCUUACUCGUUACACUGCUCCUCUGUUUUAUAGAUUUUUGGUUCUCCAGCUAUCGGACUCGGGAUCUUGAAGUCGAAGUCGCCCACACUAUCAAAGGCUCUUUUGGGUACUAUUUUGGUUGAAUUUUGAUAUGGCAUGUAUAGGACUACCCAUUGUUGUUUCUCGAGUACUUUAUGAAAUGUAUAAGUGUACAGCCAUGCGAAAAUGGCUUGUAGAAGUGGAGUAUGGCAUUAGACCAUUCGUGUUUAUGAAUGUAUAGAUGGUUUCAUGAUGUAACUAUAGUUGGAAUGGAAGUGUUGAGCAAAUGAUCAGCCAUUGGAAUGGCUAAGUAUGAUCAUAUGUGGGCAUAUGUAUGACAAGGCCCUAGUUGGUCCAUGAAACCCCGAAAAUAGGUAAGGUUUACUUUGAAAACAGAGGCUGACAGCAGCAGUGGUGUGGAUUGGAAAAAUCACAAGAAUUCGUAGGAGUGGAAUUAAAUAGUGAAUAAAUUAUGUAAUCGAACCUUGAUGAAUCUACUUUCAUAUGAAAGUAACGAAACAAUCAUAUGAACAGUACAGUAAGAGAUAUUCGGGUUCUUGUGGAACAGGGCCAGAACAGUUUCUGGAUUCCCUGUUCUGACUUUGAAAAUUCACUAUAAAUUGACCAGAGAUAAUUAGGGGUCAUACCAUAUAUGUAUGGAUUCCUCUCUGAGUCUAGUUUCCAUAGAAACAAACGGCAUCAGUAUUGAAGCUCUGUGCAGAGAGAUAUCCAAGUCGUAAUGGGAAAAGAUCAGUGUAGGCGACCCCUGUAACAUGGGAGACUUUGACUAAUAAACUGUACUAAUUGGCCUGACCAAAAAUUCUAGAAAAAAAUACAUAGGUGGGGGCAUGAGUCUAGUUUCAGGGAAAAAUCACAAAACUUAUUUUUGAGUUGUGAAACUCAAGAUAUGAUUUUUGAAGCGACUAGUACUCAGACUGGGCAGUGUCUGGAAAAAUUUUUCAAAGUUUGUUAACAUCUCGUGUCCGACUCCGGUGUCGGUCUCGGGUUCGGGGUGUUACAUAGAAAUCAUUAAAAACCGAGUCAAAAUCACUUACCAAUUGAAAUUAUGUUUCCAUUGGCUAAAGAUGAUGAAUAUGAACACAAAAUUAUUUUUGUUUUAACCUUAAUGAAAAACUAUUAAUAUCAUCCAUUUAAUGUCCAAUAUUAUCCACUUACUAUUGUAAUGGUCUAAUUACAACAUAAGGACCUUUAAAUUAAUAUUCCAUAGCUAUUAGAUAGCUUUUAACUAAUAGAACUGCAUUUUUGCAUUUUACGGAUUUAGUCCUUUUUAUCUAAUCAACUAUUUAAACGAUAAAAUUUCUUCACGAAAAUUUUCACAUACAUACUAUCAUGCUAUAAACACUUAAAAUAAUAUUAAAAUAAUUUUAUGACCUCAAAUUUGUGGUCCCGAAACCAUUAUUCUGAUUUAACUAAAAAAGGGCUGUUACAUUUCAAAACCACAAAUUCGAAGUUGAAAUAAUUUUUUAUUAUUAUUUUAAUUUUUACAGCAUGUUAGUAUGUUUGUCUGAAAGUUUCAUUCAGAAAGUUUACCAUGUAAUUAGUCAAUUUGGUAAAAAGGUCUAAAUCGUGUAAAGUGCAAAAGUGAUGUUCUAAUAGCUAGAAGUAUUAAAUGGCUAUGAAAUUAAAUAGUGGAUGUCCUUAUGUUGUAAUUAUAUCCUUGUUAAGGUUGGUGGACAUUUAUGUACUUGGUUUAUGUCGAUUUUUAAUGGUAUACUUUAAGGAUAAAUAAGUAAAUUAAUAAAGAAGUUAGUAAAUAAUAAAAGAAACAAAGAAAAAUUUUUUAUUUUCUCAUAUUCUCCAAUCGAAUAUUGAGAAAUAAAACACCAUUAGAGAACUUUGAAGGUUCGGCCAAGCACUCUCUUGCAUGUAAGUUCAUUUUCGUCCUAUUUUUCAUGAUUUCUAUGUUUUUGACAUCGUUGCAGCUUAGUCUAGCUAGCCAGGGACUAAUUUGCAAAAAUUUUAAAGGUUUAGGAUGUUUCCAUUGAUGAAUAAGCAUGUAUUUUAAUGAUUGAUGAUAGAUUAUGAAUAUUUGAUGAUAGUUAUAUAAGUUUUGUUAAGUGAUUUUUAGUGAAAAUGCAAAUUAGUGAUUAAAUUGUGAAAUGUGGAAACCUUUUAGAUAAAUUGUGAAAUAAAUAAAAAAUAUGGGCUUAUAUGUGUAUUAGGAAAAUUUGGCUAGCAUGGGUUGGUAUCAAAUUGCAUUAAUUUGUGUUUUUAUAAAAUAAGGACUAAACUGUAAAAGUUAUGAAAUACUUGGGAACAAAGUGAAAAUGUGAUUUAAUGAGUGUUUUGGAUUAAAUUGAAUAGAAAAGUUAUUAAAUAAGCUAAAUUUGAUUACAUGUAGAUAAUGAAAAGCAAAAUUCAGAUCUAGAUCGGGGAAAAACAAAGUACUCGACUAAUCGACCUAUUUCAUCGUUUUUGUGAACCGAGACAAGUUUGUAUGAUUAAUAAGCUUAAUGUUAUAUGUGUUUAUAAGCUUAAAUAUUAUAAUUGUGAUAUUAUGACACUGCAGAAUCUAUCAACAAAGCAUUGACACGGUGAGAAUCCCGGUUGAAACUUAGGAAUAGAUAGGAUACUAGUGAGAUGUCAUUAGGGGUUAUUGUGAUUAUGUGAUCCGGGUACUAAUCCUGUACGUCCUACCGGUGGCUGAGUAUAUCGGCAUGUGCUGUGGUUACUUGACAGCUUGUGUGAGUAGUACCGUGUAGCUACGUCUUGACUGACAGCUUGUGUGAGCAAGCCCGUUGAUAGCUCAAGUGUGAGCAUAUAUGUGAUAUGUGAUUGAGAUAGCAUGUGGCUAAGUAUGUGCACUUUGGUGUGAGAUUCCCAAGUAUCUGAUAUUAUUUGAAAUGGUUCAACAGGAAAAGAUGAUGGUAUGAUACGGAUCAGUCCAGGCAUUUGUGAUAAGUUUGGCAAGUAAGUGAUACUUGAUAAGUUCAUAUGAAAAGUAAGUGAAAGUUGAUGAAUUUAUACAUGAUACAUAGGUUUAUGGAAAUGUGCAAAUUGUUGAGUUGGAUGUAUUACUUACAUUUACUUAUGUUCUUUAAAUUGUAAAUGAAUUGGAAAAUUAUACUUAUUAAUCAUAUGAACUUACUAAGCUAUAAAGCUUACUCUGUUCAUUUUACUAUGUUUUAUAGUGAUUUCAAAGCUAGCUCGGAUUUGGGGAUCGUCAGAGACUUCAUCACACUAUCAAGCUAUCAUUUUGGUACUUUUGAAUCUAUGUUUUUGAAAUAUAUGGCAUGUAUAGGAACUUUGGUCAUUUUGGUAUAUGAAUUGAUAAUGAUUUUGGUCUUUUGAAAUGGCUUGUAAAUGUUAAAUGCUUCUAAUUUUGUAUAUAGCCAUGAAAGUUGGCUAAAAUUGGUUGGUUUGGUUGUGUAUACAUAUGUGCUUAUGGCUUUGGUUGUGUGUUUAAUGAUGGAUAUGUUAUGCUUGUUGAUGUUGGUAUUAAGGGGUUCUACAUGGUUGAGAAUUGAAUUGGUAUGCUUGUGAAAUUAGGCUAAAUGAUACAAAAUUUAAAAGUGUUCAUAUUGGUGAAAUGAGUGGAUAUUAUGGUAUUGAUGUGUUUUGGAUUGACUGGUAUUGAAAUGUUAUGAAAUUUGCUUGAAUGAAGUUAAUAGAAUGUUUAUUUUUAUGACAUGAAUUGUGCAAUUUGGUUUGGUGUAGGUUUGUGCAAGUUGGGUGGCAAAAUGGAUUAGUAAAUAGCCUAUUUUUUACCACACGGGAAAAUACAUGGGCGUGUAUCUCAGCCGUGUGUAACACACAUUUAUGUUACAAUGUCAUGUGUCUCCUGGUGUUGAAAUAAAAAUCAAGUCAAUAUGCUCCACACGGCCUCAGACAUGGACGUGUGACUUGGCCGUGCGGUAAAAGUCAGUAUACCCUACAAGAUUGGCAUGGCCUAGCGUACGGCCUGGCACACGGGCGUGUGUGGCCAUUUUUACAGUAGACGGCCUAGCCACAUGGGUGUCUGUGUUGGCUGUGUAACCCAAGUCAGAAAGUUAUACAGGGUCAGACACGGGCUAGAACACGACCAUGUGAUUCCAUUUUGAAUGUCCACACGGCCUAUGACACUGGCGUGUGCCAUAUAGGCAUGUGUCCCCUGUAUUUUGGAAAAGUUUUCUAAGUGUUCGAAAAGUUUCUAAAGUUAUUGGUUUAGUCCCAAACCACCCAAAUGCAUGUUUUGGGCCCCCUAGGCUCAUAUUAAGGACAAUAUGAAUGUUAUUGAUUGUUGAUUAUAUCAAAUUUGAAAAUGUAUGUGUAAUUAUGUAAUUUGUUUUGUAAUGCUCCGUAACCCUAUUUUAGUGUUGAAUACAGGUGAAAGGUGUUACAUUUAUUGGUUUGAGUGCUACGGUUUAGUCGAUUCUAGGACUAACUGAUAAACCGUAAUUUAUAGAUAUUUUUAUCCCAUGCUUAGCACAUUUAUGGAUGGUUUCUCCUUAGAAUUGGUGAAUUCGAUGUUCCUAAUCCUUUAAUUUCAUAUUUUAUAAUUAGGUGAGCAUAGGAGAAUAAAAAGAGCAAGAAACAGGCCGAAAACAGAGAAAAUGGACUCACGUGGGAAAUCAACAUGGCCUGGACUUUCUCACAUGGGCGUGUCACAUGGCUGUGUCCCUUUUGGAGGAUUGAAGCAUGACUUACACUGGUAUACUACACGCCCGUGCCUGUUCAAUAGCCUUGACCACGGGCUAGAGUAAUAGCACACGGGCGUGUCCCUGCCGAGCCCAAGUAUAACCCUUUUCGAAAAAGGCCAAUUUUGGGGGCUCUUAGGCAUUCUAAAGCCUAUUAAAACACUGAGGAGGCACUUAGAAGGGGGACGCAGAGUAGGAAGUGAAGAAUUACUCAAGGAAAACCGAUUGAUCCAUCUCAGAAGCCGGAUUCAUUAUAAUGACUGAAGAUCUCCCUUCAAGUUCCUUCAGAAGUUUUGGGUUUUCUUAUAUUUUGUUAUCUUUAUGCUUUUGAGAUGUUUUCUUUCAUAAGUAUGAAGUAAACCCCCUAAAUACCUAAAGGGAAUGAAACUUAAGACGGAUCUUGUUAUUAUUAUCAGAAUUGUAUGAUAAAUAUUUGACUUGUUGUUAAUUAUGUGUUCUUAAUUCUUGUUUUGAUAUUCCAGGAUAUUGAUUCAAGUUAAGCUCUUAUUUAGAAGAGGAAUAGACCCUGUCUAAGAGUAAAUUUGUCAUAAUUAAGCAGAGUUGAUUGCACGGCUAGAGAUAGGGUGAUAAGAUUUUUCCGGAUGAGGGUGAAACCUAAUAAGGGAAUCCAUAGAUCGAGUUAAUGCAAUUCUAGGGUCUUAAUUAGAAAGAGAUUUCAAUUAUUCAACCUAGGGUUAGAUGUUAUUAGUCUCGAGAGAGAUAAUAAUAUAACUUAGGGAUUUCUACGGAUCAAGUCAAAUGAAUAAAUCAUCUGAUUUAGAGUCAAAUAACAAGUGAAGUCUAGGUGGAUUUUUCCUUACGUAUUGUCUUAAUCAAUCGAAUUUUCCCAAAAGUAUUUUCCCAAAUUUUCUUUCUAUGCAUUCUUAGUUAGUAAUUAGUUUAGAUAAUCAAACCUCUUAAUUUUUAGGCCAGAUAAUAAAAAAGAAAGUAAAUACUAGUAUUUGUAGUUCCUUUGGGUUCGACAAUCUGGUCUCGCUGAACUAUACUACUGUUCACUAGGUACACUUGCCUUAAUCGUGAUAAUAAGUUAGUUUCAAGAACGAUUCUUUCAUAAAUCUUUAAAACCUGUCAUGAAUAUCAAGUACCAAGUUUUUGGUGCCGUUGCUGAGGAACUAGGAUAUUAGGAACACUCGAUUUUUAUUACUUUAGCCAUUUUACUUUUAUUGCAAUUUAAAUUUUUAUUUUCUUUUCUAAUUCUUCAUUUAUUUUCUUCUAACAGGCUUUUCUAGUUUAUGACUAGAAGAAACUAGUCAAGACCAUUACUGUUCGAUAGUGAACUCGAUCUCACAGUUCACAGAAAUCGAAGAGAAAUAAGGUGAAGCUUAUGAUACACAGAAGAGUAAGAGGAUAAUACUUCAACCACUACCUCCUGCGAUUACUGUUAAUCAGAAUCCUGUUCCGUGCACUAUGUAUGAUUCUGCUAAACCUUCUUUAACAGGAACUGAAUCAAGCAUAGUUAGACCUGCUGUAGCUGCAAAUACUUUUGAAUUGAAACCUAACACAAUUCAAAUGAUACAGUAAUUUGUUCAGUUUGAUGGUUUACAGGACGAAGAUCCCAACGCUCACUUGGCAAAAUUUUUGGAACUAUGUGAUGCAUUUAGAAUUAAUGGCGUUUCUGAUGACGUCAUUCUCCUUCAGUUAUUCCCUUUUUUAUUGAGAAACAAAGCUAAACAAUGGUUGAAUUCGUUACCACGGAGGUCAAUCACUACUUGGGAACAAAUGACCGAAAAGUUUUUAUUAAAAUAUUUUUCACCAGCUAAAACAGCCAAAUUAUGUAAUGAUAUCUCUUCUUUUGUGUAGAUGGAUUUAGAAACACUCUACGAUACAUGGGAGAGACGCAAGGACCUCUUGAGAAGAUGCUCUCACCAUGGGUUACCACUUUGGUUACAGGUUCAAACCUUUCAUAAUGGCAUGGAUCCUUCGACUCGGCAGAUGGUUACGUAGCUGUUGGCAGAACCAUCAAUAAUAAGACACCUGAAGAUGCCUAUGAAUUUAUAGAGGAGAUGUCACUGAAUAACUAUCAGUGGCAAGUCAUGAGGACAAAGCCAACGAAAAUAGCCGGCGUUUAUAACGUCGAUUCGGUCACCAUGCUCUCUAAUCAGGCAGAACUCUUGAAUAAGGAAAUUGAUGGUUUUCUUAGUUCUUCACAAGUUCACCCAGUAAUACAGUGAGAAACAAGUGGAGGUGGAUCAAGCAGUUCAGAAUACCCACCUUAUGGCCACAACAUGGAGAACGAGCAGUUAAAUUACAUGGGUAACAAUCCUCGAUCUCAAAACAAUCCUUAUAGCAAUACUUACAAUGCAGGUUGGAGGAACCACCCAAAUUUUUCAUGGGGAGGCCAAGGAAAUCACAGACCACCACCCCCUUCAGGCUUUCAACCAUCGUACCAGCAAGAGAAAAAGUUGAACCUUGAGGAGAUACUAACCAAAUUCAUCUCGGUGUCAGAAACUCUUUUUUAGAAUAUCGAGACGACACUCAAAAAUCAAAAAGCAUCAAUCCAGAGGCUCAAAACUCAGAUUGGAUAGCUCGCCAAGUUGAUUUCCAAACUUCCACAAGGUAGUCUGCCAAGCAAUACUGAAUCUAACCCAAGGGAGCAACUCAACGCGAUUGCCAUUCAAGAUGAAGAAGGUUUAGUUGCAAAACCAAGGCCAGAAAAGGUGGUAAGCAAAGGUAAGAAUAAGGUAGGACAAAAUGGCCCAAAGCUGGUGAGUACAUAAUAUAAACCUCGUGUGCCAUACCCCAAUGCGACAAGGAAGGACCGAUCAGACGAACAAUUUGGUGAAUUCCUUAAACUUUUAAAGAAACUACAUAUUAGCUUACCAUUUAUUGAAGCCUUUUCGCAGAUGCCAAAUGCAGUAAAGUUUUUAAAGGAGCUUUUAACAAAUAAAAGAAAGUUGGAUAAGGCAUCACAUGUGGAGUUGAAUGCAGUAUGCUCAGCCAUAUUACAGAAUAAGCUACCCAAAAAAUUGAAGGAUCCAAGGAGUUUUACGAUUCCUUGUUUAAUUGGUAGUUUAGAUAUUCAUAAUGCAUUGGCUGAAUUAGGGGCAAGCAUUAAUGUUAUGCCUUAUAAAAUGUUUAAACAGCUAGGUCUUGGGAAACCCAAGCAAACUAGAAUAAGCAUUCAAUUGGUUGAUAAAACCAUUAGAUUUCCUUGGGGUAUCAUUGAAGAUGUUCUUAUUAAGAUCGAUAAAUUUAUAUACCUAGUAGACUUUGUUGUUCUAGACGUGGAAGAGGAUAGUAACGCACCUUUAAUUUUAGGACGACCCUUUUUAGCGGCUGCUAGAACCAUUAUUGAUGUUGGUACAAGUGAACUCACACUUCGUGUGGGAGACGAAACAAUCACCCUUCAAGCUUGUAAUUCGAGUAACACAUCAAAAAUUGAAGGUGGUUGUAUAAAUCAUUCUACUAGUACUGAUCAUGUGGUGACACCCUCUAUACAGGAAAUAGUUUCGAAGAACACAUAUGAGCCGUGUUCAAACAACAACAAAUGACCUAUCUAUGAAGAACAAAGGCUACAAAUCGAGAAGCUAGAUGAAUGGCGGACACAGAAACCGAGAAUACCCGAUAAAUCGAAAUCGAGCCAGGACAAGCUCAAUACCUCACCAAAUCAACUUAAGGUUGGAGACAAACUACUACUAGAUAUAGCAGAUCCUCGCAUUGCCACUCCUGAACAUAAUGAAGAAAUUCCUCUUACAGUACUCAGUAUUUCCCCAUAUGGUACAAUAGAGGUAAUUCAUCCCAAAUUUGGCACAUUUAAGGUAAACAAUACCCAUCUUAAACCUUAUGUUGAUAAAUUUGAUAGCAGGGAUGAGGAAUGUAAACUCCUCACACCACCUUGACCAUAUAGAAGAAAGGUAAGUCGAGCUUAGACUAUAAAUAAAUGCUUCUCGGAAGGCAACCCGAGCACUAACAGUGUUAAUUUCUUCAAAUUUUAGUUUUUAUCAUCUAACAUAUUAACCAAAUCAUGGAACGUAGGCUUGCUAAAGCCCACACGGCCAGGCACACGGGCGUGCAUUAGGCCUUAUGAAAACAAGGCAAGAUUUUUUCCCCAACAUGGGAUGCGAUAAGUUGCCACGGCUGUGCGACAUGGCCGUGGGCGAAACUACCAAAAUAAAACGGGCGUGAGACAUGCCCGUGCCUUGAAACUGUGGUUGAAACUAAGAAUGUAACACGGGUGUGCGACACGCUCGUGCCAUCCACUCGUGGUCGACACUGUCAAAACAAACACGGGCGUAGACCUAUAUACACAGGCGUGUGCCCCAAAAUCUAUAUAAGCCCCUCACUAUUCAUCAUCUCUCGCCCUAACCCUAGCCGCUACAACUCCACACACCCUACCCCCUAGCCCGUGCGCCGCUUACAACAGCGAUUCCUACACCCCAAGCUCUUUCUUUUUGCGUUUGAUUACUCUUUUCUCUCUAUUUUCUUUAUAUAUGUUUAUUAUUUCAUGAUUUCUCUGCUCUAUUGAACUAUUUUGAGUGAAUAUUCAUAGUUAGAAUAUUAAAAUACUCAUGCUUGUUUUAUAAAAAUUUUGUCAUUUUAGUUACUACAUUAUGGUAUACUCUUUCAUUUUUCCUUAUUUCCAUGAAAUUUAUGCUUACCCACAUUCAUUCAUUCAUUAUUCCCAUAACCUAUAACUUGAUAUAUUUAGUUGUAUUAGUUUCUAGCAUCUAGCACGUAAAUCUCAUGAAAUAUUCAUAUUUAGUCUUGAUUUUCCAUACUAUUUUUGGGGCAUAUUGGUUGAACUUCGAUUUUUCAAUGCAGGUACAAUGUUGUCCUCACGUGGUAAGAAGACCGCUCUUUCCGCCUCGAAGAAGAGGAAAGGAGCAGCGUCAUCCUCAGGUCCUACCACGGAGAUUAAGCACCCGUUCCUCCAGGUUCCCUUGGGACCCCAGAAGGAGUUAUAUUAGAUAUUACAGGCCCGACCCCUAGGUGUGGGCUGCUGCAUUGACUGGGCCGCACUCGAACAGAUUCAAUUGGCUGACGCAGUCCGAGCCCUCCUGACUACUGAUUCGUGAGGGCUCUUCUUUGAGAUAGUCGAGUUGACGUAUCUCAAGUUCACAUUGGAACACUGCUCGACAUUCCAUCUUCAGACCGUCAUGACCAACUUUGACAAUCCUGGAACGGUCCAGUUUCGCCACAGUGGUCUAGUACGCCAGUUGAGCGUACCCGAGUUCAGGAUUACAUUAGGGCUAUACACAGAGGAAUUCAUGGACUAUAAUGAACUCAACACCCUCCACCACCAUAUCCACUACUCCCUCUCAAAAUGCUAGAGGGACCUCGUCCCUGCCUCAGCCACCUACGAUCUUAGCCGCUCCAAGGCAUCGGCUCUUCCUUCAUCCUUGGGGUAUCUACACGCUAUCUUGGCUCACACUCUGACAGGGAGAUGAGAGAGCACCGGUAUCGUCACCACCCACGAUGCCUAUUUCUUAUGGAGUAUGGCGAAUGGGCAUGUCAUCGACCUCGCCUACUUUAUUGUCCUCUCCAUUCGCCAGCAGACGAAGCGGCAAAAGAGAGGGGUCAUCUCUAUCUGGCCCUAUGUGACUCUACUGGCUCGACACUUCGGGCUCCUCAAAAUAGCAGCCCAAUCAUCCUCCCUUACUUUCAUCGGCCAAAUGUCCCCACAGGGUAUCUCGAGCAUGCUAAGUAUGAGGAUGAUCGAGAAACAACGUGACACCUACCCUCCUCAGUACCGUCUCAUCCAGUCCACCGAGGAGAAGGAUCCAGAGGAUAGUACUGAUGAUGUCCCUCCACGUCAUGAGGACCCACCGUCUCAGCCAUCAUCUCCCUCUCGUCCAGUCCAUGCGGUGGCUUCAUACGCUGACAUCUCUAAGCGCCUUACUCGAUUCGAGCAGCAGUGUUUUUAGCGCUUCGAUAACAUCGAUGCUACUCUACAGCAGAUUUGUCAGCACUUCCACAUCUCAUCGCCACCCCUACCUCACGAACCAUCUAGCGAUGAAGAUGUUUAAAAACUUUUAUUUAUUAUUUUAUGUUGUUACUUUUAUUCUAUUUUAAGACUACUUUUUAUUUUUCUUUAAGCUUAUUUUUAUUAGGUUUUAUAAUUAUGUUUUUACAAUUUUAAAUUUCAGCUAUUUCAUUACGAGUAAUUAUUCUUCUUUAUAUAUUUCCUAAAAAUUUCCUGAUUCUAUCACCGUUAUAAAGAGCUCCAAAGCUUACUAUUACUUAGGAACUUGAAACUCCACUGGGAAAGGUUCUCCACGACUGCCAUGCCCUGCUCCACCACGACCAUAGCCAACAUGAGAUAUAAUAUUCUUUUGGCGUAGCAUUUGUGGAACCCAACCUCUACCACCAUCGGAGUAUCCUCUUCCACCUUUAUCAUUGCUUUGGCCGUUUAUUCUCCAUGACUCCAAUUCAAGGAGUUCAUUCAUCAUUCAGGAAGUUUCACUUAUCUUCCUAUCUUAUGAUUAUAAAUCUAUCUUUGUCAAUAUAUCUUUCUUUGUACAUUGAGGGCAAUGUACAUCUUAAGUGUGGGGGGUCUUUUAUAUCAUCAUUAGAAAUCCCUGAAUUUUGUCUUAUUCUCACGUGAAUCACUCAUAUCACUAUUAGAAUGAAUUUUGAUUAAUUUAUAAUUUUUAUUGAUAUGUCUUGAAUUAAAAUUUAGGUAUUUAUGCAUUGAUUGUUUAAACUUUAAAACAUUAGGGAAUCAAGCAUGGUAAGUUGAUUUUUGAAGAAUUAAAAACUUUUAGGUUGUUUCUCUAAGUUUAGGUAUUAUCUUGAGUUGAAAUUCACAAGUUUGAACAUCAAAAAGCCAUAAUUUUUGUGAGAUAUUGAGCCUUUGGAGCAUAUUUUAUUCCUUUCAUGCUCACUUUCAUUAUGAGUGAGUCAGUUUUGAUUUGUUAUUCUAGAACUUGCUUGAUUAUGCAUAUCAAGACCACACCAUUUGAUUUGAUAUGUCAAGAUGAUAAAGGCACUUAGGUUUAACCCACUCACUCCACAAAAGCCUACCUCCAUAAUUAACCCUUAGUGAACCCCUUUUGAUCCUAACAAACCAUUAAUUGAGUUACCCUCAAUAUUAACCCAUAACCGAUUAUUGUUGAAAUCCCCUAAUUUGAUCCCUAUUUUUAUCGAGAUUUGAUUUGAACAAAUUGCUUAGUUAUGUUUGUGCUUCUAAAUAUUUGACUUGUUCUAAAAAAAUAAUACUUACAAACAUAUUAGUAGUAAUUUGUUUUUUUUUUUUUUGAGCUUGAGUGUUAAUUUCAUAUUCUGAGAAAAAGCUCACUUGUAUUCAACUGAUGACUAGUUAUUUUUCUAGCUAGGUAACUUUUCAAUUCAAUCUCAAUUCUAACAUCUUCUUUCAGCUUGUAACCACACCACCUAACCAAAGCCACGUUACAACCCUCUAAAAAGACCUUUUUGAUUGAUGUAUCAGCUCAAUAUAUAGUGGUGGAGAUUUGAUUUUCAAGCAAGCAUAUGGUAAUAACUUUUCAUAUUGACUAAUGAGUGCUUUUAUUGAUGUCCUUAAACACCUUGAGUGAUUUGAGUGAAUCUUUAGUGAGGAUGUUAAAAUCUUUGAUAUUUUGAUCAAAGGUAAUCACUUAGAUGAGGGGAGACACCUAUGUUUUCGUGAUAAAAUACUCAACUUGGAAUGCUUGAAACUUUAAUGUACUUUUAGUUGAAUUUUCAAUGUAUGAGUACUUAUGGAUUAUUUUGCGAUAUUAUUGAUAGGGAUUAAAUUGAGAAGAAUUUAUUUUGAUUAUGAGUUGAGGAUUUUUGCUUGAGGGCAAGCAAAUGCUUAAGUGUGGGGGUAUUUGAUAAACCGUAAUUUAUACAUAUUUUUAUCCCAUGCUUAGCACAUUUAUGGAUGGUUUCUCCUUAGAAUUGGUGAAUUCGAUGCUUCUAAUCCUUUAAUUUCAUGUUUUAUACUUAGGUGGGCAUAGAAGAGUAAAAAGAGUGAGAAACGGGCCGAAAAUGGAGAAAAUGGACCCACGUGGGAAAUCAACACGACCUGGACUUUCUCACACGGCUGUAUCACACGAUCGUGUCCCUUUGACAGGAUUGAAGCACGACUUGCACGGGUAUACUACACGCUUGUGCCUAUUCAACAGCCUUGACCACAAGCUGGAGUUAUCGCACACGGACGUGUCGAUGCCGAGCCCAAGUAUAACCCUAUUCAGAAAAGGCCAAUUUUGGGGGAUCUUAGGCAUUCUAAAGCCUAUUUAAACACUGAGGAGGCACUUAGAAGGGGGACGCAGAGUAGGAAGCGAGGAAUUACUCAAAGAAAGCCGAUUGAUCCAUCUCAGAAGCUGGAUUCAUCAUCAAAACUGAAGAUCUCCCUUCAAGUUCCUUCAGGAGUUUUGGGCUUUCUUAUGUUUUGUUAUCAUUAUGCUUUUGAGAUGUUUUAUUUCAUUAGUAUGAACUAAUGUAACACCCCGAACCCGAAACCGACACCGGAGUCGAACACGAGGUGUUAACUGACUUUAACCCCUUAUAAAAUUUAUUUUCCAGACACUGCCCAAUCUGUGUACUAGUCGUUUUAAAAAUCAUAUCUUGAGUUUCGUAACUCAAAAAUCAGUUUCGUGAUUGUUCCCAGAAACUAGACUCAUGUGCCCAUCUAUGUAUUUUUUUCUAGAAUUUUUGGUCGGGCCAAUUAGUACAGUUUAUUAGUCAAAGUCUCCCAUAUUGCAGGGGUCGACUACACUGACCUUUUCCCAUUACGACUUGGAUAUCUCCCUGCACGGGGCUUCAAUACUGAUGUCGUUUGUUUCUUUGAAAACUAGACUCAGAGAGGAAUCUGUACAUAUAUGGUACGAUCCCUAAUUAUCUCUGGUUAAUUUAUAAUGAAUUUCCAAAGUCGGAGUAGGGAAUCCAGAAACCGUUCUGGCCCUGUCCCACAAAAAUUUGAUUAUCUCUUAAUAUACUGCCCAUAUGAUCUUUUUGUUACUUCCUCAUGAAAACAGACUCAUCGAGCUUCGAUUACAUAAUUUAUUCAUCAAUUAAUUCCACUCCUACUAUUUUUAGUGAUUUUUCAAUCUCAUGACACUGCUGCUGCCAGCAUCUGUUACGAAAGUAACUAGGUCCAUUUCAUGCCUACCCUUGAUCCAACUCAAUCGAACCUUCGUGCCAUUUUCGCAUGGCUUAAAGUUUACAUGCCAAAGUUCAAACACAACGUAAUAGCUUAUACAUGCCAAAAUGUUCUUCUAAGCCAACUAAGAAGAAGGUACCAAAACUUGCUAUCCGGUGUGAUGACUUCGAUGACGACCUGACCCCGCAAAAAUAGAUGAGUCCAAGCAACCUAUAAUGGGUGACAAGGAAACACCGAGUGAGUUUAUAACUCAGUAAGUCAUAAGCAAUGUACUACCAUCCAUCAAUAACAUUAUCACAAGAGGAAACAAAAUGGAACGAGACAAUUUACUCCAUCCAUACCGAACCAUACCAUAGUUCCUCCCACCUAUCGAUUCAAUUUCAUAUCAAUUCAUGCAUUUACAUUCCAUAUACUCAUCAAUAGGACAUUGAAGCAUUUUCAUAAAUCAAUUUAUUUUCGUUACAAUCAAACGACUAAACGGCCUUUCACCCAUCCUACGAUAAAUUUUAUGUACGUGACUUCAAGUAUAUUUGUCACAUAGGUUUAAACUUACCGGGCUCAACACCAAGUAUAAGCAUAGCACCUAUUAGCCAUGUACUCAGCACACUUACCCGAUCCGCUGUCCGCGAUCGACUCAAUGGUGUCGCACACAUAGUGUCCAUAAUGAUUCACGAAUGUAUAUUGAGUCCGCACACUCAGUGCUAUAUAAUCAACUCGCACACUUAGUGCUACGUAAUCAAAUCGCACACUUAGUGCUACAUAGUCAAACUCGCACACUUAGUGCCGCAUGGUCAAUUCGCACACUUAGUGCAUCAUAUUCGUUUCGCACACUUAGUGCAACAUAGUCAAAUCGCACACUUAGUGCUGUACAAUUUAAUCCCGCGCACUUAGCGCCAAUCUCAUGGUCAUAAAUGGUUAUACCCGCACGUUUAGUACCGAGAUCAACAACUCAAUACAUCUUACCUCUUUUCUUUUCAUUCAACAAUUUCAUCAUCACAUACGUACAUGCAUAUAUAUAUAUGUAUAUUUAUUCAUUCCAUUCAGCAUCAAUACAUAAACAUUAUGACCAUUUGAAAUAAUACCAACUACAUGCUUAACGACUUACCUCGUGUUGGGUAAGACGGUUCCAACUCGGCUACUCGAUGACCUUUUCUUUGCCUUUGCUCGAUUCACCUCCUUUAACUCCUUGAGCUAAAUCAAUAAUUUAACUAGUUUAACCACUACGAUUAUCACCAAAUAAAUCACAUUCAAUUAACACUACCCAUUUACAUAUACAUCAACUAUCAAAUUCUCACUCCUUAGCUAAUGCCGAAUGCUUAUAUAAGCCCUAAGUCAUAUUUACACAUUUAUCAACUUUCCAAUUCAACUUAAUACCAAAAAUUAAUGUCAUUUAAAUAGCCAACUCAAUUUCAUCCUUAAUAUUUCUUAUAACAAAAUUUAUCAAAAUUCAAUAAGAAAUACAUUAAAUUCCAUGACCGAAUUUGCAUUUCACCAUAAUAGCCACUUGCCUUAAAACAAUUAAGCCACAAUCAUUUACUUUACCUAGCUUAGACUUAGAUUAAUAAUUAUCUAAAUUAUUUAAACAUUCAACACAAACUCUUCUUUAAUUAAGCACAUAUUCGGCAAGGAAAAAUGGUAAUUUAGCAAACCUUAGUUUAACAUAUAAUUUGUUUAUAACACAUUUUAAGCCUUCUUUUCAUGCCGUCAACUCAAAACACAUACAUUACUCAAAUAUAACCAAGUUCAUAUUCGGCAAUAGCAUCCAACAUGAUAGCCGAUUCUUUCUACUUAGCAUCUAAUGCAUACAUAUGAUCAUUUGUUUGGCUCAAACGCCCAUCCACCAUGAUUCGUCCAAAUUAAUAUGAAACAACAGCCAUAUUCUUUAUUGACUACUAUGGCCGAAAGCUUUAUUCAUUCCCAAAAUCAAAUUUUAACAUAAACUUUUUACCUUAGUUUAAGCCUAGGAUGACUGAGUGGUGUUUCUCCCCUAUUCUUCCUUCACAUUCGGCUUAGAAGAAACAAAGAUGAACACUUAGUUUUCUUCACCCAUCCCCCCCCUUCUCAAGCCUCAAGUGACCGAAUGUUUUUGCCCCAAUUCUUUCUUUCAAUCCGGCCAAGAAGAACCAAAAAAAAACACAACUUGUUUUUCUUUCUUCCUUAGAACAUUCGGCCAAGGGGAAAUGAAGAAAGAUGGACACUUUUUUUUUUGUUUUUCCUUCUUACUUUCACGGCAAUGGGGAGGGGAAGAAACAAUUACACACAUCCUUUCCUUUUUCCAUUUCUUUAUUUCCCGAUACUUCUUAUUAUAUUUUAUCCUACAUACCUCACUAGGCCAACAUGUUCCCAACAUGUUUCCACCCAUAGCAUGGCCGGCCACUACUUAUUAGGAGGGGGAAUUUGACAUGCAAGUCCCCCCUUUUUUCCCACAUGCACUAAUAGGUCCUUACGCAUUGACCUAUCACAUUUUAAAAUUUUCUCACAUAAGUCCUAUUGACUUAAUUCACAUGCAAUCGACUAAAUCGAAGCCUGAAAUUUUCACACAUUCAUAGUUACAUAUUCUAGACAAUAAAUAUCACAUUCAAACAUUUCGGUGACUCGGUUUAACGGUCCCGAAACCACUUCCUGACUAGGGUCAAUUUUGGGCUGUCACAACUCUCCCCCACUUAAGAAAUUUUCGUCCUCGAAAAUCUUACCGGUAAAUAGGUUUGGAUAUCGUUCUUUCAUCGAGCUCUCGGGUUCCCAGGUUGCUUCCUCGAUCCCGUGUUUGAGCCACAACACCUUAACCAACGGAACCUUUUUAUUUCGCAACUCUUUCACUUCACGAGCUAGGAUACGAAUCGGUUCUUCUUCAUAGCUCAAGUCAGAUUGAAUUUCAACUUCUGAGGGAUUAAUCACAUGUGACGGAUCGGAUCUAUAACGUCGAAGCAUUGAAACAUGAAAGACAUCGUGAAUCUUUUCAAGUUCAUGGGGUAAAAUCAAUCGAUACGCAACUGGACCGACUCGUUCGGAUAUUUCGUAUGGCCCAAUGAAUCUCGGACUCAACUUGCCCUUUCGGCCAAAUCUGAGUACCUUUUUCCAAGGCGAAACUUUAAGAAACACUUUAUCUCCCGCCUGAUAUUCAAUGUCUUUUCGUUUCAAAUCCGCAUACGAUUUCUGACGAUCCGUGGCUGCCUUUAGACUUUCGCGGAUCACCUUUACUUUUUGUUCGGCAUCUUUAAUCAAAUCAACUCCGAAAAUUUUACUUUCACCAAGCUCGGUCCAAAACAAUGGCGUACGGCAUUUACGACCGUACAAAGCCUCAUAAGGUGCCAUCUUAAUACUUGAUUGAAAACUAUUGUUGUAAGCGAAUUCAAUCAAAGGUACAUACCGUUCCCAUGAACCACUAAACUCAAGGAUGCAGCAUCUCAGCAUAUCCUCGAGUAUCUGAAUUAUCCGCUCGGAUUGUCCAUCGGUUUGGGGGUGAAAAGCGGUGCUAAAAUGCAGCUUGGUACCCAAAGCUUCUUGCAAUUUCUCCCAAAAUCGUGAGGUGAAUCUCGGAUCUCUAUCCGACACGAUAGAAAUAGGUACUCCAUGUAAUCUCACAAUCUGAGAGACAUACAAUUCGGCUAGUUUAUCCAAUGAAAAAUCCGUACGCACGGGGAUAAAGUGAGCCGACUUAGUCAGCCUAUCAACAACAACCCAAAUCGCAUCCUUCUUACUUACGGACAAUGGCAGUCCGGACACAAAGUCCAUUGUGACUCGGUCCCAUUUCCACUCGGGUAUCAUGAUCGGCUGAAGUAACCCUGAAGGCACUUGAUGUUCCGCUUUCACUUGUUGACAUAUUAAACAUCUCGAAACAAAGUCGGAGAUGUCUCGUUUCAUACCAUGCCACCAAAACCGACGUUUCAAGUCGUUGUACAUUUUCGUGCUCCCCGGGUGAAUUGACAUUCGGCUACAAUGGGCUUCGUUCAGAAUCAUCGGAAUGAGUUCCGAAUUCCUUGGAACACACAAACGACUUCUAAACCUCAAACAACCAUCAUCAUCAAUCUGAAACUCCGAUUCCUUGUUUGGAACACACUCAGCUCGUUUUGCAACCAAUUCCUCAUCGACUUUUUGAGCUUCACGAAUUUGAUGAGUCAAUAAUGGUUUGGCUUUUAAUUCAGCUACUAACACAUUGUCAGGUAGAACAGACAAGUGUACAUUCAUCGCUCGCAAUGCAAACAGUGAUUUCCGGCUUAAGGCGUCCGCAACCACAUUAGCCUUUCCCGGGUGGUAAUCAAUGACAAGCUCGUAAUCUUUCAACAACUCAAGCCAACGUCUUUGUCGCAGAUUCAAGUCUCGUUGAGUCAUCAAAUAUUUGAGACUUUUGUGAUCCGAAAACACAUGGCACUUCUCACCAAACAAAUAAUGUCGCCAUAUUUUCAAUGCAAACACAAUGGCGGCUAGUUCGAGAUCAUGGGUCGGAUAAUUUCUCUCGUGUGGCUUCAAUUGUCUCGACGCAUAGGCCACAACUCGACCUUCUUGCAUCAAUACGCAACCCAACCCAAGUAGGGAUGCGUCACUAUAAAUGACAAACUCUUUACCCGAUUCGGGUUGCACCAAAAUUGGAGCUUCAGUCAAAUGAGUUUUCAGUUGAUCGAAGCUUUUCUGACAUUUCUCCGUCCAUUCGAACUUAACAUCCUUUUGAAGUAGCUUCGUCAUUGGUGUGGCUAUCAUCAAGAAACCUUUGACAAAUCGUCGGUAAUAACCGGCGAGCCCUAGAAAGCUCCGGACUUCGGUAACAUUUCUCGGAGGCUUCCAGUUAAGUAUGGCUGAAAUUUUGCUCGGGUCAACUCGAAUACCCGAUGCGGAUACCACAUGACCCAAGAAGCUAACCUCUCUUAACCAGAACUCACACUUACUGAACUUAGCAUAUAACUGCUUAUCCCGCAAAAUUUGCAACACUAGCCUCAGAUGCUCAGCAUGUUCGGUCUUAUCUCUUGAAUAGACCAAGAUGUCAUCAAUAAACACAACUACGAACCGAUCCAAAUACGGCCUGAAGAUCCGAUUCAUCAAAUCCAUAAACACCACAGGGGCAUUAGUGAGCCCGAACGGCAUCACUAAGAACUCGUAGUGACCGUACCUCGUUCUGAAAGCAGUUUUGGGUACGUCCGAAUCUCGUAUCCGUAACUGAUAAUAACCCGAUCUCAAAUCUAUCUUUGAAAACACCGAUGCUCCCUUUAAUUGAUCGAACAGAUCAUCAAUACGCGGUAACGGAUACUUAUUCUUUAUCGUCACUUUAUUCAGUUGACGAUAGUCAAUGCACAACCUCAUGGUUCCGUCUUUCUUUUUUUUUCACGAACAAUACUGGUGCACCCCAAGGUGAGAAUCUCGGUCGAGCGAAACCUCUAUCCGUCAAUUCUUGCAACUGAGCUUUCAACUCUUUUAACUCGGUUAGUGCCAUACGAUACGGAGCGAUCGAAAUUGGCGUAGUUCCAGGUACAAGCUCAAUACCAAACUCUACCUCCCGAACAGGUGGCAAACCCGGUAACUCUUCAGGAAAAACAUCCGGGUAUUCACAAACCACCGGCACCGAUUCGGGUUUCUUUUCUAACUCCUUGUCAUCAAGUACAUAUGCGAGGUAUGCUUCGCACCCUUUCCUUACAUAUUUCUGGGCCAACAUUGCUGAUAUUACAGCUGGCAACCCCCCUUAAGUCCGCAGACUCAACUCGGAUUAUUUCGUUAUUUGCGCACCUCAAAUCGAUAGUCUUGCUUUUGCAAUUCACAACCGCAUCAUGCGCGGUUAACCAAUCCAAACCAAGAAUAACAUCAAACUCGUCGAACGGCAAAAGCAUCAAAUCGGCCGGAAAACAGGAUUCUCGGAUUAUUAGAGGGCAUCUCUUACACACUUUAUCAACAAGUACGCAUUGACCCAAAGGGUUUGAUACUCGAAUUACGAGCUCAGUAGACUCAACAGGUAGAGUCUUACUGGUUGCUAAGGUUUCGCAUACAUAUGAAUGAGUAGAACCAGGGUCAAUCAAUGCAAUCACAUUAGUAUCAAAGAGAGUGAAGGUACCAGUGAUGACGUCGGGGGAGGAUGCCUCCUCUCGUGCGCGAAUGGCAUAUGCUCUAGCAGGAGUACGGUUCUCGACUCGAUCGGCCAUAUCAGAGGCCCCCCUCUGACUACCACCCCUGCCUCCUAAAAUUCUCGGUGGUCUACCUCUAGAUGUCACUCCACUAGGUCUUGCACCUUGAAUCUUAUUCUUCUCAUCCAGCUCCGUGCAAUCUCUAAUGAAGUGGUCCUUCGAACUGCAUCCGUAACAGGCCCUGCUAGUAGACUUGCCCCAACAUUCACCUAGGUGUCGUCUUCCACAUUGGGGACAUUCAGGUUUCUCGUGACGAUUAUUGCCCACACUAGCUACCGAAGUAGCUCGGGAACCCAUCGAUGGUCUUGCCCUGAUGGAAAUUCCCGCAGUCGCCCUCGACUUAUUAAUGUCCUCCCUGAACUUCUUUACAGCUGAGAUCGGAGCUUUACCCGUUGAUCUUUUACGAUAAUCUCUAGCUUCAAAUUCAGCCUUCCUCUUCUCCUUUCCAAGUUCUUCCGCCUUGCAGGCUCGUUCGACCAGUGUUACGAAUUCUUUUAUUUCCAAAAUACCCAUUAGUAGCUUUAAAUCUUCAUUCAAUCCUUCCUCGAACCUUUUGCACAUAGCAACCUCAUCAGCUACACACUUCCGGGCAUACCUACUGAGUCUUACGAAUUCAUGUUCGUAUUCAGAUACAGUCAUACGGCCUUGCUUGAGUUCCAAGAACUCCUUACGCUUCUGAUCAAUGAACCGUUGGCUAAUAAAUUUCUUUCGGAAUUCCGUUUGAAAGAAGUCCCAAGUUACUCGCUCGUUCGGGACUAUGGAAAUCAAGGUCCUCCACCAAUAGUAGGCUGAGUCUCGCAACAAAGAUACAGCACAUUUUAGACAUUCGUCGGGUGUGCAUGACAAUUCAUCGAACACCCGAAUGGUGUUAUCAAGCCAGAACUCGGCCCUUUCGGCAUCAUCAGUUACUAUGGCCUUGAACUCCUCGGCCCCACGCUUCCUAAUCGAGUCUACAGGUGGCUUACUCAGCCUCACAGGAUCAACGACUGAUGGCAUUACAGGCUCUUGGGGUGGAUUAUUCAAAUUUGGGAAUUGUUGGACAGCCGGGUUGGUUCGGGCAUAUUGCGCGACCCACUCAUUCAUCAUGGUAAAGAAGGCUUGUUUAGCCCCCUCACCUUGAUUAUUCGCAGAUGACUGAGGUUCAACAGGCGGCGUCCCUUGUGCAGGAGCAGCCGCUACGCUCUCAACGUCAUCCGCUAGGGUUCUUUCUUCACCGGGGUCCAUUUACUAAUCAAAUCAAAAACAUUUCAACCGUCGGAAGUCAUCACACAUUUAAACAUUAACAUUCGGCAUGUAUAGCUAGACUCAUACGCGCUAUGGUAGUCCUAGAACCGACUAAACCAUAGCUCUGAUACCAAUCAAAUGUAACACCCCGAACCCGAAACCGACACCGGAGUCGAACACGAGGUGUUAACUGACUUUAACCCCUUAUAAAAUUUAUUUUCCAGACACUGCCCAAUCUGUGUACUAGUCGUUUUAAAAAUCAUAUCUUGAGUUUCGUAACUCGAAAAUCAGUUUCGUGAUUUUUCCCAGAAACUAGACUCAUGUGCCCAUCUAUGUAUUUUUUUCUAGAAUUUUUAGUCGGGCCAAUUAGUACAGUUUAUUAGUCAAAGUCUCCCAUAUUGCAGGGGUCGACUACACUGACCUUUGCCCAUUACGACUUGGAUAUCUCCCUGCACGGGGCUUCAAUACUGAUGCCCUUUGUUUCUAUGAAAACUAGACUCAGAGAGGAAUCUGUACAUAUAUGGUACGACCCCUAAUUAUCUCUGGUUAAUUUAUAAUGAAUUUCCAAAGUCGGAGCAGGGAAUCCAGAAACCGUUCUGGCCCUGUCCCACAAAAAUUUGAUUAUCUCUUAAUAUACUGCCCAUAUGAUCUUUUCGUUACUUCCUCAUGAAAACAGACUCAUCGAGCUUCGAUUACAUAAUUUAUUCAUCAAUUAAUUCCACUCCUACUAUUUUUAGUGAUUUUUCAAUCUCAUGACACUGCUGCUGCCAGCAUCUGUUACGAAAGUAACUAGGUCCAUUUCAUGCCUACCCUUGAUCCAACUCAAUCGAACCUUCGUGCCAUUUUCGCAUGGCUUAAAGUUUACAUGCCAAAGUUCAAACACAACGUAAUAGCUUAUACAUGCCAAAAUGUUCUUCUAAGCCAACUAAGAAGAAGGUACCAAAACUUGCUAUCCGGUGUGAUGACUUCGAUGACGACCUGACCCCGCAAAAAUAGAUGAGUCCAAGCAACCUAUAAUGGGUGACAAGGAAACACCGAGUGAGUUUAUAACUCAGUAAGUCAUAAGCAAUGUACUACCAUCCAUCAAUAACAUUAUCACAAGAGGAAACAAAAUGGAACGAGACAAUUUACUCCAUCCAUACCGAACCAUACCAUAGUUCCUCCCACCUAUCGAUUCAAUUUCAUAUUAAUUCAUGCAUUCACAUUCCAUAUACUCAUCAAUAGGACAUUGAAGCAUUUUCAUAAAUCAAUUUAUUUUCGUUACAAUCAAACGACUAAACGGCCUUUCACCCAUCCUACGAUAAAUUUUAUGUACGUGACUUCAAGUAUAUUUGUCACAUAGGUUUAAACUUACCGGGCUCAACACCAAGUAUAAGCAUAGCACCUAUUAGCCAUGUACUCAGGACACUUACCCGAUCCGCUGUCCGCGAUCGACUCAAUGGUGUCGCACACAUAGUGUCCAUAAUGAUUCACGAAUGUAUAUUGAGUCCGCACACUCAGUGCUAUAUAAUCAACUCGCACACUUAGUGCUACGUAAUCAAAUCGCACACUUAGUGCUACAUAGUCAAACUCGCACACUUAGUGCCGCAUGGUCAAUUCGCACACUUAGUGCAUCAUAUUCGUUUCGCACACUUAGUGCAACAUAGUCAAAUCGCACACUUAGUGCUGUACAAUUUAAUCCCGCGCGCUUAGCGCCAAUCUCAUGGUCAUAAAUGGUUAUACCCGCACGUUUAGUACCGAGAUCAACAACUCAGUACAUCUUACCUCUUUUCUUUUCAUUCAACAAUUUCAUCAUCACAUACGUACAUGCAUAUAUAUAUAUGUAUAUUUAUUCAUUCCAUUCAGCAUCAAUACAUAAACAUUAUGACCAUUUGAAAUAAUACCAACUACAUGCUUAACGACUUACCUCGUGUUGGGUAAGACGGUUCCAACUCGGCUACUCGAUGACCUUUUCUUUGCCUUUGCUCGAUUCACCUCCUUUAACUCCUUGAGCUAAAUCAAUAAUUUAACUAGUUUAACCACUACGAUUAUCACCAAAUAAAUCACAUUCAAUUAACACUACCCAUUUACAUAUACAUAAACUAUCAAAUUCUCACUCCUUAGCUAAUGCCGAAUGCUUAUAUAAGCCCUAAGUCAUAUUUACACAUUUAUCAACUUUCCAAUUCAACUUAAUACCAAAAAUUAAUGUCAUUUAAAUAGCCAACUCAAUUUCAUCCUUAAUAUUUCUUAUAACAAAAUUUAUCAAAAUUCAAUAAGAAAUACAUUAAAUUCCAUGACCGAAUUUGCAUUUCACCAUAAUAGCCACUUGCCUUAAAACAAUUAAGCCACAAUCAUUUACUUUACCUAGCUUAGACUUAGAUUAAUAAUUAUCUAAAUUAUUUAAACAUUCAACACAAACUCUUCUUUAAUUAAGCACAUAUUCGGCAAGGAAAAAUGGUAAUUUAGCAAACCUUAGUUUAACAUAUAAUUUGUUUAUAACACAUUUUAAGCCUUCUUUUCAUGCCGUCAACUCAAAACACAUACAUUACUCAAAUAUAACCAAGUUCAUAUUCGGCAAUAGCAUCCAACAUGAUAGUCGAUUCUUUCUACUUAGCAUCUAAUGCAUACAUAUGAUCAUUUGUUUGGCUCAAACGCCCAUCCACCAUGAUUCGUCCAAAUUAAUAUGAAACAACAGCCAUAUUCUUUAUUGACUACUAUGGCCGAAAGCUUUAUUCAUUCCCAAAAUCAAAUUUUAACAUAAACUUUUUACCUUAGUUUAAGCCUAGGAUGACUGAGUGGUGUUUCUCCCCUAUUCUUCCUUCACAUUCGGCUUAGAAGAAACAAAGAUGAACACUUAGUUUUCUUCACCCAUCCCCCCCUUCUCAAGCCUCAAGUGACCGAAUGUUUUUGCCCCAAUUCUUUCUUUCAAUCCGGCCAAGAAGAACCAAAAAAAAACACAACUUGUUUUUCUUUCUUCCUUAGAACAUUCGGCCAAGGGGAAAUGAAGAAAGAUGGACACUUUUUUUUUUGUUUUUCCUUCUUACUUUCACGGCAAUGGGGAGGGGAAGAAACAAUUACACACAUCCUUUCCUUUUUCCAUUUCUUUAUUUCCCCAUACUUCUUAUUAUAUUUUAUCCUACAUACCUCACUAGGCCAACAUGUUCCCAACAUGUUUCCACCCAUAGCAUGGCCGGCCACUACUUAUUAGGAGGGGGAAUUUGACAUGCAAGUCCCCCCUUUUUUCCCACAUGCACUAAUAGGUCCUUACGCAUUGACCUAUCACAUUUUAAAAUUUUCUCACAUAAGUCCUAUUGACUUAAUUCACAUGCAAUCGACUAAAUCGAAGCUUGAAAUUUUCACACAUUCAUAGUUACAUAUUCUAGACAAUAAAUAUCACAUUCAAACAUUUCGGUGACUCGGUUUAACGGUCCCGAAACCACUUCCCGACUUAGGUCAAUUUUGGGCUGUCACAACUAAACCCCCUAAAUACCUAAGGGGAAUGAAACCUAAGACGAAUCCUAUUAUUAUUAUCAGAAUUGUAUGAUAAAUAUUUGACUUGUUGUUAAUUAUGUGUUCUUAAUUAUUGUUUUGAUAUUCCAGGAUACUGAUUCAAGUUAAGCUCUUAUUUAGAGGAGGAAUAGACCUUAUCUAAGAGUAAAUUUGUCAUAAUUAAGCGGAGUUGAUUGCACGCCUAGAGAUAGGGUGAUAAGAUUUUACCGGAUUAGGGUGAAACCUAAUAAGGGAAUCCAUAGAUCGAGUUAAUGCAAUUCUAGGGUCUUAAUUAGAAAGAUAUUUCAAUUAUUCAACCUAGGGUUAGACAUCAUUAGUCUUGAGAAAGAUAAUAAUAUAACUUAAGGAUUUUUUCGGAUCAAGUCAAAUGAAUAAAUCAUCUGAUUCAGAGUCAAAUAACAAGUGAAGUCUAGGUGGAUUUUUCCUUACGUAUUGUCUUAAUCAAUCGAAUUUUCCCAAAAGUAUUUUCCCAAAUUUUGUUUCUGUGCAUUCUUAGUUAGUAAUUAGUUUAGAAAACCAAACUCUUAAUUUUUAAGCCAGAUAAUAAAAAGGAAGUAAAUACUAGUACUCGUAGUUCCUUUGGGUUCGACAAUUCGGUCUUGUUGAACUAUACUACUGUUCGAUAGGUACACUUGCCUUAAUCGUGAUAAUAAGUUAGUCUCAAGAACGAUUCUUUCAUAAAUCUUUAAAACCUAUCACGAAUAUCACGUACCACUAACGUAGCCUAUGUGAGAGUCUAGUUAUACAUACAAUAAAUAACCUGUGAUAGUGUGAUGACUCCUGACAGAUUAAAAUGUGUUUUCGUAUAAUAAAUGGAUCUCAAUUGAACUGUAGCUGAUGAUGUUGAAAGUAAUGUGUCUGCCUUCGUUCACGGAGUAGAGCAAUUAGAAUUGAGACCCAUAUCAGGUAGCCAGGGAGGAGAGGCUAAGGAAGCCUUCUUCUAAAUGAUGAAUGAGUGGUUCAUGGAACUUGUUCAAACAAAUUCGGCUGCUCAACCACCUCCACCCCCACCUAAUCCCUAACGUGAUCCCAUAGUUCCUCAAGGUGUGGAAUUUCUAAUAUUUAAUAAGUCGCUAGUUGAUAAGAUUCGAAAACACAGAGUUGAAAAGUUUAGAGUUAAUAUGGAUGACAAUCCCGAGAGAGCUAAAUUUUGGCUUGAAAACACUAUCAGAGUAUUUGAUGAACUUUCAUGCACACCAGCUGAGUAUUUAAAAUGUGUCAUUUCACUUUUUGGGGAUACUGCGUAUCAAAGGUGGAAUACCCUAGUGUCAGUGGUGCUAAGAGAAAGAGUUACUUGAGAUUUCUUUCAAGCUGAGUUUAGAAAGAAAUAAAUAAGUCAAUGGUUCAUUGAUCAAAAGCGAAAAGAGUUUCUUGAUCUGAAACAGGGCCGCAUGUCUGUAACCAAAUACGAGUGAGAGUUUGUGAGACUCAGUAAAUAUGCUCGGGAAUGUGUUUCAACCGAGUCCAUAAUGUGUAAAAGAUUUGAAUAUUGGUUAAAUGAAGACAUUAAACUGUUACUCGGGAUUCUAGAAUUAAAAGAAUUUGUUGUGUUAGUUGACAGAACCUGUAAAGCCGAAGAACUUGGCAAAGAAAAGAGAAAGGUGGAUUUUGAAGUUAGAGAUUUGAGGAAAAAUCGAUGAACAAACCAUAUCAAUCUUCAUCAAAGAAAUCACGAGAUCUAUAUAGUCACUUAAAUGCUUCGGUGGGAUAUUCAAAUAGGAUCGUGUAAAAUAAUACUCAAGUCCUAAAGCUCAAGUUACAUCAGUAUAGAGUGUUGGCAGUGUGAGAAACAUUAGACUUGAAUGUCAACGAUGCGGUAGACGACAUCUUGGACAAUGUAGAAUGAAUAACCGAGCUUGUUUCAGAUAUGGCUCGGAAGAUCAAUUUAUUCGAGAUUAUUCUGAGUUAGAUGAAAAAGAUAAAUUCCAGAAUACAAGACCAAGCAACAUAGCUACUAGAGGGAGGCCACCUAGAAAUGCAGGAAUGUGACUAGUAGUAGAGAAAUGACUAAGGACCCCGUUGUGAGAUCCGAGGCCAGAGCACCUACUAGAUCUUACGCUAUUCGAACUCACGAAUAUGCGUCGUCGCCCGAUGUUAUCACUGGUACAUUUUCCUUUUAUGAAACUAAUGUGAUUUCAUUGAUUGAUCCUGGAUCAACUCAUUUAAAUAUUUGUAUGAAUUUGGUAUAUAAUAAGAGUUUGUUUGUUGAGUCUACCGAGUUUGUGAUUAAAGUAUCGAACCCCUUAAGCAAGUAUGUUCUAGUUGAUAAAGUUUGCAAGAACUGUCCUUUAAUGAUUUAAGGUUACUAUUUUUCAGCUAAUUUGAUGCUACUACCUUUUGAUGAAUUUGAUGUAAUUUUGGGUAUGGCAUGGUUGACAUUGCAUGAUGCUAUUGUGAAUUGUAAACAAAAGACUAUUGAAUUGAAAUGUCAAAAUAGUAAAAUCUUUCAAAUUGAAACUGAUCAGUUGAGUAAAUUGCCUGUUGUAAUUUCGCCAAUGUCAGUUCAGACAUGUGUGAGAAAAGGUUGCGAAGCUUACCUUGCUUAUGUACUGGAUACAAAAGUGUCUGAAUUGAAAAUUGAAUCAGUGUCAGUAGUCUGUGAGUAUCCAGAUGUGUUUCUAGAAGAACUACAAGGAUUGCCACCGAUCAGAGAGGUUGAAUUUUCUAUUGAGUUAGUAUCGGGAACAUCACCAAUAUCUAUAGCUCUGUAUAGAAUGGCUCCAACAGAGUUGAAAGAGUUGAAAGCUUAGUUACAAGAGUUAAUAGAUAGAGGCUUUGCAUGACCUACUUUUUCGCCCUGGGUUGCGCCAGUAUUGUUCGUAAAGAAGAAAGAUUGAUCAGUGAGACUUUGUAUUGAUUAUCGUCAACUCAAUAAGGUUACGAUAAAGAACAAGUAUCUGUUGUCGAGAAUAGAUGAUUUAUUUGAUCAAUUGAAAGGAGCAUCGGUGUUUUCCAAGAUUGAUCUACGGUCUGGUUACUAUCAGUUGUGAGUGAAAGAUUCAGAUGUUCCAAAAACUGCAUUCAUAACAAGGUACAGACAUUAUGUAUUUCUUGUUAUGCGUUUCGGAUUGACUAAUGCUCCCAUAGUUUUUAUGGAUUUGAUGAAUCAUAUUUUUAGACCGUAUUUAGAAAGAUUCGUUGUUGUAUUCAUUGACGACAUUCUGAUCUAUUCUCGAAAUGAGUCUGAGCAUGCGGAGCAUUUGAGGAUUGUUCUACAAACCUUGAGAGAUAAGCAAUUGUUCGCUAAAUUCAACAAAUGUGAGUUUUGGCUCUGAGAAGUUGGAUUUUUGGGACAUAUUGUUUUAGCUGAAGGCAUACGAAUUGAUCCGAGCAAGAUUUCUAUAGUUGUUGAUUGGAAACCACCGAGAAAUGUAUCUGAAGUCAGAAGCUUUCUAGGGUUAGCUGGUUAUUGUCGACAUUUUGUCAAAUGAUCUCAAUAAUUACUACUUUGAUGACUAGAUUGCUACAGAAAGAUGUGAAAUUCGAGUGGUCAUAAAAAUGUCAAUAGAGUUUUGAUCACUUGAAAGUAUUGUUAACUGAGGCACCAGUUUUGGUUCAACCUGAUUAGGGUAAAGAGUUUGUGAUUUUUAGCGAUGCAUCAUUAAACUGUUUGGGUUGCGUUUUGAUACAAGAGGGUAAAGUGAUAGCUUAUGCCUCUAGACAGUUGAAGGCGCAUGAAAAAAAUUAUCCGACGAACGAUUUAGAGUUGGCCGCUAUUGUGUUUGCAUUAAAAUUUUGGCAAUAUCAUUUAUACGAUGAAAAGUGUCAUAUUUUUACCGAUCAUAAGAGCUUGAAGUAUAUAAUGACUCAGAAAGAUCUAAAUUUGUGACAACGAAGAUGACUCGAGUUGCUAAAAGACUAUGAGUUAGUGAUUGAUUAUGAUCAGGGGAAAACGAACGUAGUUGCGAAUGCUUUGAGUAGAAAAUCAUUAUUUUCUUUGAGAGCGAUGAAUAUUAAAUUAAGCUUAUCUAAUGACCAUUCGAUUCUAGCAUAGUUGAAAGCUAAACCGAUUUUUAGACUAUCAAAUCUGAGUUGAAAGCUUAGAAGUGUGAUAAUGAUUUGUAAACCAAAAGAAUGCAAUGUGAGUCGACUAGUGAUUUAGACUAUCAAAUCGGAUCCGAUGAUUGUUUAUUGUUCCAAGGUAGAUUUUGCUUACCGAGAAAUCCAGAGCUUAUACAAAAAUUCUAAAUGAAACACACAGUGGUUGUCUAUCUAUUCACUCGAGGAGUACUAAAAUGUACAAUGAUUUAAAACAGUUGUAUUGGUGGUCGGGUAUGAAACUAGACAUUUCAGAGUUUGUAUCGAGAUGUUUAGUUUGUCAACAAGUAAAAGUCGAACAUCAACUGCCUUUGGGAUUAUUAAAGCCUGUCAUGAUACGAGUGGAAAUGGGAUAGAGUUACGAUGGAUUUCGUAUCAAGUUUGCCCUUGUCUCUUAAAAAGAAAGAUGUUAUUUGGGUUGUCGUUGAUCGACUGAUGAAAUCAACACAUUUCAUUCCGGUAUGUACAGAUUUUUCACUUGAUAAAUGGCUGAGUUGUACAUUAUUGAGAUAGUUAAAUUACACGGGAUGCUAGCUUUGAUUAUAUCGAAUAGAGAUCCGAGGUUUACAUCGCGAUUUUAUAAGAAAUUGCAAGAAGCUCAGGUACAAGGUUGAACUUUAGCACCACAUUUCUUUCGCAAACUAACUGUUAGUCUGAGAGAGUAAUACAGAUUCUCGAAGAUAUGCUUCAUUGUUGUAUUUUAGAAUUUGAAGGCAACUGGGAGAAAUAUUUAUCAUUGGUUGAAUUCGCGUAUAACAACCGUUUCCAAUAAAGCAUAAAGAUGGCACCAUAUGAAGCUUUGUAUGGUUGCAAAUGUCGAACUCCAUUAUAUUGGACUGAUCUGAGUGAGAAAAAGAUUCACGGGGUUGAUUUGAUCUGAGAGACUGAAGAUAAAGUGAAAGUAAUUCGUGAUAGUUUGAAAGCAGCUUCAAAUCGAUAGAAAUCGUAUGUGAAUUUGAAACGGAAAGACAUUGAAUUUCAAAUCAACGACAAAGUCUUCCUGAAAGUAUGUAUUUUAUUUUCUUUGAUUUUGUUGCAAAGAGAAAUUGAGUCCACGAUUUGUUGGGCCGUAUGAGAUUAUCGAAAGAAUAGGGCCAAUGGCAUAUAAACUAGAUUUACCGCCAGAAAUAGAGAAGAUUCAUAAUGUGUUUCAUGUGUCGGUGUUAUGCUGAUAUAGAUCCGAUCCAUCACAUGUAAUUCCUCCGGUAGAAAUCGAGAUUCAACCUGAUAUGACGUAUAACGAAGAACUUAUCAGAAUUUUAGCUCGAGAGGUUAAAGAAUUGAGAAAUAAACACAUAGCUUUAGUGAAAAUGUUGUGGAAAUGUCACAAGGUUGAAGAGGCUACGUGGGAGCCCAAGGAAGAUAUGAGAAAAUCGUACCCUAACCUCUUUUCUGGUAAGAUUUUCGAGGACGAAAUUUCCUAAGGGGUUGAGUUGUAACAGCCCAUUUUUAGUCAAAUCAGAACUGUGGUUUUGGGACCACAAAUCUAAAGUCAAAAUAAUUAUUUUAUUAUUAUUUUAAUGUUUACAGCAUGUCAGUAUGUUUGUGUGAAAGUUUCGUUUAGAAAUUUUACUGUUUGAAUAGUCAAUUUGAUAAAAAGGACUAAAUCGUGUAAAGUGCAAAAGUGAUGUUCUAAUAGCUAGAAGUAUUAAAUGGCUAUGAAACUAAAUAUUGGAGGUUGUAAUUAUACCCUUAUUAAGGUUAGUGGACAUUUAUGUACACUGUUUAUGUGGAUUUUUAAUGUUAUACAUUAAGGUUAAAUAAGUAAAUUAAUAAAUAAGUUAGUAAAUAAUAAAAGAAACAAAGAAAACAUUUUCAUUUUCUCAUCUUUCCCAACUGAAUAUUGAGAAAUAAAACACAUUAGAGAAAUUUGAAGGUUCGGCCAAGCACUCCCUUGCAUGUAAGUUCAUUUUCGUCCUGCUUUUAAUGAUUUCUAUGUUUUUGACAUCGUUGCAGCUUAAUCUAGCUAGCCCAUGGACUAAUUUACAAAACUGUUAAAGGUUUAGGAUGUUUCAAUUGAUGAAUAAGCAUGUAUUUUAAUGAUUGAUGAUAGAUUAUGAAUGUUUGAUGAUAGUUAUACAAGUUUUGUUAAGUGAUUUUUAGUGAAAAUGAAAAUUAGGGAUUAAAUUGUGAAAUGUGGAAACUUUUUAGUUAAAUUGUAAAAUAAAUGAAAAAUAUGGCCUUAUAUGUGUAUUAGGAAAAUUUAGCUAGCAUGGGUUGGUAUCAAAUUGCAUUAAUUUGUUUUUUUAUGAAAUAAGGACUAAAUUGUAAAAAAUGUGAAAUACUUAAGGCAAAAGUGUAAAUGUGCUUUAAUGAGUGUUUUGGAUUAAAUUGAUUAGAAAUAUUAUUAAAUAAGAUAAAUUUGAUUAUAUAUAGAUCAUGAAAAGUUAAAUUUGGAUCUAGAUCGGGGGAAAAACAAAGUACUCGACUAAUAGACCUAUUUCAUCAUUUUUUUGAACCGAUAUAAGUUUGUAUGAUUAAUAAGCUUAAUGUUAUAUGUGUUUAUAUGCUUAAAUAUUAUAAUUUUGAUACUACAACACUGUGAAAUCUAUUGAAAAAGCAUUGACAUAGUGAGAAUCCCGGUUCAACCUUAGGAAUAGAUAGGAUACUAGUGACAUGUCAUUUGGGGUUAUUGUGAUUAUGUGAUACGGGUGUUGGUCUUGUAUGUCCUACCAGUGGCUGACUAUACCGGCAUGUGUUCCAGGUACUUGACAGCUUGUGUGAGCAGCAUCGUGUAGCUACAUCUUGACUGACAGCUUCUGUGAGUAAGCCCGUUGAUAGCUUGAGAGUGAGCAUAUAUGUUAUAUGGCAUUGAGAUAGCAUUUACCUAAGUAUGUGGCACUUUGGUGUGAGAUUCCCAAGUAUUUGAUAUUAUUUCGAAUGGUUCAACGGGAAAAUAUGAUGGUAUAAUACACAUUAGUUCAAGUACUCGUGAUAAGUUUGGCAAGUUAGUGAUAAUUGAUAAGUUCAUAGGAAAACUAAGUGAAAGUUGAUGAAUUUAUACUUGAUACAUAGGAUUAUGGAAAUGUACAAAUUGUUGAGUUGGAUGUAUUACUUACAUUUAUUUAUGUUAUUUAACUUGUAAUUGAAUUGGCAAAUUAUACUUAUUAAUCAUAUGAAUUUACUAAGAUAUAAAGCUUACUUUGUUUAUUUUACUAUGUUUUAUAGUGAUUUCAAAGCUAGCUCAGAUUCGAGGAUCAUCAGAGACUUCAUCACACUAUCAAGCUAUCAUUUUGGUACUUUUGAAUCUAUGUUUUUGGAAUAUAUGAUAUGUAUAGGAACUUUGGUAAUUUUGGUAAAUGAGUUGAUAAUGAUUUUGGUCAUUUGAAAUGGCUUGUAAAUGUUAAAUGCUUCUAAUUUUGUAUAUACCCAUGAGAGUUGGCUUAAAUUGGUUGGUUUGGUUGUGUAUACAUAUGUGCUUAUGGCUUUGGUUGUGUGUUUAAUGGUGGAUAUGUUAUACUUGUUGAUGUCAGUAUUAAGGGGUUCUAAAUGGUUGAGAAUUGAAUUUGGUAUGCUUGUGAAAUUAGGCCAAGUGAUGCAAAAUUUGAAACUAUCAUAUUGAUGAAAUGAGUGGCAUAUUAUGGUAUUGAUGUGUUUUGGACUAGUUGGUAUUGAAAUGUUAUGAAAUUUGCUUGAAUGAAGUUAAUAGAAUGCCUAUUUUUAUGCCAUGAAUUGUGCAAUUUGGUUUGGUGUAGGUUUGUGCAAGUUGGGAGGCAAAAUGGCUUGGUAAAUGCCUAUUUUUGUCCACACAGGCAACGACAGGGGCAUGUGUCUCAACUAUGUGUGAAACACAGUUAUGUUACACGGCCGUUUGCCCCUGGUGUUGAAAUAAAAAUCAAUUCAGUAUGAUCCACACGGCCACACACACGGGCGUAUGACUUGGCCGUGUGGAAAAAGUCAGUAUAGCCCACAAGAUUGGCAUGGCCUAGCACUCGGCCUGGCACACGGGCGUGUGUGGCCAUUUUUAGGACACAUGGGCUAGCCACACGGGCGUGUGUGUUGGCAGUUUGACCCAAGUCAGAGAGUUACACAGGGUCGGAAAUGGGCGUGUCUUUGGCCAUGUGAGACACACGGCUGGGCCACACAAGCAUGUGUGCCUUGUAUUUUGGAAAAGUUUUCUAAGUGUUCGAAAAGUUUCUAAAGUUAUCGGUUUAGUCCCGAACCACCCCAAAUGCAUGUUUUGGGCCUCGUAGGCUCUUAUUAAAGACAAUAUGAAUGUUUUUUAUUGAUGAUUAUAUGAAAUUUGAAAAUGUACGUGUAAUUGUAUAAUGUGUUAUGUAAUACUCCAUAACCCUAUUUUGACAUUGAAUAUGAGUGAGGGGUGUUACAUGGAAUUUUCUAUAGAUCUUUUUCCAGGGACAACUCCAAUAUCUAUAGCUCCUUAUAGAAUGACUCAUAUAGAAUUAAAAGAAUUGAAAGCACAGCUGCAAGAAUUGACUGAAAGAGGUUUUGGUCGACCCAACUCAUCACCUUGGGGUGCACCGGUUUUGUUUGUUAAAAAAAUGGAUCAUUGAGGUUAUGUAUUGAUUAUAGAUAGCUCAACAAAGUUACAAUAAAGAACAUGUAUUCAUUGCCUCGUAUUAAUGAUUUGUUUGAUCAGUUGAAAGGUGCCACUGUAUUUUCAAAGAUUGAUCUUCGUUCUGGCUAUUAUCAGUUAUGGGUGAAAGACUCAGAUGUACCGAGACAGCUUUCAGAACUAGGUACGGGCACUAUGAGUUUCUUGUGAUGCCGUUCGGCUUGACUAAUGCACCUGUAGUAUUUAUGGAUUUAAUGACUAGAAUUUUCAGACCGUAUCUAGACAAAUUUGUGGUGGUAUUUAUUGAUGAUAUCCUGGUAUAUUAUUGGGAUGAAAAUGAGCAUGUUGAUCAUUUAAGAAUUGUUUUGCAAACUUUGCGUGAAAAACAACUAUAUGACAAAUUCAGUAAAUAUGAAUUUUGGCUUCAGGAAGUUGGUUUUCUUGGACAUAUAGUAUCUCCUAAAGGCAUCAGAGUAGACCCGAAUAAAAUUUCAGCUAUUGUUAAUUGGAAGCCACCGAAAAAUGUGUCUGAAGUCAGAAGUUUUCUGGGAUUAGCCAUUUAUUAUCAGAGAUUUGUACAAGGGUUUUCAGUGAUAGCUUUGCCGAUGACACGGCUAUUAUAGAAAGAUGUGAAAUUUGAAUGGACCGACAAAUGCCAACAAAGCUUUGAUCGGUUGAAAGUCUUGUUGACCGAAGCACUAGUUCUGGUUUAGCCUGAAUCGAGUAAAGAAUUUAUAAUUUACGGUGAUGCAUUAUUAAAUGGUUUGGGUUGUGUCUUGAUGCAAGAAGGUAAAGUAAUAGCCUAUGCUUCUAGACAGCUAAAACCACAUGAAAAUAACUACCCGAUACAUGACUUGGAGUUAGCAGCUAUUGUAUUUGGUUUGAAAAUUUGGCGACACUACUCGUUUGGUGAAAAAUGUCACAUAUUCACCGGUCAUAAAAGUUUGAAAUAUUUAAUAUUGUAAAAACACUUGAAUUUGAGACAGCGUAGGUGGCUUGAAUUAUUGAAAGAUUAUGAUUUGGUUAUUGAUUAUCAUGUGGGAAAAGCCAAUGUGGUUGCAGAUGCUCUGAGCAAAAAAUCCUUGUUUGCCUUGCGAGCAAUGAAUAUCCGAUUGUCUUUGUCUGAUGACGGUUUAGUUAUAGCUAAGUUAAAAGCUAAACCGACAUUUCUAUAGCAUAUUCGUGAAGCUUAGAAAAAUGAUGAUAAACUACAAGCUAAACAGGUUCAAUGUGAAUCAAAUUCUAAUUCAAAAAUUUCAGAUUGGAUCUGAUGGUUGUCUGUUAUUUAGAGGCAAAAUAUGUGUACCAAAGAAUUUAGAACUUAUACAGAAGAUAUUGUACGAAGCUCACAAUGGUGUUAUGUCUGUUCAUCUUGGGAAUAAUAAAAUGUACAAUGAUUUGAAAAAGAUGUACUGGUGGCUGGGAAUGAAACGUGAUAUUUCUAAAUUUGUGUCUAAGUGUUUGAUAUGCCAGCAAGUUAAAGCUGAACACCAGGUACAUUCGGGAUUAUUACAGCCAGUUACGAUAUUAGAAUGGAAAUGGGAAAGAGUUACUAUGGAGUUUGUAUCAGGGUUAUCCUUAACUUCAAAAAAAAGAUGCCAUUUUGGUAAUCGUCGCCCGAUUAACAAAGUCUGCACAAUUUAUUCUGAUACAUAUGGGUUUCUCCCUGGAUAGAUUGGCUGAGUUAUAUGUUUCUGAGAUUGUUAGACUACAUGGGGUACCAGUCUCCAUUAUUUCUAAUCGAGAUCCCCGAUUUGUAUCUCGAUUUUGGAAUAAGCUGCGAGAAACUCUGGGUACUCAAUUGCAUUUUAGUAUCGCAUUCCAUACUAAUGGACAAUACGAACAUGUUAUACAGAUUUUAGAAGAAAUGCUUCGAGGUUGUAUUUUGGAAUUUGAAGGUAAUUGGGAAAAAUGUUUGCCUUUAGUUGAAUUUGCAUAUAAUAAUAGUUAUCUAUCUAGCAUUAAAAUGGCUCUGUAUAAGGCUCUGUAUUGUCGUAAAUGUAAAACUUUGUUGUACUGGACAGAACUCAGUGAGAAAAAGAUACAUAAAGUUGAUUUGAUUUGUGAAACUGAAGAAAAGGUAAAGGUGAUUUGGGAUAGUUUAAAAGCGGCCUUUGAUUGUCAAAAGUCUUAUGCUGAUCUUAAAGGAAAAGAAAUAGAAUUUCAAGUUGGUGGUAAGGUAUUCUUGAAAGUAUCACCUUGGAGGAAAGUUCUCCAGUUUGGCCUUAAAGGAAAACUGAGUCCCCCAUUCAUCAGACUAUAUGAAGUUAUUGAAAGAAUUGGACCUGUUGUAUACAGAUUGGCAUUACCACCGGAGCUUGACAAAAUUCAUAAUGUUUUCCAUGUGUCUAUGUUACGAUGGUAUCUGUCACACUCUUCACAUGUUAUAUCUCUGACAGAAGUGAAAAUUCAUCCUGACAUGACUUACAGCGAAGAACCAAUUAAAAUCCUAGCUGUAGAGACAAAAGAAUUAAGAAAUAAAAAGGUAGCUCUAGUGAAAGUUCUUUGGCAACAACAUGGGAUUGAAGAAGCUACUUGGGAACCAGAGGAUACCAUGAGAAAGCAAUAUCUGAACCUCUUUACUGGUAAGAUUUUCGAGGAUGAAAAUUCUUUAAAGGGGGAGAGUUGUAACAACCCAUUUUCAAUGAAAUUGGAACAAUGGGUUCGGGAUCACAAAUCUGAGUCAGAAAUAAAAUUUAUUUUAAUAUUAUUGCAUGGUUUGCAUUAUGAUAUUAAUAACGUAUAAAAACUUUCAAUAUGAAAAUUUACCGAUUUCAUGUUUAAUUUUAGAAAGGACCAAAUUGCAGAAAAUGUAAAAGUUGAGUUCUAGUGGUUAUAAGUAUCAAAUAGCUAUGGAAUUCAAAUUUUGAGGUCUUUAUAUGGUAAUUAGACCACUAAGAGAAGUUAGUAGAUAUUUUUGAUGAUUCAUCCAUGGAAAAUUAGAAAAAGAAAAGGACUAAGUUGGAAAAAGAAAAAAAUAAAAGAUGAUAUCUUAAUUAAAUAGAAAAUAUCAUCAUUUUAUAUCAUCUUCCCCACCUUCUAUGAAAACCCUAGGAAAGAGAAAGAAAAGCAAGCAACCUUAAUUAGAUAAGUAAUCAUGUCUCGUUUUUAGUAAUUUUCAUAUUUCUGAUAUCGUAAUAACUUAAUGUAUCUAUUUUGGGGAUCAAUUUGUAAAGUUAUCAAAGUAUUAAAAUUUUGUCAUGGAUAAAUAUGCUAAAAUUUUGAAAUUUAUGGUAGAAUUAAAUUAAAUUGAGUAUGAAAUGGAUUAAAUUGAUGUUAAAUUCAUUUAUAUAGAUCCGGAUAGACCUAGUACGGAGUCGGAUCAAGGAAAACAAAAAUUAUUGGAUUAAUAGAUCCUUGUAUACGAACGUUUAUCGAGGUAAGUUCGUGUAACUAGAUUAUGUAUAUUAAUAUGCUUAGAAUUUAAUGUUGAAUAUGUAUGAAUCGUAUAAAUGUUUAAUUUAUAAAAUAAUGACAUGUCUGAUAUUGCUCGAUAAGUAUAAGUCCCGUUUGAAUAGAUGGAAUUCGAUGGAUAUAGGAUUUCUCGAUUAGUUGUGGUAUUGUAUAUGCUGCAAACACACCAUAACUUGAAAGAGCAUCUUGUUAUAAGCCAUUUCGAGCUUCCCCUUAAAUGGUUCUUGCGAGCAUCCUGAUCGGUAGUGGACCUGCAUGUCUUACGGAUUACCACAGCUCUUUGUGAGUGUCCUGUUACAUGAUCGCUUGCGAUCCUACAUAUAUAUUGCGAACAAAAACGCAACUCUUUUUGAGCUUCCUGAUAUGACUCGCUUGAACUUCCUAUUAUAUGACUAUCUGAAGCUUCCUGAUAAUAACUCUUCGGAGUUACCUGUUAAGCUCAAUGAGCUUCCUGUUUUAAACUCUUAUGAGUUUCCUGUUAUAGCCCGGAUAAGCUUCCUAUUACAUGGCUCACAUGGGCAUCCUAUUAUAUGGCUCGAGGGAGUGCUUCUUGAUUAUGUGCCCUAAUUGGGUACCCCUUGAAUAUGAUUUGAUGGUUUACAGUGUUGUACAUUUCAAGUGUACUACAUGUAUAUCCAUCGAUAUUUCAAAUGAAUUCAACAAGCAAAGUUCUGUUAUGGCUAAUCUGAACUUGAGAUGAUUUAUCAAAGAAAUGUAUAUGGAAAUAUGGAAAUAUGAUAAAAAAAAGUAUGUAUGUGUGGAAGUUAUUACAUGAUGAGCUCAUCUUUAUUACUUGAAAAGUAUUUAGAAAUUAAUAACUAACUUGCUUGAUUGAGUGUGUGUGAUUAGGCAAUUGGUCAAUUUGUUGGGUUGCAUAUUAUUUACAUGAUUAGUUAAAUUGAAUAUUAACGAUAAGUUAAAUUCCUGUUAUGCAAACUUAUUAAGCAUUAAAUGCUUACUUUAUUUUAUUUUUCUCUAUUUUAUAGUGCUUAGAAGCUCGUAAAAGUUGGAACCGGUAAGAGCAUCAUCACACUCUCCUUCAACUCGUUUUGGUAUGAAAAGCAAAUUUAUUUUGGUAUAAUGGCAUGUAUAGGCUAAUUUGGCUAGUGUUGGCAUAUAAAUGGUUGUUUGUAAUAUAGCCAUUGAAAUUGCUAGUGAUGGUAUAUUUGGAGAUAUAUUUAUGAGGUUAUAAUAUGGUUAAAGCAUGUGUGCUUGAUAUGGUUAGAUUGAAUUAUGGAAAACAUAUAUGUUUUAUAAAAGGUAAGUUUGAAUACAUGUAAUGAUAUACCAUGUAUAAUGUUAAUGAUGGUUUGUUUUAUUGUCUUGAAAUGGUUGGUAUAUGUAUGCAAGUAUUAAUGUAGGUACAUGGAAAAUUUUGGGUGAGAAAUAAGGCUUGAAAAUGGCCUUAUUUUGUCCUCACGGGUUAACACACGGGCAUGUGUCUCAACCAUGUGUGAUACAUGGCCAUGCGCACGGGCGUGUGGUUUGGCCGUAUGUCCUAUGUAAUUUAAAAAUUGAUAAAUAGAAUGCUUAGAAUUGCUCACACGGGUAGAGACAAGUGCGUGUGUCUCAGCCGUCUAAAAUACAUGGCCCAACACACGGGCGUGGCUGUGUGAAUCCUGCACCUAAUUUUUGAAAAUUAAAUUGUCCACAUGGCCUAGCAAAUGGCCGUGUGACUGGCCGUGUGACCCAAGUCAGUAGCGACACUAAUUUGAACACAAACUGGGACAGGACCAUGUGCCUUACACUAACCCCAUGGGCAUAUGUCCCCUGCACCUAAGAAAAAUUUUGAAAUUUCGUGAAAAAUUUUCUGAGUUUCCGAUUUAGUCCCGAUUUGAUUCUAACGUGUAUUUUGGUUCUCGAGGACCCAUUUAAGGGACGAUAGUAUUGAUUUAGGAUAUAAAUAGUAAAUGACAUGAUUUUUCUGUAAUCGAUUUGUAAACUUCAGUAAUGCUCUGUGACCCUGUUCCGACGACAGAUAGGGGUUAGGGGUUUUACAAAAUGCCUUUGCAAAAUACUUUAGAAGUGGAACUAUUUGAUGUUUAGGGAAUUGAUUUUAUGGGGCCAUUUCCACCCUGUUGAGGCAAUAUCUAUAUACUGGUCACUGUUGAUUACGUCUCCAAGUGUCUUUAAGCUUCUAUACUACACACAAAUGAUGCUAAAUCAAUACUGAAAUUUCUUCAUAAAAAUAUUUUUACGCGGUUUGUUACCCCUCGUGCUCUAAUCAGUGAUGAAGGUUCAUACUUUGAUUGCAAGUUAGUUUCCAAUGCUCUUAACAGAUAUGGGGUGCGACACAAAAUUGCCACGGCAUAUCAUCCCUAGACGAAUGGAUAAGCAAAAAUCUCUAAUAGAGAGAUUAAAAAAAUUCUAGAGAAGGUAGUCAAUCCCAACCAAAAAGUUGGGUCAGCAAGACUGGAUGAAGCUUUGUGGGCAUAUCGAACAACUUUCGAGACAACAUUAGAUAUGUCACAUUUCCAGCUUGUUUAUGGUAAACCAUGCCACUUGCCUAUUGAACUGAAACACAAGGCAUUUUGGGCAAUCAAGAAACUGUAUAUGGAUUGGAAAUCUGCUAGAAAUAAUCUCUUACUAGAGCUGAAUGAAAUGGACGAAUUUUGAACUCAAGCCUAUGAAAAUGCCAAGUUGUACAAAGAAAAGGCCAAACGAUGGCAUAACGACAAAAUUUUACCAUGACAAUUUGUUCCUGGACAACAAGUCUUGCUUUUCAAUUCCAAACUUAAAUUGUUUCCUAGAAAAUUAAAGUCUUGGUGGUCGGGUCCAUUCGAAGUUGUUCAGGUAUAUCCUCAUGGAGUGGUAGAUGUCAAAAAUGAACAAAAUGGGUCUACUUUCAAAGUCAAUGGCCAACUAUUAAAGCAUUGCUUUGGAGCUCCUAUAAUUUGUGAUAACACUUCCAUCAUUUUCAAACAAAUUAAUAUUUCUCUACUACACUAUUUAUUCAAUUAUUUCAUUUUUAAUUUCUUUGUUUAAGUUGAAUCAACAUAUUUAUUUAAAUUUUCUUUUCUUUUUGUUGUAGGUAUGUUGCGGCCUAGGUUUGUAGGCCUCAGCCGACUCAUUCUAUUAUCCACUUUUUAGUUUAAUAAAUUUACUUAGUAAAUCAUUUUUCCCGCUUAAAUAUUUACUGUUACUUAUGUCAAACCAUGAUUAAGGCCUAAUCUUAUCACCCACGUCACAAAUUCUUUCCCCACAGGUUUUUACCUUAGUUGAUUUAGUUUCCUCUUCACCGUUACCUUCACUUUAUUUCCAUGUUAUUUUACUCUCUGUUUUCAUCCCAAACUUUUAAAGGUCUUAUUUUUUUCACUCCUACAGUUAUCAUCUUCUUUGCAAUGGCUCGUCAAGCACCAUCUACUUCUACUGCUGCACAAUCGCAUACAUUUUUAGUAAGACAGCAGAAACUGAAUACCACGAAAACAUCGCUAUAUUCCCUUCGUGCAUGGAAAAAGGAUUCCUUUUUCAAGAUGGCCCUUUUAUGGUCUAUACUAAAACCAUUUCCUCAGUCGUGGAGCAACAUGGAUGGCAGAUUUUCUAUCUCCAUCUUGACGGCGUUUUAUAUAUGUAUGGGGUGCUUCAGUAUUGUCUGAUGCCAACUCGAUAAAUGCAUAAUACGGGUUGUCUGAUGGUCUCGAUGAACAUGCUAAUUUUGUCAAGACAAUGACAUCAAAAAGAUUAAACUACAUCAUUACUAAUGUCUGUGUUGAGGGCACAAAAAUGGACGGUCUUAAAGAAUGAUUGCUACACCAUUGAUAAGGUAACUUUGAAGCCCCACUACAGGGUUUGGUAUUAUUUCCUAAAAAAUUGUCUCAUUCCAUCCACACAUAAUUCUAAAAUCUUGAAGGAUCAUCUGCUACUACUCCAUUUGAUUAUGGUGGGAUGAAAGAUAAAUGUUGGGACAUAACCUUUCGAGAGGUCCACCACUGUCCUAAGAAAAAUGUCGGUACCUUGAACUUUUCAUCGCUUAUCACUGCGCUGUCAGAAGGUUAAUGUUCCUCUUCAAGCCAAUAAAGACUGAAUCCCUAACAAAGGUGCUAUCACUAAGCACAUUCCUCUAGAAUUUUCUGGCCAGGAACUGCCACAGCAUUCGGAUCCUUCCCCGACAUCUUCUCCACCCAAGCCCAAUGAUGUUGCUCCAUCAACCUUUAAGAAUGCAUUUGAGCAGAAGGUGGUCAAGAAUUUAGAGGUAUUGCAACAAUAAUUUCAGAAAUUGGAAAAACAACAACAAAUAAUAGGCAUUGGUCUUGGAAAAGUUCAAGAGGAAAUGGAAGUAUUCUAGGGCUAUGUUAGAAGAAGGGACAAAGCCAUUAAAAAGUCCCAUCAAAACAAAUCUGCCUGUUCAAUACCCGCAUUCCCUAUUUUUUCGAAGCAAUUAUUGUUAGAAUCUGAUGAUGAAGAUAACGAUGAAGAACUUACCACAGCAGAAAAAGAGGGAGGAGAAGAGUGAAUUGAAUCUGAACAUAUCAAGUCCGAAAAAGAGGAAGAUGAGCAACAACAUACAUCUACAUCACCUACCACUAACACCACCCAAGAACUAACACCACCCAAGAAUGAAAGCACUUAUGACCGCACAAGAACGUGUAGUUCAUCAACUGAUUGAUGAACUCAAAAAAUUAGAUUCUGAUGAUGAAGAAUAGGUGCCUAUCAAUCAGCUUAAAAGGAAGCGUUACAAGACAAGUGUUGGAAAAGUAGUUCAAGUUGAUAGUGGUGAAAUAGAGAGGCAAUAGUGUUACAAACGUGCUGCGAAGAAGUUAACCAAACCAAAUUAAGGGUAACAAAUAUUCUAUCCAAGCUUUUAUUUCUAAUUCAUCAUUCAUUUUUUUCUGUCAUUGCAUUUCCAUAUUUGUAAAUAUUUGUUUUGUUUUCUGACAUUUUUUAUUUUUUUAUGCAGUGAGGACAAUGCAUCCCUUAGUUUGGGGGUGUGUUAUGCAUAUAGGUUGCCUUAGAUAUGUAUGUUAAUAUUUGUUUUUUUUUCAUUUAUUUUGCCAUGAUAUACAAUUGCCAAAUAAUUACCAGACUUUGCUAAGUAUAUUUUUGUCUAUGAUAUCCGAUGAGGAUAAUAACUCUUUGAUAAAUUUAGAAAAUUGUUCGAGUAUUUAGGUUUGUUUAGCUUAGGAUAGUUGCUUGAAAAUUGAUCCUUAAGAUUAAAAUGUCCUACUUAUAAGUGCAAUUAGUUUAUAGUAGGUUUCUUUUCAUAGACUUAGGAUUUCUUGAACCUAAAUUCAGUAAGCUAGUAACAAAUAAUGUUUAUCAUGGUAAAAUACAUUAAACACUCCAAUGUUUAGGAUAUAUUGAGUAGGUUAGUAAUGUUUUUUUUUCUCCAUUACAUUAUUGAUUAGAAAAAUAGUUUCAAAUAAGAGUGAUAUAAUAUAUAUUUAGGGACACUACAUUCUAGUGUUAGGCUGAAUAGCUAACGAGGUAGUUCUUUGCUCCAUCCAUUUUUUUAGUUAAAAGGCUUAGCUUCAUGAGUGAAUUCCAUUCAAUUUGUGGCAUGAUGUAAUAUCUGGAAAUCUAGUGUUUGCUCCAUUGAGGUUGUCAUGUACAGAAAUCAUGUGACAAGAUGAAUUCCUUAAAAAAUUUUUGUUAAUAAGCAGAGAAUAGAAUUUGUUGUAAAUAGAGAAACUGACUUUAAGGGAUAGUUAUACUGAGUCUGUAAAGAGAUUCUUGCUAUAAUCACAAUUGCAUGAAAUUUUAGGAUUUUUUUUUAUUUCUUUUAGUAAUAUUUUAUGCACCUUACUUGCUAAACAUGCCUAUAAAAUUUGAACCAAAUUUUUGAAUACAAGAUUGCUAAAACUGGAGGUAUAAAAUAUAUUUCAGCUAGUCCUGUGAUAUAUUAGGUAAUUGCAAUGUUUUGGCAAACUCAUGCAUACUCAACACAUAUUUGCUUGAGGACAAGCAAUAAUUCAAGUUUGGGGGUGAUAAUUCUUGAAAAGAGUUAUAUUUCAAAAACGAAGAAGAGGGUAGCCACUAAAAAGAGGAGAUCACAGAAGAGAAGAAGGGGAAAGGAAAUCUACUAUGGGUUUUGUGUAAAAUCCUGAGAAGAAGCUGGACUGUAGUAAGAACUUCAUGCAGUUCUACCUUUGUUCUGUUCUUUUUGGUUUUAUUUUUAGUGAUUCGUAAAACUUGAAGAAUGUUGAUGAAUGAUUUAAUUUUGGAUUUCAUUGCCCAACCCAUGAGCUAAUUAUCUUUAGGUUGGAAUUGUUUGGAUGAAUAUUGAAUUAUCUGUAAUGCCCAUGAUAUGAUUUUGAUUAAAAUUAUUAUUUCAUUCGAUUUAUGCUUAUUGUGAAUGCAUGCCUGCAAGCUCUAGAAAUAGUUGACUGUAUGUUAUGUUCAUAGAUGGAUUUGAAUCUGAAAGGAUUAAAUACAUUAGAUUAUUAAUCGAUUGAUACAGGUAAGUAUUCAAAAGAAUAAUUGCAGUACUCUAGACAUAGAAGUUUUGAUUUGUAAAGGUGAAGAACAUUAGUGUGGUUAUCAUUUGUGAGUCUUGUAGACAUACAUAGACUCAGGAUAAUAACUAAAGUCAGACUUUUGAAAGAAGUAGAUUGUAGUAGUAAUUCUCUGGCCAGUAGUUAGUCAAAAUUUUGCCAUGGCAUUAUUAUGUUAUGAAAAUAUUCCCUGAUUCCAACCUUUAUCAUUCAACACUAGAAUACUCUCUACUUAUCCUUUGUGAAUUGCCACAACAUUUAUAUUUCUUUUUUAUUUUUUCAGUUAUAAAUGAUAUUAUUAGUUCAUUCAUUAAUUCCCUUUAUCAAUUUAUACUUUAUUUCUUUUGCACAGUUUAAUUAGUUAAAUCUACAGUAAAACUUUACCAAUUGUAAUCAAUUUUUGAUCCCUAUGGAGACGAUACUCACUCAUCAUUAUAUUACUUGAAUCGACAUGUACACUUGGACAUUUGCAUUACCUAUUUACAUGCAACAACACCUUAACCCCGAACUGGUCUAGACUGUGAGGUCGGAUGAAAUGUAAUUUUUGCUAACUCACUAUUCUAAUGGAAGAUUGGAAGAUCCUAUUAGGCAAUCAACUAGUUGAUUGAUUAGAACUCUACUUGAAUAAUUAAUUAGGUAAAACAAUUGGAUCUAGACUAAAAGGAACUCGCGUAGUCAAAAUAAGGAAUAAAAAAAUCAAUAAAUGAGCCUAGGAGUAGAUUUAGGUUUAGUUAAAUUUAUUUAGUUUAUUAUUAUUAUCAUCCUGCUUCUUGAUUAACACUACUAAUUCGUGACUCAAGUAGAUUAGUAAUUAUUUCCAAUUAUUGGCUUGAGAACAAUUUUCCCCAAACUGCAAUCCCUUGGGUAUGAUCCUAGGAAUACGUACCAAGUGUUUCGUUGUAAACAAACUAUAUUACAACCUAACCCAUAUACCUGCAGACACUGCAUCAAAUCUAUAUCUUUAGUUGCAGUAUCCAUACUCUAGACACUGGUAAAUCUAGAGGUGAUCAGAAACAAAAAUUAAAAUCGUAUCUAUAGCCUAAAAACUUCCUAAUUAUUCUUAUUGAAGUGAAAAAAUUAAAAUCAAACUAGUGACAUUGCCUCUUCGGCAAUGGCACCAACUACUUAACCGCCUCCAGACAUACUAACAUCCAGAGUGUGAAUACUAUAAUAAAAAGAUAUAUAAAUGAGGCAGUAUCUGCAAGUAUAUGGGUCCAAUUGUAAUAUAGUUACAACGGAGUAGGUGAGCACUUCGAGGAUCAUACCCAAGGGAGGCUAGUGCUAGAUUAAUUCUAUCCUGAACACUGGAAGAUCUAAUUAGUACUCUAAAUCAGGUAUAGUACGAAAACAUAGAUAAAAGGGAUUUUUAGGGUUUUUGUAGUAGUAAAAUAAUAAUAAAGAAAUAAAUAGCAAGAGAUUGAAAAAUAUAAUUAAUCAAAUCUGAUUAUGGGUGAUUAGCUCACUUCGGUACUCCUAAACAACUUUCCCUUUAGGUUUCUCUCAAUCAACUAGUUUCUAUCCCAUUAGGAUCUUUCGAUCUUCUACUAAAAUCACGAGUUAGGGAGGACUACUUAUCUUCCGACUUCACAGUCCUGACCAGCUUGGGGUGAAGGUGUCCACUGAUAGGCCAUUCCAAUUUUGGGUUAAUUCCCACCUUGAUGACUUCCUAGGAUUUUCAGGCCUAGGGUAUUAAUUCUUCUUCUCCCAAAUAGGUGAUCCGUUGAGUAAGCUUAUAAAAAGUUAAUAGAUUAUACCUCUACUCGUUAAUCCCCUAUAGAAGAAUUAGUUCCUCGUGGUUUUUCAUAAACAAUAUAGAAUUGAUAUAAAGAGUAAAAAUGAUAAAUGAAUCGAAAGUAUAGACUUUAAGAAAAAUCUUGAUUUGUAUUAAGAAUGAAAGCGAAUCCACAAAGUUUGAUUGUCUCCACAAAUUAGAUCUCUCUAGAUAAAACAAAGAAUAAACUAAAAGUAAAUCUAAAUCCUAAUAUAAACUGAAAGUAAAUCUCAAUCCUAAUAAAAGAGAAAAACUAAAGUUAAAUUAAAAGAGAAAAUCUAAGCUAAGUAAUUGGUAUGCAUAAUGUGUGACAAAUAAGCCUAUAUAUAUAUUUCAGGUGGUUGUUGUCCUUACCCCUAGGUUAGCUGACGUUCUCAAGCUUUAAGUUUGAUUGUGCGUACCAAAACUCCUUCUAGCCUGUGUUAAUUCUUGUCCAGAGUUGAUGUCAUGACACAUCAGGACUUGUAUUGCAACAUAAAAGGCAAUAUACUCCUCUUGGGAUGUUUUCAGGGGUAUGUCAUGACACCCUUCAUUAGUGUUAUGACAUCGAAGGCAGUCAUGGGAUUUCUCAAUUCUGCUCCCUAUCUUACGACAUCAAACCCUCUUGUUGUGACAUAGUGACCAAUAUUGGUUUAGAACGCAUUUUAAUAUUGGUUUAGAAUGCAUUUUAAUGGUAUCCUACACACUUACAAAGUUCAUCAGCCCAUCCUUGUGCCCCUAAAGUCAAUUAAAGACUCAAUUUGUAAAUUUUAUUGACUUUUAAGAAAACUUAGAAAAACAUAAUUAAAACCUAAUGAUAAUACUUGUUUUCAAGCUCCUAAAAUGCGUAAAUUAGUUUAAUCUGCUACAUUGAAUUACGACAGAUCAUUAAGCCACUCGACUUGGGCUUUGUCACACAGCCGUGUGACCUUAUUUUUAGUUUCUAUUACAUUUUUUUUGUUUUCAUUCAAAUAAGUCCCGAAUUGUUUCUGAAUUGAUUUUUAGGUUUCGUAAGCUCAACAUAAGGCCCGUUUUAGUUUAUAUGUUAUGAAUGGUGAUUAAUUUUAUAUUUAAUUUAAUAGUUGAAUGGUUUAUGCUAUUAGUUCUUUUUAUAUGUGUUGUAAUACUUCGUAACCCUAUUCUAGCGACGGUGAUGGGUUAGGGUUGUUACAGUUUAAAUUAAUAAUUGUAAAAUUAAUAUUCACAAGUCGGUUAAGAAAAUAUAAUAUCUUAGGGUGAUGGAUGUUAAAGGUAAAUUAAUCAACUAUAUGCAAAUGAAAUAACCUAAAUGUAACGAAAUGCAAUGAGAUGGUUUAGCAGUAAUUUCACAAGACUUAACAACAAUAAAAUGAAUAAGCUAGAAUAAUUACAACUUCUUAUUUUAAUUUAUUCAUCGUCAUGCUUAACAAAUGUUCCGGAAAAAUACCAUGGCAACUCAAUCAUUCAUUAACUUAGAAUCUAAUAUAAGUUCUUUUGAAGUCUUAUACUUAGGAAAAAUUGCAUAUCUCUAUGUCAAUUUUUAACUAAGGAUACCUUAGAAUAUAUGUGAAGUAACAUGGACUAGGUCGGUUCUAGGUCGGUUUGAAACAAUUUAAUCACAUAAACCUAAUGUUAUGAAAGGUAAUAGUAUUCUUUUGGAAUCAUUACGAUCCUUUAAAUUAUUCUGGGUCAGAUAUAAAUUUAGCAUGCAACUUCCAAUUAUUUUGUUUAUUUAUCACCAUCUGGUUCUGAUUAAGUGACUAACUCUAAUGCGUUCAAACAUAUUUUAAUGCAUGAAUAAUAUGAAUGUUUUUAAUUGAAAGAAUGAGCAACAGAGGCACAGAACAACAUAAACUUGAAUUGAAUGAAUUUAAUCAAAGAAUUGCAAUUUAUUGUAACGACCCAUUUUUAGUGAAUCUAAAUAGUUAUUUCAGAACCAAAAUAUGAAUUUGAAAUAAUUAUUUUAUUAUUAUGUUGAGGUCUACAGAAUGAUAGUAUGAUUGCAUAAAAUUCCAUUAAGAAAUUUUACCGUUUGUAUGUUCAAUCUGUGAAAAAGGACUAAAUCGCGUAAAGUGCAAAAGUUGUCUUCUAAUAGAUAAAGGUAUCAAAUAGCUAUGGAACUUUAAAGUGAAGGUCCUUAUAUAGUAAUUAUCCCAUAAUUAUUGAUAGUGGAAUUUGAUGGCUUCAUAUUGUUCAAAUUUGCGAUAAUUUAAAAGGUUAUAAAGGUAAAUUAGUAAAUAAAUGAUAAAUUAAAUAAAGUAAAAACAAGCCUUCAUCUUUUAUUUCUUCUUCAACUGAAUGUUAGCUUUUUGGAAACCAUUUUUUAGCUUUUAAAUUUUUGCAACUUCACCUUGCUUAAUUGGUAUGUAAUUUGUCACGUUUUUAUUUAUUUCUAUGUUUUCAGAAUCGUUGUAGCUUAAUCUAGCUAGCCCAAGGACUAAUUUGUGAAACUGUUAAAGUAUUAGGGUUUUACCAUUGAUGAAUGUGUAUUUGUUUUGAUGUUUGAUGGUAGAAAAUGAGUGGUUGCUAUUAGAUAAACAAAUUUUGUAAAAUGUCAAAUAAGGAUUUAUUUGUAAAAUGUGAAAAUUAUGUGGUGAAAUGUGUGAAACAAUGAAUGGUGUGGGCCGCUAUGGAUAUAUAUAAAUAUAUAGAAUUCUAUUAGCAUGGAUGUGGAUUAAAUUGAAUGAAUUUGCAUUUUUAUGAGAAUAGGACUAAAUUGUAAAAAAGUUAAAAGUAUAGGGCAAAAUGUUAAUUUUGCCAUAACAUGAAAUUUGGAUUGAAUUGAGUAAAAAAAAUGAACUACAAUGGUUAUAUUUGAUUAUAUAGAUCAAGAAAAACAGCAUACAAAAUUGAAUCAAUGGAAAAGACAAAGUAGUAGUUGAUCGGUCAAUUGUCUCCGUACUAAUUCGAGGUAAGUUCGUGUGUUAAUAAGCAUUAAAUUAUAUAUGUGUUUAAAUGCUUAAUCGAUAUAAUUAUGAUGAUACGACUACAUGAAAAUAUUCGACGAAGAUUUGCGACGUAUGAAAUCCAGGUGGAACCUUAGGAAUAGAUAGGAUACAAAUGAUAUGACAAUAGGGGUUAUCGUGUUAUCGGUGCUGGUUCCGUACGUUCUACCGGUGGCUGAGUUUUUCGACAUGUGUUGCAGUUACUCGUCAGCUUGUGUGAGCAGACCUAGUGAUGGCUCGAGAGUGAGCAUUUGUACAAGAUAUGAGAUAGAGAUGGUUUCGACCAUGUAUAUACAAUUGGUGUGCAAGAUACCUGAGUAUCCGAUAUUAUUCCAAAUGGUUCAACGGGCAUAGUGAUGUUACGAAAGUAUAUGAAUUCAAUAAAAACCAGGAUAGGUAUGUACGUGAAUCAUGUGAGAAUCUAAUCUAUGAAAUUUGUGAUUUCAUGUCUAACUUUGUGGAUGAAUAUACGUUAAGCUUGUGGAUCAACUUGAGUUGCAUUAUACUAUGUUUAAGUACUUAAAUUGUGAUUGAAUGGUAAGCUGAGUUUUAUGUUAUACGAACUUACUAAGUUUAAUUGCUUACUCUAUUUAUUUCUCUGUGUUUUAUAGAGUUUCAGAAGCUCGCUCGGAUUAGAAGUUGUCGAAGAUUGCAUCACACUAUCAAACUAUCAUUUUGGUACUUUGGACUUAUUAUAUUUUGGUUAAAAGGCAAGUAUAGGUGUUUCGGUCAAUGUAUCCUAUGUGGUUUGUUAUGUUUUAACUAUUAAUAUGGCUUAACAAUGGUAUAUGUUUUGAUAUGUAAAUAGGUGUAAAUGGCCAUUUGAUAUGUGGUUUAUAAUUGAUAUGUGAAUGCCUCAUUGUGAAUUGGUAUUUAAGGUACCAAAUGGUUGAAAUUGAGAAUGUAUCUGCAUGCUAAGUUUUAGGCAAUGUGUCAUAUAUGAAUUUGACCAUUUAGGUUGAUUUUUGAAUUUCAAAUGGUAUGUUUUAAAGUGGUCAAAUGAAUGAGUUAUGAAUGUCAUGUUUUAUGUGUGGAUGGAUCAUGUUAUAAAUUUGAUAUUGGAUGGUUGUGAAUGCCCUUUUAUGCAAUGGUUGUAUGUACAUUGUUUGGCUUAGGUUGGCACCCCUUUGGGGGAGAAAUAUGGUUUGGAAAAUGGUCCAUUUUUUGUUCAUACGGGCAGAGAUACGGGCGUGUGUCUCAGCCGUGUGUGACACAUGGCCAGGUGACAAGCCCAUGUGUGCCCUGAUACUUAUUUAAAAACCAGGUCAGUAGAUUCACAUGGCCUAGCACACGGGCGUGUGGCUAGGCCGUGUGGCACAAGUAAGUAUACCCUCAAGUUUUCAUACGGCCUAACACACGGCUAGACACACGGGUGUGUGUGACGUCAUUUCGAAAGGUACAUGGCCUGGCACACAAGAGUGUGGUCUGGCCAUGUGAUCCAAGUCAGUAAGUUACAAAGGCUCAGACACGGGCUGGGACACGACCAUGUGAUCCCAUUUCGAAUGUCCACACGGCCUGUAACACAGGCGUGUCUCUUGGCCGUGUGAAACACACGACCUGGCCACAUGGGCAUGUGUCCCCUGCACUUUGAAAAUUUUCCAUGUUCUUCUAAAAAUCUCUUAAGUACUCGUUUUAGUACCGAACCACUUCUAAUGCUUACUUUAGGACUUGAGGGCUGGUGUUAGAGACUAUAUGAUUGAAUUUGAAUGACUUCUGUUUGGAUAUAAGAAAUGAACAUAAAAUGUACGAUAGUUUAAGUGAUAAGUUUGGUAAUGCUCUGUAACCCUAUUCUAGUGUCGAAUAGGGGUUAAAGGUGUUACAUUUAUUAGUAUCAGAGCUACAGUUAGCCAACUCUAGGAAUAACAUAGCGUGUGCAAGUCUAGCUAUACAUGCCAUAGUUAACCUGUAAUAGUGUCAUAUCUCCUGAUAUUUUUAAAUCAUGUUUUCAUAUAGCAAUGGAUUCCAAUCGAGCAGACUCUGAUGAUGUAGAAAGUGAUGCGCCAGCCUCUAUUACCGGAGUAGCACUAUCUAGAUCCAGCCCGUAUUUGAGGGUUGUGGAGGAGAGGCCAAUGAAGCAUUCUUCCAAAUGAUGAAUGAGUGGUUCACUGAGUUUGUCCGAAUGAAUCCGGCUGCUCAGCAACCUCCACCCCUAACUAUUCCCUAAUCGAUUCUGGUAGCUUCUCAAGUUCUAGAACCCAUACAUUUAAGCAAAUCGCCUGUGGAUAAAAUUUGAAAGUAUAGGGCCGAAAAGUUUAGAGCUACAGUUGAUAAUGAUCUAGAGAGAGUUGAGUUUUGGCUUGAGAAUAUGAUUCAGGUUUUUGAUGAGUUGUCUUGCACACCAUCUGAGUGUGUUAAAUUUGUUGUGUCUCUUCUAAGAGAUUCAGCUUAUCAGUGGUGGAAUACCUUAAUAUCUGUUGUACCGAGAGAAUGGGUCACACGGGAAUUCUUUUAGACCGAGUUUAGGAAAAAGUACAUAAGUUAGCAGUUUCUCAAUAAAAAAAAAGUUAGAAAUUUCUAGAGUUGAAAUAGGGUCGUAUGAUAGUAACUGAGUAUCAAAGAGAAUUCGUGAGACUGAGUAACUAUGCUCGAUAGUGUGUCUCCACUGAAGAAAUUAUUUGUAAAUGGUUUGAAGACAGAUUGAAUGAAGACAUUAAGCUUUUAGUCGGGAUUCUUAAACUGAAAGAAUUUGUUGUGUUAGAUAAUAGAGCACACAAAGCCUAGGAGCUUAGCAAAGAAAAAAGAAGAGCCAAUUCUGAGGCUAGAGAUUCAAGAAAGAGGUCAAUGGGUAAAUCAUACCAUUCAUCAUCAAAGAAAUUGAGGGAUUAUUAUAACCAUUCGAUUGCUUCAAUGGGGUAUUCCAACAAAGAUCGUGGGAAGUAACACACUAGUCCAAAAGCUUAAGCCACUUUAGUAUCGAGUGUUGGUAGUGUCAAAUCCAACAAACCUGAGUGUCAACAAUGUGGAAGACGAAAUUUUGGAGAUUGUUGGAUGAAUAAUAAAGCCUGUUUCAGAUGUGGCUCACAAGAGCAUUUUAUUCGUGAUUGUCUCGAGUUUCCUAAGAAAGAUAAUUUUUUACUACAAGGCCAAGUAAUACAAUUUCCACAAGGAGACCACUUCGAAAUAUUAGAAAUGUGAAUAGUAGCAAAGGUGAAAAAAAGGAUUCUACUAUGAGAUUUGAGGCUCGAGUACCAACAAGAGCUUAAGCUAUUCGCGCUCGCAAGGAUGCAUCGGAACCAAAUGGUAUCACCGGUACUUUUUCUCUUUAUGACAAUGAUGUAACUGCUUUGAUUGAUCCAUGAUCAACCCAUUCUUAUAUAUGUACAAAAUUAGUAUCUAGUAAGAGUUUUCCUAUUUUGUCCACUGAAUUUUUGGUUAACGUAUCGAACCCCUUAGGCCAGUAUGUCCUAAGUGAUAAAGUCUGCAAGAAUUUUCCUCUGAUGACUCAGGGUUACAGUUUUUCGGCUAAUUUGAUGCUUUUACCGUUUGAUGAGUUCAAUGUAAUUUUGGGUGUGGAUUGGUUGACUAUGCAUGAUGUUGUUGUAAACUGUAGAAAUGUCAGAACGGUGAGACUCUUCGUAUCGAAUCCGAUGAUUUGAGUGGGUUGCCUAUUGUGAUACUGGCUAUGUUAACGCAAAAGUAUGUGAAAAGGGGUUGUAAAGCUUACCUUGCAUAUGUACUUGAUACAAAAGUGUCUGAAUCGAAGAUUGAAUCAAUGCCAGUGGUUUGUGAAUAUCUAGAUGUGUUUCCAGAAGAGUUACCUGGGUUGCCACCAAUCAGAGAAGUUGAGUUUGCUAUUGAGUUAGUAUCGGGAACAUCACUGAUAUUGAUAGCUCCGUACAAAAUGGCUCCGAUCGAGCUGAAAGAGUUGAAAGCUCAGUUGCAAGAGUUAACGGAUAGAGGGUUGCACGAUCGAGUUUCUCGCCUUGCGGUGCACCAGUUUUAUUUGUAAAGAAGAAAGAUGGAUCAAUAAGACUGUGAAUCGACUAUCAUCAGCUUAACAAGGUUAUGAUUCAGAAUAAGUAUCCUUUACUGAGAAUUGAUAAUUUAUUCGAUCAAUUGAAAGGAGCAAUAAUAUUUUCAAACAUUGAUUUGCGAUUUGGCUAUUAUCAGUUGUAGGUUAAAGAUUCGGAUGUGCCGAAAACUACAUUCAGGACCAAGUACGAGCAUUAUGAAUUUCUUGUUAUGCCAUUUGGCCUAAUUAACGCUCCUGCAGUUUUUAUGGAUUUGGUGAAAAGAAUUUUUAGACCGUGUUUAGAGAGGUUCGUGGUUGUAUUCAUUGAUGAUAUACUAAUCUAUUCCCGAGAUGAAUCUGAACAUGUCGAGCAUUUUCGAACUGUGUUACAAACAUUGAGAGAUAAAUAACUAUUUGCUAAAUUUAGCAAGUGUGAACUUUGGCUCAGUGAAGUUGGAUUUUUGGCACACAUUGUUUCGCCAAAAGGUAUCAGAGCUGAUCCGAGCAAAAUGUUAGCAAUUGUUGACUACAAACCACCAAGAAACAUUUUCGUGGUUAGAAGUUUAUUGAGAUUAUCUAGUUAUUAUCAGAGAUUUGUAAAAGGAUUCUUAAUGAUUGCUGCACCAAUGACUUGGUUAUUACAGAAAGAUGUGAAGUUUGAAUGGUCCGAGAAAUGUCAACAGAGUUUCAACCAAUUGAAAGCACUGUUAACUGAAGUACCAGUUUUAGUUCAGCCUGAGUUGGGUAAAGAAUUUGUGAUUUUCAGUGAUGCGUCCUCGAACAGAUUGGGAUAUGUUUUAAUGCAAGAAGGCAAAGUGCUAGCAUAUACUUCCGAACAAUUAAAGACACAUGAGAAGAAUUAUCUAACACAUGAUUUGGAGUUGGUCACAAUAGUGUUUCAUUGAAAAUUUAGUGACACCACUUAUUCAGUGAGAAGUGCCACAUAUUUACCAAUCACAAGAGCUUGAAGUAUUUGAUGUCUCAGAAAGAUUUGAAUUUGCGUCAACGAAGAUGGCUCGAACUGUUGAAAGAUUAUGAUCUAGUAAUUGAUUAUCACCAGGGGAAAGCAAAUGUAGUCGCAGAUGUCUUAAGUAGAAAAUCUUUGUUUGUUUUGAGAGUGAUGAAUACGCAAUUAAGCUUGUCUAAUGAUGGUUUGAUUGUAUAUGAGUUAAAAGUUAAACCGAUGUUUUUACAACAAAUUUGUAAGGCUCAGAAAUGUGAUAAUGAAUUACAAGCUAAACAUGUACAAUAUGAGUCAACUAAUGAUUUAGAGUUUUGGAUUGGAUCCGAUGAUUGUUUGUUGUUCUGAGAUAGAGUUUGUCUGCCAAAGAAUACUGAAAUUAUACAGAAAAUUUUGCACGAAGCUCACAGUGGUAACUUGUCUAUUCAUCUGGGAAGUACUAAUAUGUACAGUGAUUUGAAGUAGAAGAACUAGUAGUCAGGCAUGAAACGUGACAUUUCCGAAUCUCGAAUUCGCAACUGAUAAUAGCCCGAUCUCAAAUCUAUUUUUGAGAACACUGAGGCUCCUUUUAGUUGAUAAAACAAAUCAUCAAUACGCGGUAACGGAUAUUUAUUCUUUAUCGUCACUUUAUUCAGUUGACGAUAGUCAAUGCACAACCUCAUGGUUCCGUUCUUCUUUUUCACGAACAAUACUGGUGCACCCCAAGGUGAGAAACUUGGUCGAGCAAAACCUCUAUCCGUCAAUUCUUGCAACUGAGCUUUCAACUCUUUUAACUCGGUUGGUGCCAUACGAUACGGAGCUAUCGAAAUCGGCGUAGUCCCAGGUACAAGCUCAAUACCAAACUCUAUCUCCCGAACAGGUGGUAAACCCGGUAAUUCUUCAGGAAAAACAUCCGGGUAUUCACAAACCACCGGCAUAGAUUCGGGUUUCUUUUCUAAUUCUUUGUCAUCAAGUACAUACCCAAGGUAUGCUUCGCACCCUUUUCUUACAUAUUUCUGGGCCAACAUUGAGGAUAUUACAGCUGACAACCCCUUUAAGUCCGUAGACUCAACUCGGAUCAUCUCGUUAUUUGCGCACCUCAAAUCAAUAGUCUUGCUUUUGCAAUUCACAACCGCAUCAUGCGCGGUCAACCAAUCCAAACCAAGAAUAACAUCAAAUUCAUCAAACGGCAAAAGCAUCAAGUCUGCCGGAAAACAGGAACCUCGAAUUACUAGGGGACAUUUCUUACACACUUUGUCGACAAGCACGUAACGACCCAAGGGAUUUGACACCCGAAUUACGAACUCAGUAGACUCAAUAGGUAAAGUCUUACUGGAUGCUAAGGUUUCACAUAUGUAAGAAUGAGUAGAACCGGGGUCAAUCAAAGCAAUUACAUUAGUAUCAAAGAGAGUAAAAGUACCAGUAAUAACAUCAGGCGAAGAAGCAUCCUCGCGGGCACGUAUAGCAUAAGUUCUAGCAGGCGCACGAGCCUCGGAUCUGGUCGUAGCAUCUCUAGAUCCUCUCUGACCACCACUAGCAUUGCCCGUAUUUCCAGAUGGUCUACCUCGAGCAGUGGUAGCACCCGGUUUCCCACUCUGAUUUACAUUCUGUUCAGACAACCUCGGGCAAUCUUUAAUGAAGUGGUCAACUGAUCCGCACUUGUAACAGGAGCGGUCAGGGAAUCUACAACUCCCCGAAUGCCAUUUACCGCAAUAUCGACAUUUCGUUCUGUCUCGACGUUCAUUCCCAACACUGGCGACCGAAGUGCCUCGUGUACCCACAGGGGGUCGAUCACAUCUCGUCUAAAAAGGCCCGAAAUGCCUCUAGACCGGCCCACAUAAUCUCGAAAUUUCUUCGAUGCCUGUUGAAGAGACUUUCCCGAGGAUCUUUUACGAAACUCUCCAGUUCCCACAUCAACUUUUUGUUUUUCUUUUCUAAGCUCUUCGGCUUUACAAGCUCGCUCGACAAGUACUACGAACUCUCGUAUUUCAAGAAUGCCCACGAACAUUUUUAUAUCUUCAUUCAGCCCAUCCUCGAAGCGUUUACACAUGAUAGCCUCGGACGAAACACAUUCCCGAGCGUACCUACUAAGUCUAACAAAUUUUCGCUCGUAAUCAGUAACUGACAUAGAACUUUGCUUAAGCUCAAGAAAUUCCUUCCGUUUUUGAUCAACAAAUCUCUGACUGAUAUACUUUUUCCGAAACUCAGUUUGGAAAAACUCCCAAGUUACUUGCUCUCGGGGCACAACAGAAGUCAGAGUACUCCACCAAUAGUAGGCAGAAUCGCAUAGCAAGGAGAUAGUACACUUUAGGCAUUCAUCGGGUGUACAAGAUAGCUCAUCGAGUACCCGGAUAGUGUUGUCCAACCAAAAUUCAGCUUGCUCGGCAUCGUCGCUAUCCGUAGCUUUAAAUUCAGUAGCCCCAUGUUUUCAUAUUCUGUCAACUGGGGGCUUAUUUGACCUUAUUUGGUCAGUUUCCAGAGGUAUUGUAGGUGCGGGGGUGGUAUUAGUCGGGAAUGGAGGUUGUGGAAUAGCCGUAUUAGUUCGAAUGUAUUGGUUGAACCAAUCAUUCAUCACGCUAUAGAAAGCUUGUCUAGCUUCAUCAUUCGGGUUACUAGCAUUAGGUUGAGAGUCCGCCGGCACUGUCCCUUGUGUGGGAGCAGGCGCUACACUCUCAAGAUCAUCAGCUACCGCUCGGUCGGGAUCGGGAUCCAUUACUAUAAAUAAACACAUUUACAAUUGUCAGAAAUCACCACACUAUCAAAUAAUCACAUAAAAUGGCAUGUAUAGCUAGACCCAACGCAUUACGGCAGUCCUAGAAUCGACUAAACCAUAGCUCUGAUACCAAUCAAAUGUAACACCCCGAACCCGAGACCGUCACCGGAGUCGAACACGAGGUGUUAACAGACUUUAACCACUUAGAAACAAAUUUCCCAGACACUGCCAAUCUGCGUACUAGUCGCUUUAAAAAUCAUAUCUUGAGUUCAGAAACUCGGAAUCCAGUUCCGUAAAUUUUCCCUGAAACUAGACUCAUAUGCCCAUCUACAUAUUUUUUUCUAGAAUUUUUGGUUUGGCCAAUUAGUACAGUUUAUUAGUCAAAGUCUCCCAUGUUACAGGGAUCGACUACACUGACCUUUGUGCAUUACGACUUGGAUAUCUCCCUGUACAGGGCUUCAAUACUGAUGUAGUUUGUUUCUAUAGAAACUAGACUCAAAGAGGAAUCUAUACAUAUAUGGUAUGACUCCUAAUUAUCUCUUGUUAAUUUAUAAUGAAUUUCCAAAUUCGAAACAGGGAAUCCAGAAACCGUUCUGGCCCUGUCUUACGAGAACCUGAAUAUCUCUUAACAUACUAUCCAUAUGAUCGUUUCGUUACUUUCCUAUGAAAAUAGAUUCAUCAAGGUUCGUUUACAUAAUUUAUUUAAUAUUUAAUUCCCUUCCUAAUAUUUUUAGUGAUUUUCCAAAUCUACAUCACUGAUGCUGUCAGCAUCUGCCUUUAAGGUAGACUUUACCUAUUUCGUAGUUUCCAUGAUUCAACUAACCCUUUUAGCAUAAAUAGCACAAAUUAUGAUAGUGAUUAACCAUUCCCAUGGCCAAUCCUUGUUAAGCAUAUCCACACCUCUCAAUAACCAUAUCCAUACCAAAUGAUUAUAACAUUAUACUCAAACAUAUAUAAGCCAUUUUCGCAUGGCUAUCCAAAAUUAUACAAGUCCAAAGGGUCCAUGACCCCCAACAAAAAUGGUAGUCCUAUACAUGCCAUUUCGAAGUUCAACCAAAAUUGUACCAAAAAGGGGGGGCUUUGAUAGUGUGGGCGACUUCGACUUCAAAAUCCCGAGUCCGAUAGCUGGAGAACCAAAAUCUAUAAAACAGAGAAUCAAGGAGACGGAGUAAGCAAUUUAUGCUUAGUAAGUUUUGAGCAAGGGAUUCCAGCACAACAAAAGUAUAGCAUUCAUGUAGCUAAACGGAUAAUUUCAUAUGCACAAUUUUUCAAUAUCAUACUUACUUCACAUUACCAACCCUUUUAUUCAUACACAAAGAUCAACUUGGCCAAAGGCCGGUAGCUCAUUUAUCAACUGAGCGAAUACUUAUUUGUAAGGGCUCAACUAAUUCAAAGCACAUACGAAACAUACCUCAAUGUUGGGAUGUUUCAAGCGUAUUAACUGAAAUUUUUACAGCAAGAUCGUUCAUUCCCAAAUCACGUACCUUCAGAAUUUAACCGGAUAUAGCUACUCGUUCAAAUGCCUUCGGGACAUAGCCCGGUUAUAGUAACUCGCACAAAUGCCUUCGGGACUUAACCCGGAUUUAGUAACUCGCACAAAUGCCUUCGGGACUUAACCCGGAUUUAGUAACUCGCACAAAUGCCUUCGGAUCUUAGUCCGGAUAUGGUCACUUAGCACAAAGCCUUCGGGACUUAGCCCGGACAUCGUUCAAAUAACCAUGCACAUUUAACAAUAAAUCAUGGCACAUUCGUAUUUCGUUUUCGUUAGCAAAACUCAAACACAAGACACUUAUCAUUCUUGCAAUUUCGGCUCAAUAGCCACACACAAGGAGCAUGAUUUUGAUUUGCUUAAAACAUGAUCUAAUCAAAUCAUAAUUUAAGCUCUUUUACUCAAGAACUUACCUCGGAUGUUGUCGAACGAUUCCGAUGGCUACUCGACCACUUUUUCCUUUCCAUUAUCCAAUUGGGGUCCUCUAAGCUCUUGAGCUAAUUCAAACAAAUUUAACUCAUUAAAGUCUCAUUUUGCUAGCUUAUGGCCGAAUAUGACAAGGAGUUUGAUAGGUCAUAUGGCCACCCUUUUAGCUCAAAUACACAAUGGUCAUACGCAUUUUUAAUCACAUCAAGCAAUUUAAUACAAUUCAUUCGAACAUCAAAAGAGAAGCUCAAGGUACUUAGCCCAUAUAUACAUUAGACAUUAGAGUCACAUGUGUACGAAAUCACGAAUCGAAUUCAACAUACUAGCUAAUAUUUCCCCUUAGCCGAAUUUUCUAAGUCAAGCUAAAGCCAUCAAUAGGCUACCUAUGGCCGAACAUACACAUAGCUUAUGUACUUAUUCAUGUGGCUGAACAUACAUGUCUAUGUUGGGGCCGAUUGCAACACUUAAUACAUUCUACAAGUAUGGUUACUUGUAUUGACUAAACACCAUUUUGUUUCAAGUUCAAAACUUGGCUAAUACACACAUAUAUACACUAGUAAAGCAUCCUCUCCCUUUCCAUCAAUUUAACACAUGCAUUACUCAUUAAUAUAGAGAAAUUAUAUUCGGCCUUAGCACACAACUUGCUAGCCGAUUCUUCUCCAUCUAGCAACCAAUGCACAUAUGUGCUCACUCAAAAAUGCUAAAAAGAAGAUUCAAGAAUCAUCAAUCCACCAUCACAUGCAUCAUUAACAAGCUUCAUAUUUAGCAUGCAAUGGCAUUAACACAAAAUCCACCUAGGCCGAAUAUCAUCCCCAUGACAUAGCAAAGAUUUGAACCAUGGGCUAAUUAGAACUCAAGCUAGCAACUAAAAACAUGCAUGAAUCUCAUGGCACAACCUCAAACAUACCUUGAUCUAGAUACAAGUAUGGCCAAACCUCCUCCUAAUCCUCUUCCAAACCAAACAUGAAGCAAGAACUCCUUCCUCCUUCCUUAGAAUUUUCGGCCAAAAGAAGAUGAAAAAGGAUGAACAAAAUUUUUUCUUUUCUUUUCUUUUACUCACGGCAAUGGGGGGGGAAACAACCACACUUUUUUUUUUGUUUCCAUUUCUUUAUUACCCAUACUCCUUAUUUUAUUUUUCCUAACAUACCUCACUAACAUAACAUGUUUGUGACAUGUUUCCACUCAUAGCAUGGCCGGCCACUAUGCCUUAAUUUGGGUAAAUUGACAUGCAAACCCAUCAUUUUCACAAUAUGCAUUAAUAGGCCACUUUGCAUUUGCCUAGCACAUUUCAAAAUUUUCUCACAUAAGUCCUAUUUGAUAAAAUUCACUUACAAUUAACAAAAUUCAAACACGAAAUUUUCACACGUGCACAUGUACAUAUAAUGAGCAUCAAUUAUGACGGUUAAUUAUUUUUAUGACUCGGUUUAGUGGUCCCGAAACCACUUCCCGACUAGGGUCAAUUUUGGGCUGUCACAAUCCGUGAUAGCUUCCUCCAAUUACCAUGGUUGCUCUUUUGCAAAUUGCUCCUCGAGGUGGCUGGCCAAGAGAGCUUUUCUUUCAAGGAAAUGCUUCCUAAGGGAAAAUGGGAAGAUGGAGAGGAAUGAAGGGCAUUAGGCAUGGAAGAGAGGAAAAGAAUGAAUAAAUGUUGGUGGAAUGAAUGAUGAUUCGUGGUGAAUUGAAAGGUGAAUGGAAGGUGGUAUUUAUACUUGAAGGAGAACUUGGAAGUUUGCUAAAAAUAGCAUGAACAUCCCUUAGAAAUCUCUCAUUCAUGACCAACCUUGAUUUUUCAGAUAAGGAGUUGGUGGUUGCUUAAUUCAUCCUUGAUUUAAGGCAUGGGGUUGGACGAAAAUCAAGGGACACUGUUGGGACUGAUUUGUGAUUUUUUAACACAUGUAGGGACCUUCAUUCAAUUGUUCCAAAAUUGAUCUGGCUACUCUUCUUGUCUUUUUCAAAUUUACGCUCUUCUCCUUUCUAAUGGACUGUUACCAAGUAGACUUAAUUCUUUUCAGCAACCAUCUUCCAAGCUAGGUUAAAUCAACUCUCUAACACCAAUUCAUUAGCUUGCCGUCCAUAGUGUGAGAUAAUUAGCUUACUUGCAUGCAUGUCCUUACUAUAGCUCCUAACAUUGAGCAAUUCAGUGGUCCAAACUGAAAUAAUUUAAGCAAGAUUAACAUGUAGCAUAAUAACAUGAAAUUAUGUAAAAUUGCAAACUUUAAUAAAAUUAUGCCCAAUGUCUCAAUAUGAAUUAAAAUUAAAUAAUUAGCUAUUCAAAAACCUGAGAUUUGCAUAAAUUCAAAGUAAAGAUGUGCUGAAAAAACCUAUAUAAUUUAGAGUUAUCAACACCACAAAGGCUUCCAUUUUCUAGCGUGUUCACGAUAGGGAUUCUCCUAGACUCACGUUUUGUGAGGUUUGCCCCUCAUCAUCUUGAGUCGCGUAAAAAACUCCCAUUAGGUAAUAACCUUUCUUUAUAUCAUCCUAUAUGAUGCCAUAACCCACUAGUUAUGGUCUUACACAAUAUGAUGCCAUGGACUUUUCCUUUUAGAGAUCGUGAUUAAAGUCCCAAUAGACUCUUUUAGAAGACUCCAUAGAGAUAAACACAGACUCACCAGCAGACCUUUCAUGCAUAGACACCAUUUAAACUUAACUCACUAUUCACCUCACACAUUCAAAACAUGCCUAUACAGUCAAGCUUCAACUUCAUAUUAUUUAUCACAUACUUUAUACCUAUAAGAUUCAUACGAAUCAUACAUGAAAUCCUUAACUAAUAUUCACACAUUAGCAUAUCAUCAUACCAUCCUUUUCUAGUUUUAGUUCGCAAUUCAUAUGAUUCUUUACGGAAGCAUCUAGAAUAAAUAGUAUACACAUAUGAGUCAGUUUAGAGACUCACCUAAUUCUCACCUACAGAACUUCCAAACUCCAUAUCCAAACUUCCCUUGUAAGAUCAACAGCAACUAUUGCUAUAAGAACAUGGAAAAUCAUCAAAAUCUAUUCAAAUACCCCCAUUUUACCAUCAUUUCUAACACUAGAAAUCCCCAAAAAGGGCCUUAUAUCAUCCAUCUUAAGGAUCUACCAAGUUAACAUAUUUACUCUUUCAAAACAUAAGAUGGUGGAUUAAAAAUCUUACCUUGACAUGGAGCAUUCACAGGUAAGGUCCAAAUCUACAACAUAGCUUAAGUGAACCACGGAAAUACUCUAGAUUCCUUUAAGUCUAGACAGAAAUACUUCUUGAAGAAGGAAGAAGAAAAGCUCUCUUUUCCAAUCUUGAUUAUCUAGGUAUACAACCUUUGUCCCUAUGGAAACUUGAUUAUCGUCAUAAUCUUGUACAAUAUAACAUAUAGGUGGUUUAUAGUUAUAAAGAAACGUGUACAAAAAUAUAACAUUAGUGUGUAUAUAUAUAUAUUUGUGUUUCUAGUACUCAAACACUUCAUCAGUUACUUUGCAAAAUCAUUUGAAACCUUAGCUUUCCUUUGGUAAACUUUUCUACAAUCUUCAUCUUUCAUUUUGGAUUUUCCUCAAAGGUAACACCCUUGUUAUUUCUUCUUUUAUGUUUUAACAUUUACACCAAAAAAAAAAGAGAAGAACCACCAUCAGAGCUAGGGGUCGUGACUAGACCAAUCGAAUCAUCACUCGUGAAACUUCAACAUGCGUGAAGACCUAGUUUUAUGACUGCACCUCAACUUGGGAGGAAAUGAAUCAUUGCCUCGGAGACUAGGGUCUCCAAAACCCAAACUUUGCUUUUGAUUUCUAGCUUCCCAAUUGGUAUCGUCCUAAUGACAGUUCUCUAGGCUUCCUUUUACCAUUCGUUUUUUUGGUAGUUGGGUUCCAUCUACCUCUCCACCCAUUCUUUUAUGUCAUACUCAACAAUUACGAGAUUGCAUCGUGUCAGUUAUCAGCCAUAUCCUGGUAGACAUUAGUUGAGUUUUUCAUCGAUUGUUACUUACACAAUGAGCGUCCACUACUAGGUCUCUUCCAAAGAUUUUACCAACUCAAAAUACAGAGAACUAGAGAUUCUGUUGGAAAUGCUCACUUUAGUGUAUGGCCUGACCAUGAACCCUUCAUUAAAAACAAGUUCUCCAAUUUUCAUCUAAGGAAGGACAAGUACAUAAGGGUGUAAGCAAGCUUAGUUUUGGUUUUGGUUUCCCAACCAAAUGGCCCCUUCUUCGUGAAAGUGUCUAAGCCACAUGCCCAUCAAAGGACGCUUCCAAAGUUAAAAAGGGGUUUGAAAAACCUAUGUCCAAAUGGCUACAACCCAACUCUUGUCACCAGUUAAAAAAUUGACCCUUCCGUGUAUAAAUCAAACUGUAAAGUGGCAUACGUUUUACUGGGGCACAUUAAAGAACCUCCAUCAUACUUUCAUCGCAUCUAUAGUCUACGCCCAAGAAAUUGGAUAAUUAUAUCUUCCGAUCAAGCUAAUUCGCCUGCUGCUAAUGUAGGAUCUUCAUCAUGUUCUCACCCUCAAGGUAUGGAUAUCUCUUCAAUUCUUAAGGGGAUUCGUGUCUUGGAGAAGACCAAUGUUGCACUGCCACAAAAAAUAACAACAAGGAAAAGGGCCAAAUCAACUAAGGGUGCUUAAGAAUAUGGAAGCAGUGAAUGCUCACCCUUAGUGAGGCAUAAACCAAAUACAGAAUUGGUUGCAACCGUCACUCACUCUUCUUCAGUCCCAGUUCCUACUGAGAUUCCUUCAGUGCCUGAAGGCUCCGCCCCUCAUAUGGUCUCUCCUAAACAUAUUCAUGAUCCCUCUACAUCAGAGAAUCACAUGUCCUUUCUCCUCCAGAAUAGGAAGUAACCCCUGCAAAAUCAAGUUGUAACUUCCCUUGGCACGGCCUUAUAAAAUCAGUUCCCUCUCCCAAGCCUCUUAGUUCUAUUCUUCAGCAACAACUAAGCUUGUUGCAUCAACAGUUAAGAGAAGCAUUCUCUUCUUAUCUUACAUCCCAUCCCUCAAUAGAUCCUCUAUCUCUCAUGGCUCAAGUCUCAGAGAUCUCAUCUCUUCAACAUGAUCAUUGGGGCGAGUCUCUUAAAGAUGCUAGUAAGUGCUACAACAAAAAAUAGUAUAUUUGGAGAAAUCUAUGAAAUAUAAUGAAAAUGCUUUCGCUGAACUCCUCUAGAAAUACCAAAACUCAAGUUGUUUGAUUUCAAGGCUAUCUACCAAACUCAUGACUCUAAAGAGCAAGUAUGGGUAUGUUCAAACAAAAAAUAAUCAGCUGAAAGAUGAGAUCAACCACUUAAGAAAUGAAAAUAUAUCUUUGAGGUGUGGUUCAAGGCUAAAAAGGAGAGGCAUAAGGCAGAGUUGGAGAGGUUGUGCCAAUAUCAUAAGGAAACCUUCAAUAAGUAUCAAAAAGAUACUUAGAAUAACAUAGUCAAGGCUCUGUUAGAGUGGAAAUUGAACUUGAUCCUGCAGGCCCAAGUGGCCACUGGUCCUUUUGACCUUAGCAAGGUAGACUUUUAUUAUUUGAAGGAUAUCUCUACAGAAUCACUCAGCUUUGACAUUUACAAUCCUGAGGGUGAAGAGUGGGAGGCUUUCCAAAGAGAGUGGAAAUAAUUAGUUUUCCUUUUCACCCCCUACACCCGUAGAUGAGGAUUAUGAAAGGGGUUUAGCAAAUAUGAAGAAAAACCAUGAAUGUCAUCCUCAACCAAAUGAGGUCUCUAUUGAACCCGGCAACCAGGUCAAAUGACAAAACUAAAAUUUUCUUUUGCCUUGUACUUUUCUUUUAUUGUCUUCCAUUUUGGUACAACAACCUUGUUAUUAAUGGAGUGAUCCUUUACCUUUCAAUGGUUUCUUUGUUCAUCAUUAUCCCUUUUUCAUUAAGUCAUUAUGUAACAUCUCGAAAUAAGGCCUAGUUAGAAAAGUGGUUUUGAGACCAUAAAUCUAAAAUAAAAAUAAUUAUUUUAUGAUUGUUUGAUGGUCUAUGAUAUGUUUGUAUGCUUGUGUAAAAAUUUCAUUAAAAACUUUUAUGUGAAAAGUGUCUAAUUGGACUUUAAGGGCUAAAUUGAAUAAUUUAUAAAACUUGAGUUCUAGAAGAUUUUAGGAUGAAAUUGAUAUGGAUUAUUUAUUAGAGGUUCUUAAAUAGUAAUUUGACCAAUUUCUAAAAAUUUGGACAAAAAUGGGCUUGGAUGGUAAAAAUGUGAAAGAAUGACUAAAAGGGCAUUUUUGUCAUUUUGUAAUUAAAAGAUUAAAAAGGGAAAAAUCAAGCCAAAAAUUUUCCAUCUUCUUCUUUCUUGGCUGAAAAUCACCAUGGACACCAUGGCUAGGGUUUUGUCAUUUCCAAGCUCACUAAUAAGUGCUCCCAAGCCCCGUUUUUAAUGCUCUUUGCAUUUUUUAAGUUCCCGUAACACGAUCUAUCUAUUUCUACCAUUUAUUUGAGAUAGGAUUCAUGUUUAAAAAUUUAUCCAUGUAUUUCAUGCAUGUUUUUUGAUGAAUAAUGGAAGAAUAUGAAAGAUUAAUGUGUGUUUAACAACUUUUACUAAGUGAUUUUUUAGUGAAAAUACCUAACAAAUUGUAAAAGAUGUAAAAAAGUGGGUAGUAAAUAGAUGAAAUAAAGAGAAAUGUGGAUUGAUAUAAGUAUAAAAAUGUUUCAGCUAGGCUUAAAGUACAAAGAAAAUGAACACUUUUCAUUUUACGAGCCUAGAGGUCAAAGUGAAAAUAUGUGAAAGUUUAGGGGUAAAAGUGUAAAUUUGCUAAGGUAUGAUUUUUGGGUCCAUUUGAAUAAUGUGAGUGUUAAAUAAAUUAUACUUGAUAUGUUAGAUCAAGAGAAACGAGAUUUGGGCUUAGAUCUGGAAAGAUCGAGAUUAUGGACUAAAUCAGAAUAAAUAGUCGUAUUCGCAUUCGAGGUAACUUCAUGUGAUAAUAACAAUGCAAUGUUAUGCUUGAAUUGUAAUGUUAUACUAUUAUCUCAUAAAUUGAAUGAUUUUUUAUAUGGUUGUACACGACGAGAACUCAACAAGUAAGUACCUACGAUAAUGUUAUCGUUGUUUGUGAUUGAACCUAAAUUGGUAUGUUAAUUCAAUUAAGUGGAGUUAAAGGUUAUUGAUGCUAGGUAUGUAAUGAUGACAUACCCUAUGAAAUUAUAUCGUAUGCUAUGCAAAUGAAGUGAUCUACAAUAUGUCUAUGACACGUGAUGACAAUGUAAUGAAUUGUGAUUUUGUGUUAAAAAGUGAUUAUCAUGAUUAUUAUCAUUAUGUGAAAUCAUGAGCUUAGUUACCAUCAUGAGAUAUGUGAUUUGGUCCUAAGGACAAGUUCGAUGAGAUGUGUGCUCGAAGAAAUUCUGGUUGAACCUUAGGAAUAAAUAGGAUACAAAUGUCAUGACAUUAGGGUUAUUGCGAUCCCGUAUAGGACCAUAUCUGGGAUAUGGCAUCGGCAUCGAUGUGAGAUCCUAUAUAAGACCAUGUCUGGGACAUGGCAUCAGCAUCAUUAUAAGACCCUAUAUAAGACCACAUCUGGGACCUGGCAUCGACGUCGUAUGAGGUCCCGUAUAAGACUACAUCUGGGAUAUGGCAUCGGCGCCGAGUUGAGAUCCCAUGUAAGACCAUAUCUGGGAUAUGGCAUUGGCAUCGUAUGAUAUGUAUGAGAUAUCCCGAGUAUCUUUUAGUAUUCCAAAUGGUCCAACGGGUAGUUUAGUGGAUAAAUCAAUGUGAAUCCAAUGAGUAUGACAAAGGUGAGAAAAUAAGUGUGCUUGUAAUGAGGCAGUACAGGUAUGUACUAGAAACUAAUGAUUAAUGAAUAUGGUGCAUGAUGAAUAUGUGGUAAGAUUGCAAACGAAUAAGUAAUGCUUAUGAGAAUGAUUUCUAUGAUGAUCUUGUGAUUAUAGAUUUAUAUUCAUGAUGUAUAGUUAUGAUUAGCAUAUGUAAGGCCUAUAGGCCAAUGUGACUGAAGAUUUAACGUGUUUAUCCAAAGAUGUUUGUGAUUCAUUGAUUGAUGUUAAGCGAUAUGAAUCGAAAACAUGAAUACACAUAAUAAGAUGCACUUUUACUAUAUGUGCUGAGAUAAUUAGCCAAGUGUGGAAAUGUUAAUUAUGAAGUGAUUAGGUCUACUUGACCAAAAACUAAUCAUGAUGAAUUAUGAUUAUAGUUUAAAAAGGAUGAAUUUUAUAAUGGAUUAGUUUGCUAUUUUGAGAGCAUAUUGAUGAAUUUUUAUGAAUGCAUGCUAAUGAAAUACUUAUUAUUUUCAUACGGACUUACUAAGCUUAUAGCUUUCUCCAUCCUUUGCAUUUCUUUUAGUGUUGUUAGGCCAGCUCGAGGUUGGAGAUCGUCAGAGGCAACAUCACACUAUCAAGCUAUCAAUAGGGGGUAUUGAUAUAUUUUAAGUGCUUCCGAGUGAGUGGCAUGUAUAGGGACUUAGUUAUUAUGAUAUCUGUUCUUAUGUUUUGGCCAAAUGUAUUAGCUUAUAUUGAUUUAUUUGUAUAUGGCCAUGAGAUGUGGCUUAUAAUGAUUAUGGUUUGUAAGCCUAUCUAUCCAUGCUAUGUGUUGCUACUUUGAGAUGUGAUGUGAUUAUGCUUGUUACCAGGAAUGAUUAGUGCUAUGACAUAUGUGCAUGAUGAAUGUUUUAUGACCAAUCAAAAUGGUCAUAGCCAAGGUGUAAUUGUGUGAUAUGGUAAUAAGAUGAUGAUGAUUACUUGUACUAAUUUCCUUUUUGGAGUUUUUAUUUUUGUUUCACACAUUAGGCUAACUUAUAGUUCCUAUAUCACACCAAUCUUUCCUAUUUCACUCUAUUUUUACAAACUCUACCAUAAUGUAUCUAUUUCACCAUGAAUACACGUAGCCAGACGUCUAUAGUCGUGCAGUGUAGGACCAAAGAAAAAUGGUAAAUACAAAUUAAUGUUUUCAGGCUCAGGGUUUGUAAUGAGGUUCAUCAAGAACUGUCAAUAGGCUUCAAAAAUUGGUUCUAAAGGUGAAAAACAAAUAGGUCAACUUUUUGGCUUUGGAUGUGUUCCAAACAAUGUCUUAGGUCAUCCCUAAAUAUCUCAACAUGCGCAAGCUUAAUCAACCAAACAAAUACAAAUUCAACCAUUUAUCAUUCAUACUAGGAUGCUCAUUUCUUUGUAUUUUCUAUAUCACUUGGUACAGUUGAUUGCUUAAUACCUAUUUAGAGUGUAACAUAUAGAACUUUAGUAGUCUAAUGCUCAAAAUUUUAAAAUCACCUACUAUCAUGCCAAAUUUAUUCAUAAACAUAAGCAACCUAUGUACAUGCUCCUAACCAAUCACUUGUAUUUCUACAAGCUCAAGCACACCAAAAGACAAAAAAAAAUUUCCUAUGUUACCCCCUACACUUUAAAUGACACAUUGUUCUCGAUUUGUAGCCCAUAAAUAGAUAAGGACAGAAGUUAUCAGAUUGAUCGUGGUCGCUCUGACUACUAAUGGUGGGUGCUUCCUCCUUUAAUCAUGUAAAGCUCGAAUUGUUUGUGUCUCCUUUGUGUUGGGUUCCUACAUAGAAAAUCAAUAUGCAAAACAAACACUAAAAAGAAAUUACUUCUAUCCUACUCCUACAAAGUUAAGUUUAAAAUCAUUCAAGAAUUAAUACAAGUCUGUUAAAACCGAAAUAAAAAAAUGUCCAAUCCUCCUCCGAAUCAUCGAGGGGAUAAGAACAUCUCUACUCCAUCAGGGCUUUCUUAUUUCCUUGGACAUAUGUUUGGCAGAAGCUCCCACCCGUUGAAGGUGCAUGGUGAGUUGGGCUUCAUAUGACAGGCUCUUCCAAUGUAGAAAUUGCAUCUAUGUCUUGAAGUAUUGGUUAUGUUUCCUACAUCCAUCUAAUCAUUUUGUCAAGUUUUGCAUCUAUGUCUCCGCGAGCUCCCUUUCUAACCUUUGAUUGAUAUUUCUAUUUGAGUGAUGCUGGUAUGACCAUUUUCUUCUUCCUUCUUUGAUUUCAUUCAGUAAUUUGCUUCCACUAAAGCUCGACAUACUAGAUGUAUAAUGUAUCUCUGAUGAUACUCCUCGUAGGUUUCAUAAAUUGCUUUUUUUUGCUCAUUGCACUUCUGCUUGGCGGCUUAGUGCCGCUAAGAGAUGGGGGAAGAAAUGUCCAGCUUUUAGCUUUGUACACACUAUUUCAUUUCUUAAAAGACGUAGUGCCCUACGUAAAUCUGUUUACGCUACAGAAUACCGUAUAGCAAAACUGCUCAAAAUACAGUAACAUUAAAGAUAUUCAAUGUGGGUGCAAUUCUAGUGCCAAUGAAUUGCAUCCACAUUUUAGCAAUAGGAAACACAAUAACCUGUUUAAAAUUUAAGGGAAGCUUAGUGUCUAGGCUGUAUGUAAUACUCCUUACCUGUGUCCGACACCGGGACAGGGUAGGAGGCAUUACCAGACUUAAACAUAACAAAUUAUAGGACCAUAAAAUUUCGUCUAAAUUAAAACCAUUCAUUAACAUAUAUAUCGUCCCUUAUAUGGACCCACGAGGCCCAAAACAUACAUUGGGUGUGGUUCGGUUCUAAACCGAGAACUUUCAGAACUUUUAUGACACUUAGAAAAAAAUUUCUUAUUUUGGAGAGCCACACGCCCGUGUGGGUAGGCUGUGUGGUCACACACAUGGUGUGGCUAGGGACACACCCUUGUCCUCAACCCAUGUAACUCUUUAUUUAUUACGUCAUCAACACAAUUAGGGUUACACGACCAUGUCGUACGCCCGUGUGCUUAGGCCAUGUGGCGAAUUAAAUUUCAAAUUCAGGUGCAGACUUCACACGUCCUAGGCACACGCCCAUGUCCUAAGGUUGUGUCCUUCACAAGCAGAGACACACGCCCGUGUCUCUGCCCGUGUGUUUACUACUGGGCAUUCUAUUUUGCAUUUAUUAGGGUGCAAGGGACAGAAGGCCAGAGCACACACCCAUAAGGCAGACCGUGUGUCUACCCAUGUGGACAACUUUGAGGCUAUCUUCCAAGCCUUUUGUCACUCGUAAUAACACAUACACACUUAUACAUCUCAACGACAACUUACAUAGCAUAAAUGUGAACUUACACAUUCACAACCAUGGCCCAUGCACAUCUACUUCUUAUCAAUUGGUACUUGUUAAGACUCUAUAUGUUAUUUAAGCUAAGCUUACCAAAUCACAUGCAAUAUAUAACAUCAUAUUUACUUCCGUUUUACACAUUUAUGCCUUAGUUUUUAUUAUGUCAUUUACUCACAAUUCCAUCAUCAAACAUCCAUGAUCAUAUCCACAAUUCAUCCAUGCCAAAAUGAAUUUAACCACAUCAUGAAUGACCUUAUCACAAGCAUGCAUAUAUGAAUAGGAUUACAUCCCCAUAAUUAACAUGAGCCAUAUCUCAUGGCCAUAUACAAAAUGAAUCAUCAAAUCAUUAUAAGCCAACACAUUUGGCUAACCCAAUAUGACAUAUAGCAAAAAGACCAAGUCCCUAUACAUGCUAUUCUCAAAAUACUUAAAUUCACUAUACCCAAAAGAUUAGUUUGAUAGUGUGAAUUCAGCUCCAACGUCCUUCGAUCCCCGAGCUAGCUUGGCUACACUAUAAAAGUUGAAAAGAAAGGGGGUAAGCAUUAAAGCUUAAUAAGUUCACAUGCAAAUAAUUAGCAACAUAAUCAUGAAUAUACCAUUGACAUAACCUAGUUUACAUAUAUGUCAUCACAGAUUCAUAAGCAUAACUUACACAUCUUCAAUCUUACCAAAAGAUCAUAACAUACUAAGUUCAUUCAUGAGAGUUUUUUCGUACAUACCUGUACCAACUCGUAAUACAUUCUCAUAUUUCCUCAUCAAUGACUUACUUGUCGAAUAACUCACCGAUUUACCCGUUGAACACUUGGACUACUAUCAGAUACACGGAAAGCUUACACAUAGUGCUUCAAACAUAGCCACAUGCUACCUCAUAUCACAAUUACACAUUGCUCACUCUCAAGCUAAUCACGGGCCUACUCACACAAGCUGACAGUCAGGACGUAACUACUCGGGCUGCUCACACAAGCUGACAGGUACCCACAACACAUGUCAGGCUACCUAGUCACUGGUAGAACGUACAAGACUAGCACUCGAAUUCACAUAAACACAUAUCACAUAUCUUAUGAGCUCAACACAUAUAGUUCCUAGUGACAUGUCACAUUGUAUCCUAAAUUAUUCCUAAGGUUCAAACGGGAUUUUCUCAAUAUCACAUAUUCGUCGAACUCGUUCACAAUGUCAUGCUCAUAGACAAUAGCGUCAUUCAUACACUCAUCAUAAUAAUUAAACAUAGAGACUCAUUCAUAAAUAAAAUAUGAAAACAUGAUAUAUCAUUGCAUUAUUUACACAUGAACUUACCUCGGUACAAAAUAUGGACAAUUAGAUCGAUUUAAUCCAAAAUCUUGUUCUUUCCCCGGUCCAGGUCCGGACUUCGUUUUUCUUGAUCUAUAAUAGCAAAUUCAGCCCAUUUAACCAUCACAUUAUUCAAAUCAGUCCAAAAAUGAUAUUUUGGAAAAAUUACAAUUUUACCCCUAAACUUUCACAUAUUUGCAAAUUAGUCCCUAAGCUCAUAAAAUGAAAUGUGUUCAUUUUCUUUGUUACCCAAGCCUAGCCGAACUUAUAACAUGCUCAUAAAAGCCCACAUUUCUCAUUAAAUCAUACAUCUUACUACAUAUUUUACAAACUUUACAAAUAAGUCAUUUUUAGCCAUUUUCACUAGAAAUCACUUGGUAAAAGAUGUUUAUCACACAUCAAAUAUUCAUAUUCCUCCAUUAAACAUCAAAACACAUGCAUGUCAUACAUGGGUCAAAUUUCAAGCAUGAACCAUACUUAAAAAUAUGGUUAGAAAUAGGUAAAUUCGAUUACGAGGGUUUCAAAAAUGUAAAGAGCAUUAGAAACAGGGAUAGGAUGUACUUACUAUUGAGCUUGAAAGUUGAAGAAACCCUAGCUAUGGAACCCUUGAGAUUUUCAGCCAAGGUGGGAGAAGAUGCACACAAUUUUUUACUUAUUUUCCCUUUUUAUUCUUUUGUUAACCAAAUGACAAAAAUGCCCUUAAGGCAUUUCUUUGAAAUUUUUCCUAUUCAUGCCUAUUUUUGUCCAUAAAAAUAGAAAUUGGGCAAAUUGCUAUUAAGGACCUCUAAUUAACAAUCUAUGGGAAUUUCAUGCUUAAAGCUUCUAGAACUCACAUUUUGCAACUUUUGCAAUUUAGUCCUAAAUGUCAAAUUGGACACUUUAUCAAUAACAUUUCUUCAUGAAAUUUUCACACAAGCAUGCAAUCAUAUCAUACACCUCAUAAUAAUCAUAAAAUAAUUAUUUUCUAUUUUGGAUUUAUGGUCUCGAAACCACAGUUCUGAAUAGACCCUAAUUUAGGAUGUUACACUAUAGUUCCAACUACUCCUGCCUUGUGUUAAAAAUUUUAUAACAUCUUCCAUGUCAAUAUUUUGAAAUUUUUCUAGAUCUGUAUUAUCAAUACAAUGUUUGUCGUAGAAUGAGAUGUUAUAAAAAUCACAAAUAUCACUAGGGGAGAUUGGAACGUCUUCCCCUCAUACUUCAACAUUAGUUAUUACCACAUUAUAGCUAUCUUAAUCACCUAAUCCUUAACUAAUACAUAAAAUUCUUGGACCACAAGUAUGUUUGCAUUAUUCAUGGGAGUAACGCAAAACUGAUCCAUUAAUGGUAAUGGACCAAAGUCCAGAUUUCUUUACUGUGAAUAAUUAAGGGUUCGAACCCUUGUUCCUAGAUUAGUGGUCUCCCUUGUAACUUAAGAAAAUAUUUUUCCAUAUUAGUAUUAUGAAAUCACAAUGAGUCUAAAACAUUCAAUAUUUCUUGAACAAUAGCUCGCUUAUUCUUCCUCGAAAGCAUCCUUACUAAUAAUUAUAAGCAAGAUAAUCAAGAUAUUCAAUAUAAUAGUAAGAGAGAAUUGAGAAUACUUAAACCUUAACUCUUGUGGAACUCAGUUGUGCUUUCUCUUGGUAUUGUGGAUGUAGCUUCUUGGAAUCUGGAAUAAUGAUUGGGAUUUAGAGUUUUUGAGGAGAAAAGAGGUUUUAGGGGGUUAAAGGUUUUGAACAAGUUUUAAAGGGAUUUUGAUAUUAGAAUGAAAUUAGAUUGAAUUAGAAUGGUAUUUUUAUGUUUAAAAGGAUGUUUUUUAGGGUUAAAAAUCGGGUAUAAUAAGGGUUAUUCCGUUGGGUUACACAAACAGGUCAAGUUGUCCCAGGAAAAAUUUGAAGCAAUGUUGCAACAUCGGGUUGAUUUUUGAACUUCUUCAUUACUGCCCACGAUGUUGCGACACAAAAUUGUCUGUGCCACAACGUUGACCUUGUUUCCCAAAUUUUCGAUCUUCAGAAUGCUUCAAGCACUUGUUAGACCUGUCUUUGACCUACCUGUAAUAUAUUAAUGAAUUGGUUAGUGAAAUAUAUAGUAUGUAAAAUUAUUAAGAGUCUUACGUAAGGAUGUUAGGUCUUGCUACAAAACUUGUCUUUCAGCUCAAUCAACAUGCAUCGAUGGGCUCCUCGUCUAUCAGUAUUAGUCCAACUCUUCUCAUGUCAUUCUACUCAUCUACAAUUGUUUCUUUCUCUAAACUUGCCUUUCUGUCUUGCCUGGACGACUGAUAGUUCUUUCCGCAGAUCAUAGCUAUUAAACAUUUGAGAAGCCACAUCACCACUCAACCAUUUUAGCCUACGCUUAGUGUUCUUGCUUCAUAAAAAGGUUGCAAUUUGUGGUUCAUAUUUAUCACUUAUUAUGUCUCUACUCAUCUCAUCGAUCCAAAAUAGCCUUUCAUGUGUACUUAAGGUGAUUAUUUUCACGGAUGUUGGUAAAAAAAUUGGCAAAGAAUUUUGCACUAAGUCUCUUAAGUUCCAACUUUGCAGACUUUUUAAUUCAUUCAUGUGCAGUCUCUCUAUGUGUUUACAUAUGACGUUCUUGCAUGGCUCUUGCAAUGCCUGGACAUUUUACGAUGCCUGCAACUCAAGGCCUAUGCUCAUUAAUUGUCCAGCUUGAUCAAGUCUUGCUAUAUUAUCAUAGGUCCUGUCUAUGUAUAUUUUUUCAAUUUUGUUCAGCAUCCAGAAAAUUCCUAGGCCAUAAAUAUCUAAGGUGCUUGGUUUAGAACUAAGGUCAAACAAAGUAUAGUCAAUCCAAGUUCAUUAGCUGGGACUACUAGAAUCUCUUUAUUUUGCUCUAGGGAUUCCUAAAUCGACAGAAAAUUUUCCACUAGAUCAACCAUUACCAUUGUUUCUAUUGAUUAUUCUAUGUUAUACUGCUAUUGUAUUUCAGCCUUAUGGGCAAAACCUAGAAUUUUUGGGACAGUGAGUUCCAUGCUGAUCUGAUUUUGUGAUUCGCUAACCAUUUCCUUUACUGGCUCUAUAUCUUCUUCUUCAACAGUUAUGUUUAAUUUGUCUGAAUGUUCUUAUGUCUGAUGAGAUAGAUAAUAGUCUGGGAUUUCUCCUUUUUCACAAGUAUCAACAGCGACAUUCUCUUCUUUGCUCAAUUAUGGACUUAGCACCUGAGGUACCUUUCUGAUGGCAUAUCGUCAUGGUUAUUAACAUGUUAGGGAAGAACUGGGGUUUCUCCUCGGAGUUGACUUAAUUCAAGCAUUAGUAAUCGUUGAUUCUCCUGGAUCUCCCAAUCUUCAUAGACUCCUUUGUAAAUAUCUUCAUCAUAAUUGAAGUCUUCAUUAAACCACAUAUAAUAAAAGUCAUCCAUUACUUUGUGCUAACUAAUUAUUUCGUUGACCCUGUCUAAGUUCUAAAAACAAAUGUUAGAAGUUUUAAUUGAAAAUGUGACACCCCUAAUCUGACCCUAGUCAAAAUGUGGUUUCGGGACCACGAAACUGAGUUUUAUAAAUAAUUGAAAGUUAUAUUCUAUGUUCAUGAGGUGAGUAAAUGCAUGUGUAAAAAAAUUUCAAGCAUUUAUUUUGCCAUUUGUAUGUGAAAUUUUGAAACGAGACUUAUGUGAAACAUUGGUAAAAUAGGUUAGGUAAAUAUAUAAAGUGAUCUAAUAGAGCAUGUAUUCAAAAAUGUGGACUUGCAUGUCAAUUAGACCAUUUUUGAAUGCAAAUGGCCAGCCAACACAUGCAUGUAACAAUGUGUUCUCUUGUCUCCAUUUUUAAUUGGUGGGAAUUAAGGUAUGAUUUCAUAUGUUUUUCUUUAGAUUUUGAGAAAUUUAAAUUGGUUUUAAAGCUCCUAAAAUGACCCAUGUAUGUGAUUUUGUGUUUGUGAUGCAUGAAGCAUUCGGUCAUGAGCUCAAUGGGUUACAUUGUGUAUGUUUUGAUAAUUUGUAAGGAGAAAUGUUACUGUCCUAAUUCGACCCUAGUCGGAAUGUGGUUUCGGGGCCACAAAACUGAGUCCCAAAAUUUAUUUAAAAUUUGGUUGCAUAUCCUCUAUGUAUAUUAGUGCAUGUGUGAAAAUUUGAUGUUUUAAUUUAGACUUAUGAAGGUGAAUUUCAUGUGAUUGACUUAGUUGAGAACCUAAGAAAAUAUGAUAGGGGAAUAUGUAAGGAUCAAAUGAUAACAAAGUGAGGAAACUUGGGUUUGCAUGUCAAAUCACCCAAACCUCAAGUAGUGGCUGGCCAAGCAAGGAUGGUUCUUCCAUUAAGUUGAAUUUUUAAUGAUGCUUUUAUUAGUAAAUGAUUAAAAUAGAUCAAAAAAAGAAAAAAAAAAGGGGGAAUAAAAUAAGAAAGCAAGAGAAAGUCUUCAUCUUCUUUCUUUUCUUGAAGUGCCGUGAGCUAGGGAAGGAGGGGAGAAAUGUUCUAAGACAUUCGGCCAUCAUAAGGGAAGAUUAAGGUAGGAUUCAUGUUAGUUUUGUUAAAUUUUUGUGAAAAUCUAGCUAGUAGCCAAUGUCUUAUCAUGUCCCAUAUGUUAAUUUUCUACCUAAAUAAGUAAUUAAAUGGCACACGGUUAGGGAGAGGUAAAUGCUAAGAGUAUGGUGCUUUUGAUGUUGUGAAGGGAAAUAAUAGGAAGGUGAAAGAAGAUUUAGGUAGAAAUGUAGUUAUAUGUGGAUUUAUAUGAUGUUACAAAUAGAUGUGAAGCUAUGCUAGAUUAGAAGAAAAAAUUCGGCCAAGUGUUCAUGGGAGGAAACUAUGUGUUUGAAAGAAUAAAAAUGAUACUAUAAUUGAUAGUAUAGGUAUUCGGCCAUUUAAUCAAGUGUAUAGGUGAUGUUAGAUCUAAUUUUAGCACAUUCGGCUAUAUAAGUAUGCCCAUUUUUUAUAUUACCUUUGAUUGUAUAAAAUUGACUAAAAUGGGUAGUUAGUAAGGGUGGUUACCUAAUAUACAAAUAUGUAUAUGUGUAUGUGUAAUUGGAUUAUUGAUAGUAAUGAUAUUACAUGGUUAUUAGCCGAAUGGCCCAAAAGCAUAAGGUAAAAAGCUCAAGAGGGUAAAGGAGGGGAAUCAAGCAAGGGCAAAGCAAAGAACAUCGAGUAGCCGAGUUGGAACCGUUUUACACAACACAAAGUAAGUUCUUAAGUAUUUGAGUUUGAUUCCUUUGUAAUUUUUAAGUGAUUAAAUGUUGAGUAAAUUCAAUCAUAAUAGGACAUAAUGAGUUGAUUUAAUAAGAUAUGAUGUGGCCAUGAUAUGUUUUAAACUCAAAUGGUAAGUUCAUAAGUGUUUGGACUUGGAAAUUUAAGAGCAAAUUGUAAUAAUUUGCUUAGGACAGCAGCAGUAACGUGGUUUUAGAAAAUCACCAUAAAUUGUUGGUGUGGAAUUAUAGGCUGAAUAAAAUAUGUAAUCAAAUCUUAAUUAGUCUAGUUUCUUGUAAAAGAGACCGUGUGAGCAAAGAAAUUUCCUAUAAAGAGAUAUUUAAAGUUGUGUGAGACAGUAUCGGAAUGACUCCAAAAUCCCCUAUUCUGUUUUUAGAAAAUCAUUAUAAUUUGUAAAAAAAUGGUUAUAAGAUAAAAUUUAUAUGCUUAGACUCCUUAAUGAGUCUAGUUUCAAAUGAAAUCAAAUAGAACAUAUUUUGAAUUCUGUACAAUGAGAAAUUUGAUUCGUAGUGAAGAGUGGUCAGAUUAGUCAAACAGUGAAACAGGGGAAACUUUAAGAAAAAUCUGGUAUUGAUUUGCCAAACCUAAAAUUCUAAAAAUUUUAUGGAUGGAAGAUAUAUGAGUCUAUAUUCAGGGAAAAUUAACGGCAUAUAAUUUGGAAUUUUGUAUCCCUAGUUACAAAUAAUUUAACGACUAUUGCUCAGGAAAACAGCUUGUAGAGAAAUUGUGGUCAUAUUGUAAACAUGGAUAAAACUUGUUUUAGUUGCUCAUAAGCUAUUGAUUAAACUCAUACGUGAAUUCUAAAUUGUGAUGUUAUAAAAUGAUAUUUGAGUGUUAGAUGGAUCUUUGAUAUUAAAAUUUGUGAAAUUUGUAAGUUUAUAAGUAUUCGAAUAUGAAAUGAUAGUAUGGCUUGAAAUUGAAUUACUCAUCGGAAAUGAUAGAUGUAGAUUCAGCCAAGACAAAGUGUAUACAUGAAGGUAUAUGUGGUAUGUGAAGUAUAUUUGGAUAAUUGUGAUGUAAAUACAUGGAAAUUUAUAUUUUGAUUUAGGAUUUUAUGUGAUGAAUGUGAAUGUGUAUAUAUGAGAUAAGGCCGAAUGGCAAAUGUGAUGAAUGUGAACCUGUAUAUAUAUGCGUGAUAAGGCCGAAUAGCCAAUGCGAUGAAUGUGAACACGCGUAUGUGUGAUAAGGCCGAAUGGCCAAUGUGAUGAAUGUGAACAUGCGUAUGUGUGAUAAGGCCAAAUGGCCAAUGUGAUGAAUGUGAACAUGCGUAUGUGUGAUAAGGCCGAAUGGCCAAUGUGAUGAAUGUGAACAUGCAUAUAUGAGAUAAGGCCGAAUGGCCAAUGUGAUGAAUGUGAACAUAUAUAUAUGUGGUAAGGCCGAAUGGCUAAUGCGAAAUGUGUAUGAGAUAGAUAUGAGGUAAAGCCGAAUGGCUAAUGCGAGACGUGUAUGAGAUGGAUAUGUGGUAAAGCCAAAUGGCUAAUGUGAGAUAUGUAUGAGAUGUGUAUAUAUAUAUUGUGGCCAAAUGACAAAUGGUGGAGGGUGUUUUUUAUUAGAUAUUUGAUAAGGUAAAUUAAUUACAAAUAUGAUAGUCGAUGUGAAUGUUGUAACAUGUGAAUAAAUAUGCAUGAAACUCUAUGAUGUAAACCUGGGAUUAAAGACCAGAUGACCAUAUGUGGUGACUAUGUCCGGGUAAGACUCGAUGACUACGUGUGGAGAUUUUGUCCGGGUAAGACCCGAUGACUACGUGUGGAGAUUUUGUUCGGGUAAGACUCGAUAACUUCGUGUGGAGAUUUCAUCUGAGCUAAAGGUUUCGCCGAUAAUCCGAGUAAAGGUUAAAGCUAUAAGACUUCGUAAUAAGAAUUGCUUAUAAAUAUAUUCAAUGCGAAAGGUUAAACAGGUAUGUACUCCAAGUUUAUAUGUGAGCUUGAUUUGAACUAAAUCAUAAGGUAGUCAUGUGAUGCAUACGUGAGCAAUCUAUGAGACUAUUCCUAUGUUUAUGUGACAUCGGAUCAGUGUGAGAGGUUAUGUGAAAUUAUACAAUAUAUCUAUGCCACAUGAGCUCACUUUUAUGUGAAAGUUUAUCUGCCUAUUGUAUAUGAUGAGAUGUGCAUAUUCGGUAAAAGUGAUGGUAUGCCCGAAGGAAGAGUGAAAUAAAAAUACGAACAACUAUGUUAUAAUUUGAUUGUUAUCUGUUGACACUGCUUAAAACUUACUAAGCAUUGUAAUGCUUACUCCGUUUACUUUGUUUCCUCUGUUUUAUAGAUCUCAUUUCGAAGCUACAGGCUCGGGGAUCGUCAGCAACUAGUCACACUAUCACUAUCCACUGUCUGGUACUGCUAUGUUUUGGAUUAUCUUAUGGCAUGUAUAGAAUAGACUAGUAGUGGGAGGAUAUUUUGGUUAAUGUAUAUAAGCCAUGCGAAUAUGGCAUCUUUUGAAUGUGUACUUAUAGAAGUUUAAAUUGUAUCCCUGACUGUCUUUAGUAUUUACCCAAAGGAAUGCUCCUUAUUUCAAAAAAAAUUUACUGCUCUGAUAGGAGUUUCAAGUCCGGUAAUGCCCCUUUACCUAUUCCGGCGACGGAUACGGGAUUGGGGUGUUACAGAAAAAAUAAAUUGAAAGUCAUAACUAUAACAUACAAAUUUCCUAAUUAUUAUUUUAAAUUGCAAAAAUUAAAAUCAAUCUAAUGAUGUUGCCUCCCCUACAAUGACACCAACAACUUAACUGCCUCCGAACGUACUAACGUCUAGAGUAUGAAUGAUGCAAUAAAAUAUAAAAUGACAAGGCAGUAUCUGCAAGUAUACGGGUCAAGUUGUAAUAUAGUUUUACAACGAAGAAAUGUAUACUCUAAGGAUUAUACCCAAGGGAUGCAAGUGCUAGAUCAAUUCUUACUUAAACACUAAAAGAUCUAAUUAGUACUUUAAAUAAAUUAUAGUACGAGAACAUAAAAGAAAGGUUUUUAAAGUUUUUAGAGUAAUAAAAUAAAAUAGCAUAAAAUAAAUCAAAUUUAAUGGACAGAAGAGUAAAGUAAAUCAAAUCUCGAUUAUGGGUGAUUAGCUCGAUCUGGCAAUCCCCAUCAACUGUUGCUUCGGGUUCCUCGUUAAUCAACUAGUCUCUACCCUAACUGGAUCUUCUGGUCUUCCAAUAACAUAACGAGUUAGCAAGAACUACUUAUAUUUUGAUCUCACAGUCUAGACUGGCAUGGGUGAAGGUUUUCACAAAUGGGCAAUACCAAUUUUGGGUUAAUCGCCACCUUGAUGACUUCCCGGGGUUGUUAGGACUAGGGUUUGUUUCAUGUUCUUCCUUUCCCAAACAGCUGAUUUGUUGAGUAACCCUAUAAAAAAAAGUAAUAGAUCAUACCUCCACUCACUAAUCCUCCACAAAGUGAUUAGCUCCUUAUUUCUUUCAUCCUUAUUGCUUUCAUAAACAACAUGGAAUAGAUGGAAGAAUUAAUCAUAGUGAAUGAAUUAAACUAGAGAGUUUAAGAAAAGCCUGAUUGAUAUUAAUAAUAAGCAUGGAUCCAUAAAAGUUGAUGUCCUUCACAAAUCAGAUCUCUUGAAAAAAAACGAAGAACAAAUAAACUAAACUCUAAAAAACAUAAGAAAGUAUGAGAACAAAACUAAAUCUAAAGAGAGAAUCGAAGCUAAUGGAAUGGUCCUGCUAACAUGUGCCAAAGAAGCGUAUUUCUAGCUUUUAGGUGGUUGUCAUCCUUAACCCUAGGUUAGCUAAUGUUCUCGAGCUUUAAGUUCAAUUGUGUGAACCAAAACACCUAUUCUUCGUGUUUAAUUUUCAUCCCUGAGUCGAUGUCACGACAUUCUAGGACCUGUGUCGCGACAAAGGUGGCAGUAUACUCUUCCUUGAGACGUCUUCUGAGGUAUGUCACGACACCCUUAGUUUGUGUCGCGACAUCGAAGGUAAUUUCGUACUUUCUCCAUUUUGCUCUCUAUGUUGCGACAUCAGACCUUCCAUGUCACAACAAGCGUCCAGUAUUAGUCUAAAAUACCUUCUAAUGGUCUACUGCACACUCACAAGGUACUUUAGCUCUUCCUUAGGCCUCAUUCGACCCUUAGGUCAAUAAAAGACUCGAUUUUCACAUUUUAUUAAAUGUAAGUAAAGCUAAAGAAACUUAACUAAAAUAUAACAAAAAUGUUUGUAUUCAAGCUCCUUAAGUGCGAAAACUAGUUUAAUCUGCUACACCGAAUUACGGCAGAUCAUAUAGCUAUCCUGUGAAAAAGGUUUCUAUAAAAAUGUAUCAAAUUUGACUCGAUCCCACCAUCAAGCUUGUUCUGUAUGCAUAAUAUCCCAACACACCACUCGUUUGGUGCAGUCCUGAUGUCGUCCCUCCAGGCUAAGACCCUAAAAACCCACCUCAAACAAAACAUACUGAGGUAAGUUCAAAAGCACCUAGUGAACCAAACACUCAUUUACUUGAAUCAUACUUGCAUGUUAUUUCAAUGUUUCAAUUAUCAUCUCGUCGCCUUUAUUCUUCAUUUUUCCUUUAAUGAUUACUUCUUCAAUUUUUUUUUCUCAUACUCACAUUCAUUUCCAUACCUUAUCGUAAAGCCUUUUCCUAUCUCUUUAGUGACUUUGAGACCUUACCUAUAUUUUUCAAUCACUAAGCCAUGACUCUAUCGAGUUUCAGAAAGAGGCCCAUACAUGAAUGAUCGAUAUUUCCUUUACCGUGGAUCAUGUUUACAUUCACCUCCAGAAUAUAUUUUUAUUACUUCACUGUAUCUCUAUAAUUCCCUAUCUUUGUACAAAUAUUAAUCAUAUUAAAUAUCUUAUCAUUAUACCCAUUAAUACAUCUCGUACUUAUUGGUCUUACUGUUUGCAUUUAGGGAUAAUGUAGAAUACACCAAUUACGUAGCACGGAGUCCCCCAUAAAGGUUGUUUGUUCACAAUCCACCGCAAGGGCAUUUCCUUCAUACAUUGCUACUAAGACUUUAAUUUCAGAGAUUUCCAUUUAUAUCGUUUCUUCAGAGUCCACCAAAAAUUCCAUUCUUUUAGAAUACAUCAUUCAUUCCAUUUCUUUUGUUCAGGGUUCACCACAGAGGCGUUUCCUUCAGAUGGUUGCAACAAGAGCCAUUCUUUCAAAGAAUGCCACAAAAGCUUCCAUUUCAGAUACACCAUAAAAGAUUACAUUUCUGGUAUGCCACAUAGGCUUGCUUUUUUUAUACACCAAAAAGGCUUUCAGUUUUUGGCGUGUUCACGAUAAAGAUUCUUGUAGACUCACGUUUCGUGAGUUUUUCCCCUCAUUGUCCUAAGUCAUGCAGAAAACCCUAUUAAGUAAUAACAUUCCUUUAGAUCAUCCCAUAUGAUGCCAUAACUCAUCAGUUACGGUCUUACACGAUAUGGUGCCAUGGACUUUUCCUUUCAGUGAUCAUGAUUAAAGUCCCGAAUGACCCCAUUAGACAACUCUGCAAAGACAGACGCAAACUCACUAGCAAACCUUUCACACAUAGACACCAUUUAAACUUAACAAACUAUCCACCUCAUACAUUUAGAAACAUGCCCGUACAGUCAAGCUUUGACUUCAGAUUAUUUAUCACAUACUCUAUACCUAUAAGAUUCAUACAAAUCAUACAUGAAAUCCUAAACUAAUAUUCACACAUCUACAUAUUCAUCAUACCAUCAUUUUCUAGUUUCAGUUUGUAAUUCAUAUCGUUUGUCAUGGAAGCAUCUAGAAUAAAUAGUAUACACUCAUGCGUCAGUUUAGAGACUCACCUGAUUCUUACCUACAACAGUUCCAAACUCUAGAUCCAGGCUUCCCUUGAAAGGUCAAUAGCAACUAUUGCUACAAAACAUGGAAACUCAUCAAGAUCGAUUCAAAUACUCUCUUUUUCCAUUAUUUCUAAAACAAAAAAAUCCCCAAACAUAGCCUUAUAUCAUCCAUCUUAUAGAUCUACCAAUUUAACAUAUUUACCCUUUCAUAACAUAAUAUGGACGGUCAAAAAUCUUACCUUAACAUGGAGCAUUCACGGGUAAAGGUCCAGAUCUACAACUUAGCGUAACUGAAAGAAGGAAAUACUCUAGAUUCCUUUAGGUCUAGGUAAAAAUACUUCUUGAAGAAUGAAAAAGAAAAACCCCUUUUUUCAAUCUUGAUUAUCUAGAUAUACAACCUUUGUCUCUAUGGAAACUUUACACGUGUCAUAACCUUGUACAAUAUGUCGUAUAGGUGGUUUACAGCUAUAAAAAACGUGUACGAAAAUAUAGCAUUAUACAUAUUUAUAUAGAGAGAGCAAUUCUAUCAUUCGUUCCUAACCACCCUAUUAGAACGCACCAGACCGUACGAACCAAACUUGGCGUACCAUACUUUUUAAUGAUAACUCGAUUUCCUACAAUUUCAUAAUAUAUUACCAAGCUCUUUUCCUUAAACAAUUCAUCCUUUCUAAGAAAAUUCCUUUCAAUAAUCCAAUGUCUGCUAUGCGCCCACUUAUACACACCAAGAGCAUCAAUUGGGCGAAUAACACUACACCACUCAGAGUACUUUUUGGUUUACCUACCAAUUUCAGAAUCGACCAAAAUUGGGUGUUACAAUGGUUCUAUCGAUUCCUUUAGGGAAUUCAAUGUUAGUCAAUCAAGUGUGUAAGCAGUGUCCGUUAGAGAUUCAAAACGUAUAUUUUCCUAUCAACUUGUUGAUUUUGCCAUUCAGCCAUUUUCAUCUGAUUUUUGGUAUGAAUUGGCUAACCUAACACAAGUGAUAGUGGACUGUCAUAAAAAGAAAUUUUUUAGUUUAGUGUUUCUAUGGUAACACAAUAGAGAUGAAUGGUGUUAGAACAAGUGGGUCAUUUCAGUAGUUCGAGAUAAUAAACUCAUUAAUCAAUGUUGUAAAGCUUUUCUAGCCUGUGUUAUUAACUCGAAUGUUGGUAAUAGUAAGAUCAACAAGAUUUAAGCUGUUUGUGAAUUCCCUAAUGUAUUUCCCGAAGAAUUACCAAGAUUACCACAUAUUAGAAAGUUGAGUUCACAAUUGAAGUGUUCCAUGGUACGGCUCCAGUGUAGAUUUCCCCUUAUCAUAUGGCACUGGAAGAGCUAAAGGAAUUAAAAGUUCAGUUGCAAGAUUACUGGACCGCGGUUUUAUACACCCUAGUAUAUCACCCUAGAGAGCUCUAGUGUUGUUCAUUAAAAAGAAAGAUGGUUUGAUGCAACUUGGUAUAGACUAUCGACAACUUAAUAAGCUAAUGAUUAAGAAUCGGUACCCCCUACCUCAUAUCGAUAAUUUAUUCGAUCAGUUGAAAGGAGUUCAGUCUUUUUGAAGAUUGAUUUGAGAUUGUGUUACUAUCAGUUGAAAGUAAAAGAUAGUGACAUACCAAAAAUGACAUUCCGUACUCUUUAUAGCCAUUAUGAACUUUUGGUAAUGCCUUUUAGUUUGACAAACACUUCUAUGACAUUCGUGGAUCUCAUGAACCACAUUUUCCAACCCAAUCUAGAUUAGUUUAUGGUAGUUUUCAUCAACGACAUCUUGGUCUACUUGUAAUAUGAAUCUAAGCACAAACAACAUCUCCUAAUUGUUUUGCAAGUUUUAUGAGAAAACCAGUUAUAUGAAAAGCUUAGCAAAUGAGAGUUUUGGUUACCCGAAGUUGUGUUUCUAGGGCAUGUUGUUUCAGUAGAUAGGAUUCAGAUAGAUCCAAAAAAGAUCGAGGCCCUAUUACAAUAGAAAGCACCAAGAAAUGUGUCAAAAGUCUAUAGUUUUCUUGGAUUGGUUAGUUACUACCAAAGAUUUGUAAAUGGGUUUUGAAAAUAGCUAUGUUGAUGAUGAAUGUUGAUGAUGAAGUUAUUGCAAAAGAAUAUCCAGUUUGUUUGGUAUGAUCAGUGCCAGGAAAGUUUUGAGAAAUUAAAACUGAUGUUGCUGAACUGUCGGUUCUAACUUUGCCAGAAUCAGGGCAAGACUUCGUGGUAUAUUGUGAUGUUUCAUUGAGUGGUCUAGGUUGUGUUUUGAUUCAAGACAAGAAAGUGAUUGCAUAUUGAUCGAUUGUUUAUCAUCAUAGCAAUAAUGUGCAAACAUACACUGUCGAUGCAAGUAUAGUAGACAGAUGUGUGUCUGUCGGAUAUCGAUCCCACAGAGAUGAGUGUCUUCUGUCUAUUAAUGUUAGUACAAUAACUGGAUAUGAAUGAGAUGAAUUGUGAGGAUAGUUUUCAAUGCAAUAACUUUAAAAACAAUAAAAUAAAAUAUGAUGAUGAUAAAACGGGCUCUCGAACAAGAGUCUUAGUAGAAUACUAAGUGUUCACAAGGUAUAAAAGUGUAGGUGAUUGUCGAUGCAAUAAAAUUCAAUGUAUAUCUUACUCAAUGUUACUCCUCCAUUUAAUCUUAGACUUAACUAUGCAUAUUAACCUCACCUUCAGAUGAUGGUAGAAUGGCACUAUUAAGAACAAGUGGACUAAAUUCCCCUAAUCCUCACUCAACUUCCGUUGUAAUGCUUGUUUGCUCAAAAUGUCCCUACACUUUCCAAUGUCAGUGACUGCAAUAACACUUUCGUGUAAACAAAACAUUCAAACUCCAAGAUUAAACAAUAAAAGCAAGAUUAAAUAAGAUAACAUUUCACCAAGAAUUCAUUAGUACUUCCAUACAACCAGAAAUCAGAGAGUAAUCACCAGUAUUUAGAGAGAAAUAAGAAAGACUCGAACGUGGAAUACUAUCCCUAGACAACUCGACUGAAUCUUUCUAUUCCCUCUUGUCGUGCACUUAGGUCUCCUCGUCAAGAGCUAGACUGCAUCUGGUUUUCACAUUGGCUCACCCUGAGAGGUUUAAGCUGUCAUGGCUGCAAGCUUCGAGGUCGAAUGAUGAAGGUGAUGAUUGUUUAAAACCAUUCAACACGGCCCAUUUUUCUUCUCAUGUCCACCUUUUAUGUCCUCCCCCACAAUACAAGUGUCAUUUCCCUAAAAUUAUUCUAUCCUUAUUUGUACAGGUUGGUUAUACUAGACUGGACAACUCAAGUAAUUCUAGUUCUUAUCUGGACAGCUGUUAGGUGCUACGACAAUUCUGAACACAAUCUAGAAUUAACCCAUACAGCGACAUGUGGACAUCUGUGAAGUGCGGCGAUAAUUCUGGAUGCAAUUUGGAAUUAACUCAUGCAGCAACAUGAAUGCAAUAAGAUAGCAAAAUUAAGGAUAAAAUAGGCUAUGGUUUACUAAAUUAUAAAAUGCAAUUUAAUAAACUGAAAAUGCUAAAAUGUAUGCUAAAGAUAACUAAAUGACAACAAUUUAACCAAUAAGUAGGGGGAAACCUAUGUUCUUUCUAGUGCUAUCACACUCCCAAACUUGAGUUUUUACUUUCCUUCAAGUAAAACAAAAACUAGCAAGGCUACAAAAUAUAUUUUACUAAGGCAAAUGAUCAUUAUAGCAACUUGAACCCUCUAAAUUCCCAAUGGAUGAAUCACAUUCAGAUGAAUAAAUAUUGCAUCGACAAUUCAUAAGCAUGAAUGAAUAAGGUUGUAACUUCAUUAAUGCUAGCAUCAUGCUUCAAACCCUAAGUUCUAUCUACCAUUACAACAUUUAUUGUAUAAUACUAAGUAUAUAUAUACAUUUUUUUCGGCAUAAGGGAUAUCGUUACAUUAUUGUACUCUUGUUCCUGAAAAGUAACAAUGGGGUGUAACACACCCCCAAGGAGUACGUAAUUACAACAACACACACUCAUGCACCAACAGACUUUGGCUAGAUUGAUUUUUCUAACGCUUGUCUUGGAGUGUUCCCUUUUUAAUAUUCCAUACUACACCCACUUUGGAAUGUCUUUACUUUAUAACUAUAUAUACAUAUAACCAGCUAUACUGUAACACCCCUCACCCGGCCCCGACACCGGAACAGGGUUCAAGGUGCUACCGAACACUUUUACACUAUUUCAGGCUGUGGCAUUCAAAAAUUACCUUCAUGGAAUACAUCUGAUUUCAAUUUCCUUAUUUAUUUACUUAUCGGGCCCAUAUCGCACAUAUAAGUGGGUUCGGAGAGAAACCGAGACCCUUCAGUCACUAAAGAAAUUUAGCAUUUAACUACGUCACUCGCCCGUAUGACAUUAGACACGGCCGUGUUACCAAAACAGAAUAGGGGGUUAAGUUGCAGGGGACACACGUCCUGAGAACACACCCGUAUGGUGUGACCGUAUGUCACAAACGGCCUAGACACACGCCUGUGUGUCUAUCCAUGUGGACACUUCUAAGCUAUAUGACAAGCCAUUUGCCACCCUGAACAAUCCUAAACACUCAUACAAUUAUUCAUACAUUCAAAACUUCAUAAACAAUGAAAUUAUAUCAUAUGAUUACACAUUAUCAUUAUACAUAACUCACACUCAGAAAAAUGGAGUCCCCUAUACAUGCCUUAAACCUUAAUGAUUUACAAUCUUUCUCACCUCACAUGAAAACUCGAUAGUGUGGUGUUAUCUUCGGCCCCUCCAACUCGAGCUAUUGUACAGACCUAUAAGAAAUGGGGAAAAAGAACGAGGAGUAAGCUUCAAAUCUUAGUAAGUUCAUAAGAAAACAAUUAGUAACUCAUUAACAAGUUUUAUCAAUGUUUGCAACAUAAUCACAAAUUCACUAUAAUCUGUCUUCCUGAGCAAUAGUCACUAAAUUAUUUAUAACUGGAGCUACAAAACUCCAAAUCAAGUGUCAUUAAUUUUUCUUGAAAAUAUAUUCAUAUAUCUUAUAUCCAUAAAAUUUUCAGAAUUUUUGGUUUGGCCAUUCAAUACCAGAUUUUCUUAAAGUUUCCCCUGUUUCACUGUUUGACUAUUCUGACCACUCUUAACUACGAAUUAAAUUUCUCAUUGUACAGAAUUUAAAAUAUGUUCUCGUUUAUUUCAUUUGAAACUAUACUCAUUAAAGAGUCUAAGCAUAUAAACUUUAUCUUGUGACCAUUUUUGUACAAUUUAUAAUAAUUUUAUAAAAAUAGAACAGGGGAUCUAGAAGUCAUUUUGACUCUGUCCCACAUCAUUUCAAAUAUCUCAUUAUCGGCAAUUAUUUUGCUUACACGGUUUCGUUUAUAAGAAACUAGACUCAUUAAGCUUUAAUUACAUAAUUUAUUCAGCCUCUAAAUCAACUCUCACAAUUUAUGGUGAUUUUUAAAAAUCACGUUACUGUUGCUGUCCCAAACAAAUUUAUUACAAAUUUACUCUUUCACACAUUCUUUGCAUUCAUAUUAUUUAAACAUGUAUAUCACCAUUCAAUUUCAUCACAUUUUUAUUCAUCACAAGCAUGGACCUAUGAUUACAAGGUCACCAUAAAUUCUAUUUUAGAUAUAUAUAACAUCUUCAUAUAUACUUCUCAUUUCACAUCCAUGAUUCAAUUCCGAUCAAUCUAACAUAUAUAGUUAUAUAACAUAUACCUGGUCCACUCAAUUGCCGAUCAAACACAAGGUCUCAUAGUUGAACAUAAACAUAAAACCAUUUCUUAUAUGUUCGAUUCACAUCAAUCAUCAAAUUCAUUUAAUUCACAUGUACAUAAUUAGGUUGUUCGUACCUGAAUAAUUUACUUUACGGAAUGAAUCCACAUAUCGUAUUAGUCCAUAGUCUUAUAGCACCACACUUUUAAUAGUUCACCGGCAAUUUGCCUGCUAGGUAAUAACCUGAUUUCAUCACCGGCAAUAAGCCUGCUAGACCUUUAAGUCCGAUAUCAGUUCAUCGGCAUUAUGCCUGCUAGGCUCGGAGCCCGAUAAUAUUCACCGGCUUAAAGCUUACUAGACCUUUAAGUCCGAUAUCAUUUCACCGGUAUUACGCCUGUUAGGCUCAAAGCUCGAAAUUCAUCACCGGCACAAGGCCUGCUAGGUUUGAAACCCAAAUAUAUAUUAUAAUGUAUAACUUAUAUCAUCGAUCACUAACAUUUAACUCAUCGAAGUUCACAUUUAAUCACUUUAGUACCAAGCCACAUUCGGCUACCACAUAUGACUAAUAAUAAUUUUAUACACAUCAUGGUUUCCUUUAGAUAUUCAAUAAUCACAAAUCGUGAUAUCUCUUCCAACACAUAUACGACAUAGUUUAUUCAUUGUAACACUCAUUUAGUGCAUCAAAUUUCCAAAUCCAAUUUAACUUAAGCAUAAUAGUCAUAAUCGGCUUAUAACCUUAAAACAUUACAUAUUCGGCACAUUAACUAAAUAAAAUUAACAUUCUCUUAGCCAUGUUAAUUUAACUCUUAGGCAUAUAAAAAGAAUCAAGCUUAAACACUUAAGAACUUACCUUGAAUGUCAUUGAACAAUUACGGGUUGAUUAAUCAACUACUUUUGCUUUCCCCCUAUCCGAAUUUGGUUCCUAUUCUCUUGAGCUUAAUUCAAGCAAACAAAUAAACAUUUAUUCACCUUAAUCCAUCUCAUGACUGAAUGCCUUUAAGCUUAAUAAUAGCAAUCCUUUAACAAAAUAACACUCAAAACAAAACAAAUUCAGUUAUACAACUAUAUAAUUAAAAGCAUCAAUCAUGCUUAACUAAACGUUAAGCUAUAAUCGAAAUCACUCAAACAUAUUUAUGGUCAAAUAUAGAAAGAAAACUAAAUAGGCUUUACUAGCCACACUUAGCUCAAUUAUAACAUAACUUCACUUCCUUAUAAGCACAUUCAGCAACUUGAUAACUAAGUUAAUAUCAUGGUACCAUAACUCAACAUUUAUCAACAUGUCAUUAGCAAAAUAUGCUCAUGUCAAAUUUGCUCCCAAUCACAUCUCAAAAUUCAACAAGCUUAGAGCUCAUUUAAUAAUUAAAUUCCAUUUCAAAGCAUCAAAACAUUAUCAAAUGUAUACUCAUCCUAAAUGACCGAAUGCACAUUAACUAAGCACUUAACAAUUUUCUUUAACCAUUAAACUCAUUCGGAAAUGAUAAGGACAAAUUUAACAAACCUUAAAUUCAACUUAUAAUUGUGUAUAUCUCAUUUAAAGCAUCUACACCAAUUUAUUAUCCAAUCAUCCAUAGCUGAAUACACAUAUUUCUUUCAUUCAUUCUUAACAAAAUUUUAUCAAGCCUAAAUCUCUAUUCCAUCAUUUUAAAAUGCAAACAUUACUCAAAUGUUAUCUAAAUUCACAUUCGGCAACUACAGAUACACACAAGCCGAUUUCCCCUUAUCAUCUAAUCCACCUAUAUGAACAUUUAACUAGCUCAAACUUCACCCAUCCACAAUUACUCAUUAAAACAUACAGACAACAAUCAUUCCAUUCAAAUUCUUCCAUGGUCGAUUGCUCAUAUCACCAUAAAAUUCAAAAUUUUGACAUGGGCUAAGUAAGGGACUUAAUAACUAGCUUAAAAUAUGCUAAAAUUUCAAGAACUAACAUGAAUUACUUACCUUAAUUCAAGCUUAAAGGUGACCGAAUGGCUUAGCUUCAUUUUCUUUCUUUAAAUUCGGCUAAGAAGAAACAAAAAUGAGCACUCUGUUUUCUUCACCCUUUAGCUAUUUUACUUAUCUUUAUUUUAUAUUAUAAAACCAUUUAGUUAUUAUAAUACUAAUAUAAAAUACAUAUAUUUUGUAUCAAAUAUCAUCAUGGCCGGUCACUAUCUCAAAAGUGGGGAAUUUGACAUGCAAGUCCACAUUUUUUUAAACCAUGCAUUAUUUGACCCCUAUAAUUUAACCUAUCACAUUUUCAAAGUUUCAGACAUAAGUCUUUUUUAAUAAUUUCACAUCCAAAUGACAAAAUUAAGACAUGAUACUUUCACACAUGAUACGUCACAUAUAAUAAACAUAGAAAAGAGCAUUUAAAUAAUUGUGACUCGGUUUUGUGGUCCCGCAAUCACUUUCCUACUAGGGUCAAAUUAGGGUUGUCACAUAUACAAAGUAGAUUCAUUCAAGAUUUAAAUAAUGAUAGUAAUUAUCCUUUACUAAUGCAACCUAAUCCAUUCAUUAAAGAAUUGAAGCUACAAUCUUCUAUCAAAUUUAUCCAACUCAUUCAUUGCUAAUUUACAUGAUUCAAGAAUUAAGUAUCAAAUGUAAUAAAAAAAUAUGUUUUGAACAAUUUUCAUUAACUAUAAUUAAACUUUGCAUGCUUCAUUUUUAAAACAAAAAUUUUGAAAUGUGGUAAAAGAAUCAAGCCCAUGUGCAUUUCCCCAAACUUAAAGAUUGCAUUGUCCCCAAUGCACUAACACUAAAAGAUAAUGACAAUGAAAAUGAAAUGACAAUGUAUACAUAUCAAAAUAAAACCUAUAGCUACAUGCAAUGCAUGAAUACUAUAACUAAACCUUAAAACAAACUAACUCAGUUAUCCGCAGCCGUCGAUGUCACUGCAUGAUGUUUCUUUCUCCUCCUUUUCUUCUCCUAAUUUUUUCAUUUUUUAUCCUUGGGGCACUUCCUUUUCUUAUUUUUUUGGGCUUUGCGCGUUCGUUGGAUUGCUCCUCAGUUCCUGGCUCAGCCCCGACAUCAUCUGUUGUUGUUUGUGUAGGAGAGGCCACUUGGAGUGGUCUAGUGUAGACCAUUAUUGCUCAUGAAUUGCAUUGCUCCUUACUGGUGACUUCAGAAACUUUAGCUAGUCUCGUUUCAGCUCGCUCCAGUUUGCUCCAAAUGAUCAAUAUUUGCACCCACAAACUCGGGUGCGGUUACAACCUUCUCAACAAAAUCUUCUUCUUCUCUUUCUUUUUCAUUUUUAGUAACUUCCUCUUCAGCAACAACUUUUGCUUCUGCAGCAUCAACUUCCUUCUCAACAACAGUCUUUUCUUGAUUAGCAAAAAUAUCAUCCUCAAACAAGAUAUCAAUCUUUCACAAGUAUUCUUCGAUGUCCUUGGAUUCCUCUUCUUUCUCAUUAUCAGAGACCUGUACAAUGGGUAAAGAUGCCACCAGUCUAUCUCGGUCUUCUAAGUCGUCAUUCGAGGAAGAAAGGUCAUAAUUGUGAAUGAUUGGUGGAAACACAGGGAAUUCUGGUAGUUGGGAUGGGCUUAGUUGGCCUAAUAUGGCUACAAUAGAACUGUUCCAAGCUCUGGUAUAAGCGUAAAACAAAUUUUGGGAUCUCUUCAUAUAUUCUACUGUAGCAACAAGCUUGAUCUGCCUGUUGUUGAUGGAAUUUACCAUUUUUUUGACAUCCUUCAGUUUGCGCCAUAAAAAUGUCUCUGCAUUCAGGUUAAUUCUUUUGCUGUCAGCUUUGGCUUUGCCCUUUCUUAUCUUUAUAGUCUCUGCCUCCUUCAGUAUCAGUGUGACCUUGCAUCGAGUCAUUCUUUCUAUAAAGGCUUCAUUGAUUGGGUUCUUAUUUUCUAAGAUUUCAUCACCAUCACGGGGCACGAUUCCUCUUUGCUGGCAAAUAACAUUAACAGUGAUGGCAAAACUAAUAUCCCAAUCUGCCUUGUGGUGUAGUCAACUAUUUCGUGGUGAAGUAUUUCACCCACAUUAAUUUUUCAACCCUUGACGAUAGAAUGUAUCAGACACAUUCUGUCUAGGGUGACUAUGGUGCUGUGAGUGGAGGGCUUUAGUCUACAAUUGACAAAGUGAAACCAAAUUUUACCUUGUAGUAUCAGGAAGCGAUAGUGCAUUGUAUAGUUCUUUUGAUGGGAACCUGUCCAAACUACUCCUUCGACACACAAGUCUCUCACCAACAGGUCUCAUUUUUCAUGUGUGAUGUCAUCCAUGAACUCAGAGUGUUCGUCGACAUCGACCUUAAUGUUGUACAGCUCAUUGAUGUUUGCAGCGUCUCAUGGUAUUAAACCUUCUCAAACGAAAAUAAAUUCUAACUCAUAAUCGUUAUAACACCCUUCACCCAUAUUCGACACCGAAACAGGGUUAUGAGGCAUUACCGGACUUACAUCACAGAAAAUCAUACAAUUCUGAGUCAUAAAUUUCAAAAAAAUUUAAAACCAUUUGCAUUCAGUCAUAAAGUCCCUAAUACUAACCUACGAGGCCCAAAUCAUACUUUGGAAGUGGUUUGGGACUAAACUGAUAACUCAGGGAAUUUUUACAAAACCUAGAAAAUUUUUGCUAUAAAUAGGGGUCAGACGCCCGUGUGGUUUGGGACACGCCCGUGUGGUCACACACACCUAUGUCCUUAACCCAUGUAACUCUAUAUUUUGUAAGGCAUGAACAAAUUGAAGUCACACGGCCAGGCCAUACGCCCAUGUGUGAGGCCGUAUGGUUAAUUAAUUUUCAUAAAAUAGGUGUAGGCUUCACACAGCCAGGACACACGCCCAUGUCCAGGGCUGUAUGAAGGACACGGCUGAGACACACACCCGUGUCUCUGCCCAUGUGCUCAAUUCUGAGCAUUCCGUUUCUCAAAAUUAAGGUGCAGGGGACACAUGGCCAAAACACAUGCCCAUGGGACAGGUCGUGUGUCACACAUGGCCUAGACACACACCCGUUUGUCUACCCGUGUGGACAAAAUAAAGGCUAUUUACCAAGUCAUUUGCCACCCUCAUUUACACACACACACACACACACACAAAUUCAAUGGCAUUAAUCAUGGUAUACUUAGGCAGCCAAAACAUCAACAAUCAUGGCCAAUACAUGUCAAAGAAAUACCAUCAUCUAUCAUGCUCAUAACAUUUCAUUAUGCUAAUCAAACAUACCAAUUUCACAUUCAAAAACACCACUAAGACUACUUUCACCUUGCAUUAUCUUAUCAAAAUACUCUAGCAUACCAAUGGACCAACCUCAUCUAUUUCACAACAAGUCAUUAAGCCGCAAUCAACAUUUGGAAAAUCAAUAUAAACUACAUCACCAAAAGGGCUUUGGCACAUACAUCAAUAUAAUAUAUAAGCGUACAAUCAAUUUAACAAAAAUGAGCCCAUUUACAUGGCCAAGUACCAAAUCAAGCCUUUGACAAUUACAAGCCAAUACAUUUGGCCAAAAACAUGAUGACACAUAUAACAAAAUGACCAACUCCCUAUACAUGCCAUAUAAUCAAAAUGUUUAAGAUCAUUGAUACCCAAAAUGACAGUUUGAUAGUGUGAUGCGAUCUCUGACGAUCUCCAAUCCAAGCUAGCUUGGUGACACUAUAAAACAUGGAAAGUAAAACAGAGUAAGCUAUAUAGCUUAGUAAGCUCGUAUGAAAGAAAUAAGAAAAUCUUACCAUACAUUUAAUAUUCAAGUAAUGUAAUAUAAGAUACUGUAAUUUACCACAAUCUCAUGACCAUAAUUAUUCCAUCACAAACUUACCUUGAAAUCAUCAUUUCAUGAAUGUAAUAAUCAUAAGCUUUAUGCACAUACCUGUACCAUCUCGUAAUAAUUUCAUACUUAUUCUCAUCAUUGACAUACCCAAUGAACCAAUUGGAAUAAUAAUAUCGGAUACUCGGGAAAUCUUGCACACAAGGUGCCACAUAUGUAGCCAUUGCUACCUCUAUCUCAUAACACAUAUAUGCUCGCUCUCGAGCCAUAGACGGGCCUGCUCACAAAAGCUGUCUGUAACACCCCUUACCCAUAUCGGAUGCCAGAACAAGGUUCGAGGAGUUACAGAACUUAAACAUAAACAUUCACAUAAAAUCGAACCAUAAAAUUUCAUCUAAAUUUAAAACUUUUCAAUCACAUGCAAAUUGUCCCUUAUAAGGGCCUACGAGGUCCAAAACAUACGUUGGAAGCGAUUUGGGACUAAUCCGAGAUCUUUCAGGACCUUGGGAUAAUUUAGAAAAUUUUCUUGUUUUAGAAAGUCACACACCCGUGUAGGUAGGCCAUGUGGUCACACACGCCCGUGUGGCUCGGGACACACCCUUGCCCUCAGUCUAUGUAACUCUCUGACUAUGACAUCAUCAACACAAUAAGGUCACACGGCCAAGUCACACGCCCAUGUGCUUAAACCAUGUGGCGAAUUAAAUUCCAAAAAUUAAGUGAAGACUUCACACGGCCUAGGCACACGCCCAUGUCCUAAGACCAUAUCCUUCACACAGCUGAGACACAAGACCGUGUCUCUACCCAUGUGUUUACUACUGGGCAUUCUGUUUUGCAUAAUUAGGGUGCACGGGACACACGGCCGGAUCACACACCCAUAGGGCAGACCGUGUGUCACACACGGCCAAGACACAUGCCCGUGUGUCUAACCGUGUAGACAAUUUUUAGGCUAUUUUCCAAGUCAUUUGCAACACUCAAACACUCACAUACUUGUACUCACUUCAUGCCAUGCAACAUGGCACAUUUGCUUACCCAAACAUUCACAACCAUGGUUAAAUUGUAACUUGAUAAUGUCAACAUUUCACCUAUUCAACUAUCAUGCUUUCAUAUGGCAUUCCACACCAAUUUCAUAUUUGUCUAACAUCUUUUUUAACCACAACUCAAUGAGUUCAGAUUACAUAAUUCCUAGUGACAUGUCACUUGUAUUCUAAAUUAUUCAUAAGGUUCAAUCAGGGUUCUUCGAUACCACAUUUCCGUUGAGCUUGCUCGUAAUGUCAAUUUCAAUACUCAUAGCACCAAUCACAUAUUCAUGAAGUAAUCAAAGCAUAAUUCAUGAUACAAUUUAGGGAAUAAACACAUGAUACAACAUCACAUUAAAUAUGUAUGUACUUACCAUACAUGCAAAAUUAAAGCAUUUAAAGUAUGGUACAUGUUGCAUUAUUUGCAAAUGAACUUACCUCGAUACAAAAAUGAUAGAAACAAAUUUAAUCCUCGUAAACUUUGGUUUUCCCUGAUCAAAACCCGAAUAAUGUUUUUCUUGAUCAAUAAUGCCAAAUUCAACUUGUUCAAUACAUGCAUUGCUCAUAUCAACCCAUAACAUAUACUUUGGUAAAAUCACCUUUUUACCUCUAACUUUUCACUUAUUUACACUUUAGUCCUUAGGCUCGUAAAAUGAAAUGCAUGCAAUUUCUUAGUUACCCAAGCCUAGCCGAUUCAUAUUCAAUCUUAUAUCAGCCCACUUUUUCCUUUAUUUCACUUUUCUACUACUCAUUUUUACACAUUUUACAAACAAGUCCUUUUUACGUGUUUUCACUAAAAAUCACUUAGUAAAAGAUGUUUAUCACACAUCAAACAUUCAUAUUCCUCCAUUAAACAUCAAAAUACAACCAUGUUACACAUGGGUCAAAUUUCGUACAUGAACCCUAGCUUAAAAUAAUGGUAGAAAUGGCUAGAUCAGUUGAUGACAACUUCAAAAAUGUAAAGAACAUUAAAAGGGGGCUAGGGAGCACUUACAAUCAAGCUUGAAAAGAUGAAAAAACUCUAGCUAUGGUGACCCUUGGAAUUUCGGCUAGCACUUGGAGAAGAUGGAAAAAAUUUUCUUUCUUUUUCCCUUUUUAUUCUUUUAUUUACCAAAAGACAAAAAUGCCUUUAAGGCAUUUCUUUCCAAUUUUUCCUAUUCAUGCCCAUUUUUGUCCAAAAUUUUAGAACCUGGUCUAAUUGCUAUUUAAAGACCUCUAAUUAAUAAUCCAAUGCAAUUUCAUGCUUAAAGCUUCUAGAACACAAGUUUUGAAACUUAUUCAAUUAAGUCACUAAAGUCAAAUUAAACAUCUUAGGCAUAGAAUUUCUUCAUGAAAAUUUCACACAAACAUGCAAUCAUGUCAUGGAUCAUCAAAUAAUCAUAAAAAAUUAUUUCUUUUUCAAAUUUAUGGUUUCAAAACCACUAUUCUGACUAGACCUUAAUUCGGGAUGUUACAACUCUCCCCCUUUAGAGAUUUUCAUCCCCGAAAAUCUUACCGAUGAAAAGGUUUGGGUAUUAUUUCCUCAUGGCCUCCUCGGGCUCCCAUGUAGCCUCUUCAACCCCAUUUAUUUUCCGUAACACUUUCACAAGGGCUAUAUUUUUGUUUCUCAACUGUUUCACUUCUCUAGCCAAAAUCUUAAUCGGUUAUUCACCAUAAGUCAUAUCCGAUCAAAUCUAGACCUCUGUCAGUGAAAUCAUGUGCGAAGGAUCAGAUCGGUAUUGGCGCAGCGUAAACACAUGGAACACAUUAUGAAUCUUUUCCAACCCUAAUGAUAAGGCCAAUCGAUAAGCAACCGGCCCUAUUUUCUCGAUGAUCUCAUACGGCCCUAUAAAACGAGGACUCAACUUGCCUUUCUUACCAAAUCUCAAAACCUUUUUCCAUGGAGAUACUUUCAAAAAUACCUUAUCACCGACUUCAUACUCAAUUUCUUUCCAUUUCAAAUCUGCAUAGGAUUUCUGUCUAUCCGAAGUGGCUUUCAAACAAUCAUGAAUCACCUUCAUUUUUUCUUCAGUUUCUUUGACUAGAUCAACUCCGUGAAUCUGACUUUCUUUCAGCUCGGUCUAAUCUAGAGGUGUUUGACACUUAUGUUCGUACAGUGCCUCAUAAGGCACCAUUUUCGAACUCGACUGAUAACCGUUGUUGUAUGCAAACUCUACUAACGGUAAAUACUUUUCCUAACUAUCUCGGAAUUCCAAUACACAGCAUCAGAGCAUGUUUUCCAAGAUCUGAAUUACUCACACAAACUAACCAUUAGACUGCAGAUGAAAAGCGGUGCUAAAAUUCAGCUUUGUACCCAAAACUUCUUGUAACUUUUUCCAAAACCGUGAUGUGAACCUCAGAUCUCUAUCUGAUACAAUUGAUAUAAGUACUCCAUGAAGUCUAAAAAUUUCAUCAAUGUAUAAUUCUGCUAACUUAUCAAGUGAGAAAUCGGUACGUACUAGGAUAAAAUGAGCCGAUUUAGUCCGUCUAUCGAUAAUAACCCGUAUGGCAUCUUUCUUUCUCGAACUUAAAGGUAACCCUGUUACAAAAUCCAUAGUAUUUCAGUCCCAUUUUCACUUGGGAACCAUGAUAGGCUAAAAUAAACCUGAAGGUACUUGGUGUUCAGCCUUUACUUGCUAACAAACUAAGCAUUUUGAUAUAAACUCUGAGAUAUCCCUUUUCAUACCAUUCCACCAAUACAUUUUCUUCAAGUUAUUAUACAUCUUUGUGCUACCCAGGUGAACUGACAAACAACCGUUGUACGCCCCAUGUAAGAUACUCCGAAUCAACUCAGUGUCCAUCGGAACAAAAAUCCUACCACGAAAUCUGAAACAACCAUCGGAGUCACUCAAAAAAUUCAAUUCACUGCUGGACUCACAUUGAAUUCUCUUAGCUUGCAACUCUUUAUCAACUUUCUGAGCAUCACAAAUCUAUUGAAGAAAAGUCGUUCUAGCUCUCAACUCGGCUAGAAUCGAACCACCAAAUGACCAAGUCAGCCAUGUAUUCAUAGCCCUCAAGGCAAGCAACGACUUCUCACUCAAAGCAUCAGCGACCACAUUCGCAUUUCCCGAAUGGUAAUCAAUCACAAGCUUAUAAUCUUUUAACAGUUCCAACCAUUUUUGUUGCCACAAGUUUAAAUCCUUUUGAGUCAUCAAGUACUUAAAACUUUUGUGAUCAAUAUAGACAUGGCAUUUCUCGCCAAAUAAAUAAUGUUGCCAAAUCUUCAAAGCAACAUUUUGGCGGCCAACUCUAAGUCAUGUGUCGGAUAGUUCCUCUCGUGAGGCUUCAACUGUCUCAAAGCGUAAGCUACAACUUUACCCUCUUGCAUAAGUAUACAUCCCAAACAAUUCAAGGAAGCAUCACUAUAAAUCACAAAUUCUUUUCCUGACUCAGGUUGUACUAAAACCAGAGCCUCAGUCAACAAUGCCUUUAAUUUCUCAAAACUUUGUUGGCACUUUUCUGUCCAUUCGAACAUGACAUCUUUCUGUAACAACCUCGUCAUCAAAGUAGCAAUCAUGGAGAAUUCUUUAACAAAUCAUUUGUAAUAACCAGCCAAGCCUAGAAAGCUUCUAACCUUAGUUAUAUUCUUCAACGAUUUUCAUUCAACAAUAGCCGAGAUCUUACUCGGGUCAACUCUAAUACCAUCACCCGAAAAAAUGUGGCCCAAGAAUCCAACUUCUCAAAGCGAAAACUCGCUUUUACUAAACUUAGCAUACAACUGCUUGUCUCUCAAAGUUUGCAAAAUAGUUCUUAAGUGUUCAGCAUGCUCGGAUUCUUCGCGAGAAUAUAUCAGUAUGUCAUUAAUAAAAACAACAACAAAUUUAUCCAAAUACGAUCGGAAGAUACGGUUCAUCAAGUACAUAAAUGCGGCAGGACCAAUUGCUAAGCCAAAAGGCAUGACAAGAAAUUCAUAAUGACUAUACCUUGUUAAAAAAGCAGUUUUCGGCACAUCCGAGACUUUCACCCUCAACUGGUAGUAACUGGACCUCAAGUCUAUUUUAGAAAACCAUGUCGCUCCUUUCAAUUGGUUAAACAAGUCAUCAAUCCUUGGCAGAGGAUACUUAAUCUUAAUUGUUACCUUAUUGAGCUAUCGGUAAUCUAUACAUAAUCUUAUAGAUCCGUCUUUCUUUUUCACGAAUAGUACCGGAGCACCCCACGACGAAAAGCUCGGUCUCACAAAACCCUUGUUGGUCAAUUCUUGCAACUGUGACUUCAGUUUUUUCAACUCAGUUGGGGCCAUUAUAUAUGGAGUAAUCGAGAUAGGUACUAUACUAAGGACCAACUCAAUACCAAACUCAACUUCCCUAACAGGAGGUAAUCUAGGUAGCUCUUCCGAGAACACAUCCGGAUACUCACAUACCACAGGCACUGAUUCAAUCUUUGAUUUAGACUCUUUCGUAUUCAACACAUAAUCCAAAUAAGCCUCACAUCCUUUUCUCGUACAUUUCUAAGCAGACAUCAAAGAAAUUACAAUCGGCAACUUAUCGGACUCAUCUGAUUCAACCCGGAGAAUUUCACCAUUUUCACAUUUCAAUUUAAUAACUUUUUGUCUACAAUUCACUAUAGCGUCAUGAAAUUUCAACCAAUCCAUGCCCAAUAUAACAUCAAAUUCAUCGAACGGCAAUAACAUCAAUUCAGCCGAAAAACAAUGAUCUCUAAUCAUCAAAAAACAUUUCUUACAUACUUUAUCAACUAAAACAUACUUGUCUAACAGGUUUGACACUUUAAUCAUGAAUUCUGUAGACUCUACAGACAUAUUCAUGCUAGAUACCAAUUUCAUGCACACAUAUGAAUAAGUAGAACCAGGGUCAAUUAGGGCAAUAACAGAAGUGUCAUAGAGAGAAAAAGUACUCGUAAUCACAUCGGGAAAAGAUGCGUCCUCUCACGCACGUAUGGCAUAGGCCCUAGCCGGAGCUCUAGCUUCGGAUCUCACUACCGUAUCCCUUCUUAUGUUUUUACAACUAGCUCUAUUAUUGGUGUUUCUUGAAGGUCUCCCCUUUGUAGCCGUACUACCCGGCCUUGUACUCUAAAAAUUUUCUUUCUCGGCCAUCUCAAGACAGUCCUUGAUAUAGUGGUCUUGAGAACCACAUCGGAAACAAGAUCCAUCGCUCACCCUCCACUUACCAAAAUGACCUUUACCAUACUAUUGGCACGCCGGAUUGGGAGCUCUAUCCUUACCCACACUAGCCACAGAGGUAGCCUGAGAUCUAAAACUUGAAUUUUGCUUCUUACGGUUUUUGUACGAAUGCCCAGCAGACACAUGAGAAUGAGAAUACAUAUCUCUGGAUUUCUUAGACUGAGAUGGAAGUGACUUGCUCAUCGGCCUCUUCCUUAAAUCUCCAGCCUCCGCCUCGACUUUUCUCUUUUCCUUGCUCAGUUCCUCAACUUUACAAGCCCGAUCAAUGAGCACAACAAAUUCCUUCAGCUCAAGAAUACCCACUAACACUCUAAUGUCCUCAUUAAGUCCAUCUUUGAACCUUCUACACAUUUUAGCCUCGGAGGAUACACACUCUCGAGCAUAUUUACUGAGCCGAACAAACUCUCUUUCGUACUCAGUAACUGACAUGCGGCCUUGUUUCAAAUUGAGAAAUUUCUUACACUUCUGAUCGAUGAAUCGUUCACUGAUGUAUUUCUUUCGAAACUCUUCUUAAAAGAAUUCCCAUGUGACCUUUUCUCUCGAAACCACCGAAAUUAGCGUCUUCCACCAAUGAUACGCCGCAUCCCUCAACAAUGAAAUAGCACACUUCAGACAUUCAUUAGGUGUGCAAGAUAGUUUAUCGAAUACUCAGAUGGAAUUCUCUGGCCAAAAUUUUGCCCUUUCAAGAUCAUCAUUGGCAUUAGCCCUAAAUUUUUCAGCUCCUUGCUUUUGAAUUCUAUCUAUUGGGUUUCUAUGAAAUCACACAAAAUAUAUGCCUUAAGGCACUUGAGACACGAGUUGGGGAUUUGAAGGGGAUAGAGGAGGUUGAGUGUAAUGCUCCAAAUCUUAAAUUAUUAUGUUUGUAUGGUUUUGGCAUGAAUACAUGCUUGUUUUAGUGGUUAAGUGUCCUGGCGAGUGCCUAAGAAGUCUUGGGUUCAAUCCUGGGCAUGUGCAAAAAGUUUUUUUUAAUGAAUAAACCCUUGCCUGUAGUUGGUAGGCUUUUAUAUAGAUAUGAGUAUUUUAUGACAGAAAGGGCGUGCUGGCCAAGGGCUAAGUGGCAUGUCAUUACUACUAAAGGUCUUGAGUUCGAGCUCUAUUACGGGCAAGGUGAGUUUUAUUUUGCUGUUGUGCUGUUGGAGUGUUUAAGGGGUGUAGGGAUUGUGUAGCCGAAUUUUAGGAGGGAUUGAGGAGGGAUUUUAGGAGAAAAUCAAGGGAUGGGAAAGGAUAGGGAGUGGUGUGCCGAAUUUGGACUAUAGCACUCAAGAUUUUGUCUUUGGGAGUUUAAGUACCCUAUUUCAAGUUUUGUGAACUUUUUGAUUGCUCUCUUCUCAUUUUUUGCUUCUAACUUAGGUUUCGGGUUCUUUUCAUUCCUUGUUUUGGGGCAGUCAAAUUUUGCUAUUGACCAUUCAGGUAUUUUGUAUAUUUGUUCCUUGCUUUUUUUUAAUAGACAUCUCUCUCUUUUUCCCCAAUCAACUUUCCUCUUGAUUGAUUACUUUAUCUUCUCCUCUCUCUAAAGCUUUGCCGAAUACUCUUUCCCUCUUUUCUCCCUAUUCUCUCCCUUUUCACUUUGUUACUUUGGCUGGACACCCUAUCUCACCCUUUCUAUUUUGCUUUUGAUUUUGGAAAGUGUUCAUUGAUCAGUUGGGUUCGGGCGCACGAUUUUUCUCUUCCACUCCCUCAAUUAUUCUUCGUUGGCCAAAUACUGGUAGGUGAGCCUCUGUCUUACUCCUUUGUUUCCCUUUCAGUUUUCCCUUCUCUAAGCACCAUCUCUUUCUUUCCUUCUCUUCGUACUGAUUACCCAUUCCUUUUGUUUACUCAUUCAGAUUAAUCCCUAUUCUCGAUUCAUUGUAUGCUAUAUCACCGAUCUACAAUCUGUUUUGUCGUUGUUGGUAAGUGGUUUAGAGGUUGUCAUAAAGAAUCAUAGGUUACUUUUUAAGAAGCGAUAUUGGGUGGCAAGUGGGGUGUAGUUGAGAUGGUAUCAUACUUUAAGUGUGAGUCUAAUAAAAAGGUGGUGACUUUUGUGUAGGUGGUGGUCGAGGUUGAUUGGCACAUCUCCUUAGAACCAAGGGUACGAUUACUAUUGAUUUUUGGUAAGAAGAUGGUGAUCGAUUUGGAACUUCGUUGGAUCCCAUUUGUAACAUGGGUUAAGUAACUAAUCAGAUGUCCUAUUGAUUUUUCUUCAGGACUAAGAGUGUCAGAGAGCGGAUAAACUCCAAAUCGCAUCAAGUGUGUAAACACUUUCCCAAUCAUAAAUCGGCAAAAGCUGAUACAUGUGACAAUUGACACUACACGAGCGUGCGUUCGCUCAUGUGGUAAUCCGAACGCCUAAACAUGAGCGUAAGAUUGUGGGAGUCGACCAUGAGCGAUUUCAUGGGCUUAGGCCAUUUUGGGCCAUGUUGAGCUGAAAUGGGUCGUGUGGGCCCACAGGCAUGUGGGCCCCAUACGAGUAAACCACAUGAACAUGUAGUAAUAAUUGGGUCAGGUUGUGUAAUCUACACAGCCAGGGCCAUUUCUGGGCUAUGUGGGCCACGUGGACGUGUAGGCCCACAUGGGCCCGUAUUAUGGGCCAUGGACCCAUUCGUAAUGCUUGACUGUUAAGGUUGCACGGGUCGCCCGAGACGACUAUGGACCUAUUGUUGGGUCAGUAAGUAUACCUAGACCCCAAAUUGAUAAAUGAUUGUUAUGUCCCUAUGAGGUAAAAUGACUGUUAUGCCCUUAUGUAUGUAAGAUUGUAAUCGAGCAUGCCAUUUUAUAUAUAUUGCAUACAUGUAUGAUAUUAUGAUAUGUUGCAUGGGGGCAGGUUUAUUAUUGAUUGGAGGAAGUGUAUUGUAUGGCAGCUCUGCUGCAACUACUGUUUAAUGUCGCAAUCGGUGCUAUUUUUGGAGUGUAGGGUAGGUGGGUUGAUUUUAUACCCACAUGAAGUGUAGAGGCUGGAUGGGUAGGAUUUCUAUUUGCAUUCUGUACUAUUACCGUUGCUGUAAUGGGUUAAGGCCCACACUGAUACUGAUAUUGUAAUGGGCUAAAGCCCUAACUAAAACUGAACUGUUACUGAAAUGGGCUUAGGCCCAGACUAUGAUUGCUUAUUAUACGACUGACUGCUUGUUUUUAAGGGAUUACACAUUGAGUUUCAUAAACUCACCCUUUCUGCUUAUCUGCUCAGGUAAUCCUUAGGCAGAUCGAUGCUGCGAGGGACUUGAAGGUGGCCACACAUCCGCUCAUGCCUUUAUACUGGAUUUUCAAUUUAUAAGUAAUUUAAAUUUGGGUAAUUUUUAUGUAAUAAGGCGUCUUAAAAGUUUUAACUUUUAAUUUGGGAUUUUAUUUAUAUUGAAUUAUGUUGGAUGCGGAUUUUUAAAAAGAUAAAUGCUUUUCAAAACACCACGUUCAUGCAACAUACUUUAAAAGCUUACGCAACAUAUUUUAAAAGCUUCCGCAACAAACAAUGUUUCAAAGUGUAAUAACAAUCUAACAUGAUUAACAUUUUGCUUAAACGACUUGAGAUUUAACAAUGAACGAGAUAUUUUAAAUUUUCGUUAAGAUCACAAAGAGGUUUUCAUAUAGAACGAAUUUUCAACGAAACUAUGUUUCUCGAAAAACACUUCAAUGUGACACCGCCAGAUUCGACCAUAACGUCUAGGCCGGGUUUGGGGUGCUACAUUUAGAGUUCGGGUUCAUUCGAACGAACUUCGUGUACUAGGCAUCCAUCAUGUGGAGAAAGGCUUCUUUGCCCCAUUCUCCUCUACUAUUAGACGGUACUGCUCCUUCAGCGAGAGCAGGCGCAUUACUUUAAACAUCAUCCGCCACUACUCUAUCGGGAUCCAUUCACUAUAUAAAAACACAUUUUCAAAUCGUCAGGAGUCGUCACACUGUCAUAAUAUACGUAUGGUGUGUAUAGCAAGACUCGUACACAUGCUACGUCAGCCCUAGAAUCGACUAAACCGUAGCUCUGAUACCACUAAAUGUAACACCCCUUACGCGUAUCCGACGCUGAAAUAGGGUUCAAGGCGUUACCAAACUUAAACAUAAACAUUCACAUAAAAUCAAGUCAUAAAAUUUCAUCCAAAUUUAAACUUUUCAAUCACAUGCAAAUUGUCCCUUAUAAGGGCCUACAAGGCCCAAAACAUACGUCGGAAGCGGUUUGGGACUAAUCCUAGAACUUUCAAGACCUCGAGAAAAUUUAGAAAAUUUUCUUGUUUUAGAAAGCCACACGCCCAUGUGGGUAGGCCGUGUGGUCACACACACCCAUGUGGCUUGGGACAGGCCCGUGUCCUCAGCCCGUUUAACUCUCUGACUAUGAUGUCAUCAACCAAAUAAGGUCACACGACCAAGUCAAACCCCCGUGUGCUUAGACUGUGUGGCGAAUUAAAUUCCAAAAAUUAAGUACAGACUUCACACAGCCUAGGCACACGCCCAUGCCCUAAGACCAUGUCCUUCACACGACUGAGACACACGGCCGUAUUCUGCCCGUGUGUUUACUGCUGGGCAUUCUGUUUUGCAUAAUUAGGGCACAAGGGACACACGGCCGGAUCACACGUCCAUGGGGCAAACAGUGUAUCACACACAGCUAAGACACAUGCCCGUGUGUCUAACCAUGUGGACAAUUUUUAGGCUAUUUUCCAAGCCAUUUGCAACCCUCAAACACUCACAUACUUGUACUCACUUCAAGGCAUGCAACAUGACACAUUUGCUUACCCAAAGAUUCACAACCAUGGUUAAAUUGUAACUUGAUAAUGUCAACAUUUCACCUAUUCAACUAUCAUGCUUUCAUAUGGCAUUCCACACCAAUUUCAUAUUUGUCUAACAUCUUUGUUAACCUAUUUUCAAGUUAUACCUUUGCACCACAUUUAUUGUAUACACAUUAAUCAUGUUCUAUACACAACAUACAUGCCAUCCAUCUCACUCAUCAACCAUAAUCAACCAUAACCACAUUAAAGCAUAAACACAUUUGCAUGCAUGCAUCGAUAAAUAAGGUUACCCAAAAUAAUCAAUAUGAGCCACCUCUCAUGACCAUAUACAAAAUAAUCAUAAAACCAUCAUAAGCCAACACAUUUGGCUAAUCAAUAUGACACAUAACAAAAAAACCAAGUCCCUAUACAUGCCAUACUCAAAAUGAUAAGGCUAGCUAUACCCAAAUGUUCAAUUGAUAGUGUGAUCGAGUCACUGACAUUCUCUAAUCCUUAAGUUACCUUAGCGAAACUAUAAGAAAUGGAAAGGAAAGGGGGUAAGCAUAAAUCUUAGUAAGUUCACAUGCAAAUAAAAUGCAACUUAAACAAGCAUAAAUCAUGCAUUUAACAUAACGAACAUAACCUUGCAUUUUAUCAAAUCUCAUAAACUUAUUUCUCAUAUAUAUAUAUACAUGUUCUUCCCACGAGCUCAUCAUAUUUCAUGUCAUUCACAUGAGUUUGAUAUACAUACUUGUGCCCACUUGCACAUAAUAACUUACUUUCUUGUAUUGAUACAAUCAUUAAGAUUACUCAUUACACUCCUCUUGAGCAACCUGUUGAACACUCGAAAUAUUAUUGGAUACAUCGGAAACUUGCACUUAAGUGCCUCAUACGUAGCCAAUGCUACUUCAUGAUUCAGAUCAUGUGUUGCUCGUUUUUGAGCUACUCACGGGUCUAUUCAUACAAGUUGCCAAGCGUCCGCAACACAUGCCAGACGACCUCGCUGUAACACCCCUAACCCCUAUCCGUCGUCAGAUUAGGGUUACGAGGUAUUUCCUAAGAAAAUAUAGCUUUAGUACAUUCACAUAAUCACAUAGGUCAUAUUUGCAAAUAUAUAUAAAUAUAACUUCUUAUUAAUCAAAUUUUAAAUAUAAAUCAUACUGCGUAUACAAAUCAUAUCACAAAGUUCAACUGAACCCAUAUCAAACAUAUAUCAUAUUUAAUUUUCAAUAGCCAUGUUCCAAAGUCAUACCACAAUUACUUUAAUAAUACAUCAUUCAAAUCAUGUGCUCAUCAUUUUAAUAUUAUUCGAAUACCUAAAUAAAAAAAUCAACCAUUUUAAUUCAUUAAUCAUUCAUGCACAUUUUAGACCAAAUAAACCAUAUAGCACAAUUUAUUAUCCAGUAGCAUUCAUGGCAUUAACAACUUAGCAAUAUGAAUGUAUUAUGCAACUUUACACAUCAAAGCAUUAUGCACAUCUAACCACAUCCAAAUUUAUAGAUACCUAUCAAAUGUAAAUUAUGUGCACAUAUUUGUGUUCAUUAAUAGGCUAACUUUAUCAAUUCAAGUCAUUUUUAACAUUAAUCAUCACAAACUGAAUCUAUUUAUUUUGAAAUGUAGCAUUUGGACUCCUAAAAUAACGUCAAUACAUUUAUAUAUAUAUACAUUUCCACAUGUACAUUUUAGCUCAAAUCUACACCUUGCGACUAAAUAUUAAGACUAUACAAUUAUAUACAAGCAUACCCAAUGACCGAAUUUCAUUUGCAACCUAAACCAAUAUAUACAUUGCUCACUUGACUAGCAUUAACCAUUUUACAAGGACAUUAACCUAGUCAAAAUAAGCCAAUUCCAUAUACCCUAAAUCCAACCAAAAUUUCACAUAUACAACUCAACCAAUUUAUUAUAUACCUUCGGCUAUUUAAUCAAUCUUCCAUACAACAAUUAAGACAUAUACGUUCAUAUUAUUAUAAAACUAAAUUAAAUUAACCAUGUCAACCAAUCAAACUUUCAUAUCCAAGCAUAGCAUAAUCCGCACAUAAUGGUACUACUAAACUCAAUAUUAACAUAAUAUUUAAACACUUUACCACAUAAUUCAACCACCAAUUCCGAAUUACCAAAACCAAGCACAUCAAACAUUUUAACCAAGAACAUAUAAAACCAAACUUAAGCAUAAUAAUCAAGCCAUUUUCGCACGGCCUUAUAUACACAUUCAAAUUCCAAACACAUUAACACUAGCUUAUACAUAUAUGCACUUUCAAAACCAACCAAAACAAAUGCUAGCCUAUACAUGCCAUAAGUUCAUAAUUCGAUCUUUUAAAAUACCGCAAAGAUGAUUGAUAGUGUGAUGAAGCUCCUUGACGAUCAUCGAGCUCGUAACCAGCUUUCAAAAAUCUAUAAAACAAUAAACAAAUACUCACACAGUAAGCUUAAAUAGCUUAGUAAGUCAUAAGCAAAUAAUAAUCAAAUGAACAUUAGCAUUAAAUCAACUAAACUGAAUCAAAUAAUCUUUAAUCAAAUACACAUUUUUCAUGCUUGAAACUCAUAUACCAUCACAUGAACAAUAUCUAAUUAUAUUAACUUGGACGAAUGCACAUAUGUUCAUAAGCAUAUAUAAUUCUCACUUUCAUAAUGCAUAUUUCAUAUGAUCAUCUCGAGUAUAUACUUACCUUAUCUUUCAAAUAAUUUAAACUAGCAUAUACCUGACAUUUUAACAUAAUUUCACAUUCCAUCUUAACUCGAUAUUGCCCGUUGAACCAUUCGAAAUUUAAUAGGAUACUUAGAUAAUCUCACAUAUCGUACAAUGCCAACGUCCCAAACGUGGUCUUACAUGUAUCGAAGUCACAUAUAUCGAAGUCACAUGUCGAUGCUAAUGUAUUAAACGUGGUCUUACUCGCACACAUAUAUCGGAAUCACAAAUCGAUGCCACUUUCUCAGACAGGUUCUUACUCGCACACAUAUAUCGAAAUCACAUAUCGAUGCCAACGUAUUAAACGUGGUCUUACUAGCACACAUAUAUCGGAAUCACAUAUCGAUGCCAAUGUAGUAAACGUGGUCUUACUCACACACAUAUAUCGAAGUCACAUAUCGAUGCCAACGUAUUAAAUGUGGUCUUACUCUCACACAUAUAUCAGAAUCAUAUAUCGAUGCUAACGUAUUAAACGUGGUCUUACUCACACACAUAUAUCAAUGCCAUGAUAUUACUCACACAUCACAUAUCGGAAUCCUAUGUCAUGACAUAUGUAUCCUAGCUAUUCCUAAGGUUCAUACGGGACUUUAGAACGUCAUAUCUCGGUCAAAACGAAUUUGUAAAUACAGCUCCCUAGCAUAUACACAUUCGGCUAACAACAUAUAUACUUCACAUAUAUCAUUUCAACAUAAUAAGCUCGUAUUUAUUUAAAAUAAACAACAUCUAUUUUCUUAUAAACUUACUUUGGACAACAGUAAUCCAAAUGGGACGACUAUUCGACAACUUUGGUUUUUCCCCGAUCCAAAUUCGAUUUCUUUUGUUCUUCAUCUAAACAUAUUCAAAUUAAACUCAUUCAAACAUAAUUCUAUUCAAUUUAGUCCAAAAACAUAUAAAUGGGCAAAUUACUAUUUUACCCUUGACAUUUUACACUUUUACAAUUUAAUCCAAAUUGCACAAAACACAAAACAUGCAAAAUUUGAAUACACUAUGCUUAGGCCGAAUGUUCCUUAUAUUCGUACAAGUCCAUAAAUUUCAUUUAUUUCACAUUUUAGUCCCUUAAUUUAUUAUUUUUGCAAUUUAGCCCUAAUUACUCAAAAUCAUCAAAACUUUAAGUACAAAACAUGAUAAUCUAUCACAUAUCUUUUAUUUUCCAGCAUCAAACAACAAAAAUAACAAGCUUACAACAAUGGAAAAAUACAAAAUCACCAUAAAAUUCAAAAAUUGAAACAUGGGCUUGAUAGAUAACAAGCAACGAUCUCAAAAAUGUAAAUUAUCAAAAACCGAAAAAAACCUAACCUUGAAUCAAGCUUCCAAAGUGCCGAAUGUUCAAAAGCUUUUAACCUCUUUUUCUUUCUUAAGAUUCGGCCAAAAACAUGAACAAAAUGCAUGUCUUUUAAUUAUGUUUUAUUAUAAUACUUAUUAUUUCAUAAUUUACUAUUAUAGCCUUUAUAAAUUAAUAUAACAAUUUAAUAUUGGUUGUCUAAUUUCGUCCAUCCUAUUAUCAAUUGGCCUAAUUUCAUUUUAAGGCCUUCAUAUUAAAAGAACAACAACAAUUCGGCACUUACAGAAUUAGCUAAUCACUUUUUCAUUUUACGCAAUUAAGUUCUUUUUAUUAAAUCGAGUACACAAACAAUAAAAUUUUCACACGAAAUUUUCACACGUAUAAUAUAUCAUGUUGUAGACAUAGAAAAUAAUAUUAAAAUAUUUUUUGACUCGGAUUUGUGGUCCCGAAACCAUUAUUUCAAUUUGGGUCUAAAUCAGGCGGUUACAACUCUCCCCCCUUAGGGAUUUUCGUCCCCGAAAAUCUUACCGGUGAAUAAGUUCGGAUAACGUUCUUUCAUUGUAUCUUCUGGAUCCCAUGUUGCAUGUUUAAUUCUGUGUUUAUGCCACAGUACUUUCACUAACAGAAUUUUCUUAUUUCGCAAUUCUUUAACUUCGCGAGCCAGAAUACGAACCGAUUCUUCCUCAUAUGUCAUAUCAGAUUUAAUCUCAAUCUCUGACGGAUUAAUCACAUGUAAGGAAUCAGAUCGAUAUCUACGAAGUAUUGAAACAUAGAAUACAUUAUGGAUCUUUUGUAACUUAGGUGGCAACAAUAAUCUAUACGCAACUGGCUCGAUACAUUCAAUAAUCUCAUAAUCUGAGAAACAUACAAUUCAGCUAGAUUAUUAAAUGAGUAAUCUGUACGAACCGGAACAAAAUUAGCCGAUUUAGUCAAUCUAUCACAAUAAUCCAUAUUGCAUCUUUCUUGCUCGGUGUCAACGGUAAACCAGAUACAAAAUCCAUUGUGAUCCUGUCCUAUUUCCAUUCAAGUAUCAUGAUUAGCUGAAGCAAUCCAGAAGGUACCUAAUGCUCGGCUUUUACUUGCUAGCAGACUAAACAUUUCAAAACAAAGUCAGAAAUGUCUCAUUUCAUACCAUGCCACUAGUAAAGCUGUUUCAGAUCAUUAUACAUCUUCGUACUACUUGGAUGAACAGUUACUGACUGCUGGAAGCUUCGUUCAAAAUCAUCUGAAUCAAGUCUGAAUUUCUCAAAACACAUAUUCUAUUUCUGAACCUCAAACAACCCUCAACAUCAACUCAGAACUCUAAAUCAGCAUUCGAGUCACAUUGAACCCGUUUUGCUAACAAAUCGUUAUCAACUUUUUAAGCAUUACAAAUCUGUUGAAUAAAUAACGAUCUUGCUCUUAAUCAUCUAUUAUCGAACCAUCAUCAUACACAUUCAUAUGCGCAUUCAUUGCACGUAAAGUAAAUAAUGAUUUUUAGCUUAAAGCAUUAAUAAUAACAUUAAUCUUUCCCGGAUGGUAGUUAAUCAGAAGCUCGUAGUAUUUUAACAGCUCUAACCAUCAACGCUGUCUCAAUUUCAGCUCUUUCUGAGUCAUCAAAUAUUUCAGGCUUUUGUGAUCAAAAUAAACAUGACAUUUCUCACCGAAUAGGUAAUGGCGCCAUAUUUUCAAUACAGGCACAAUAGCUGCCAAUUUUAGGUCUUACUUCGAAUAAUUCUUUUCGUGUGGCUUUAACUUUUUCAAGGCAUAAGCUAUGACUUUGCCUUCCUUCAUUAACACAUAGCCCAAACCAUUUAAAGAUACAUCACUAUAGAUAAUAAAUUCUUUACCCGAUUCUGGUUGAACUAGUAUUAGAGCUUCGGUCAAAAGGGCUUUCAAUUUAUCAAAACUUUUCUGGCACUUUUCUGACCAUUCGAAUUUAACAUCUCACUGUAAUAGCUUCGUCAUCAUAGUUGCAAUCAUAGAGAAACCUUUCACGAGCCAUCUAUAGUAACCAGCAAGUCCCAAAAAAAAACUUCAGACUUCAGAAACAUUUCUCAGAAGUUUCCAAUCAAGUAUAGCUGAAAUUUUACUCGGAUCAACCCGAAUACCCAAUACUGAUAUGACAUGUCCCAGAAAACUAACUUCACGUAACUAGAACUCACAUUUACUGAACUUCGCAUACAAAUUUUUAUCUCGCAAAGUCUGUAACACAAGUCUCAAAUGUUCGGCAUGUUCGGAUUCAUCACAGGAAUAUAUCAAUAUGUCAUCUAUGAACACAACCACAAAUCGAUCCAGAUACUGUCUGAAAAUCUGGUUUAUCAAAUCCAUAAAAACAGCAGGUGCAUUAGUAAGUCCGAAAGGCAUAACCAAAAACUCAAAAAGUCCGUACCUCAUUUGAAAAGCAGUUUUUGGCACAUCAGAGUCUUUAACUCGCAAUUGAUAGUAACCUGAUUCCAAAUCUAUCUUUGAAAACACUAUAGCCCUUUUAAGUUAAUCGAAUAGGUCGUCAAUCCAUUGCAACGGAUAUUUACUCUUUAUAGUCACCUUAUUGAGCUCUCUAUAAUUGAAAACUGGUGCACCCUAAGGAAUGAAACUCAGUCGCGCGAAACCUCUAUCUGUCAACUCUUGCAACUGAACUUUCAAUUCUUUUAAUUCAGUAGGUGCCAUUCUAUACGGAGCUAUCGAUAUCGGAGUCGUCCCUGGCACUAAUUCAAUACCAAACUCUACUUAUCAGAUAGGUGGUAAAUCUGGCAAUUCUUCAAGAAACACAUCCGGAUACUCGUACACAAGUGGUACUGAUUCAGUCUUUCUUUCGGUCACUUUACUAUCAAACACAUAGCAAAGUAAGCUUCACAACUCUUUCUCACAUAUUUCUGAGCUAACAUCGAAAAUAUCACUGCCGAUAAACCAUUCAGAUCAUUAGACUCAAUCUAAUUAAUCUCAUCAUUUUGGCAUCUUAAAUCAAUAGUCUUUCAUUUGCAAUUUACAACAGCAUUGUGCAAAGUCUACCAAUCCAAACUCAGAACUUGUCGAAUGAUAACAUCAUCAAAUCAACAGGAAGACAUGAAUCUCGAACCAUCAAUGGAUAAUUCUUACACAUUUUAUCAACCAAAACACACCAACCUAAGGGGUUUGAUAUUCUAAUCACAAACUCAACAGACUUUUCGGACAAAGUCUUACUGAAUAUUAAGGUCUCACAUACAUAAGAAUGAAUUAAACCAGGAUCAAUCAAUGCAAUUACACUAGUAUCAUAGAGAGUAAAUGUACCAGUAAUAACAUCAGGGAAUGAAGCCUCCUAGCGUGCGCAAAUGGCAAUAGCUCUGGCAGGUGUACGAACCUCAGAUCGAACUGUUGUGUUUUUAAUUCCUCUCUGACUGCUACUUACAUUUCCCGCAUUUUUAGAAAACCUACCAUUAGCUGAAAUGUUACUCGAUCUCGGAUUUUGCACAAUCUCUCGCCCAACCGACUCAGGACAAUAUCGGAUAAAGUGAUCUAAGGAUCCACAUUUGAAACAAGCUUGAUUAUUCAAUCUACAAAUACCCGAAUGUCUUUUACCACAAUGUUUGCACUCAGGUCGAUCAGAUCUGACAUUUUCAACACUAGCAAUCGAAGUAGUUGAAGCUCUAAAGCUCGAAUGUGAUCUAGCACGAUCUCUACUCGAGUGUCCCAUAGUCUUUGAACGGUUAUAAUCAUUUCAGAAUUUUUUUGAUGUAGACUGAAAUGAUUUACCCGAUGAUCUCUCACAGGAAUCUCCGGCUUCAAAAUCAAUUUUUCUUUUCAUUUUUUUUUCAUAUAACUUGGGAAGUUAUAGGAACUUCAGGGGGUGAAGGUUGUUGAGCAGACAGAUUCAUUCUAACGAACUUCGUAAACCACUCAUUCAUUAACUGGAAGAAGGCUUGCGUAACCUCCCCCUCUAUAUUACUCAAAAUCGACCUAGAAUCAGCCGGCGCUACCCCCUGAGUAGGAGCGGGUGCAUUAUCUUCUACGUCAUCUGUUACGGCUCGAUCGGGAUCCAUUUCUAUAAUAAAACACAUUUUUAACUGUCAAGAAUCAUCACACUAUCGCAGCUUAUAAUUAUGGCAUGUAUAGCUAGACUCAAACGUGCUAUGUUAGUCCUAGAACCGACUAAACCGUAGCUCUGAUGCCAAUCAAAUGUAACACCCCUAAUCCCUAUCCGUCGCCGAAUUAGGGUUACAAGGUAUUUCCAAAGAAAAUAAAGCUUUAGUACAUUCACAUAAUCACAUAGAUCAUAUUCACAAAUAUAAAUAAAUAUAACUUCUUAUUAAUCAAAUUUUAAAUAUAAAUCAUACUGCGUAUACAAAUCAUAUCAUAAAGUUCAACUGAGCCCAUAUCAAGCAUAUAUCAUAUUUAAUUUUCAAUAGCCAUGUUCUAAAGUCAUACCACAAUUACUUUAAUAAUGCAUCAUUCAAAUCAUGUGCUCAUCAUUUUAAUAUUAUUCGAAUACCUAAAUAAAAAAAAUCAACCAUUUUAAUUCAUUAAUCAUUUAUGCACAUUUUAGACCAAAUAAACCAUAUAACACAAUUUAUUAUCCAAUAGCAUUCACGGCAUUAACAACUUAGCAAUAUGGAUGUAUUAUGCAACUUUACACAUCAAAGCAUUAUGCACAUCUAACCACAUCCAAAUUUAUAGAUACCUAUCAAAUGUAAAUUUUGUGCACAUAUUUGUGUUCACUAAUAGGCUAACUUUAUUAAUUCAACCAAUCAAACAUCCAUAUCCAAGCAUAGCAUAAUCCGCACAUAAUGGUACUACUAAACUCAAUAUUAACAUAAUAUUUAAACACUUUACCACAUAAUUCAAUCACCAAUACAGAAUUACCAAAACCAAACACAUCAAACAUUUAAAUCAAGAACAUAUAAAACCAAACUUAAGCAUAAUAAUCAAGCCAUUUUCGCAUGGCCUUAUAUACACAUUCAAAUUCCAAACACAUUAACACUAGCUUAUACAUAUAUGCACUUUCAAAACCAACCAAAACAAAUGCUAGCCUAUACAUGCCAUAAGUUCAUAAUUCGAUCUUUUAAAAUACCGCAAAGAUGAUUGAUAGUGUGACAAAGUUCUUUGGCAAUCCCUGAGCUCGUAACCAACUUUCAAAAUUCUAUCAAACAAUAAACAAAUACUCACAAAGAAAGCUUAAAUAGCUUAGUAAGUCAUAAACAAAUAAUAAUCAAAUGAACAUUAGUAUUAAAUCAACUAAACCGAAUCAAAUAAUCUUUAAUCAAAUACUCAUUUUUCAUGCUUGAAACUCAUAUACCAUCACAUGAACAAUAUCUAAUUAUAUUAACUUGGCCGAAUACACAUAUGUUCAUAAGCAUAUAUAAUUCUCACUUUCAUAAUGCAUAUUUCAUUUGUUCAUCUCAAGUAUAUACUUACCUUAUCUUUCAAAUAAUUUAAACUAGCACAUACCCGACAUUUUGCUCGAUUUCACAUUCCAUCUUAACUCAAUAUUGCCCAUUGAACCAUUCGGAAUUGAAUAGGAUUCUCAGAUAAUCUCACAUAUCGUAUAAUGCCAACGUCCCAGACGUGGUCUUACAUGUAAUCACAUAUUGAUGCCACUGUCCCAAACAGGGUCUUACUCGCACACAUAUAUCGAAGUCACAUAUCGAUGCCAACGUAUUAAACGUGGUCUUACUCGCACACAUAUAUCGGAAUCACAAAUCGAUGCCACUUUCUCAGACAGGUUCUUACUCGCACACAUAUAUCGAAAUCACAUAUCGAUGCCAACGUAUUAAACGUGGUCUUACUAGCACACAUAUAUCGGAAUCACAUAUCGAUGCCAAUGUAGUAAACGUGGUCUUACUCACACACAUAUAUCGAAGUCAUAUAUCGAUGCCAACGUAUUAAAUGUGGUCUUACUCUCACACAUAUAUCAGAAUCACAUAUCGAUGCCAACGUAUUAAACGUGGUCUUACUCACACACAUAUAUCAAUUCCAUGAUCUUACUCACACAUCACAUAUCGGAAUCCUAUGUCAUGACAUAUGUAUCCUAGCUAUUCCUAAGGUUCAUACGGGACUUUAGAACGUCAUAUCUCGGUCAAAACGAAUUUGUAAAUACAGCUCCCUAGCAUAUACACAUUCGGCUAACAACAUAUAUACUUCACAUAAAUCAUUUCAACAUAAUAAGCUCGUAUUUAUUUAAAAUAAACAACAUCUAUUUUCUUAUAAACUUACUUUGGACAACAGUAAUCCAAAUGGGACGACUAUUCGACAACUUUGGUUUUUCCCCAAUCCAAAUUCGAUUUCUUUUGUUCUUCAUCUAAACAUAUUCAAAUUAAACUCAUUCAAAUAUAAUUCUAUUCAAUUUAGUCCAAAAACAUAUAAAUGGGCAAAUUACUAUUUUACCCUUGACAUUUUACAUUUUUUACAAUUUAGUCCAAAUUGCACAAAACACAAAACAUGCAAAAUUUGAAUACACUAUGCUUAGGCCGAAUGUUCCUUAUAUUCGUACAAGUCCAUAAAUUUCAUUUAUUUCACAUUUUAGUCCCUUAAUUUAUUGUUUUUGCAAUUUAGCCCUAAUUACUCAAAAUCAUCAAAACUUCAAGUACAAAACAUGAUAAUCUAUCACAUAUCUUUUAUUUUCCAGCAUCAAACAACAAAAAUCGCAAGCUUACAACAAUGGAAAAUUACAAAAUCGCCAUCAAAUUCAAAAAUUGAAACAUGGGCUUGAUAGAUAGCAAGCAACGAUCUCAAAAAUGUAAAAAUUAUCAAAAACCGAACAAAAACUAACCUUGAAUCAAGCUUCCAAAGUGUCGAAUGUUCAAAAGCUUUUAACCUCUUUUUUGUUCUUAGGAUUCGGCCAACAACAUAAACAAAAUGCAUGUCUUUUAAUUAUGUUUUAUUAUAAUACUUAUUAUUUCAUAAUUUACUAUAAUAACCUUUAUAAAUUAAUAUAACAACUUAAUAUUGGUUCUCUACUUUCGUCCAUCCUAUUAUCAAUUGGACUAAUUUCAUUUUAAGGCCUCCAUAUUAAAAGAACGACAACAAUCGGCACUUAAACAAUUAGUUAUUCACUUUUACAUUUUACGCGAUUAAGUCCUUUUUAUUAAAUUGAGUACACAAAUGAUAAAAUUUUCACACGAAAUUUUCGCACAUAUAAUAUAUCAUGUUGUAGACAUAGAAAAUAAUAUUAAAUUAUUUUUUGACUCGGAUUUGAGGUCCCGAAACCACUAUUUCAAUUUGGGUCUAAAUCGGGCUGUUACUCUCGCUAUCAAUAAAAUAUACGAGACUAGUACCCGGAUACCAAAACAUGUGUCUUAUAUAUCACGAACUCAGACCACAACUCAAUGACUUCGAAUGUCACAUAUAUCAUGAAAUCAGACCACAACUCAAUGAGUUCAGAUUACAUAAUUCCUAGUGACAUGUCACUUGUAUUCCAAAUUAUUCAUAAGGUUCAAUCAGGGUUCUUCGAUACCACAUUUUCGCUGAGCUUGCUCGUAAUGUCAAUUUCAAUACUCAUAGCACCAAUCACAUAUUCCUGAAGUAAUCAAAGCAUAAUUCAUGAUACAAUUUAGUGAAUAAACACAUGAUACAACAUCACAUUAAAUAUGUAUGUACUUACCAUACAUGCAAUAUUAAAGCAUUUAAAGUUUGGUACAUGUUGCAUUAUUUGCAAAUGAACUUACCUCAGUACAAAAAUGAUAGAAACGAGCCUAAUCCUCGUAAACUUUGUUUUUCCCCCGAUCAAGACUCAAAUAAUGUUUUUCUUAAUCUAUAAUGCCAAAUUCAACUUGUUCAACACAUACAUUGCUCAUAUCGACUCAUAACACAUACUUUGGUAAAAUUACCUUUUUUACCCUUAACUUUUUACUUGCUUACACUUUAGUCCCUAGGCUCAAAAAAUGAAAUGUAUGCAAUUUCUUGGUUACCCAAGCCUAGCUGAUUCAUAUUCUAUCUCAUAUCAGCCCACAUUUUCCUUUAUUUCACUUUUCUACUACUCAUUUUUACACAUUUUACAAGUCUUUUUUAGGUGUUUUCACUAAAAAUCACUUAGUAAAAGAUUUUUAUCACACAUCAAACAUUCAUAUUCCUCCAUUAAACAUCAAAAUACAACUAUAUUACACAUGGGUCAAAUUUCAUACAUGAACCCUAGCUUAAAAUAAUGGUAGAAAUGGCUAGAUCGGUUGAUAACAAUUUCAAAAGUGUAAAGAACAUUAAAAGGGGGCUAGGGAGCACUUACAAUCAAGCUUGAAAAGAUGAACAAACCCUAGCUAUGGUGACCCUUGGAAUUUCGUCUAGCACUUGGAGAAGAUGGACAAAUUUUGCUUUCUUUUUCCCUUUUUAUUCUUUUAUUUACCAAAAGACAAAAAUGCUCUAACGGCAUUUCUUUCCAAUUUUUCCUAUUCAUGCCUAUUUUUGUCCAAAAUUUUUGAACUUGGUCUAAUUGUUAUUUAAGGACCUCUAAUUAAUAAUCCAAUACAAUUUCAUGCUUAAAGCUUCUAGAACAAAAGCUUUACAACUUAUUCAAUUUAGUCCCUAAAGUCAAAUUAAACAUCUUAGGCAUAGAAUUUCUUCAUGAAAAUUUCACACAAACAUGCAAUCAUGUCAUGGAUCAUCAAAUAAUCAUAAAAUAAUUAUUUCUAUUUCAGAUUUGUGGUUCAAAAUCACUGUUUCGACUAAACCCUAAUCUGGGAUGUUACACUGUCAGUCAAGACUAAGCUACACAGUGCUGCUCACACAAGCUGUCAGGUACCGCAACAUUUGCCGAUAUACUCAGCCACCGGUAGGACGUGCAGGACCAGCACCCGGAUCACAUAACAUAAUACCCUAGUGACAUGUCACUUGUAUCUUAAUCUAUUCCUAAGGUUCGAUUGGGAUUUCUCGCUUGCCAAAACAUUGUCGACCGUGUCCGUAGAGUCGUUUACACAAUUCAUACAAAAACUAAAGCAUUUAAAAUACAAUUAUAAUAAAGCUUAUUUACAUACAAACUUACCUCGGUUACAAAAACGGCAAAAAGGAUCUGUUCGUCAAUUACUUUAUUUUUCCCUCAAUAUAAACUCGAACUUCAUUUUUCUUAAUCUAUAAUACCACAUUUAACUUAUUUAAUCAUCAAGCUAUUAAAUUCAGUCCAAAAUCACAUUAUGGCAAAAAUUACAUUUUUGCCCCUAACAUUUCAACAUUUUACAAUUUAGUCCUUAGGCUCGUAAAAUAAAUUUCUUUUAAUUUCUUCACAACCCAAGCCUAGCCAAACCUUACCCUUACUCAUAACAGCCCACAUUUUACAUUUAUUCACACUUCACCACACAUUCUUCAACACUUUGAAAAUAAGUCCCUAUUUGACAUUUUUACCAAAAAUCACUUUACAAAUGUUGUUUAACAAACAACAAACAUGCAUUUUCUACCAUCAAACAUCAAAAUACAAGCGUAUUCAGCAUGGGUAAAAUUUUAAACUUCAACUUUCUUUCAAAUUAGUCCUCGAAAUAGCUAGAUCAAGUUACAACGAUCUCAAAAAUAUAAAAAUCAUUAAAAACUGGACAAGAAUGGACUUACAAUCGAGCUUGAAAGCUUUGCCAAAACCCUAGCUAUGGCUUCCUCCAAAAUUUCGGCUAAAGGGGACUAAAUUGAGAAUAUGGACACUUUUAUUAGGUUAAUUUGUCUUUAUUUACCAAAUUACCAAUUUACCCUUAAUGUAUAACUUUAAAAUUUCACCUAAUCAUGUCCAUUUUUAUCCAUACUAAAGUAUAAUAAUCUAAUUACCAUUUAAGGACCUCUAAUUUAAAAAUUCAUAACAAUUAAACACCUUUAGCUAAGGGAACUUAAGUUUUGCACCUAUUGCAAUGUAGUCUUUCUAGUCAAAUUGAGUACUCAAACGAUAAAAUUUCUUAACGAAAUUUUCACACAAUUAUUCUAUCAUGAUGUAGACCUUAAAAUAAUAAUAAAAUAAAUAUUUCUACUUCGAAUUUAUGGUCUCGAAACCAUUAUUCCAAUUUGACCCAAAAAUGAGUUGUUUCAACUCUCCCCCCUUAGGGAUUUUCAUCCCUAAAAAUCUUACCAGAAAAGAGGUUAAGGUACUAUUUUCUCAUAGCUUCCUCGGGUUCCCACGUAGCCACUUCGACCUCGUGUCAUUGCCACAAGAAUUUCACUAGAGCUAUGCUUUUAUUUCUCAAUUGUUUAACCUCUUGAGCUAACACUUUGAUCGGCUCUUCACUGUAUGUCAUAUCAGGUCGAAUCUCAAUCUCUGACGAUGAGAUUACAUGCGAUGGAUCUGAUCAAUAUCGUCGCAACAUCAACACAUGAAAUACAUUGUGGAUCCUUUCUAAUUCCGACGGCAAAGCUAGCCAAUAUGCCACUAGCCCUAUUCUUUCAGUAAUCUCAUACGGCCCAAUAAAAUGCGGACUCAACUUGCCUUUGCAACCAAAUCUAAGAAUUUUCUUCCACGGAGACACUUUCAAAAACACGUUCAAAAACUUUGGGAAACUUGGAAAAUUUUUCAUGCAUACAGGGUUCACACGCUCGUGUGAAUAGGCCGUAUGCCUCACACGACCACUAGACACGCCUGUGUCACAGGCCGUGUGAAAAUAGGGCAUACAUACUACUUGCACCACACAGCAGAGGACACACCCGUGUGCCUUGGCCGUGGGCAAACUGGAGGGGUUACUGACUUGGGUCACACAGCCAGCCACACGCCUAUGUGCCAGCCCGUGUGCCACACAUGGCUAGUAGACACGGCCGUGUGUCUAAACCGUGUCAAACCUGUAGGGUCUACUAACUUAAAUUUGAAGGGUACCCCAGGGGACACACAGUCGUAUAGCAUGACCGUGUGUCACACACGGCCGUGUCUCAUCCCGUAUGGACAAAUAGGCUAUUUGCAAAGCCAAUUUGCCACCCUUUCCUCAUGCACACCUAACAACCAAAAUGGUACCAUUUCAAUACAUUAAUAAGCAACCAAAACAUGUUAUUUCAUACACAUUUCAUGCAUUUAUACAUCAUCCUUUUCACUACUCAAUUCCACAACCAAAAACAACCCAAAUCAAAUUGAUACUUUAACUAAUAUCCACAUUUAGACAUAACCCAAAUCAUCAAGCAUUUACUAAACCAAAAUGGCAUCCAAACAUCAUCUUAAAUUAUACCAAAGCUUACCAUUUCUCAAACCAUAACACAUCAUUAACAAUUUACUAAAUACUUAUUCAAGAACCCAUCAAAAUAACCAUAUCAUGUCUACCAAAACAUAAGGCAUCAUAAAUACAUCACAUAUCACAUAUUAACUCAUAACAUAAGUCAAAUUCAACUUCAUCAACAACACCAUUUACAAGCCAACUCACAUGGCUAAAUUUAAUGUUCAAAGCAUACCGAAAUGACACUAGCCUAUACAUGCCAUAUACCAUAUAUACAAAGCUUCAAAAGUACCAACAAGUUGAUCGAUAGUGUGAUGAUGUUCCUGAUGAUCCCCGAAUCUGAACUAGUUUCGGUUAUCUAUAAAAUAAGGAAAGAACACACAAAGUAAGCUUUAAAAUCUUAGUAAGCCAUAUACAAAUAAAUUAUCACAUGAAUCAAUAUCAUUUCCAUAAAUAGGCAACCAUAAGUAAACAUUUAUAAGAUCACAAACCUUUCUCAUUGUACACAUAUUCAAUAUCAUAAUUGAAUUCAUCAAAUACUUCCCUUUCAUUACUUUUAUGAAUCUUGUACGUACUUGAGCCAUUUAACUCAUUCACAUAUUCUUUCUCAACUUAACUUUGCCCGUUGAACCAUUAGGAAUCAUUAAGGAUACUCGAAAAUCACAUAAAGCUCAUACAAUGCCAUAUCCCAGAUAUGGUCUUUCAUGUUAUCACAUAUCGAUGCCACUGUCCCAGACAGGGUCUUGCACGAAAUUGAAUAACGAUGCCAAUGUCCCAUACAUGGUCUUACACGAAACCGAAUAACAAUGCCAAUGUCCCAGACAUGGUCUUACACGUAAUCACAAUACAAUGCCAAUGUUCCAGACAUGGUCUUACAUGUAAUCACAUCUCGGUAACCUAAAGUCAUGACAUUUGUAUCCUAUAUUAUUCCUAAGGUUAGUACGACACUUGCGGAUGUCGUAACUCUAUCGAUUCUUGCUCGUAUUUGAUCGUUCAACAUUCAUAGCAAUUCAGUGACAAUUAAACAUGUAUAAUUCAAUUUAAAGACAUUUAUUUGCAUAUGAACUUACCUCGUAUUGAAAAUAAACGGACUAAAUCGACUAUUCGACAACUUUCGUUUUCCCCUAAUCUAAAUCUAAUUUCUUUCUUUUAGGAUCUAUAUGAAUUCAAAAUUAACUUAUUCAUUCAUUGAUUCAAUCAAUUCAAUCCAAAAACACAUAUUUAAGCCAAUUUGCACUUUGGCCCUAAACUUUCACAUUUCUAACAAUUUAGUCCUUAUUUCAAUAAACACAAAAUUACACAAAUUCAACUCAAACCCAUGUGUGCCAAAUUACUAUAGUACCCUUAGAAUCCCAUAUUUCACAUUUAUUUACACUUUUAACCCCACUUUUUUUUUCACAAUUAAAUCCCUAAUAUGCAUUUUUACCCAAAAUCACUUUACAAAACAUAGAUAUCCAUCACUAAGUUUUCAUAAUUCAUCAUCAAACAUUCAAAAACACAUGAAUUCAUCAAUGGAAACUUUCAAAACAUUAAGCAAUUUUGCAAAUUAGUCCUUGGGCUAGCUAGUACUCGAUACAACGAUCACAAAAACAUAGAAAUCAUCAAAAAUCAAGCAAAAAUCACUCACCAAUUUGAGCUUGAAGUUGCCGAACCUUCAAAGCCCUAACUAUGGUGUUCUUUCUUCUUAUUUUCGGUUAGAAAAGAUGAUAAUGAAACCAAAUUCUUGUUUUUUAUUAAUUAUAACUUAAUCACUAAUUUACCAUUUUAUCCCUUAAUUAAAACAUUAUAAACCACAUAAUUCAAUGCCAUUUAUGUCCAUCUCCACUAUCAAUGGUCUAAUAUCAACUUAAGGACCUUUCAUUACUAACUCAUGGCAAUUAAGCACUUUAAACAAGUAGAAUGCAACUUUUUCAUUUUACGCGAUUAAGUCUUUUUUUCUCAAAUUGAGCUAUUAAAUGAUAAAAUUAGCUCACGAAACUUUCACACAUAUAUAAUCACAUGCUAUAAACACCAUAAAUAAUAUUAAAAUAAUUCUACAACCUCAUAUUUAUGGUUCCAAAACCACUGUUCCGAUUUAACUAAAACGGGGCUAUUAUAGAACUCUUUUAGCUUGCAACUCAUUAUCACUUUUCUAAGCCUCGCAAAUUUGCUGAAGAAAUACCUGUCUAGCUUUCAACUCAGCCAAAAUCAAUCCAUCAUCAGAUAAGGUUAACCGCGUAUUCAUCACCCUCAAAUCAACCAAAGUCUUUCUACUUAAAGCGUUUGCGACUAAGUUCACUUUCCCCAAGUGAUAGUCGAUCACUAAUUCAUAAUCUUUUAACAACUCAAGCCAUCUUCGUUGUCGCAAAUUCAAAUAUUUUUGAGUCAUCAAAUACUUUAAACUCUUGUGAUCAGUAAAGAUGUAACACAUCUCACUGAAUAAAUGGUGUCUCUAAAUUUUUAAAGCGAACACAAUAGCGGCUAAUUCCAAGUCAUGCGUUGGAUAAUUCUUUUCGUGCGGUUUCAACUGUCUCGAAGCAUAAGCUAUCACUUUACCUUCUUGCAUCAACACACAACCGAAACUAUUCAAUGACGCAUUGCUGAAAAUCACAAACUCUUUUCCCAACUCAGGUUGCACUAACACCGGUGCCUCAGCCAACAACGCUUUCAACUCUUCGAAACUCUAUUAUCAUUUCUCAGACCAUUCGAAUUUCACAUCUUUUUAUAAUAAUCUGGUCAUGGGUCUAGCAAUCAUCAAAAAUCACUUAACAAAAUGUCGAUAAUAACUAGCCAAACCCAAAAAGCUUUUAACUUUGGAUACAUUUCUCAGUGGUUUCCAAUUAACAACUACUGAAAUCUUACUCGGAUCAACCUGUAUACAUUCCACUGAAACAAUGUGCCCCAAAAAUCUAUACCUUCCACUGAAACAAUGUGCCCCAAAAAUCUAACUUCUCGGAGCCAAAACUUGUUUUUGCUAAAUUUAGCAAACAAUUUCUUAUCUCUCAAAGUCUGUAAUACAAUUCUUAAAUGUUCGGCAUGCUCAGACUCAUCUCGGGAAUAAAUCAAGGAUGCCAUUAAUAAAUACAACCACAAACUUAUGUAAAUACGAUCGAAAGAUUCGAUUCAUAAAGUCCAUAAAAAAUGCAGGAGCAUUUGUUAACCCAAAUGGCAUAACAAGGAAUUCAAAAUACCCAUACCUUGUUCUGAACACAGUCUUCGGCACAUCUGAAUCUUUAACUCAAAUGAUAAUAAUCAGAUCUCAAAUCAAUCUUCAAGAACACUAUUGACCCUUUCAACUGAUCGAACAAGUCAUCAAUUCUCGAUAAAGGAUACUUGUUCUUUAUCGUAACCUUGUUAAGCUGACAAUAAUCAAUACAAAGUCUCAUCGAUUCGUCUUUCUUCUUGACGAAUAACACUGGUACACCCUAGGGAAAAAAACUCGGUCUUACAAAACCCUUUAUCUGUCAACUCUUGCAACUGAGACUUCAAUUUUUUCAAUUCGUUCGAGCCAUUCUAUACGGAGCUAUUGGUAUCGGUGAAGUUCCUGAUACUAAAUCAAUAGAAAACUUGACUUCUCUGAUCAGUGGCAACCCAGGCAACUCUUCUGGAAACACAUCCAGGUAUUCACAAACUACCGAUACAGAUUCGAUCUUUAAUUCAGACACUUUCAUAUUCAGUAUAUACAUAAGAUAAGUUUUACAACCUUUUCUUACAUACCUCUGAGUUGACAUCGAUGAAAUCACAAUAGGCAACUCACCCGACUCAUCCGAUUCAAUUUGAAGAAUUUCAUUAUCUUGACAUUUCAAUUCAAUAAUCUUUCGUCUACAAUUCACUACGACAUCAUGUAGAGUCAACCAAUCCAUUCCAAGAAUUACAUCAAACUCAUUAAAAGGUAAAAUCAUUAAGUCAGUCGAAAAACAGUGACCUCGAGUCAUUACAAACUCAGCAGACUCAACAGGCAAAUUUUUACUAGAUACCAAUCCAUGCAAAUAUAAAAAUGAGUCAAUCCAGGAUCAAUCAAUGCAACUACAUUAGUAUCAUAGAGAGAAAAUGUAGCAGUGAUAACAUCAAGGGAUGACGCAUCUUCGCGAGCGCGAAUAGCGUAGGCUCUAGCAGGUGCUCUGACCUCUGAUCUUGCAGUUAAAUCUUUCGUUACACCUUUGCUACUGGUCCUAUUUCCCGUAUUUCUCGAUGGCCUCCCCUUAGUGGCAGUGUUGUUCGGUCUUGUAUUCUACAAAUUAUCUUUCUCAUUCAUUUCAGGGCAAUCUCGAAUGAAUUGACCUGGGGAGCCACAUUGAAAACAAGGCUGAUUUUUCAUUCUACAUUCACCGGGAUGUCGUCUACCACAGUAUUGACAUUCAACUCUAUUAGACCUAGCAUUACCAAUGCUCUCUAUUGACGUAGUUUAGGCCUUUGAACCUGAAUAUUGCUUCCCGCGAUAUUUGUUGGGAUAUCCAACUAAAACAUUUGAACGAGUAUACAAAUCCCUUGAUUACUUUGACGAAGAUUGAAAUGGCUUAUUCAUCGGACUUUUUCUAAAAUCUCUAGUCUCAAACUCAGCUUUUCUCUUUUCUUUGCUCAACUCUUCAACUUUGCAAGCUCAUUCGACUAGCACAACAAUUUUUUUCAACUCUAAAAUCCCAACUAACAGUCUGAUAUCCUCAUUCAACCCAUCUUCAAAUCUCUUACACAUAGUAGCCUCUAUUGAAACACAUUCCCGAGCAUACUUAUUGAGUCUAAUAAACUCUCACUCGUAUUCAGUCACAGACAUACGGCCAUGUUUCAGCUCUAAAAGUUCUUUGCGUUUCUUAUCAAUGAAUCGUUAACUGAUAAAUUUCUUUCUGAACUAAUCUUAAAAGAAUUCCUCGGUAACUAUUUCUCUCGGUACCACAGAUACAAGAGUAUUCCACCACUGAUAUGUCGAGUUCCUCAGAAGUGAUAUAGCACAUUUCAAACACUCAUCCAGUGUGCAAGAAAGCUCAUCAAAUACCCUGAUAGAGUUCUCAAGCCAAAACUCUACUCUCUCAGAAUCAUCAUCAACAUUAGCUCUAAAUUCUUCAACCCCUUGUUUUCUAAUCUUAUCAACUGAAGGCUUGUUCAGUCUUAACAAUUCUACACCUUGAAGAGCUAUGGGAACAGGUUGGGAGUUAGGUGGGGGGUGGAGGAUGUUGGGCAACCAAAUUUGUUCGAACAAACUCGACAAACAAUUUAUUCAUCCUUUGGAAGAAGGCUUCUCUAGCCUCUCCUCUCUGACUAACCAUUACUGGUCUACUUUUAGAUGGCGUUGUCCCUUGGAUGGGAGCCGGCACAUUACUUUAAACAUCAUCAGGUACAUCUUGGUCGGGAUCCAUUUAUUAUAUGAAAAUACAAUUUAAAUUGUCAAGAGUCGUCACACUAUCACAAAUUAUAUAUGGCAUGUAUAACUAGACUCUCACACACACUAUGUUAGUCCAAGAAUCGACUAAACUGUAGCUUUGAUACAACUAAAUGUAACACCCCUCACCCGUAUUCGACGCUAGAACAGGGUUACGAGGCAUUACUAGACUUACAUCAUAAAAAAUCAUACAAUUCCGAGUCAUAAAUUUCAACCAAAUUUAAAACCAUUUGCAUUCAAUCAUAAAGUCUCUAAUACGAACCUAAGAGGCCAAAUCAUGCUUUGGAAGUGGUUUGGGACUAAACCGAUAACUCAGGGAAUUUUAACAAAACUUAAAAAAAAAUUUGCUAUAAACAAGGGUCACAUGCCUGUGUGGUUUGGGAUACGCCCAUGUGGGCAAGCCGUAUGGUCACACACACCCGUGUCCCUAACCUGUGUAACUCUCUAUUUUGCAAGGCAUGAAUAAAUUAAAGUCUCACAGCCAAGUCACACGCCCGUGUGCGAGGCCGUGUGGUUAAUUAAUUUUCAUAAAAUAGGUGCAGACUUCACACGGCCAAGACACACGCCCAUGUUCGGGGCCAUGUCCCUCACACAAUUGAGACACACGCCCUGUCUCUACCCGUGUGCUCAAUUCUGAGCAUUCUGUUUCUCAAAGUUAAGGUGUAGGGGACACACGCCCAAAACACACAAAUUCAAUGGCAUAAAUCAUGGUAUACUUAGGCAACCAAAACAUCCACAAUCAUGGCCAAAACAUGUCAAAGAAAUACCAUCAUCUAUUAUGCUCAUAACAUUUCAUUAUGCUAAUCAAACAUACCAAUUUCACAUUUAAAAACACCACUAAUACUACUUUCAACUUACAUUAUCUUAUCAAGAUACUCUAGCAUACCAAUGGACCAACCUCAUCCAUUUCACAACAAGUCAUUAAGCCACAAUCAACAUUUGGCAGAUCAAUAUAAACCACAUCACCAAAAGGGCAUUGGCACAUACAUGCAUAUAUAUAUAUGAGCUUACAAUUAAUUUAACCAAAAUGAGCCCAUUUACAUGGCCAGAUACCAAAUCAAGCCUUUGACAAUUACAAGCCAAUACAUUUGGCCAAAAUCAUGAUGACAGAUAUAAAAAAAUGACCAAGUCCCUAUACAUGCCAUAUACCGAGCUAGCUUGGUGACACUAUAAAACAUAGAAAGUAAAACGGAGUAAGCUAUAUAGCUUAGUAAGCUCGUAUGAAAGAAAUAAAUAAAUCUUACCAUACAUUUAACAUUCAAGUAAUGUAAUAUAAGAUAAUGUAAUUUACCACAAUCUCAUGAGCAUAAUUAUCCAUCACAAAUUUACCUUGAAAUCUUCAUUUCAUGAAUUUAAUAAUCAUAAGCUUUAUGUCCAUCUUGUAAUAAUUUCAUACUUAUUCCCAUCGUUGAAAUACCUAAUGAAUCACUAGGAAUAAUAAUAUCGGAUACUCGGGAAAUCUUACACACAAGGUUCCACAUAUGUAGCCAUUGCUACCUCUAUCUCAUAACACAUAUAUGCUUGCUCUCGAGCCAUCAACGGACCUGCUUACACAAGCUGUUAGUCAAGACGUAGCUACACGGUGCUGCUCACACAAGCUGUCAAGUAACCGCAACAUAUGCCAGUAUACUCAGCCACCGAUAGGACAUACAGGACCAGCACCCGGAUCACAUAACAUAAUACCUUAGUAACAUGUCACUUGUAUCCUAAUCUAUUCCUAAGGUUCGAUUGGAAUUUCUCGCUUGCCAAAACAUCACCAAACGUGUCCGUAGAGUCGUUUACACAAUUCAUACAAAAACUAAAGCAUUUAAAAUACAAUUAUAAUAAAGCUUAUUUACAUACAAACUUACCUUGGUUACAAAAACGGCAAAAAGGAUCUGUUCGUCAAUUACUUUGUUUUUCCCCCAAUAUAAACUCGAACUUCAUUUUUCUUGAUCUAUAAUACCACAUUUAACUUAUUUAAUCAUCAAGCUAUUAAAUUCAGUCCAAAAUCACAUUGUGGAAAAAAUUACAUUUUUGCCCCUAACAUUUCAACAUUUUACAAUUUAGUCUUUAGGCUCGUAAAAUAAAUUUCUUUUAAUUUCUUUACAACCCAAGCCUAUCCGAACCUUACCCUUACUCAUAACAGCCCACAUUUUACAUUUAUUCACACUUCACCACACAUUUUUAACACUUUGAAAAUAAGUCCCUAUUUGGCAUUUUUACCAAAAAUCACUUUACAAAUAUUAUUUAACAAACAAAAAACAUGCAUUUUCUAACAUCAAACAUCAAAAUAUAAGCAUAUUCAACAUGGGUAAAAUUUUAGACUUCAACUUUGUUUCAAAUUAGUCCUUGAAAUAGCUAGAUCAAGUUACAAUGAUCUCAAAAAUAUAAAAAUCAUUAAAAACGGGACAAGAACGGACUUACAAUCGAGCUUGAAAGCUUGGCCAAAACCCUAGAUAUGACUUCCUCCAAAAUUUCGGCUGGGGGGACUAAAUUGAGAAGAUGGACACUUUUAUUAGGUUAAUUUGUCUUUAUUUACCAAAUUACCAAUUUACCAUUAAUGCAUAACUUUAAAAUUUCACCUAUCCUAAAGUAUAAUGGUUUAAUUACCAUUUAAGAACCUCCAAUUUAAAAAUUCAUAACAAUUAAACACCUUUAGCUAAGGGAACUCAAGUUUUGCACCUAUUGCAAUGUAGUCAUUCUAGUCAAAUUGAGCACUCAAACGAUAAAAUUUCUUAACGAAAUUUUCACACAAUUAUUCUAUCAUGCUAUAGACCUUAAAAUAGUAAUAAAAUAAAUAUUUCUGCUUCAGAUUUAUGGUCUCAAAAUAACUGUUCUGAUUUGACCCAAAAAUGGGUUAUUACAAUCGUAGAGAUUGGCAUAGAACUCACGUACUAGUUUCUUUUUGAUCUCCUUUCUUUCUUUCUUCUCCUUAUAUUCUUCCUUUUUAUCUGAUAACUUUUUAAGAAAUGUUGUACUCAUCUCAUAUUGAGAUGCAUUUAAAUAGGUGAAAAAUUGACACUAGUGGCGCCUACUAGGUAGGAGUCACCAGUGGCGCCUACAAGAUAGGCACCACCUGUCUUUAUGCCAUUCUCGUAUCUCUACACGAUUCAUGUACCAAAUCGGGGAAAUAUUUUGUAGUGGUGUCUCCUAUGAAAAAGGCACUACUAAUAAAAUAACAUUUUUUUAAAAGACAAAAAAAUUUUAUUAUAAAAAAUAUGUGGUGCCGCCUAUAAGAAAGCUACCAUUAAAAACCCAAUACUAUUUUGAUAAUUAGUUUCACUAGUAGCCCAUUUCAGAAUUUAAUUUUUUUUAUAUUAUUUAUGUAAACUAGGGCUUUUUUACCCAAAUAUCAUAAAAUAAAAUAAAAUAAAAAUUAAAAAUGGUAUCCUACCCGGAUUAAUUACGGGAAUGAAUUGUUUUGGAGGGUGGAGGGUGGUGCAGAGGUAGCACCACCCAUUUUUUUUUACAGUGACAAAAAUUAAUUAACCAAAAAAAUAUUAUAUUAAUAGAGGAUAACUAAUAGGUGACACCAAAAUAACCCUAUAAUCCAACACAACCCAAAAAUUGGUAGUAGUAGCUUGUUGGUAGAGUUGCCACUAGGCAAAGCAGUGGAAGGAUUCGAGGUAGAGAAGGCAAUAUGCAGCCAUGGGUUAUUCAUGUUGGCCCCUAACUACUGGGAUUCAAUCUCCUGCUCCUUCUCUUGCCCUUUGCGUCCCCUUUGCGUCUCACUUCUCCUCCUUUUACAAUCACUGUCCGUAUCUUUUAGCGGCCCACUUCUUCUUCUUCCAUUCUUUACCUCCGUAUUUACUGUGCAUCCUCCCUCUCUCCACCGCACCGCCACUCUCUUUUAAACCAAGUGCUUAGAAUGCUGCGGUUGUCGGAGUCCGAGGAAAACAAGGUGAGAGAGUUUUGUAGUAUUGUCCAAGCAUUACAUGAAGAAGAAGAAGCAACUGAGUAUAUGAGGAGUUUUAGUGGGAGAGUUUUCAGAUCCCCUACUAUGUUUGAAGACAUGGUCAAGUGCAUUCUUCUCUGUAAUUACCAACUUUCAUAUAUUAUCCCUUUAUCACCAUUUAAUUUUUUGCAUUGUCCUUAACCUAUUUGAUAUAUAUAGCCUGGGGCCAAAUUUAAAUAAGAGCACCCUCUGCAUUCUAUAGGUUUUCAAGAACUUUGAGCAUGGAUAAGGCACUUUGUGAGCUUCAGUUUGAAAUUCAACACCAAAUUUCUAGUUCAAAGGCUGCUGAAGAUGAUUUCAUUUCUAAAACACCAUAGGGAAAGAGUCAAAGAGGGAGUUGAGGGUGUCUAAAGUUUCCGUUCGUUUAGAAAGCAAAUUCAUAGAGUCUAAAGUAGAUAAUUUAGUGUUAGAGUCCAAAGAAGAAAAAGAGGAAACAUUAAUACUAUUUUAAUCACAAACAGUAAUAUUUUUUAUUUUCAAAAAAAGAACAGAAAAAAAUACAAAGCAGAGGUGAGACUGCUUCCUUUGAUGCCGCUUGUCAGGUAGGCAAUUUUGGUGUUGCCUGUUAGCUAGACACCACCAAUUUUUGAGUUGUGUUGGAUUAUACGGGUUAUUUUAGUGCAGCCUAUUAGUUACCCUCCAUCAAUAUAAAAAAUAAGUGGUGUCACCUCUACACCAUCCUCUAACCAAAACAACCUUUUCCCGUAAUUAAUAGGAGUGAAAUACCAUUUUCAAUUUUUUUAUUUUAUUUUAUAACAUUUGAGUAAAAAAACCCGUAAACUAGCCUUAUUUUUAUUAUGGAAAUUUCAUUUAAAUGGUAAAAUAAUAUCUUAUUGAUAUUUUGAAGUGUGAUUUAAAAGCAUAAAAAACAUGCACUAGUAAAGUUUUAAAAAACAGCGACCCCAUCGAAAUGUCCCAUCCGCUCAGUGUGACUUUCUUUAGUCCCUAAUUUACCCUUUGACCAGAUUAAUUAAUUAAUUAAAUCAGUAAUCAUGCAGAUUAAUUUCUCCGUGCAGUCCGCCAAUAGAUAAAUAAGUACAUAAAUACGACAGGGUAGGAUUGUCCUUUAGAUCAGAUUUUUGUUUUUACUGUGGGGUCCCAUCAAAGUAACCCUUCUUUUUCUCUCUCAGGACUCCGGACUCUUUCGUAAUUUCACAUCCCCCCAAAAAAACCGAUUUAGGUUUCCCAUCGUAAAAUCUGGCGCUUCAUAUUCAUCCACCUUAUCCUUAACCCCUAGCCGUCCGAUCCCUUCCUAUGAAACCCCGCCGUCGUUUUGGUUCGAAUUAACUUUUGAAACAGAAGUAAUUAUUAUUAAUUAUAAUUCCCAAAGGCUGACGUGGCAGUCACACCUUUUGCAUUCCUCUGAUCUUCAAUAUAAAGUCCCGACCUCACUGAGACUUCGCUUUUGCGCCCCCCUUUUUCAUUUCUGUGGUUUGUGAGUGUUGUUUUGGGAUUUUGAAGAUGGG
rnacentral:lncRNA from 1 species